rnacentral:lncRNA from 1 species
UUUGGGAGUUUUUGUGGAUGUCGUUUUUGCAAGGUGGGACUAGCAAUCUAGGUGGACCACAAAGUGCAUAAUUCUUCAUGAAUGAUGUGCUAGAAAAGUUUGAAAAACAUCCUUUGCUGGGAAUUUCCCCUUCAAGUCUAUUGAAAGACACAUUAAAAUACUUUAGAUAUAAAAGCUUUUCCAAAGAUUUGGGAAUGACUCCAGAGAGAUUGUUAUUGCAUAAAUCCAAGAAUUCCAAACUAAUCAACCCAUCAAAUGAUUCAGGGAUAUGACCAUGUAGUAUAUUAUUUGAUAAAUCUAAUGAAACCAAAGUUUGAAGACCCCCAAAUGUGGAUAAGACAUCGCCCGUGAGAAGAUUCCUUGAUAAAUUUAGUUUCAGUAGACUCCUAAGAUUUCCAACAUCAAUAGCAUGUGAAUUGUGAAGAUGGUUUAAUGAUAAAUCUAUUUUUAAGAUAUCUUUGAGAUUCCACAAAGUUGAGGGUAUUGCAGAACUCAAUUUGUUGGAAGCAAAGUAAAGAUAUCCUAAAGAAGUAAUAUUACCCAAACAAGAGGGUAUGGAUCCAUGCAGCUUAUUCAACCCUAAAAACAAGUUGUAUAAUCUCUCCAAAUCACAAAGGCUUUCUGAGAUGGGCCCUCCUAAUUUAUUAGAGGAAAGACCUAGACUUUGGAGAUUCCGCAGUCCUCCUAUUGAUUUUGGAAUGAAUCCACUUAAUUUAUUAUAGCCAUGUUCUAAAACCAACAUGUUGCUUAAGUUACCUAUUUCCAUAGGAAUAGUGCCUUGAAGCUCACACUCUUCGGCAUAAAAGUAUUGAAGGGAUUUUGAAAGGUUCCCAAUAUAAGUAGGAAGAACGCCACUCAAUGGAUUUUCUGAAACUCCUAUGGUUUUCAAAUUCUUACAAUUCGUCAAAGAAGAAAGAAAGCUCCACUCAUGAUCAGUAGCAGAUCCUGUGAUCAAAUUAUUGUUUACGAUUCGGAACCAUUCAAGCUGUCUUAAGUUGCCAAGCGUUUUAGGGAUUGGGCCAGAGAAUAAGUUAUCUCCCAAGUCUAGUUUCUUAAGCAUGGAAGCAUUGGAGAUAGAGUUGGGAAUGUUUCCGCUAAGUUUAUUUCCCCCAAAAAAAAGAAACUCAAGCUUUGGAGCAUUGGUGAUGGGUGGUAAAUUACCUGUAAAAUAGCAUCUUUUAGUAUACAUAUUCAUUGAAUACCAAAUUCACAAAAUAUAUAAUACAUUAAAAUAAAAACUGUAAAACUUUAAAUCAAUUAAGAAUAGAAUUUUGGCAUGGAAAAAUGUGAUGAAAUCAAUUAGAAAGUUGAGACAUAAUAAGAAGUUUUGAGUAGUAAUUACUCAUGAUUUCUAUAGACAAAACAUAUAAUAGACUGAUAAUUUUUUUAAAAUAUUGUAAAACCUGAAAUAAAAUAAAAAAUAAAAGUUUGGCACGAGAAUGUAGCAUCUAAUCAUUCUUAAAAAUAAGACUAACACUGAAUAAUAAUUAGUUAUGAUUUGAGAAAAAAAUUUUAAAGAUGUAUGAUUUUUAUCUAUUGGGUUAAUUAUUUAUUUUAAUUAAAUUACAGUGUAAAAUUUAAAGAUUAUUAUUUGCUCAAAAUUUUUGUAUUUUUCGUAUAUUUGAAAUUUAAUCUUUAUAUUUUUUAUUUUCUGUGAUUUAGUCUCUUUACUUUUUGAAUUGAAAAUUUUAAGUUUAUUUAUUAACACUGUUAAAAGGUUUUUGUGUUAGUAUGGCAUUUUAAAAAAUAAAAUAAACUUGAUAUCUAUGUUUUUAAUUAUUCCAAAUACUGUUUUACUAUUCCAAGAUAAAUUAUUUGUGUCUAGACCAAUAUCUUAAGAACUAUUGUUGCAUGUUUAAUUAUUCUAAAGAAUUGUUGAUUGAGACUUAGUUGAAGUGCACUAUUUUCCUAUUUAUGAAUUGGGGAGUUGGUAAAGUACUAAAUUUUGAUAUAUUUUAAAAUAUUAAAAAUUUAUUAAAAUAUUUUUUUAUAAAAAUUGAUUCUACCACAUUAUACAAUUUUAAUAUCAAAUUUUUAAUUUUUUUAAAAUAUUAGCGACUACCACAUUAUACAAUUUUAAUAUCAAAUUUUUAAUUUUUUUAAAAUAUUAGCGAAUAUAUACUUUAUUUCAAGUUACACAAUUUUUACUAGUUUUUAACUUUUUUUUUAAAUUUUUAUCCUCUUUUAUAAUUUCUAAUAAUUUUUUAUAAUUUUUUACAAUAUUUACAAUUUCUAACAAUUUGUAAUAAUUUUAUUAUUUAUUACAAAUUUAAAAAUUAACAAGUUUUUAUUUUUAAAACAAUUAUAUAUUUAUAAUGUAGUUAUUUUUUUAUAAUUUUUUUUGAAAUUUUAAAGAUUUUUUUGGUUUUUUUUCUAGAUGAUGAUGCCAUCAUGAUGACAUCAUAUGCCACAUGGCAAUUUAUAAUUAGUUAAAUAUCUCAAUCUAUUUUUUAACGUCCAAUGGACUAAAACAAGAACACCUGAUAAUGUUAGAGACUACACUGGGAAUGUUUGAUAAUAUCAGGUACUAAAGUGGGCAAAAAAAUUAAGGACUAUAUUAAAAAUAUAUCUANNNNNNNNNNNNNNNNNNNNNNNNNNNNNNNNNNNNNNNNNNNNNNNNNNNNNNNNNNNNNNNNNNNNNNNNNNNNNNNNNNNNNNNNNNNNNNNNNNNNNNNNNNNNNNNNNNNNNNNNNNNNNNNNNNNNNNNNNNNNNNNNNNNNNNNNNNNNNNNNNNNNNNNNNNNNNNNNNNNNNNNNNNNNNNNNNNNNNNNNNNNNNNNNNNNNNNNNNNNNNNNNNNNNNNNNNNNNNNNNNNNNNNNNNNNNNNNNNNNNNNNNNNNNNNNNNNNNNNNNNNNNNNNNNNNNNNNNNNNNNNNNNNNNNNNNNNNNNNNNNNNNNNNNNNNNNNNNNNNNNNNNNNNNNNNNNNNNNNNNNNNNNNNNNNNNNNNNNNNNNNNNNNNNNNNNNNNNNNNNNNNNNNNNNNNNNNNNNNNNNNNNNNNNNNNNNNNNNNNNNNNNNNNNNNNNNNNNNNNNNNNNNNNNNNNNNNNNNNNNNNNNNNNNNNNNNNNNNNNNNNNNNNNNNNNNNNNNUACAAUUAUUUAUGAUGAUGUUGUUGUCAAUUCCUAAGUUAGUGUCGAGUUAAUUUGUGACAUCAUAAAUUUAAGUGAUAAAUUUAAGGUUUUAUGUAUUGAUGCGGAUUCAAAUAUCACCAUAAUUUUUUUUAAAUAAAAAACUAAAGUACCCUCAAAUAUUAUAACUUAUAUUAAAUAUGAAAGGGUAUUUUUGUAAUUUCUCUAACAAGUUGGUGCCCGGUUGACUCAUGACACCAACUCAAUCAAAAGCUUCAAUAAUAAUAUAGAUAUUCACGUUAAAAAAAAGUACUUUAGUUCCAAAUAAUUAUAUAACAAGUAAAUUUAUAAUUGAUGAAUAAAUUUAUAAAAAUAUAUUUAUAUGAUCUAAUACAUUAUAUUUAUAUUAAUUAUAUAUCAUCUACAAACUUUGAAGAUCAAUUCAUUAAGUAUCAAGAAAGGAAAAAAAUGAAAUUGAAUUAACACUAAAUCAAUUUUUAGAUUUUGUACAGAUGAUUUAAUGAUGAUAAAAAAAUUAUUAGCACUAUUUUUGAAUUAACAAAAAAUUAGUGAUAUAUUUUAAUUAUAUUUAUUAAUUAUUAUUUUUAAUAAUGUUUUUUUUAAUUAUAUAAAGUAAAAUUACAUUGUAUAGUAAAUAUGGUACAUAUACUUUAAAUAUAACUAGAAAAUUUAUUAUAUAAAUUAAUAUAUUUUAAUUAUAUUCAACCAUUUGAAUAACAAAUAAAAAAAUAAUUAGAAUAAUUUAUUUUUUAAAGUUUAAUGGAAAUUAAAAAACUAAAAAUUAAUCAAUUCAUAUAAAUUUUGUUNNNNNNNNNNNNNNNNNNNNNNNNNNNNNNNNNNNNNNNNNNNNNNNNNNNNNNNNNNNNNNNNNNNNNNNNNNNNNNNNNNNNNNNNNNNNNNNNNNNNAUCAGAUGAAAAUGAUAAAAGUAUAUGACAUAAAUAGAAGAAACAAAUUCAACACCAUGUUUUUGGAGUUUGGAAAAUAUUAAAGUGAAAAACAUACCUUCUAAUUUGUUGUCAUAUAGACCUAUUUUUUCGAGCGUAGUUGAAUUAAAAAUACUAGUCGAAAAUUGAAGUGAAAAACAUACCUUCUAAACUGUUCAACUAAAAAUACUUUAAGCAUUUUUUUUAGUAAAGCCCUUCAAGCUUAUUUUUUAGUAAAGCCCUUCAAGCUUGGGAAGAUGUUGACACAUAUCAUUAGGCAAAGACUAAUAGCCUUCAAAGAAGAAAUCUUGAAGAUGGAAGAUGGAACCUGACCAGAUAAUUGAUUGAAUCCUAAGCUCAAGAUCUCUAGAUUAGACAUGUUAACAAGUGUUUCAGGGAUUGUGCCUGUAAAUUAAGUUAUUAUUUUUCAUUUUCAGCCUUCGAACUCUCUGUAAGUUCCCAAGCCAUGAUGGAAUUUCCUGAUUAAGACGGUUGUAGCAUAAUUGAAGGAUCCUCAAACGAUGCAAUUGGCCCAAUUCUUUAGGGAGAUGGCCAUAGAAAUGGUUGCUACUCAAGUCGAGAGAGAGUAGAAAUGAAAGAUUUCCAAGGUGUGGAGGGAUAGUACCCCUAAGAUUCAUGCUUGUAAGAUUCAAAGCUGUAACUCUUUUAUGGAGGAUGCCACAAGAAACACCAAUCCAAUUGCAAACAGAGGUUGAGACCGUCCAAUUGUUUGGCAAGACAUUUUGAGGACCGGCGAUGCGAUCCUUAAACUCGAGAAGUGCAAACUGAUCGGAAUUGAGAUUCCUGACUGUCAUAGCCAAGCACGCAACAUGGUAUGAAUAAAGCUAAAAGAAGAUGAAAGCAAGUGUUGUAGUUCAUGAUUGCAAGACAGAAUAAGCAAAGAAAAUAAAAUAAAAAAAAGUAGGAAAAGGGAAGUUGAGUUAAUAAAAUAGUUUGGAUGAUGAAGAAAAGCCCAGACAGCAUGCUUUAAUAUGUUUGGAUGAUAAAUUUAAACUUGAUAAAUUUAAGACUACCCUAAAAAUACGUACAAAGAAAUUUCAAAUUUUCAAAAUAAAUACAUACAAAGAAGCGAAUUUUCAAAAUUUCUCCUAAAUUUCCUUCACAUUACUCCACAUAAUCCAUUAAAAAAACUUAAAAAAUAUAUUUUAUUAAUUACUAUAUAUUCUUUUAUUUUCAGAAUAAUAAAUUGUUUAAAAUAUGCUAUUAGUCCCUGUUAUUUAAAAGUUAAAAAAAUUCAAUCCUCCUAUUUUUCUAAUUUAAAAAUUCUAGUCCAAUCAAUUUUAAUUCCAUUAAAAAAUUUCAACUUAAUAGGUUUUUUAUUAUCAAUCAUAUGCAACAUUAUAUGAAGACAGUCUACUCAGCAUAUAUCCAAGUUUACAGAUUUUAAUAGAAAAUACUUACAAUCCUAAUGGUAGGACUAAGUUUUUUAAACUAGAAAAGUAAGAAGACUUAAUUUUUAACUUUUUAAGUACAAUGAUUAAAUUUUAAAUGUUGUCAAAGUACAAGCACUAACAAAAUAUUUUGAUCUAAUAAAUGUAAAAAACUUUUUAAACAAAAUAAGGUUGAAAUAAUCUAUUUUUCCUUGUACUUUGAUAAAAUUUGAGAUUUAGUCCUUAUAUUUAAAAAGUUAAAAAUUAAGUCUUAUUGUUUUUAUUUAAAAAUCUUAGUCCUAUCUUUAAUUUUAUUUUAUCAAAUUUUGUCAACUUUACAUAUUAAUUAAGUUUCCAUUAUAUGUCGUGGUAUCAAUCAAAACUUAAUUAACAUCCAUCAAUACGUCAUACAUAAAAAAUGCAAGCAUAAAAUGCAGUUAAAAGUAUUUGGGAUCUCGAGUGCAUCAAGUUCCUCCUUUUAUUAUUAAAUGUUUUAUUUUAGUUACUUUAAUCAAAUAUAUCCAAAUUGUAAUAGAGUUAACAUUUAUUGUGUAAAAAAUAUUUUAAACUUUUUGAAUUGUAGUUUAAUUCUAGAAGAAAUAUUUCAUUUAUAAAACUAUAAAACUUUAAAAAUAUUAACUCUGUUAAAUAAAAAUUAUUUUUUAAAAUAGUAAAUGUUAACUUUAUUAACACAAAUGGGUCUUUAGGGCUAAACUUCAGUAAUUGACGAGCUCUUCCACAAACCGUGGAUGAUUUGGGGAUAAAAACUUCAAUAAUUAUGGAGUUAUAGUGUAAAUUUGCCACUAUAUUAUAAGUGUAUUGAAAUUUAUCACUAUAUUUUAUUUGAUGUUUAUCAUUACACUUUGAAAAUAUAAGUAAAUUUACCAUUUAACUCAGGUUUAACUUUGCAAGUAAACUUAAAAUUUUAUUCAAUUUUGUCACUAAAUUUGAUUUGUUCAAUAUAGAUUUUGGUGACUUAAAACAAAAUUAAUAAAAAAUUAUUCUUCCGGAUAUCUUUUUAAUGUUUAAUAAUAAGUUAAUUUAUAAAAUAUACUUUCAUUGGACACAAGCCCCCAAGGCAGUGAAACACUGAUCAAAUUAAUUUGGAGUUAUCUUUUUUUCUAAAUAAAGUGAAUUUACGAGUUUUGUUUUCUUUUAAAAAUAAUUUUAAUAUUUUGGUGGAUAUCAAAAAUUAUUUCAGUAAGAAAUUUUAAUUCACUCGAAAAGUUAGUGUUUUAUUUCAAGGGUCAUAAUUAAUCAUUAGAUUUCUCAAUUUUAAAUUUUGAAUUUUUUGACAAUUGCGUAAUUAAUAAGUACCAAUUUUGAGUGUUGUAGGGCUAGUACAAUCUUCAUUACACAUACCCGACUCUUGAACUUACUCUUUUCUCUAGAAUUCAAUGUAGACCUCAAAUUUAUCUUUUGAAAAGAAUUUUAAAAUCGUAUAAAAGGUUUUUUUUGUGACCGAUCACACUUAACAAAAAUUUAAAAAUUAUUAAAAAAUAAUUUCUUUUUGAAAUUUAAAGUGAUCUAAAAACAUAUUUUUAAGUGUUUUGGACCAUCUAUUGCUGAUUUCCUUAUUAUAUUAAAUGUUUGCAAUCACUCCUAAAAUAUUAUGCGUGAGUUGUAACAGAGCAAAUCGUCAACGUGCCAUAUUGAUCAAUUGAUGCUGAAACUGAAGUUUUUGUUAUAUUGAUAGAGCUUGUCCUUCAACGCAUACAACGUGUUUAUUAUUUUUCUCCCUUCAAAUUGUAUGAUCUUAUUCAUUAAAUGAAUUAAUGAAUUUCCCUAUUAAAAAAGAUAUAUUUUUAAAAUUAAAUACUUAAAAAAAUUUUAAAACUAUUUAAAAGUUGUAAGCCUUAAAACAAUCAACAAAAUAUAUUUUUCUCUAAAAAAAAUCAAUAAAAAUAUGUUUAAAAUUUUUUAACAAUAAUAUAUUUUAAAAUUAUAGUAACGCUAUAAAAUAUAUAUAUUUACUAAUUAUAUACACCUUUCCAUACAUCCUUUUUCUACAUAGAAUUUCAAAAGUAAAUGUGAAUUAAUGUAGACGUGAGAAGACUUAGAGGUAAGUCACCCAACGAAAGUGUCCUAAACCGACUUACGGAAGAAUCAAACAAUAAUUUUGUAUCUUAUAAUAUAUUUAAUUACAUUUAUUAGUUUAUCAAUCAAAACUUAAUUAGAAUCCAUCAAUAUUUCACACAUCAAAAACCCAAACAUAAAAUUCACUUUUAAAUUAUUCGGGAAAUAUUUGUAUUAUAGGAAAUGGGUUAAAUUAGUUUUUUAUUAUUAAAUGUAUUAUCUUAAUUUUUGUAUUAGGUAUGAAUGAUAUCUCCUAGAUUGAAGCCAAAGCUAUUCUUGAAAGACUAAAAUUAGGAUUCAGAUGUGUUGAGAUGGAAAGUGGCAACACAAUGCUGAUUGAUACUAUUUGUAAUGGGUUAGCUACAAUAAGUCGUGCUGCUGAAGUAAAGCAAAUUUACGAUUGGUGUUCCAAAAAUUUGGGAAGUCAAAUUUCGACAUAUUCAGCGGAAUACCAAUAACGUUGUUGAUUGCAUAGCUAAGGCAAAUGGAGGCGUAAUUGAGCAGCUGGUUAUCUUGGAAGAUCCUCCGCAUUAUGUGAGAUGGUAGCUUGAAGAAGAUAUUAGAUAGUCACUGGUGAUUGAUGAUAAUUUUCAUUUGGACUGAUGAGCGCUUAAUUUUCUAAGCUUAUGUUCAACAAAAAAAAAAUUAAAUACGUCUAAAUUGUAAUAGAGUUAUCAUUUAGUGUUUAAAAAAUAUCUUAAAAAUUAUUUUUUCCAAUUGCAGUUCAAUUCCACAAAUAUUGACGAUGAGCCCGGACAUAAAAAUUACAAAAAAAAAAAAAACACAUCUAUUAUCAAACCAGCAAUCCAUGUCUAAACUUAAAUUAACAAAAUUCGCCACGCAACCCGGUACACUAUUAUAUAUAUAUAUACACACACUAGAUUUAUUCUAGAUGCACAUGUUUUAUUAUAUUUAAAAAUUAAAAUAUAUGGUUGACUAAGAUUUAGUUGAGUUAGUAUUGAUAUUAUUGUCAGUGUAGAAAAAUGUGAGUUUAAUCGUGCUCAAAUGUGUUUUAUCCUCCAAUUCAAGGGUUAGGAAAAGGUUAUUGAUAAUUAAAUUGUAUCAACUUUUAUGAUAUUAAAAAAAAAGGAUUUAUAAAUAAUAUAAGGAAAAGAAAAAAAGAGAGAAACAUAUUCAUAUUGAUGGGCUCUUUCAAUAUUAGACUUUUUUUUUCUAUCACAAGUAAAAAAAUCAAAGGUGAUAAUAAUUAAAUUAAAAUUUUUAAAUUAAAAAAAUAGGGGAUUGAAUUUAUAACUUUUAAAAUAUAAAGAAUGAAUUUAUAAGUAACAACAUAUUUUAACCACAUAAUAAAAGAAGUUAUGGAGAGGAUCAUGUAAAAUAAUGACCUGAAUAAUUUUAAACCUCUCAUCAUUGCAAAAAUGAAAUAAUAGAAAAGAAAUAAGUGUUGGGUGUAGUGGCAAGGUACAUUAUACUUCUAAGGGGAGAUCAGGGUUUUAGACAAGGGAAGAAUUUUAAACCUACUUUUUUCUCUAGAACUCAAUCCAAACCUCAAAUUUAUCUUUUUAAAAGAAUUUUAAAAUAUCUAUAUAAAAGGUGAUUUUUUUACGGAUCACACUUAACAAAAUUUUAAUUUUUUUUUGAAAUUUAAAGUGAUCUAAAAACAUAUUUUUAAGUGCUUUAGAUCAUCCUGUGCUAAUUUCUUUAUUAAAUUAAUUUGUUCAAUAUAGAUUUUGGUGACUUAAAACAAAAUUAAUAAAAAUUUAUUUUUUUCAGAUAUCUUUUUAAUGUUUAAUAAUAAGUUAAUUUAUAAAAUAUACUUUCAUUGGACGCAGGCCUCCAAGGCGGCGAACCACUGCUCAAAUUAAUUUAGAGAUACCUAAAUAUGUUUUCAUCAAUUAAGAAAUUAAAAAAAUUGUUGAGACCUCAUGAUUAUCUUUUAUAAUUUCAGGCUGAUCAACUAUUUUGAAAACAAAACGUCUUACACCAAAAACUAAAAAAUAAAAACGUCGACAUUAAAUUUGUUGGUAUGCAAUCAAUUUUAAGAUGGUUUUUGGAGUUAUAUAUCACCUUAGCAUUGACUUACUUUUCUACUCUUAGUCUUCUCCAACAAGUUAAAUAUUUCAAUUUUAACAACAUUGACAGGUAUUUGGGGUAGGGUCGAGCAAAAUUCAAUAGAAAUAGAUGAUAUACGUUGAGUUGGCUCGGCCAAGUCGAGUCGAGUUGUUCAAAUUAGUUAAAUUAGUAAAUUUUAGGGUGCAGUUAGAAUUUUUUGUUUUGAGAUGCUAAGAUUAAAAAAUUUCAGUUGCUAAAACAAAAAAUUUGUAUUUAAAAAGGCAUAAAUUAAAUAAUUAAGUUUUUCAAGUUUCCAUUUAAUCAAAGGUUAAAAGGACUAAAUUGAAGCUUUUUAUUUUUAAGAAAGGCUGAAUGCCAAAUUGCCCAAAGCCCAUGCCCCUAGCUAUACAACUAACUUUUCUAUGAUUAGUCCUUGGUUUGCUUUGGGUGGAAUCUUCCAACUAGCCUCAUCCUUGGUUUUACUUUCCAACAAUUAGUGUAUCACGAGUUUUGUUUUCUUUAAAAAAUAUUUUUGUGGAUAUUAGGAGAUAAUGAAAAUUAUUUUACUAUGAAAUUUUAAUAAAACUGGAAAAUAAGUAAUUUAUUUUAAGAGAUCACAAUUAAACGUUAGAUUUCCAAUUUUUAAAUUUUAAAUUUUUUUGACAAUUGCAUAAUAUUUUGAGCAUUGUAGGAUUGCCAUAACCUUCCCUACGCAUAAUCGACUCUUGAGCAUGAUGGAUCCUAGACCUUCUCCUCUAUUUGCGUACCACAAAUUGCUUCGAGUGUGGGUUCGGACAAUCACAAAUUAAACACAAAACCAGAAAUGAUUUAUUACUUUCAAUAGCAACGUAAUUCUCUCUCAAUAGAAACCAAUAAAAUUGUAAUUCCUAGAAAAUAAAAUUUAUUUUUUGAAAAUAUAUUCUCACUACUUUCUAGCAGAAUAACAAUAUGUGAAACUUAUGUCUUGUGUUAAUAGCUCUACCUGUACUAUCUAUUUAUAGGGAGAGACACGAGAAUCCUGGUUGAAUUAGUAAAACACAAAUAAUAUUUAUUUCAUAGAAAACAAUAUUCCACCCUAAGUGGAUCAAGUUUGUAUGACGCAUGGAUCGAAGCUCAAUCUAGGAGAAAAAAAUAAAGGAAUUUUCUUUGUAAAGAAAAUCUGAGAUUGUACUAUUUUCGAAGAUAUAAAUAAAAUUAUACGCCAAAUUUUCAAGUCAAUUUUCAACUCCAAUUUUGUAUGCACAAAUUUCUAAUACAGUUGGUGGGACAUUCUUUGACUUUUAUCUAUUCGCUCAAAAAGUUGAAGUUCAAAGUUGCAUUAAACUCAAAGAAGAUAAUCAUUAGUAAACCAGCUCACAAGCCUGCUCAAGCUAAUCCUACAACUCGUUCCACUUCAUCAUCAAACACCAAUGUUCUUGCUUAUCCUUAUGGAAUUAAACAGUCCUAUUUUUUGCAUUUUGGGUACACACCUAGUUUUGUUUGAUGCUAAAACAGUCCCCGAGCACUCCAAAGCCUAUAAUUGAACAAAUAACACUAAUUUAAUCUUACAUAACGUGAUCCCAAAUUGAACUUGUAUUGAGGUUUUAACCCAUAAGUGACUAAACCUUACCUUCAACCGAUGAACAGUAAUUACCACACAAACUAAGACUCCGAUUGGCGAUUACGAGCCCUUGAAUCCUCUCCUAAUUGGCAUAAACAAAACACUUCAGAAGAAAGUUAACAAACAUAGACAAAUCACUUAUCUAAAACUUAUCGAACAAUCACAGACAAACGUGGAGCGACACAAGGUAGAGUGGGAAAAGAAAAAUCAAGAGGAUGAAAGGUGAAAAAGAGCAGAAAUUCGGCAGCAAUGAAAAGAAAAACGGUAAAAGGGUGAAGGGAUUUUGGGGAAAGUAAAAAAAAAAAAAGAUGAACAGAAUAUUUGAUAACCACCCCAAUCCCUUAUUUCUCUCCAUCAAAUUCCCCACUAAAUCCACUACUCGAAUUUUUAGUCCAUCUCAAACUCUCCUAGACGAACAAGCAAAAAAUAAUGCCCAUGUCAAGAUUUGAGCACAGGACCUCCCUCACACCAACACUCCACUUAUCCACCAGACCAACAGACUCAUUCUUUUAAUUAUUUGCCAACUUUUACUUAAAAGCCUACUGACCAAAUAUAGGGCUUAUUCAUAAAAAUACCAAAUUUUGCCCAAGUCCUGGCUUGAACUUGCAACCUCCCAAACACACCUAGAACACAUAACCACUAAAGCAGACAAAAAUUUUGUGUCACACAUUCACAAUACCCAAAAUUAAAAAUUUGGGGCGUUACAAAGACACAUUAAAUAAUAUCGCAUAAAACAAUCACAGUCAAAUAACAGUUCAGAAUGUCGGCUUUACAAUUUAACCACCAAUAGUAUAACAGUAUUCACAGUUGUAAUUUCAGAAUAUCAGAUUUCCACAUCAUUCACAAUAUUCACACAUAUAUAAAUAUAUCACAAUAGAAUUCCAGAUUUGUAUGCACAUGAUUUAAAAGAUGCCAUACAAUUUUGGGUUUUAAUAGAAUAAAUCCUACCCCCUGUUACAUACCAUAAUGGGAGUUCCCCUAAACUCCCUUCUCCAACACACUAGAUUGUGGAUAAACCAUUAUUGUUUCACAAAUAAUAACUGCCAUUUGGCUGUGGACACACAGUAAGUUCCCACAAUUGGAUUCUAGAUUUGGUUGUGGGUUCACAGCAAAAAAAAUCCUACAAAUGAAGCCUGAUUUUGCCUGUAGAUUAUACAACAUAUACCCGCAGUUGGAACCUGUCUUUAGCUGUGGAUGCACUGUAACACCUCAAACCCGACCUGGACGUUAUGGCUGAAUCUUGAGGAUUUACUUUAACUCGCUAGAAAACCCACGAAUUUACUUUGAAAUCAUGUGGUUAAACUAGUGUUCACUUUGAUAAAUCGUUUUCCAGUUUUAGAGAAAAUUCUUGUUAAAACUGUUACUUUAUUACAAUAAAACAUUAAAGUAAUUGUAUCAUUUUGUAGUGGAAUCUACUAAGCUAUAAGGUUUUGAAAAUCGUGGUUUAGUUUGCAACAAACCAUUUUGCAAAUAGAGAUGUGUUACGAAAAAAAGUUUAUAAAACGACUUCAUUGUUAUUGGCAAAUCAUCAUAACCAUUAUUACUUAGUAUGUCUGAUUUGUUUGGAAAACUUAUUGAUAUACUUAUUUUAUUUAAAAUCAUUGCUCGCUUAUGCCUUUUUAUUAAACUGAAUGUUUUGCAGCGGAGUUUCUUUAAAACGUCAUAUUUUGGCAAAUCAAAUUGUUUCUUGAAAACCGUUAUUUUAGAAAAGUUUUCAUUUUCAGAAAAAUUAUUUUAUCAGUUGUUACGCUGAGAAAACCAACAUAAAAUCCAAAACCAAAAAUAGUCCCAAAAAGUCUAGAGUGUCCCAAAAUGACAAUACUCUCAAAACUAGACAAGUUUAAACUAAUUUUAAAAGAAUGAAAUUUUACAAAAAUGUGGUCACCACUGAGCUUCCAUCGCACCGACCCACCUAAAUCUGAGGGUUACUUGAACAGACCAAACAAACAGAGAGUGAGUUUUGAAACUUAGUGUGUAACGCGUAUAUAAACAAAAAUUCAGAAUCAAUCUCAUGCAGAACAGAUACAAAUGUAAACCUUUUAUAAAAUCAGAAUUAUACAAAUACAAAUAUAUAACAUCCUACCUCAUCCUCUACAUACCAACUCCGACCAUCCCAUUACACCACGUGGGGUAUAAAAUACCCAUCCAGCCCUACACAUCGUAUAGUGUUUAUAUGACACUUUUUUGAAUAAUCACAGCAGAGUUGCCAGUAUAUAGGCGAGAUAUCACCUCACACAGAACACUUCCUCCUCAUAAUACAAAUCCUGCCCCAUGGCCAGAUACAGACAGAAUAUCAUGUAAAACAAAUUAACAGAUACCAGAGUUAACAUAUCACGCGUGAGCGUAUAAUAGAUAUUACACAUGUUUAUGCAUAACAAAACAAAUCAUACAUACUGUAUUCCAUAAUACUCAUAUAAAUGUUAUUUACGUCAAUCUCAAUCUAACAGAGUAGCAGAUUUCAUUCUUUAACGCUUAUACCACACAUAUAGACCCUACGGAUGGCCCAUAGUCGAUCGAGACGACAUGCAUGUCCCUAGGGAAAAAAAUUGUAAUUUGGGCCCACAUGCCUAUAUGAGCCCACACGCCCAACAUGGCCUUGCCUAUGUGGCUCACCAACCUAGCACUCAGCCCAUACAGUCUAAAAUGGCCUAGUUCAUGUGUCACACACAGCCGUCUGUUGCACACGGCCUACCACAUAGCCAGUCACAAAACCGUUUGGAGUUGACAAGCCCAAUUUUUGGCUUUCGUCGAUCGUCGUUUUCUUGCGUUUUCAUUACACACCUGGUUUGAUUCUGACGCAAAAGCAACCCCAAGUCCACCGAAACCUAAAAAUAGCAUUCCAACGCCCAAUUUCAGUGAACAUUUACAAAACUCAAACAAAAACUAUCCAAAAAUAUAGCCUCACAAUAGCAUCCAACGCACUCGCACACUUACCGUCAACGAACAGGAAACACCCAAAACUCAAUUCGUUGGAGGAGAACCAAUUAUGAUAAUGCAAAAAUUUUAUUGAUUCUCAACACUAUCGAUCCGAAGGUAAGAUUGAUGCUUUCCAAUUAUGAUAAUGCGAAAAUUUUGUGGGAUGGUUUACCUGAAUUUUUUGUUGUUGUCAACGAUCAACGUAUUCAACAAUUAAAAGAAAAUAUUAGUCGUUGUGAGUAAAUCAAGACUAUGAGUGUUGUAGUUUUUUUCAGUAAAUUAAAGGUUUUGUGAGAUGAACUAGAUAAUAAUGAACCUUUGAUUUGUUGCAAGUGUGGACAAUGUUUAUGUAACUUAGGGAAGGCGCAUGAGCAACGUCGUGAGCAUGAUUGACUUCAUCAAUUACUUCUUGCUCUCUAUUCUAAUUGUUAUGCUCAAAUUAGGUCUACAUUGUUUUACCAAGAUCCUUUGCCUUCCUUAAAUCAGGCAUUCCAGCAAAUUACUUAGGAGGAACAUGUACGUGGAAUUACACUGAUUAAGGAAGAGAAGUCUGAUAUUUUAGGCUUUGCUGUGCGUACAGAGGGUCAUAACAAAGGUUGAGCUAAUUGUAUUGAUAAGUCAACCUUGUUGUGCACUCAUUGCCAUCGCAAAAGGCAUGAGUUGGCUACCUAUUUUGAAUUACAUAGCCACUUGGAUUGGUGGCUUAAGAAGUAUGGGAAGCCAGAGAUGAAAAGUGAUGAUCGUGGUGGUAAGACAAGUGCCACAUCUUCCACGUAAGUGUUUUAUUUCAAGGGAUCAAAAUUAAACAUUAGAUUUCUCAUUUUUAAUUUUUUUUUAUAUUUUCAACAACAACGUAAUUAACGAGUACCAAUUUUGGGUGUUGUAGGGGUUCUAUAACUUUCCCUAUAUGUAAUCGACUCUUGCACCCAUUUUUUUUUCUCUAGAAUUCAAUGCAAACCUUAAAUUAUCCUUUUAAAAGAAUUUUAAAAUCUCUUUAUAAAAGACAAUUUUUUUAGGUGACCAAUCACACUUAAGAAAAACAAAUCGAUGGCAACUCUUUUCCGAUAAGUGUAAAAAACUUUUAAACAAAAUAAGGUUGAAAUAAUCUAGUUGUCGUUAUACUUUGAUAAAGUUUUGGAUUUAGUCCUUAUACUUAAAAGGUUAAAAAUUAAGUCUUGUUUUUAUUUAAAAAUCUUAGUCCUAUAGUUAAUUUUUUUUUUUUGCAAAAUUUUUCAAGUUGACAUAUUAAUUAGGUUUCUCUUAUAUAUCGUGGUAUAUGACUAACACAAAAUAAACAAGUUGACAAAUUCUAUAAAAAAUAUCAAAGAUGAUAAUAGUUUAAUUAAAAUUUUUAAAUUGAAAAAGAAAGGGAUUAAAUUUAUAACUUUUAAAGUACAAAGAAUGAACUUAUUGAAAUACAAGAACUAACAACAUAUUUUAAAAUAUUACUAGUAAAUUAUAUAUCUACAACAAGAAUUGUAACCUCUUAUAUUAUAUUCUUGUAUCUAUUUUUGCAUCUUUCAUUAUAAUAUGAUUUAUUAAUAUUAAUAUUUUUAUAGAAUAAUAUACUUUAAAUAAUUUUUGUAUCAUUUAUAAAAAUUAUAAUAAACUUACAAAAUAAUUUAAUGAUAUUUAAUUAUUAACCGAAUAAAAUGAUAUCAUAUAUAUUCUGUAUAUAUUAAGAUUUCGAAUCAUUAAUUAUAUAUCUACACAUUAUAAUAAAUUCAUCUUUCAAAAUUUUCCUUCUAAUUAAAGCAUAAAUUAUAUUUAUAAUAUUAUAAAUAUAUUAUAUCAUAAAUAUUCUUUCAAAUAUUUUUUAAUGUUUAAUAAUAAGUUAAUCUAUAAAAUAUUCUUUUAGUAAAUUAACGUGAUGAGAUCGUUAGGUGCUUGGAUUUGGUGAAGAGGGAUGAAGAGAAAAGGGAUGGAAGUGAAUAAAAAUGUUGAGAAAUGGAAAGGGUUAGCGAGGGAAGCCGCCAUGAAAGGUGGUUCAAUGGAUAUAAACCUUCAAGCUUUUGUGGACGACGUUACUGAAGGUUGUUGCAAGUAAAUUUAAAAAAAAAAUUUAAAUUAUUUUUUUGUUAAAAAACAUUUUUUAUUUUUUAUGUGGCCCCAUAUGGAGUUGUUCUAAUCGCUGAAUGAUAGGUGGUAUUAUACCACCACUCAGCCAAUGGUAGCCAAGACACCCAUGUUGAUGGCUUUUCACCCACCAUACACUGUAGGUAACCUCCAAACACUUGUUCAAAAUUUCAGUCUGGCCAUCUGUUUAAGGGUGGUAAGAUGUUGACUUCUUCAGCUUGCUGCCCAUUUACUUAAACAAUUCCUUCCAAAAUUGACUCAAGAAGAUUUUUUCCUGAUCAGAAACAAUAGAGUUAGGAAUCCCAUGGAGUUUGUAUAGGUGGGUUAGGUACUCCUAAGCCACAGUAAGAGUAGUGAAAGGAUGAGCCAAUGCCACAAAGUGACCAUAUUAGGUCAAACAGUCAACCACGACAAAAUCUGUUGAUUUCCCUUGUGAUAGUGGCAGUCCUUUGACAAAAUCCAUACUAAUAUCUAUCCAAGCUCGUUCAGGAAUCGGUAAUGGUUGCAACAGACUAGGCGAGGCCGCAUUAUCGGGUUUGCAAUGCUGACAAAUAAUACAUUCUCGGACCCACUGUUUGAUGUCUGUAGAAAGUCCUUUCUAAUAAAACAAAGCAACUACCCAUUGGUGAGUGGCAUGAACCCCCGAAUGGCCACCCAUAGGAGUAUCAUGAAAAAUCCUAAAAAUAUGCUUACGUAGUGAAAUAUCAUCACCAACUACCACUUUGCCCCUCCUGCGCAAAUAGUUACCAUGCCAUGAGUAUUUUGAAUGUAAAUGUGGCUGAGUACGUACCUGAGUACUCAACCUAGAGAGCUUCUUAUCAAUUCCAUAUAUGGCUAUAAUUUGCUCCCAAACUUUUGACCUGACCAAAUCUGUACUCUCCUCACACUGAAGCAACUAACCUAUAGAGUCAAUGGGUUUCCUGGACAGUGCAUCUACAACAGCAUUUUAAGUCCCUUUGCAAUAAACAAUUGAAUAGUCAUAACCCAACAUUUUUGCCACCUAUUUCUGCUGAUAAGGAGUGAUGAAUUGUUGUUCAGACAAAAACUUCAAACUUUGAUGGUCUGUUUUAAUGAUAAAGUGUCUACCCACAAGGUAGGAGUGCCACUUCUUGACUGCCAACAACAUUGCCAUUAUUUCCUUAUCAUAGAUGGACAAGGCUUGGUUUUUAACUCCCAAUGACUUGCUAAAAAAGGCCACUGGUUUCCCAUUCUGUUGAAGAACUACCCCAACUCCCUGACCACUAGCGUCUAUUUUCACACAACAUAGCUCUUGAAAGUUUGGUAAGGUCAACACUGGAGCUUACCAAAUGGCUGUUUUGAGCUGCGCAAAAGCUGUUUGUUCUUGUUCUGCCUAAUGCUAGGAGACCUCCUUCCGUAAUAAGGCAGUAAGAGGUUUAGCCAUCAUCUCAUAUCCAUGUAUAAAUCACCUAUAUUACCUUGAUAACCUAAGAAACCCUCGUAAUUCCUUGACUAAACGAGGAGGAGGCCAGUCUAAAACAUUAUCGAGCUUAACUCGAUCCAUGCAAAUAGUACCUUGAGGGAUCACAUGUCCCAAGUACUCCACGUGUGUGGCUCCAAAAACACACUUGGACUUCUUAGCAUACAGUUGGUUUGUCCGUAACACUUGUAAAACCUCAUGCAAAUGACUUAAAUGAUCAGACCAACCUCGAAAGUACACAAGGAUAUCAUCAAAAAAUACAAUAACUGACAUUCUCAACAUGGAUCGAAAAUUUGAGUUUAUCAACGACUGAAAGCUUGAAAGGGCAUUGGUCAAGCCAAAUGGCAUGACCAAAAAUUCAUAAUGUCCCUCAUGGGUUUUGAAAGUUGUCUUGAAGAUACCUUGCUCACACAUACGAAUUUGAUGUUAUCCAGAACUUAAAUCCAGCUUAGAAAAAUAUUGAGCUUGCCCCAAUUCAUCCAGCAACUCUUUGAUAAUGAGAAUAGGGAACCUGUCCUUGACUGUUAACUAAUUAAGUUGCCUAUAGUCGAUACAGAGUCAACAACUUCCAUCCUUCUUCUUGACCAUGACCACUGGGAAGCAAAAUGACUAUUACUAUCCCGAAUAAUUCCAGCUUGCAACAUUUCCUAGACUAUCUUUUCUAUCUUAGUCUUUUGGACAGCCAAAUAUCUGUAAGCUCUCACUUUGACCACCUUAGAUUCGUCCACCAAGUGCAUUUUAUGGUCGUGUAAUCGAGGAGGGGGUAAAUGUGUAGGGACCUGAAAGAUAUCAUCAAAGUCAGGCAAAAGUCUUUGCAAGUUUGGUGGUAGCUCAGUUGAUUGCAUUGUGAGAAUAGUUUGAUCAUAGGAAGCCAGUAGCAUCGGACAUGGUCCAUUGCCCACCAAACUCAUACACUUAGAAAAUUCUCCACUAGGAUCAAUAUGCACUAAACCUGGUAUUGUACCUCUCAGCAUACAAGUCUAAUCCCCAUACUUGAAUUGCAUAGUUAAAUUGGAGAAGUCCCACACAAUUGGCCCCAACAAUAGCAACCAUUGAACACCAAGUACUAGGCCGAAUCCUUUUAUAGAUAACACUAAAAAGUUUGUAGUGCAUUUGUACCCCUAUGCCUCCCACAUUACAGCUCUGGAUAACCCCUGAGUAUAUUGUCUGACUACAUUGGCUACCAACACCCGCAAGCUUGGCUCGGGUUCAAUGGUCAAUUUCAGUCUUCUCGCCACCUUUAAGUCAAUGAAAUUAUGCGUGGUACCUGAGUCAACUAGGACCACCACUUGAGAUUGGUUAGUAACCGCUGGAAAUCUCAUAGUGGUAUGACCCUGUAAUCCUUGCAGCGCUCGUAAUGACAACACAGGUGUCGAAUUCCCUGGUAACACUUUUGUCGGUUCCAAUUGCUCGGUACAGUCCUGAAAUUCGUCAAGAGAAGGGCUCAUUGCUUCAGUUUCAAUAUCUCAUGAUGAUUCAACAAUCCACUGAUGCAUUUGGUAUUUCAAGCAUUUAUGGCUUGGUGACUAUUUUAGACCGUACCAAAAAUAAUGGCCUUUUUCCCUCCUAUCUUCUAAUUCCGUCUGAGACAAAGACUUAGAAGUAAUUCGAGAGCUUAAUUUCCCAUUCACUGUCUCACUCGCAAAACCAACACUACCACCUCCUUGUUGACCUCUAGGCAUGGGAAAUAAGGGCCGCACUAAGUUAGAUCCGUUGUUAAGAGUGCCUUCUUUUUUGAUCGGUCCAGCCACAAUAUUCUCCACUUGCCUUGCUGAAUGGUACCUUUCCACCAAUGUUUGAGGUUUAAACAACCUAAGAUAUUGGCCUAUUUUGGGUUUGAGGUUGCUAAGAAACCUCCCAAGACAGUUGAUCUAGGAACGAGUCUGCUUGAGAGACACUAACUCUGCCAUAGGAUCUAGGAACGAGUCUGACCCAAAACGUUCUCUAAGGCACCUCGAAUAAACCUCCCAAGACAGUUGAUGUACCCCCAUGCCUUCGCACAAAAAAAUGGUGCCAGUCAAGUGCCUUACCUUUGAGGUGUAGCAUGACUAUCUGGAUCUUUGAAUGGUCACCAAUUCCUUCUGCCUCAAAAUACUGUUCAAGCUUGGACCACUAACCAUAAAAAUGCUUACCAUUAAAAUGCGAACUGCCAACCCGAAAAGAGGAUCGUUCAGACUCCAUCAUAACUGCUCGUGAAGAUAUGCUUGAAUGGCUGAGAUCCACCAUUGGGGACACUAUUAAGUGUCCCUGAGUUCGAAACCCAAGUGGUGACCCCAAAACCCUUUUGCCCUUGCUGUUCACUGUAUUUCCUACAGUUGUUGGCUGUCCUUGUCCAAAAUACCGCUCGAACAAAGAAUGAAGCUCAGGACAGAGCUCUAAAUGUACCUCUGACUUGAUCUCUGCCUAAAGGUCUUUUAGUCGAGUGUCUAUCUGUGCAUCCAACUGAGACAACUCCAAUUGCAUGUGAGAAAGCUCACCUUGAAUCUACCCAAUUUCCUUCUACAUUCUAGUGGUUAUACCGUCACCAAUCAUGAGGAUCGGAAAGGUCUGAUACCUUUGUUAUGGCUUGGAUCUGGAGGAGACGAAGCAACAGAAACAGAAAAGAAAAUUUGAGAAGAAGGGAACUAGAGAGAAAUUUGAGAGAGAGACUGAGAAGUAAACAGUUAUCAAAUUCAUAUCUUUCUUCAGUUAGUUACAGACAAUAUAAUAACCCAGUAAUAGCAAUUCUUCUGACUAGCCAAAACGCACCCGUUUCAACUAGACGAAACUCAUCGUUUCAUUAACUCAUACGUAAAACGCAAUGUUUAACUAAUUAAUUUUUAACAGUCUUUAAGUAAAAUAUAAAAGGAAAAAUGAUCGUUGUUUAAAACCAUAACACAUUUAUUUUGUAGGUACAGUCAGUUGGAGGCGAAGAUACACGUGUGGGGAGAGCAGAGGCGCGUGGCGUGCGUGGGAGGGCCUGGUUCCAGCUGCGGCGCAGUCUAGUUAGGGUUUCCAAUUUUUUUGGGUUAUUGGGCUAGGGUGUAUUGGGCUAAUUGGUUUGUUUUGGGUCUAGGAUUGGGUUAUAUUUUGGGUUUAGGUUAUUAGGCUUUGGAUUUUGGGCCAUAAGGGCCUAUUGUAACUGGACUUUUAUGGUUUGUUUUUUAUUUGGUUUUAUUAUUUGUAUUUGUUGAAUUGGGCCCGGGCUAAAAUUAGGCCCUACAAUCGACAUGUUUUUUAGUAGGGUCGAUCAAAACCCAAUUAAAACCGAUGAUAUUGGCUUAGUUGACUCGGUCAAGUCUAUUAGAUUGAUAAAACCAAUUUACAUACGAUUAUUUAUUAUCAUAAAAGGUUAGUUUAAAUUUAAAGUAAUCUAAUAUGUUUAUUGAACUUCAACUAUUAAAUAAAGUAUAAGCUAAAUAUGUGUAAAUAUUCUAGAAACCAUUUCUAUAUGAUGAUAGGCUAAUUCGGAAUUAAGAUUAAUAUAUAAAAACUAGAUAGUAGGGUUAUAGUCCUCAAACUACACUUAAUUUAAUAACAUUUACAUUUUUUUUAGCNNNNNNNNNNNNNNNNNNNNNNNNNNNNNNNNNNNNNNNNNNNNNNNNNNNNNNNNNNNNNNNNNNNNNNNNNNNNNNNNNNNNNNNNNNNNNNNNNNNNAAAAAUUGGAAAAAUAUUUUAAAAUUUAAUUUUUUUUCGUAUUUUUAAUAACAUUUAUAGUUUUUUCUGUGGUUUGGUAACUUAUCAACUCGACUCUUAAUUGUAAUAAACUUUCUGACCAUUUUUGUAUUGUUAACCUAAGUCCCGUUACAACUUUCUUAAGACCUAUUGAUUGGUGUAUCAUCUCGAUUUGUUUUUAUAGUGGUGGAGAUUUGGUUUUCAAGCAAGCCUAUGAUAAUAACAUUUUUUGUUCAACUGUUGAGUACAUAGUACUUGAACCUUAAACACUUUGAGUGCUUUGAGUGAAUCUUAGUUAGGGUAUUGAUUAUUGUUAAGUUUGAAUUUCAGGUAAUUAUUGAGAUAGAGGAGACGCCUAUGUUUUUUGUGCUUUAAAAAUUUCUGCUUAGAUUGCUUUUAUUCUUUAGUGACAUGCUAGUUUCAAUUUCCAGUGCAUGAUUAUCUGUAGAUUAUUCCUAAGGCAUUGUCGGUGAAAACAAUAAAUUGAAGGAGAUUAACUUGAAUAAGGGUUGAGAAUUUUGCUUAAUGACAAACAAAUGCUUAAUUGUGGGGAUAUUUGAUAAGUGCUAAAUUGAUAUGUUUUAACCUUAUUCUUAAUGUGUUUUUGGUUGAUUAUUCGAUCUUAAUUAUGCUCCUAAUCCUUUCAAUACGUGUUUUUAUGCUUAAUAGAACAUUUGGGAGGAAAAUGAGCGAAAAAUGAGUGAAAAACAAAAAAUGGGGGAAAACAAUAGGACCCACACAGGCUGACCUAUUACACAUGUGGCAGGCCAUGCCGAUUUCGUAGAUUUACACUCUGAAUUGCAAAAAAUUUGAAUUUUAGGUUUUUUGAGCAUUUUAAGACGUAUAUAUCAGAAUUUAAUAAGAUAGGAGAGAACCUUGCUAGAAUAUUUAAGACACACCCAAGACACAACCCGACCUUAUAAAACCUCAAUCUCAUUUAAUUAUUAGUUAUUUAUUAAUGCAGAAGUAAAUUAUGAGUCAAUUUUAAAGUUUUCCUAGGUAAUUUAACCUAAGGGCAAUUUCAUCAUUUUACCACUUAUUGUAAAACUAACCUGAUUUUAGAUCUAAGUGUUUACCAUCCUUCUUUUAGUCAAAUUAUGCAAGCCUAAAAUUUUUGGCUUAAUUUGAUUUCGUUUACUUUGUCUAAUUCAAGUUUUAUUAUUAGGGACUAAAUCGUAACUUAGUCAAAUUAGAAUACCAAUUUAAAGAGACAAAAUUUCAAAAUCCCAAAACCCACAUGGGUGUGUGGGUAAGUGACAUGGGUGUGUGGAGACUGGAGCUAUCACACACAAGCGUGUGGGAUUGAAAUAUAUGAAAUAAAUUAAUCCACUCAAUUUUCCAACAACCAUGCUAUACUACCAAACCAAAUAACGCUUGAAGCUUUGAAUAGGGGCGAAUUUUUAAAAAGAAAAAUUUAGAGGAAUCAGAAUUAAAUUAUAAAAUUUUGAGAAGUUAGAAUAUAAUUUUGUCAUGUAUUAAUUUAUUAUUUUUUAAAGGGUCUUAAUAGAAAUUUUUUUUCCCAUUUUGGUUAGGCCAAUACCCCUGCCUACCUCUUUAAAUUUGCUCCAACCCUAAACCCAAUAUUUGAGUUGGAUUAACAACAAUAUAUAGGUUAGUAUUUGUGGAAGUUUGACGAAGAAAAUUUUUUUAGAGGUUUAAAUUAUAAUUUUUGGAAAGAUUAAAAUAAAUUUUUAUUUUUAAUUACCUUUCGGAUCAUACGGGUGAUUUUGAUGAUUUAAAAAUUAAAUACUUUAUAAAAUAUUUAAAACUAUUUAAAAAAUUGUAAGCCUUCAAACAAUCAACAAGAUAUAUUUUUCUCUAAAAGAUCAAUAAAAGUAUGUUUGAAAUUUUAUAUGAAUUUUUAAACUUUUUAACAAUAAUAUAUUUUAAAAUUAUAUACACCUUUCUUCACCUUUUUUAUAUAAACCUUUUUUCACCUUUUUUAUGUACACCUUUUUUAUAUUUUUUUCCUAACAUAUCAUUAUUUUCAACACUAUCGUAAUCCUUUUUUGAUAAUUCCCUUUCCAUACAUCCUUUUUCAACAUAGAAUUUCAAGAGAAAAUGUGAAUUAAUGUAGACGUGAGAAGACUUAGAGGUAAGUCACCCAAUGAAAGUGACCUAAACCGACUUAUGGAAUAAUCAAGAGUAUUAUUUUAGUCUUUGUCUUAGGUAUGAAUGAUAUCUUCUAGAUUGAAGCUAGAGCGAUUCUUAAAUGAUUGAAAUUGACUUGGAUUAAAGGAUUCAGAUGUGUUGAGAUGGAAAGUGACAGUGCAAUGUUGAUUGAAACUAUUCGUAAUGGGUUGGCCGCAGUAAGUAGUGUUGCUAAAGUAAGAUUGAUUCACGAUUGGUGUUCCAAAAAUUGGUAAGUCAAAUUAUUGACAUAUUCAGCAAAAUGCCAAUAAAGUUGUUGAUUGCAUAACUAAGGCAGAUGGAGGCGUAAUUGAGCAGCUGGUUAUCUUGAAAGAUCCUCCGCAUUAUGUGAGAUGCUAGCUUGAAGAAGAUAUUACACAGUUGCUGGUGAUUGAUGAUAGUUUUCAUUUGGACUGAUGCUCGCUUAAUUUUCUAAGCUUAUGUUCAACCAAAAAAAAAAAAGUCUAAAUUGUAAUAGAAUUAACAUUUAGUGUAUAAAAAAUAUCUUCAAAUUUUUUUUCAAUUGAAGUUUAAUUCCACAAAUAUCGAUGAUGAACCCUAAAAUGGACAUGAAAAUUACAAAAAGAAAAAGAAAAAACACAUCUAUUAUCAAACUAGCAAUCUAUGUCUAAACUUAAAUUAACAAAAUUCAUCAUGCAACCCAGUACACUAUUUUAUAUAAUAUAUAUGCUAGAUUUAUUCUAGAUGCACAUAUUUUAUUAUAUGUCUAUUACCAAAUUAGUAACCCAUCCCAAGGCUUAAACUAACAAAAUUCACCAUGCAACCGUGUAGACUAUUUUAUAUACAUAUAUACUAUAUUUAUUCUUCAUGCAAAUGUUUAUUAUAUUUAAAAAUUAAAAUAUAUGGUUGAUUGAGUUUUAGUUGAAUUAAUAUCGAUAUUGUUAUCAGUACAGAAGAACAUGAGUUCAAUCAUGUUUAAGCACGUUUUAUCUUUCAAUUUAGGAGUUGGAGAGGAUUCUCAAUAGUUAAAUUAUAUCAGUUUUUGUCUACUUAAAAAUGAUUUAUAAAUAAUAUAAGUAAAAAAAUUUUAAAAAUACAUAUUCAUAUUCAUGGGCUUUUUCAUUAUUAGACUUUUCUCCCCACAGGUAAAAGAAUUUAUGGACAGGAUGAUGUAAAAUUAUGACCUGAAUAAUUUUAAACCUUCCAUCACUGCAAAAAUGAAAUAAUAGAAAUGANNNNNNNNNNNNNNNNNNNNNNNNNNNNNNNNNNNNNNNNNNNNNNNNNNNNNNNNNNNNNNNNNNNNNNNNNNNNNNNNNNNNNNNNNNNNNNNNNNNNNNNNNNNNNNNNNNNNNNNNNNNNNNNNNNNNNNNNNNNNNNNNNNNNNNNNNNNNNNNNNNNNNNNNNNNNNNNNGGUUAUACUUUAAUUAUUGAGAACAUUUUCCACAAUUUGCCAUCAUUAUUUGUGAGUGAUUUGUGGGGUAAAAGGUUGAACACUUCUGGAUCACAUUGCGUUUAAGACGGGUCGUUGGAGUUAUGUGACACUUAAACAUAGACUGACUUUUCUAUAAUUAGUCUUUGCUUUACUUUGGGUGGAUUCGUCCAACCAGUCCAAGAAUUAUUGUAAAAUCACAAUUAAUCUUCUUAAAUGAGACUAACAUUUCAAAUUUGUCAUCACUAUUUGUGAGUGAUUUGGGGGUAAGAAGUUUAACACUUCUGGAUGACUUAAAGAAUUGUGGGUCUCUAUUUGAGCAAAACAAUUUCAACAUUUCCUCGUCUCGUUUAAUCCAAAUUCAUUUAGGAUUUUCUUAUAUCAUUUUAAUUUAUUGAUUGUUUCAAAAACGAUAAUAAAAAAUUUUCUGUUUCACAUUCAAUUUUUGGACAAGAAGAAUUUUCUAACCUAUUUUAUAUCAACUUCACUUCAAUUUUCAAUCACAAUCAAUUGCAUUCAAAAGAACCACAUAUUUUUGAAUGAAACAAAUAUUUCAAUUUUAAGAUAAACGGGUCUUUAGGGUUAUUAAUUGAGGGCCUUUUCCGCAAUUCCCAUCGUUAUUUGCUGAUUGGGUUACAACAAUCGUUUGAAGUGAAGAUAUUUCAAAAGAAGAUGAAUACUUUACUAAUAAGNNNNNNNNNNNNNNNNNNNNNNNNNNNNNNNNNNNNNNNNNNNNNNNNNNNNNNNNNNNNNNNNNNNNNNNNNNNNNNNNNNNNNNNNNNNNNNNNNNNNNNNNNNNNNNNNNNNNNNNNNNNNNNNNNNNNNNNNNNNNNNNNNNNNNNNNNNNNNNNNNNNNNNNNNNNNNNNNNNNNNNNNNNNNNNNNNNNNNNNNNNNNNNNNNNNNNNNNNNNNNNNNNNNNNNNNNNNNNNNNNNNNNNNNNNNNNNNNNNNNNNNNNNNNNNNNNNNNNNNNNNNNNNNNNNNNNNNNNNNNNNNNNNNNNNNNNNNNNNNNNNNNNNNNNNNNNNNNNNNNNNNNNNNNNNNNNNNNNNNNNNNNNNNNNNNNNNNNNNNNNNNNNNNNNNNNNNNNNNNNNNNNNNNNNNNNNNNNNNNNNNNNNNNNNNNNNNNNNNNNNNNNNNNNNNNNNNNNNNNNNNNNNNNNNNNNNNNNNNNNNNNNNNNNNNNNNNNNNNNNNNNCUUCUCUUAUGCUCCUUCCAGCUUCUUGCUUUUUGUGUGCUGAAAAUUCAAAGGAACAAAAUAUCAACCUACAUCAUAAGGCACGAAGGCCAGAACUUUAAUUUCUAGCCCGUCCGAUCCAAUGAAAGAAGAACAAAGAGUCUUGAGAUCUGACAACUUUAUUUCAUCUUCAUUUUCUCUGUUAUUUUCUAUGUUUCUUGUCAAAUACAAUGAAAGAAGAACAUAGAAAAAUGUUGCCUAUUUAUUUCCCAAUCAUCAUGAAAUUACUUGCCAUAGACUUAGAAUUUUCUCACCAAUUUUCAAGCAAUCUGACAUGAUUUCUCAAUCACAAAUAAUUGAAUUCAAGAUCUUUUUGGAUGACACAAACAUUUCAAUUUUAACACAAACCAAUAUUUAGGUUAUACUUCAGUGCUUGACAAGCACUUUCACAUUUGUGGGAUAAGAACCCUAGCAUUUUAGGAUCACAUUUAAUUCAAUUGCAUUUAAGACCUCAUGAUUUUAUUCUAUAAUUUCAGUCUUUUCAACCUUUUGGGAAAUAAUAAAAUAUCGACAUUAAACUUCUUGUUGAUGCAUUCAAUUUGAUUUUUUGAGGGGUCGUUGGAGUUAUACGUGACUUUAGCAUUGAUUGACUUUUUUAGAAUUAAUCUUUUAUACCAAUUUAAUAACAUCGACAUGCUGUAAUACCCAAUUUUGCCCCAGGCCUAUAUACUAAUAGAGUAAAACAAAAAAACAGUCCAUUUACAAAUAAAAUAAAUCCAAACCCAAUUGGCCCAAAUACAAAAAACCCUAGUGGCCCAAUAUGACCCAAAAAUUAAACAUUUUUCAGCAGCAAAAAAGGAAGGAAAACCCUAGCUGCCGCCGCCCUAACGGCAGCCAAGUCCUCCUCCGCGCAUGCCAAGCCCCCACGCGCGUGCGCCUCCUCUACAGCCUUCGUACCUGCGGAAAAAGUGGAUCCAAAUAGCAAGCAAACCGCAAAAAUCGCUAACAAUAGCGAGGCAACAGCAAAUAGGAUAGCAGAAAAAAUGGGAUAACAGACGAGAUUUUUGGGGAUUCAUUUUCUUUUAUUUUGUAUUUUCGGCUAUAAAAAGAGCCGAUUGAUUCAUUGUACUGGGGGGGAAGAAAAAAAUAAUCGAAAACAGAAAAAAAUUCCGAAGGUUUACUUCUACUUUCAUUUUAAUGUUUUAUUUUUAUUUUUUAUUUUUAUUCUAACUUUUUUUUUACAUACGAAAUAUAUAUAAAAAAAGGAGGAAAAAACUUACCCUUGAUUUCACCGAAAAAAAGGAGACUUUUGGCCUUCCGGCCGCAGUGGACGGCGGCGCCUUCACUGGCAAACGGCAGCCAACUCGGCAGUAGCUUAUCGGAGGAUGGCCGGCGUCUGGAGAAGUUGAGAGAGAAUUGAGAGUGUUUUUUCUAUUUUUUUUUUGAAGAGAAGAGAAAAUGAGUUUUUUUGUAAAAAAUUUGGCUUAUAUAAAGGUUCAAAACGGCGUCGUUUUGAGCUAGGAUUCCAAUAUCCCAAAACGGCAUCGUUUUGAGGCCGACCCACGCACCGACUCGAUCCGGUCCUAGAUCCGCGUGUUUUAUAGCGUGUGGGAAGUUUGUGGAAAUGAUCCCCUCAUUUUUAUAUCGCGUUUAGAUUGAUCCUUUUGCUUUCUUUAAAUUUAGCCACGCAUUUUAUUUUUAUUUCAAUUUCGUCCGUGCAAGACGCAGCGUUUUGGAUGGCAGGGAUUAUUUUCCCCUUUAGUCCUUCCCUGUUAUUCGCUCAUUCAGUGAAGUCCCUUUCUUUCCAUUUAUUUUCAGAUUUGCCUCAAACUUUUGUUUUUAAGCUUAAUUUAAUCCUUUUUUGUUAUUUGUGCUAUUUUAUUUUUUUUAGUUUAUUAUUAUUAUUAUUAUUAUUAUUGUUGUUGUUGUUGUUGUUAUUAGUAUUAUUACUAUUAUUAUUAUUAUUAUUAUUUUAUUUUUGUUUAUAUUUAUUUACCUAACUUUUUUUUUGUAUUAUGUACUUUUAUUUUAAGGGGUUUUUAUUAUUAUCAUCAUUUCAUUUUUUUUAUGUUAAUCCAAUAGAUUUUUUUUACUGGUUUUAUUUUGUAAAACAUAAUUUAUAUCAAAUUAUUUUCAUUUUGUAUGUUAUGGAUUUCAUAUUAUUAAAGCCAUUAAUUUUAAGUUCUUUCUUUAACAUAUUUGUAUAUAUAUAUUUGUUUAAAUCUAUCUUUAUAAAUAUCUAAUUUAUUUCUUUUAUAUAUUUCGUUAAUUUUAACUUUUAAAUAUAGUAUUAUAUAUAUUAUAAUUUAUAUUAAGUUUCCACUCCAUAUGUAUUAUUUUAAAAAAAAUUAAUAUAUGUAUAUUAUGUUAUGUAUUUUGAUUCUCUUUCUACAAUAUUUACUUUAAAAUGCAUUUCGAUACUUUUAUUUUAAGUAGUUUUUUUUUCUGAUUUAUUUCGAAUUUACAUAUAUGUAAAUACUAUUUGUUUUAAAACAUAAUUUAUUGAUUAUAAUUUCUUCUCUUGUUAUUAAUUUUUAAGUUUUUUUUUAAUUUGAUUAUUAAUUCAUUAAAUUUUUGAAUAUUGAUAUUGAUAUUGGCAUAAUGUAUGAUUGAGAUAAUUGUUGCUAUGCUUGUCUGUAUUUAUCUAUUGAUUAUUUGUUAUUCAUUGGUGUAUAUUAUUUACAAAUUAUCCUUUACGUUGUACGUUAUCAUUCACUCACAUUUUAUUUCAUUUAGAAGGUUGCAUUUGAUUAAAAUAUCGAAAUCAUUUUAUCCACAAGUUUUCAAAAUAUUCGGUAUCCAAGAUUCUCGAGAAGAUUGUGCCCUAACUUACUGGACUUCAAUUUUCCUUGUUGAAUUUAAAUAAACGAGUAUUUCUUUUUCAAUUAAAGCAUAAAAAUUCCAAAUCAAAGCUUAUCUCGACGAUUCAAAACUUUGUGUCCUAGCUCAUUCGAUAUGGCAUUUGGUUAUCUCGAGACGUGGUUUUUAAAUAAAAUCAAAUUCAUGUGUAGUCUUUGGAACUUCAAAGGAUCGUACCCUAACUUACGGCGGCCGAAAGGCCAAAAGUCUCCUUUUUUUUCCGGUGAAAUCAAGGGUAAGUUUUUUCCUCUUUUUUUUUAUAUUUCGUAUGUAAAAAAAUUAGAAUAAAAAUAAAAAUAAAAGAUUAAAAUGAAAGUAGAAGUAAACCUUCGGAAAUUUUUUUCUGUUUUUGAUUUAUUUUUUCUUUUUUUUCCCCCAAUACAAUGAAUCAAUUGGCUCUUUUUAUAGCCGAAAAUACAAAAUAAAAGAAAAUGAAUCCCCAAAAAUCUCGUCUGUUAUCCCAUUUUUUCUGUUAUCCUAUUUGCUAUUGCCUUGCUAUUGUUAGCGAUUUUUGUGGUUUGCUUGCUAUUUGGAUCCGCCUUUUUCGCAGGUACGGAGGCCGUGGAGGAGGCGCACGCGCGCGGGGGCUUGGCAUGCACGGAGGAGGACUUGGCUGCCCUUAGGGCGGCUACAGCUAGGGUUUUCCUUCCCUUUUUGCUGCUAAAAAUGUUUGAUUUUUAGGUCAUAUUGGGCCACUAGGAUUUUUUGUAUUUGGGCUAAUCGGGUUUGGAUUUAUUUUAUUUAUAAAUGGACUGUUUUUUUUGUUUUACUCUAUUAGUGUAUGGGCCUGGGGCAAAAUUGGGUAUUACACAUGUUUUUGGGUAGGGUCGAGCAAAACCCAAUUAAAACCGAUGAUAUUGGUUUAGUUGACUCGGUCAGGUCCAUUAGAUGGAUAAAAUCAAUUUUAAAAUCAGUUAUAAUGGAUUGAGGUAAUUAAUUAUCGAGUAAUGAAAUACAUAAUCAAAUCAAUUGAUUUUGUUAGAAACUACAAGAAAAUGGGAUAAGCUGAAAACUGAUUGCCCUUUAUUAAAAUUAAGGAAUCCGCCUUUUACAUGUUAGAUAAUAUGAACAUCCUAUAUAUAAUAAGAAAAAUUACGUACGAUUAUUUAUUAUUAUAAAUAGUUAGUUUAAAUUUAAAGUAAUCUAAUAUGUUUAUUGAACUUCAAGUAUUAAAUAAAGUAUAAGUUAAAUAUGUAUAAAUAUUCUAGAAAUCAUUUCUAAUUGAUGAUAGGCUAAUUCGGAAUUAAGAUUAAUAUAUAAAAACUAGGUAGUAAAGUUAUAGUCCUCAAACUACACCUCAUUUGAUUUUUCCGACAUUCUAUUUUUGAAAAAAGAAUCACCUUCUUUAAAAAAAAAAUAUGUACUAAUUUGAAAAAUUAAAACUAUCAUAUAUAUUAAUAAGUACCAACUAAGCAAUACUUAAAUAUAGGUGUGUUUUAUAAAAAAAAAAUUAUCAACUUAAAGAAGUUGCAACAAAAAUUUAAAAUUCAUUUAUCAAAUGAAUAUUUAAAACUUAUAAUCUAAACUGUGACAUGAUAAAAUACAUGAGCAUAACUUGGAUUUACCAAAAAUCUAUGUACUUUUCUAAAACUUAAAUUUUAGUCCCUGUACUUUAAUUUAGAGACAUUAAGUAACUAUACUUUUUUAUUUAAAAAUUUUGGUCCCUUCAUCAAUUUUAUCAUUAUAAUUGUUGAUUUAGUUGUUAUAAAAAAAGGUAGAAUAACUUUUUUAGCCUUAAACAUUUAUAGUUUCUGUUAAUUUGGUCCUUACUCUUUAAAAUUACAUAAAAAUGCAAAAACAUUUUAAAAAUUAAAUUUUUUUUUGUAUUUUUAAAAACAUUUAUAGUUUUUCAUUUUUGUGGUUUGGUAACUUAUCAACUCGACUCUUAAUUGUAACCAACUUUUCUGGCCUUUUUCGUACCCUUAACCUAACUCCCGUUACAAAUUUCUAAAGACCUCUUUAUUGGUGUACCGUCUCGAUUUGUUUUUAUAAUGGUGGAGAUUUGGUUUUUAAGCAAGCCUAUGAUAAUCACAUUUUUUGUUCAACUGUUGAGCACACAGUUUUGAACCUUAAACACUUAAAGUGCUUUGAGUGAAUCUUACUUAGGAUAUUGAUUAUUGUUGAGUUUGAAUUUCAUGUAAUUAUUGAGAUAGAGGAGACGCCUAUGUUUUUUGUGCUUUACAAAUUUCUGCUUAGAUUUCUUUUAUUAUUUAGUGUCAUGCUAGUUUCAAUUUCCUGUGCAUGAUUAUCUAUAUAUUAUUCCUAAGGAAUUGUCGGUGAAAACAAUAAAUUAAGGGAGAUUAACUUGAAUAAGGGUUGAGAAUUUUGCUUAAGGACAAAUAAAUGCUUAAGUGUGGGGGAUAUUUGAUAAGUGCUAAAAUUGAUAUGUUUUAACAUCAUUCUUAAUGUGUUUUUGGUUGAUUAUUAGAUGUUAAUUAUGCUCCUAAUCCUUUCAAUUCGUGUUUUUAUGCUUAAUAGAACAUUUGGGAGGAAAAUGAGUGAAAAUAAAAAAAUGGGGGCAAACUAUAGGAUGCGGGCUGACCUAUUCCAUAUAACCGUGUGACCCACACAGUUAUGUGGCAGGCCGUGUCGAUUUCGUAGAUUUUCCCUUUGAAUUGCGAAAAAAAUGCAAUUUUAGGUUUUCCGAGCAUUUUAAUAGUAUAUAUGGAAAAAAAUAAGAAGAUAGGAGAGAACCUUUCUAGAAUAUUUAAGAAAACAAUUCCAAAGACGCCAUUGAAGCCGACUCUGAAACAGAUUUUCAUCAAGAUUGAAGAUUCCCAGUUGAUUUCUUAAGAGAUUAUGAUGAGUUUCUUUAUUUCUUUUGGUUAUACUGCCCUUUGGAUGUUUUUAUUUUUAAGCAUGAACUAAUUUUCUAAAUACCUAAGAGAGAUGAACCUACGAUAGAUUGUGACACCCCAAACCCGAUCGGGAUAGACCGGCCUGAAUUCGAAGCAUUACAUAAGCCACAUAAGUGACUCUCCAGCUAACGACCACCCAAGACACACCCCUACCUCAUAACACCUCAAUCUUAUCUAAUUAUUAGCUAUUUAUUAAUGCAGAAGUAAAUUAUAAGCCAAUUUCAAACUUUUCCUAGGUAAUUUAACCUAAGGGUAAUUUUGUCAUUUUACCACGUAUUGUAAAACUAACUCGAUUAUAGAUCUAAGUGCUUACCAACCUUCUUUUAGUCAAAUUAUGCAACCUUCUUUUAGAUUUAAUAUUUGUUAAUAUCAUCUAUAUAAUCACAUGUUCGAAUUACUAAUGUUCAACAAAGCCAAAUUUCACGUACUUCAUCCAUAUUAAUGUUCGAACCACAUAACCCUGAUAUUAAUGGCAUUUGUAUACUUAAGCCAUAUCCCAACAUAUUUCAUUACAUUUCAUACAUUGAAAAUAUGUCAUCAUAUUUAUUUCAUUAAUUGAAUAUUAAACAUAACAUUUCAUAACUUCUGCACUAGCACCUAAUAAAACCAAUCAAACCAUAAUACAAUAAUAUGAUGCAAUCGCAUAUAUGCGACUUUCGUAACAUUACGACAUAGCCGAACAUGCUAGUGAUGCAUAUACAUGUAUAGUGCGCAAAAACAUUAAUCAACUGAACACAAAUAAUAUUCCCUUGCACACCUAAUUCGCAUGUAUAUAUAGAUUGUUAUACCUAGCUUCAUAUUUUAUCCUAUUAACUAAUCAUUGAAUCGAUCACACCAUGAUAAAGGUCAUAAGCUUACCAAAAUGAACCACAUAUCAAAUCUGAAUUUACAAGCACCCACAUGCGCAUACCUAUAAUAAUACUAAAAUCAACUUGAUACUUUUAACUACCCAUUAAAAGUUAACCAAAACAUGCCUAAUUCAUAAACAUCUUUUAUCAUUUGGAUCCAUACCAAAACAAUCAACCAAAACAAUUAUGAAACAUGUUCAUUUACUAUUUAACAACCGAACUUACAUGACUAAACAUUCAAGCAUAAUAUAUGUAUAUGCUUGUCACCACAACCAAUCAAAUCAACCAAACCACAAUUGAUCAUAAAACAUUUCCAUAAUUUGCCAUCACCAAUCAAAAUAAUGACAUAACCAUUACUUAACCUACGUUUCAUAUACCAUAAACACACUUUCAAAAAUAAGCUAAAUUCAUGGCCGAUUGUAAACCAAUCUUUUCAUCGCCCAAUACCGAAUCAUUUAUCAAAACAUCACAAGUAUAUAUAUAUAUCAUGACUGAAAAUGCAUAUACGUAAGCAUCGUCCCUAGCCAUUUUCGCAUGGCUUUAUAUACAAUUUCAAAAUUAACCAAAACAAAUAAUUGUCUAUACAUGCCAUAGGUUUAUAAUUCAAGCCUUAAAAAUACCGAAAUAAUGGUCGAUAGUGCGGCGAACUUCCUUGACGAUCCCCUAGCUAAUAACUAGCUUUUCUAAAUCUAUAAAACAACGAAUAAACACCCAAAGUAAGCUUGGAAAGCUUAGUAAGUCAUAAGCAAAUAAGGUAUAAUAAAGACGAUAACAACUUAUUUUUAUUUGGCCGAAUAUAACUAAACUCAUACAUAUAUAUACGGCCACCUUUCACAAGUUGUUUCACAUAGUCACAUAAUUGCAUCAAAACUUACCUUUUCAUUCGAAUCUAAUAUAAACAUAAAACAUACCUGAAUUAUUUAAACUGAACUCAUAUUCGAUCUUGCUUAUCUCUUCCUAUUAAAACAUUCGAAAUUAUUAAGGAUAUUUGGAUAGCUCAACAGUUCGUACAAUGCCAUCGUCCCAAAAGUGGACUUACAUGUAAUCAAAUAUCGAUGCCACUACCCCAGAUAGGGUCUUACACGAAGUCAUAUACGAUGCCAAUGUCUCAGACAUGGUCUUAUACGUAAAUCUCAAGUCGAUGCCAAUGUCCUAGACAUGGUCUUACACAAAAUCACAUACCAGAAUCAUAGGGUUUGUAUGGGGCUUUUGGAUGUCGUAAUUCAAUCGAUUCAUGCUUGUAACAAAUCAUUCCAUGCAAAAUUUCAUUCGGCAAUGUAGUUAUACGUACAUACAAUUAAAAUCGGCUAUGUACAAGAUAAAUUCAUACAAUUUAACAUCAUUUAUUUACUUACAAACUUACCUCAAACAAAGACGAACGGACCGAGACGACUAUUCGAUAACUUUUGAUUUCCCUCGUUCUAAAUCCAAUUUCUUCUUUUCUUGACCUAAAUUAAUACAAAUUUGACUCGUUUAAUCAUAUAUUUAUUCAAAUUCAUCCAAAAAUAAAUAAAUGGGAAAAUUACAUUUUAUCGUCUAACAUUCCACAUUUUUCACAAUUUAGUCCCUACUUCACAAAACACAAAAUAUUCAAAAUUUUACCACACCCAAGCUUGGCCAAAUUUCACUAAGGUCCCUAACAACCCAUUUCUUUCAUUUGUUUCACAUUUUGACCCUUAAAUUUUUAAAAUUCACAAUUUAAUCCUAAUUAGGCAUUUUUACUAAAAAUUACUUAAUUAAACUUGACAAUCUAACAACAUAUAUUUAUUUUUCAUCAUCAAACAACAAAAACCACAAGGUAUCAUCAAUGGCAAAUCAUGAAUACAUCAACAAAUUCAAAAAUUCCAACAUGGGCUAGCUAGUAUUCGAAGUAACGAUCUCAAAAACGUAAAAAUUUUCAAAAGUCGAGCUAAACACAUACCUUAAUCAAGCUUGGACAAUGCCGAACCUAGCUUGUUCUUUUUAUUUCUUUUUCUUUUGUAUUUUCGGCAAGAAUGAUUAACAAAUGCAUGGUUUUAUGUUUUUGUUUUAUUUAAUUUCAUUUUAACACCUAAUUUACUAUAUUAACCUUUAUAAAAUAAUAUGAAAACCUUAUAAAUUAAGCCCAAAACUGCCCAUGCUAAAGUUCAAUGGCUAAAUUACAACAUAAGGGCCCUACAUAAUAAAAGCCAUAGCAAUAUAGCACUUUAAAAAUUAGCUAGCCACUUUUGUAUUUUACGCGAUUAAGUCUUUUUUUUUAAAUCGAGUACACAAACGACAAAAUUUUCACACAUAUAAAUUAACAUGCUGUAGACACCAAAAAUAAUAUUGUUACAGACCCAUUUUGCCCCAAGGCCCAUUACAAAGUAAAUACCCAAAGCCCAUCUAAACCUAACGCAGACCCGAAGCCCACUUAGCCCAGGCCCGAUUUUAAAAAACUGAAACCCUAGGCGUCGCCCCUUGACUUUUGGCCUCCUGCCAUCGCCGCCACCGCCGCUGGACGUCCCAUCCGCGUCCAUCACCACCACCCAUCCACUUGCACCGUCACCUGCAAAGAAGAGAAACAAACAAAGGAAAAGACAACACAAACAGUGGCAAAGAUCGGCUAUAAAAGCCAACAAAAUGUAACCUUUCUUUUUUUCGGGUACUCUUUGUAACAAAACAGAGAUUAGCAAAAAGAAAUAAAAUACAAACUAAGUUUUAAGGUGCUUUCGAGUACUCUUCUUCAUUUUUUAUUUUAUUUCUUAUCUUUUUUUGUUUAUUUAUAUAUGUAAAAUAAAGAAAAGGAAAAAGAAAAAAACUCACCUGAUUCAUUUUUUGGUUGCGCCGCCGUUGGGAUCUACCCAUCGUUGAAAUCAGCCUCGAAAGGAUGAGUUAGAGGGUCUCUCCUUUGGAUCUUUCGGCUAAACGAGUCUAGCCUUUAAUUAGGCCUUGGAUCGGGGACUAAAUUGCCCUUUUACGCAACGCCAACCACCACGCAUGAUGGCGCUACAGCGGCACUGUGUGGGCUCAAAGUUCGGGCGUUUGAGAGGGGGAGGAGAAAGGUUUUCUUUUUUUUUUUGAUUUGUUUUUUUUUAAAAAAAGAAGUGAGAUGCUGAAUUUUUUUGAAAGAGUUUGGGUUUAAAUAACCCCCUAAAACGGUGCCGUUUGGGCUUAGGGUUCAGAGACCAAAAAAGGCGUCGUUUUGGUCUCUGACCCGCGCGGUGAACCGACCCGAGGGGAGGAUCCGCGUGUUUCUGACUCUUGGGUUAUUUGUGCAAUUAGUCCCUUUGAUUCUGUAGCGAUUUCAUGGAAGUCUUUCACAUAUUUGCAAUGUGGCCACAAAAUUUUAUUUUUGUCUCAAUUCGGUGCAUUACUACACAGCGUUUUGGGGCUUUGGUUUAUUUACCCUGUUAGUCCCCCCUCUUUCAGCAUGCGUUACGAUUUAGUCCCUCUUGUCCUUUUUUUAUUUUUGAUUUUGCCCCGUAUUUUCGUUUUUAUUUCGAUUUAGUCCAUAUUUUAGCAAUUUUAUUAUUUAGUUAUUAUUAUUAUUAUUAUUAUUAUUAUUAUCUUAACUAUUAUUAUUAUUAUAUUUAUUAACAUUAUUGUUAUUAUUAUGUCUUUUUUUUUUUAUAUUCACUUAUGAAACUUUUAGAUAUAUUUGUUUUAAUAUAUUAUUAUCAUGAUUGUUUUUAUAUACAUAUACGUAUAUAUAUAUUUUUCUAACUUAUUUAAUAUAUAAAUACUCAAUUUUAUAUACAUACCUAUAUAUAUAUGUUUUUAUAUAUUAAAAUAUGUAUAUUAUUUAUAUAUUUUAUUUUAUUUUAUUAUAUUUUAUAAUCCAUAUAUGUAUAUAUUUUCAUCUACAUACAUAUGUUCUUAUGUUUUGUAAUAUUUAUGUAUUCCUUUCUUAAUAUAUAUAUGUACAUAUUUUAACCUUUGUAAACACAUAUACAUAUACACGCAUAUUUUAAUUUAUGUCCAUAUAUAUCUCUUUACAUUUAAUUGUAUUUACUACUUAUUUAUUUCAUUUUCUUUAUUAUUUUGAAUGAAUGUUUUAAUUUAUUUGUUUAUAUACAUUGUUAUUUUAUACGAUUGUAGGUAUGACUUUUAUUUAUUUUAUAUUGUUGCUAUUACUCGUAUCAUUUUUAUACUUUUGUGUGUGUAUUAUGAUUUUACCACGCAUAACAACAAUGUAAUUUGUUUUCACAUUUUACUACGAUUUUCGUGUUUUAUUUUACUCGAUAUAACAAAAAUUAGUUUUAAAAAAAUAAUAAAAUAAAAUUUCGUGUUUAGAUUCGAGAGGAUCAUACCCUAACUUACUGGGUUUCGAUUUUCAUAAUAAAUCUAAAUAUACGAAUCUUUUCAAACUCAAGUUUUUAAACGAUCUCGGGAAUUAAGAAAAGAUCGUGUCCUAACUUACUGGGCAUGAUUCAUUUUUUAAACCCGAGAUAAUAAAAUAUCUUUUAAAUGAGUAAAUUUUCAGCAUUCGUUCGCGUAUCGGGAAUUUGAGAUAUUGUGUCCUAACUUACUGGAUGUGAUUCUCUUUCUUGAUUAACGUGAAAUAUGCCCAUUUUCCCAAAAUUUUUAACAUUUUAAUACAAGGAUCGUAUUUUUAAAAUUCUUUAAAGUUUUCAAUUUUCGAUAUCAAGACAUUAGCUAAUCAACUAGGUACCAAUUUCUGGGCGUUACGAGGGUGCUAAUCCUUCCUCGUACUUAACCGACUCCCGAACCCGAUUUCUGAAUUUCGUGGGCCAAAAUUGUUGUUUUAAUAAAAUCAAACCGUUUAUUAAAAACCACUUUUCGAGGUGAUCCAAUCACACCUCAUAAAAAGGGAUUGGUGGCGACUCCCCUUUCAUUUUUUCAAAACCCAAGUCAACCCCGUUUUUCAUCAAAAAAAUGGUGUCAACAGCUUGGCGACUCCGCUGGGGACAUCGAAUAAGUGAGUCGAGCCACGAUGUGAUUAUUUUUUGUCUUUUUUUCAAAAAUUAAAAACUUGGUUUAAAGUUACGAUCCUUGCACUGCACUUCAUUCAUCCUUAUUACGAUUUUCAUCGUUGUGGUUUAUGAUUGUUAUGUUUCGGUAUCUUUUUGCAUUGCAUUGCAUGAUCGUUGGUCACACCGUUUUAAGUGGGAGUGAGAAACUACGCCUUCGUGAGGUUUUCACCUCCGCAUAGGAUAGUGAAUCGCUUUCGGGAUACAUCUGUACCUAUGUCUUUGUGAGGUUUUCAUCUCCGUAUGGCCAUAGGGAAAUGUAUUCCCCUGAACUGAACUCGAUCAAUAUGAGCCUAUAAUGGGUGAGGAUCGAGGAAUCUGCCGGUUUGGGUACCUUUACUCUAGAACUAAACCACAUAUAGUGAGCCAUAGGAACCGACCUAGAUGGAACUACGCCAAACCUUAAGUGCUUACCCAAAUGGCUGCUUUAUUUAUUGUCAUUUACUCUAGAUCUUGUUCUGUGUUUAAUACUGAUUUGUUUGUUUCUGAUUGCAUGGCAUUUUCAUUCUAAAAGAGCUGUUGAUUCACGUUCAGUAUCUAGAUAGAAAGCUUAUCAUGGAAAAGGGGUUUUUUGAUAAAGUAGAAGAUAAUGCGGCUGUGUGAAUAUGGGCUAAGACGAUGCAACGGGAGAAAGGAUAUAGUCUUACCGAGGGGCAUAUGUCAGAAUUGUGGGAUUUCACCCGUAUUAGUGUAAUCUAGAAUGAUCUUCGAGAAAUGAAAGAAAUUUGGGAUCAAUGGGAUAACAAGACCAAACAGUUGUUCUAUUGUAACUACGGUGACCUACCUUAUCUGCUCAGUAUCAAAGUGGACAAGUAUUUAUUUCGAGCCCUUGCUCAAUUUUAGAAUCCUGCCUACAGUUGUUUCACCUUUGGAAAAGUGGACUUGACGCCUACUGUGGAGGAGUAUAUGACCUUGCUUCGGUGCCUAAAGAUUCAAGUCGACAAGGCUUAUUCUAGAGCUGCUGGUGCCCUUCCGUUGUUAAAGAAAUUAAUAAACAUCACUGGGAUGAGCGAGCGGUGGGUUGCUGCCCGAAUCCAGCAGAAAGGCGAUAGUAAAUGCGUUCCUUGGAAAAGCUUGCGAGAUUUGGUGCUAGUACAUCCUGAUAUAAAGAAAAGGGUCGAUGUCUUCGCUUUAGGUAUCUAUGGAUUAGUGGUCUUCCCCAAAGCAUUAGGACACAUAGACGAGGCUGUUUCUGAUUUAUUUGAUCGGCUCAGAAAAGGGGUUACUCCCGUUCCAGCAAUACUGGCUGAAACUUUCAGAUCCUUGAAUGCGUGUCGGAGAGCAGGUGAAGGAAGGUUUAUAGGGUGCGCGCAGCUCUUAUUGGCAUGGUUUCAUAGUCAUUUCUGGAAAGUGGAAAAAGUCUCUUAUCAGGUAUUCUCUGGUAGCUAUUCCCCUUUAGAAGAAUUAGUAGCUACGCCAAGGCGAGAUGAUGUUUCAGAGGAAAAAUGGAUGGCGAUACUCCAGAAUCUUCAAGAUGAAGAUGUUGAAUGGAGGGCUCCUUCGUUGAUUUCUGAUGAGAUUUUAUACCGGUGCGGGGAUUUUGACUGGGUUCCUCUGCUCGGAAUAUGGGGAGCUAUCGGAUAUGCUCCUCUACUCGUAUCAAGAUAGUUUAGAUCACGACAAUUCAUACCAGCAAUGCAAGGGUUGCCCAUUGUGAAUUUUCCUAUAAGGAGGACAAUUACAAGAAAAGGGUUCGAGAAAUGUCAAAUGCCUGAAACUAAACUCGCCGAAUGAAGAUCUUAGCUAUAGGUCCGGCAAUGACCCCCGAAUACAGUCAAUGGCAUGAUCAAAGGGUCAACGACAAUAUCCCGGUGUCAAAUCCAGAAACUGCUCGAUCUUUAGAGGAACACCUACAAGUAUUGCCCUCUGAGGUAGAAAUUAUCAAAAAAGAAUUUGAAAAAAGGAGCUUAGAGUUAGGGAAGAAAAUAGAGCAACUAGAGGAAGAAAAAAUGCAAUUAGGAUUGGAUGUGGACAUUCAAUAAUUAGAGGCUGACAAAUUGAGAAAAGGAAAGAACAAGGCAGAAGAAGAUUUAGACAGCCUGAAGAUGGACUACAAGAAGUUGCGUAGGUCAAUAAGAACUGCUGGCUUGGGUAAAACGUCAGAACAAUAGCGACAGGAAAUUCAGGAGGAAAAGAUGAAAACUAAUCAAUAGGAAAAGAUAUUUCAGGAUACUCGAGCUCGAGAAGUUGCUCUGGAAAAGAGUCUACUAGCCUGCCAAAACGAGAAGACAGAGCUGAAAGAUCGAGUAACUGAGCUAGAAAGGUCACUUCACCAGCAUCGUAGUCGUAAUUCUGCGGUUGAAUUAAAGGCAAGCUUGAACAAAAUUGAAGACUGAAAGGGACAAGUAGGGGAGCUCGAGGAUGCAUUGUAAAACAGCGAACUCCGAAUAGAGCUUCUGGAAAGAAAUAAUGAGCAGUGGCAAGGGCAAUUCCAUCGGUCUCAAGACCAUAUUAGAGAAAGAGAUUAUAUUAUGGGUGAGGCGGUGGCUCAAGUACACGAAGUAGCCGAGCACCUACAGACUCUAGCAGUCCAAGCAGAUGUGUUGAGUUUGAAGUAUGAGUCAGAAUCGAACCGGGGCUGAGACUUAGCUUGGCUUCUUAGGAAGGUUAAGGAUUUGGGUAUAAGGGCAAAGCCGUAUAUGUAAUCUAUUUUAUGUAAAGAAACUUCUUCUCUAGUAAAGUUUUCUAAUGAAGUUGAAUUAGAAUCUGUGCCUCUUUUUUUACAUUUAUUUCAUGCAUUGCAUCACAUCAUAUGCAUUAAUAACCAUUAAUGAACCUUAAUUGAAUAAAAUUAUUUCAGUUAACCUGGAAAAUCGACACUGUUACGGCACCCGUGCUAAGUCAAAAAUUAUGGAUCAAAGGUUGGAAAAGCUAGAGCGACUUCAAAAGGAAACGCAAGACCAGUUGCAGGCGCAAAUGAAAGAACAUAUGGAAAAGAUCUAGCAGGACAUGGUACAAAAGAUGAAGGAGUCUCAAGAUGACUUAAUGACUAAGUUGACGCAAUUAAUAACCAAAGGAGUAGAUAAAGGGAAAGGUCAUGUGAUUUACGAUGAAGAAGAAAACAAUGAUGAACCACUUUUUCCUCCAGGUUUUACGCUUCCGCAUGCGCAAGUUCAGACUGAACCACAUCCAUGGAGACCUUCUGUUUCGAUUAGACCUCAGCAUUUUCAAGGUGAUGUUUUAAUUCCAAAGAACCUUCAGGUCGGAUCUGGCUCUAAUCUUGGUGAUAAUCUAAUUAAUUUUGCUAUCCUGAAUUUUGAUGAAGUAGUUGAGAAGGACAAGGUGAAGGAAGAGUUUCCAAAGCAAUUUGAGGAGAAAUGGAAAUGGAUUGAAGAGAUGUUUAGGGCAAUAGAAAGCAUUGACAGCUAUCAUGGAAUAGAUGCAAAAGAUCUGAGCUUGGUUCCGGAUUUGGUGCUUCCUUACAAAUUUAAGAUGCCAAAAUUCGAGAAAUAUAAUGGGACCAGUUGUCCAGAAGCCCAUAUCACUAUGUUCUGUAGGAGAAUGACGGGGUAUAUUAAUAAUGAUCAAUUAUUAAUACACUGCUUUCAGGAUAGCCUUACAUGAGCGGCGUUAAAAUGGUACAAUCAGCUAAGCCAAACCAAAAUUGCUACUUGGAGAGAUUUGGCACAGGCAUUCAUGAAACAGUACAAUCAUGUCUCAGAAAUGAUGCCUGACAGGAUAACUCUGCAGAAUUUGGAGAAGAAAUCGAACGAAAGCUUCAGACAGUAUGCGUAGAGGUGGAGAGAAGUGGCGGUUCAGGUGCAACCACCGCUUUUGGAAAAAGAAAUGACGACGCUUUUUAUUAAAACAUUGAAAGCCCCGUUCAUCACUCACAUGUUGGGAAGUGCUUCAAAGAAUUUCUCAGAUAUAAUCAUGAACGGCGAAAUGAUCGAGCAUGCUAUUAAAAGUGGAAGAAUAGAUGGAGGGGAAAACAAUAGAAGGACAGCCCCGAGGAAAAGAGAAAAUGAAGUGAAUAAUGUGAAUGCCUACAGUAAGUCAAUUACCGUGAAUCAACCAAGGAAAGUGGUUGCUAAUCAGUAGGGCUCAUCGAAGCAAGAGUCGAGAAUGAGGCAAAAUACUGAGAAGCCUCAGUUCACACCCAUUCCAAUGACAUAUAAGGAGCUGUACCAGAAUUUAUUUAAUGCACAUGUUGUCGCUCCUCGUUACUUGAGUCCUCUACAACCCCCGUAUCCAAAAUGGUAUGACACGAACGCGCAAUGUGACUAUCAUGCUGGAAUUUCAGAACACUCAAUAGAAAAUUAUACUGCUUUCAAGAAGGUAGUGGAAGGACUUAUCAAAUUGGGUGUUGUUAAAUUUAGUGACUCACCCAACACAGAAAGUCCAUUGCCCAAUCAUGAUGAUAAGGGAGUGAAUAUGUUGAGCGAAUGUACGGGGAAAGGAGUCAAGACUGACAUUGCUGAAGUAAAAACUCCAUUGAAACGGGUCUGGAAAGAGAUGGCAAAAAGGGGGUUAGUUAUUUCAGAUUUUGAGGAAGGGUAUGAGAUGGGAAACUAUUAUGAAUUCCACGGUAAAACAGGGCACGAAAUCCAAAAAUGUGAAGGAUUCAGGGCUCUGGUUCAAAGUAUGAUGGAUAACAAGAAGAUGAGGUUCUAUGAAGAUACGGAAGAAAGGAAGAGCAUAUGUGUGACAGAAUCAGGAAUAGGGACUCUGAAAAUAAAUCCCUCUGUGGUCAUUAUCUCACACCCUAAGAGUAAUGAGGAUAGGCCUCAGGUAACACCAAAAAUUGUAAUCCAGAAACCAUCAAUUUUCUCAUAUAAGGAUAGCAAAAAGGUUCCGUGGAAUUAUGGGUGCAAUGUGACUAUCUUGGGAAGAGAAGCGGAAAGAAAUCAGGAAAUAGGAUCUUACACGAGCAAUGGGAAACGAUAUGACGCUCAAGCAGAAUCGUCAAGGGAAGAGAAUUUGAAGAAAGAGCAGAGGAAAGGGAAAAUAGUACAAGUUGAACCAUUGGUUAAUGAACCAUUAAAAGAAGAGGAGGCGGGGGAGUUUUUGAAGUUUUUGAAACACAGUGACUAUAGUGUUGUGGAGCAACUACACAAACAGCCCGCCCGCAUUUCUGUAUUAGCUCUACUCCUAAGCUCAGAAGCACAUCGGAAUGCAUUUUUGAAAGUACUAAAUGAAACAUAUGUGGCCAAUGAUGUUUCGGUAAACCAGGUGGAUCAGUUGGUCAAAAAUAUAGGUGCUGACAAUUUUAUUUUCUUCAAUGAUGAUGAAAUACCAUCUGGAGGAAGGGGUUCUACUAAAGCCCUGCAUGUUACUGUCCAAUGCAAAGGGUACACACUCCCGAGGGCCUUGGUUGAUAAUGGAUCUGCAUUGAAUGUAUUACCUUUAUCCACUCUUGGUCAGUUACCGACGGACAGUUCGCACAUGAAAGCAUGCCAGAGCAUAGUAAGGGCAUUUGAUGGAACGAAAAAGAGAGUUAUGGGAAGAAUUGAGGUACCGUUAAGGAUUGGCCCAAUUACUUAUGAGGUGGAUCUCUUGGUAAUGGAUAUUAAGCCUUCCUACAACUGUUUAUUGGGAAGGUCAUGGAUACACUCAGCCGGGGCAGUACCUUCAUCAUUACAUCAAAAGGUGAAGUUAGUGUCGGAGGGUCAGUUGGUAACAAUAGAUGCGAAGGAAGAUAUUAUCGCAACGGUAACUAGUGAUGCAUCUUAUGUGGAAAUUAGCGAUGAGGCACUGGAAUGUUCUUUUUGGUCAUUAGAAUUUGUGAAUGUGAUGUUUAUUGCUGAAGGAAGUAAAAUUUCGGUACCGAAAAUAUCCAGGACCACGGAAAUGGGGUUGCGAUUGAUGAUGGGAAGAGGAGCUUCACCAGGGAAAGGAUUGGGAAAAUAUCUUCAAGGAAAGAUUGAAGUACCGAUGCUGAGGGAAAAGUUUGAUAGUUUUGGCUUAGGAUACAAGCCAGACAUGAGGCAGAAGAAGAAAGAAGCACAGAAAAGACAAGAGAAAAGAAGGGCACGUUUGAAUGGAUAUGAAGCUAAGUGGGAACCUUUGACCUUUCCCUACUUAUCUGUAUCUUUUGUGUCGGGCGAAUUUAUUCAUCCUGAGCGUGGAAUGUCUAGUAACAAGGGUAUUGAAUAAAUGAGGGAAAACGUUCAUAUCAACACUAUAACGGAGGAAAGGGCUUUGUUGGAGAUCUGCCCUUACGAACCUGGGAGCGAGCUAAACAAUUGGACUGCGGAAGAAAUCCCUAUAGUCUUUCGGGCUUAUUCAGAGUAAUGCCCAGAACAUUCCUGUUGUUUUUGUCUAGAAAUGAUAUGAAAUCUUUUGUGAAAGAGGCUUGAGCCUAAAAUAUCAUUAUCCUAAUGAAAUAUACAUUUACAUUCAUUUUGAGCAAUCAUUCUUUUUUCUUUUCAUACAAGUAAAUAUCUUCCAUUUGAUUAAUUGUCUUCCAAAUAAUUUUUUCAUUUGUAACCUUAUUGUACAAAUAAUUAUUCAUAAAAUUUAUAUAUUCUUUGAUGCAUUCCAUCAUAGGUCCUCAGAUAUCAAUGACAUGAGUGAUGUUGCUUCAAACACGAAGUUUAUUUUUGAGCAAGAAAUGUGUUUGGAGGGAUCUCACGACUUUGAAAAUGAUGAAGACAAUGGUGUAUCCCCGGACUUGUUGAGGAUGGUGGAACAAGAGGACAAAUAGAUCCUACCUUAUAAGGAAUCUUUGGAAAUCGUGAGCCUAGAGGAAGGAAAAGAAGUGAAAAUUGGAACUGAAAUCACCGCAAAGACAAAACAGGACCUCAUUAAAUUGCUCCGAGAGUUCAAAGAUGUUUUUGCAUGGUCAUACCAAGAUAUGUCCGGGCUAAGCACUAGCAUUGUGGUACAUCGUCUGCCCAUAAAAGAGGAUUGUAAACCCGUUCAGCAGAAACGCAGGAGAAUGAGACCUGACAUUGUGUUGAAGAUAAAAGAAGAAGUUAAAAGGUAGUUCGACGCGGGAUUCUUACGAGAAAUCAAAUAUUCAGAUUGGGUAGCAAACAUCGUCCCCGUUCCCAAGAAGGAUGGAAAGGUGCGAAUGUGUGUGGAUUAUAGAGACUUGAACAAGGCUAGUCCAAAGGACAAUUUUCCACUACCUCACAUUGAUACUUUGGUAGAUAACACGGCAGACUACUUAUUAUUUUCUUUCAUGGAUGGCUUCUCUGGAUACAAUCAAAUAAAGAUACAUCCCGAAGACAUGAGGAAAACCACAUUCAUUACCUUAUAGGAAACAUUUUGUUAUAAGGUAAUGCCCUUUGGAUUGAAGAAUGCGGGACCAACAUAUCAAAGAGCUAUGGUGACUUUGUUUCAUGACAUGAUACAUAAGGAGAUCGAAGUCUAUGUUGAUGAUAUGAUUGCAAAGUUGAGAACUAAAGAAGAGCAUGUUCAAGUCUUAAAAAAGUUAUUUUUGAGAUUAAGGAAAUUUCAGCUCAAGCUUAACCCGGUAAAAUGCACGUUUGGAGCCAGAUCAGGGAAGUUAUUAGGCUUCAUAGUUAGCAGAAAUGGGAUUGAAGUUGACCCAGACAAAGUAAAAGCAAUACAAGAUUUGCCUCCCCUGCGCACUCAGAAGGAAGUUCGAGGUUUCCUUGGGAGAUUGAAUUAUAUUGCUCGGUUCAUCUCACAACUAACAGAGAAAUGUGAUCCAGUAUUUCAUCUUUUGAAGAAGCAUAAUCCGGGUGAAUGGAACGAUGGAUGUCAGAGGGCUUUUGACAAGAUAAAGCAAUACUUGGCUAAUACUCCAAUACUAUCGCCGCCAAGUCUGGAUAAGCCAUUGAUACUGUAUCUAACGGUGUUUGAGAAUUCCAUGGGAUGGGUAUUGGGCCAACAUGAUGAGACGGGAAAGAAAGAAAGGGCAAUAUACUAUCUCAGCAAGAAAAUUACUGAUUGCAAAAUGAGAUACUCGCCAAUUGAGAAGUUGUGUUGUGCUUUAAUCUGGGCAACCCGGAGACUAAGGCAGUAUAUGUUAUAUCACACAACUGGGCUGAUUUCAAAACUGGAUCCUUUAAAGUAUAUGAUGGAAUCAACUGCUUUAAAUGGGAGAAUAGCUAGAUGGCAGAUUCUGCUAUCUGAGUUUGACAUAGUAUAUGUAACUCAGAAGGCCGUAAAGGGCAGUGCGAUAGCUCACUUCUUAGUUAGUAGAGCUUUGGAGGAUUAUGAGUCUUUGGACUUCGAUUUCCCAAAUGAAGACCUGAUGUAUUUGGCAAACACUAAAGAAAAUCCUCAAAUAGAUCACGUAUGGAGGUUAAAUUUUGAUGGAGCUUCAAACUCUACGGGUAAUGGAAUCGGGGCAGUCUUGGUAUCCCCAAAUGGAGAUCAUUAUCCUGUUGCUAGCAAGUUGGACUUCGAUUGCACAAAUAAUAUGGCAGAAUAUGAAGCAUGUACUAUGGGCAUUCGCCCAGCCAUUGAGCGGAACAUCAAAGUGUUAAGAGUAUUUGGGGAUUCUGCAUUGGUGAUAUACCAACUCAAAGGGGAAUGGGAGACUAGAGACCCUAAGUUAAUCGGUUAUAGAAAACUGGUCCUCGAUUUAGCUGAUGAGUUUGACGAUAUCACCUUCUGUUAUCUCCCACGAGAGGAAAAUCAGAUGGCUGAUGCAUUGGCUACUCUAGCUUCAAUGUUUCAGGUGAACAGACUUGAGGCAAUAAGGCCUAUUCAGAUGAGUAUCUAUGAGACCCCAGCUCAUUGCUACAAUAUUGAGUAGGAGGGAAGAGAUGAUUGUCCUUAGUAUCAGAGUAUCCUACAGUAUGUGAAGAAUCGGGAGUACCCUAAUCGAGCAACAGAGAAUGACAAAAGAACUCUGAGAAGAAUGGCCAUUGAAUAUGUCUUAGAUGGGGAAGUAUUAUACAAAAGAAGGAAGGAUCAAGUACUGUUAAGAUGUGUGGAUGCCGUGGAAGCCAAGAAAAUUUUGGAGGAAGUCCAUGAAGGUAUUUGUGGGACGCACGCCAAUGGUUUCACGAUGGCUAGACAGAUCAUGAGAUUUGGGUACUAUUGGCCCACCAUGGAAGGAGAUUGCCUUGAUUAUGCCAAGAAGUGCCACAAAUGCCAAAUUUAUGGAGACAAAAUACAUGCGCCUCCUUCACCUUUUCACGUCAUGGCCUCUCCUUGGUCUUUUUCCAUGUGGGGUAUGGAUGUUAUUGGGCCGAUAUCACCAAAGGCCUCUAAUGGGCAUCGCUUCAUCUUCGUGGUUAUUGAUUAUUUUACCAAGUGGGUGGAAGCUGCUUCAUACGCAAACGUCACGAAAUCAACAGUCAGCAAAUUCUUAAAAAAGGAGAUCAUUUCUCGAUAUGGAAUGCCUGAGAAAAUCAUAUCCGACAAUACGUUGAAUUUGAACAAUAGCACAAUAGCUGAGGUUUGCAGCCAAUUUAAAAUCAAACAUCAUAAUUCAUCGCCGUAUCGUCCAAAAAUGAAUGGUACAGUUGAGGCGGCCAAUAAGAACAUUAAAAGGAUUGUGAGGAAAAUGACUGAAACUUACAAAGAUUGGCAUGAGAAGUUAUCAUUUGCUCUCCUUGCCUAUCGAACAUCUGUUAGAACUUCUACAGGGGCAACACCUGUUUCUCUAGUCUAUGGAAUGGAUUCAGUAUUACCCAUUGAAGUUGAGAUCCCUUCUCUACAGGUGUUAUCUGAACUACGGUUGGACGAGGCUGAAUGGGUCCAAUCUCAGUACGAUCAGUUGAACCUAAUAGAAGAAAAGAGGUUAAGAGCUAUUCACCAUGGGCGAAUGUACCAGAAACGAAUGAUGCGAGCCUAUAAUAAAAAGGUCCGCCUCAGAGAAUUUCGUGAAAGGGACUUGGUGCUAAAAAAGAUUCUUCCUAUGCAAAAGGAUUUGAGAGGAAAAUGGAUGCCAAAUUGGGAGGGUCCUUAUGUUGUAAAGAAGGCCUUUUCUGGUGGAGCUCUGAUUCUAAGUGAGAUGGAUGGUAAAAAUAUGCCAAACUCUGUAAACGCAGAUUCCAUCAAGAAAUACUUCACUUGAGGGAAAAUGAACCAAAAUGAAAACUCGCAAAGGGCGCUUUGCUUCCCUAAAAAAACUUUGGAGAGGCUAAGAGGAAAACCCGUAAAGGGCAUCUUAGACCAAAGGGGGCUUGAGUCGAAAACCCAAAAAAAGACGGCUCAAGUAUUGAUCAAAUUAGGGCAUGAGAUGAUUUGAGCGGGCCGAAUUUUAAUUGGGGCAUAUGAUGAUCUUGCUUUACUUGAACCAACAAGAAAGGGUACGUGACAUCUUGAAGCAUUGACCGAGUACUGCGGAUCUCCUAAACACAUAUCAAAAUCAGAAAGGCCUUCAGGAAGUUUGAACAAAGAAAUUCAAGCUGCGAUAACUGGGGCACUUAGUUCUUAUUAUUGAUUGUGUUAUCCUUGAAAAUACCUUUUAUUCUUGUUAAGAUACACAUUCUUAAUCAACUUUUUGUUAUUCUUCUUCCGCUAUCUUUGAUAUUUUUCUUUCGAGUUAUGAUCGGAGCCAGCUUUGUUCUUAUUCAUUGUUGUGACCUUUUUGCAAACAUGUUCCAUUGGAGUAAUGAUUAAUGGAUUAAUAAAACUUUCACAAAAGAAGUUUUGCAUAUUACUCUGAAAAGUUCUAAAUAAUAUAGGAACCUGAAACAGGACUAUUGUUUAGAACAUACCAAGUUUAAAGGUUGGAAAUUUGAGAAGGAAUAGUUUAAAUUUAGACUUUCUCUUUGGAUUUUUGUUGUCAAAAGCAUUGAUUGAACAAAAUGACAAAGAUGUCAUAUUAACGAUAAGGUUUCAAUAAAAGAGCAGGCAAUGAUCAUCAGGCAAUAGGAAGAGGUUGCCUCGGAGAGUAGAGCCUUCAUUUGCACAUGAGUCUUUGGUACGACACCUUGGGAAUGGUGUAAGGAACCAGAACGAUUCAGAUCUUGUACCCUUGAAUUGUGAUAGGAAAGGAUUGAGAACAGCCACAUAUUUAUUGGAUUACAAUGGGGGGUAACUUAGCUAAAUGUUUCUUUAGAAAAGUUAAUCAAACAAGAAAGUACUAUAACACAUCAGUCACAAAGCCUUAAUAAACUUCGAGUAACGAUAACCUAAGCGAGAUCAUUCAUGAAAAAUAAAAUUCUGCAUCCAUGCAAACACCAUUCACACAUGUCUAGUUAGGAGCAUUUGAUUCAUUUUGAUCAUGCCAUCUUAAUCAUUAGGCAUAAUUAGGUUCAUUAUACAGGUCUUAUUUCCCUGAGAUUAUGGUGGAACAGACCGAAGAAUUUCAAAUCUUAUCUCCCUGAGAUUACAGCGGAGCAGAUUGAAGCUAGUAAUCCUAUCUCCUUGAGAUUACAGUGGAGUGGAUUAAAAUAAAGGAUCUUAUCUCUCUGAAGUUACAGUAGAGUAGAUCGUAUCAGGUCCUAUCUCCCUGAGAUUACAGCGGAGCAGAUUGAAGCUAGUAAUCCUAUCUUCCUGAGAUUACAGUGGAGCGGAUUAAAAUAAAGGAUCUUAUCUCUCUGAAGUUACAGUAGAGUAGAUCAUAUCAGGUCUUAUCUCCCUGAGAUUACAGCGGAGCAGAUUGAAGCUAGUAAUCCUAUUUCCCUGAGAUUACAGUGGAACAGAUUAAAAUAAAGGAUCUUAUCUCUCUGAAGUUACAGUAGAGUAGAUCGUAUCAGGUCUUAUCUCCCUGAGAUUACAGCGGAGCAGAUUGAAGCUAGUAAUCCUAUCUCCCUGAGAAUACAGUAGAGCAGAUUAAAAUAAAGGAUCUUAUCUGUCUGAAGUUACAGUACAGUAGAUCGUAUCAAGUCUUAUCUCUCUGAGAUUACAGCGGAGCAGAUUGAAGCUAGUAAUCCUAUCUCCCUGAGAUUACAGUGGAGCGGAUUAAAAUAAAGGAUCUUAUCUCUCUGAAGUUACAGUAGAGUAGAUCGUAUCAGGUCUUAUUUCCCUGAGAUUACAGCGGAGCAGAUUGAAGCUAGUAAUCCUAUUUCCCUGAGAUUACAGUGGAACAGAUUAAAAUAAAGGAUCUUAUCUCUCUGAAGUUACAGUAGAGUAGAUCGUAUCAGGUCUUAUCUCCCUGAGAUUACAGCGGAGCAGAUUGAAGCUAGUAAUCCUAUCUCCCUGAGAUUACAGUAGAGCAGAUUAAAAUAAAGGAUCUUAUCUCUCUGAAUUUACAGUAGAGUAGAUCGUAUCAAGUCUUAUCUCUCUGAGAUUACAGCAGAGCAGAUUGAAGCUAGUAAUCCUAUCUCCCUGAGAUUACAGUGGAGCGGAUUAAAAUAAAGGAUCUUAUCUCUCUGAAGUUACAGUAGAGUAGAUCGCAUCAGGUCUUAUCUCCCUGAGAUUACAGUGGAACAGACCGAGGAAUUUCAGAUUUUAUCUCCCUAACGUUGCAGUGGAGCAGACUAAAACCAUAAACUUCGUCCCCCUGAAGUUGCUACGAAGAAGAUCGAAGCUACAAGUCAGAUCUUUCUGAAGUGCAGUGGAGUAGAUCGACGCAACAAGACAUAGUGGAUUGAAAUAAACCUAUUUGAAGAAGGGAAGCGUCAAAAGAAGUCGAAAUCCGGCGAAACCAGGCAAAAUUGGUCUUUCUUGGUCUUUGCUCUGUUCUCGUUACACAACAACGAGCAAAGAGGGGCAGCUGUUACAGACCCAUUUUGCCCCAAGGCCCAUUACAAAGUAAAAACCCAAAGCCCACCUAAACCUAACCCAGACCCGAGACCCACUUAUCCCAGGCCUGAUUUCAAAAAAGCCCCUUGACUUUUGGCCUCCUGCCAUCGCCGCCACCGCCACUAAACGUCCCAUCCGCGUCCAUCACCACCACCCAUCCACUUGCGCCGUCACCUGCAAAGAAGAGAAACAAACAAAGGAAAAGAUAACACAAACAGUGGCAAAGAUCGGCUAUAAAAGCCAACAAAAUGUAACCUUUCUUUUCUUCGGGUACUCUUUGUAACAAAAGAGAGAUUAGCAAAAAGAAAUAAAAUACAAACUAAGUUUUAAGGUGAUUUCGAGUACUCUUCUUCGUUUUUCAUUUUAUUUCUUAUCUUUUUUUUGUUUAUUUAUAUAUGUAAAAUAAAGAAAAGUAAAAGGAAAAAAAAACUCACCUGAUUCGUUUUUCGGUUGCGUCGCCGUUGGGAUCUACCCAUCGUUGAAAUCGGCCUCGAAAGGCUGAGUUAAGGGGUCUCUCCUUUGGAUCUUUCGGCUAAAUGAGUCUAGCCUUCAAUUAGGCCUAGGAUCGGGGACUAAAUAGCCCUUUUGCGCAACGCCGACCACCACGCAUGGUGGCGCUACGGCGGCGCUGUGUGGGCUCAAAGUUCGGGCGUUUGAGAGGGGGAGGAGAAAGGUUUUCUUUUUUUUGUUUUGUUUUUUUAAAAGAAAAGAAGUGAGAUGGUGAAUAUUUUUUGAAAGAGUUUGGGUUUAAAUAACCCCCUAAAACGGCGCCGUUUGGGCUUAGGGUUCAGAGACCAAAAACGGCGUCGUUUUGGUCUCUGACCCGCGCGGUGACCCGACCCGAGGGAAGGAUCCGCGUGUUUUUGACUCUUGGGUUAUUUGCGCAAUUAGUCCCUUUGAUUCUGUAGCGAUUUCAUGGAAGUUUUUCGCAUAUUUGCAAUUUGGCCACAAAAUUUUAUUUUUGUCUCAAUUCGGUCCAUUACUGCGCAGCGUUUUGGGGCUUUGGUUUAUUUACGCUGUUAGUCCCCCUCUUUCAGCACGCGUUACGAUUUAGUCCUUCUUGUCCUUUUUUAUUUUUUAUUUUGCCCCGUAUUUUCGCUUUUAUUUCGAUUUAGUCCAUAUUUUAGCAAUUUUAUUAUUUAGUUAUUAUUAUUAUUAUUAUCUUAACUAUUAUUAUUAUUAUAUUUAUUAACAUUAUUGUUAUUAUUAUGCCCUUUUUUUUAUAUUCACUUAUGAAACUUUUAGAUAUAUUUGUUUUAAUAUAUUAUUAUCAUGAUUGUUUUUAUAUACAUAUACGUAUAUAUAUAUUUUUCUCACUUAUUUAAUAUAUAAAUACUCAAUUUUAUAUACAUACCUAUAUAUAUAUAUAUAUGUUUUUAUAUAUUAAAAUAUGUAUAUUAUUUAUAUAUUUUAUUUUAUUUUGUUAUAUUUUAUAAUCCAUAUAUGUAUAUAUUUUCAUCUACAUACAUAUGUUCUUAUGUUUUGUAAUAUUUAUGUAUUCCUUUCUUAAUAUAUAUAUGUACAUAUUUUAACCUUUGUAAACACAUAUACAUAUACACGCAUAUUUUAAUUUAUGUCCAUAUAUAUCUCUUUACAUUUAAUUGUAUUUACUACUUAUUUAUUUCAUUUUCUUUAUUAUUUUGAAUGAAUGUUUUAAUUUAUUUGUUUAUAUACAUUGUUAUUUUAUACGAUUGUAGGUAUGACUUUUAUUUAUUUUAUAUUGUUGCUAUUACUCGUAUCAUUUUUAUACUUUUGUGUGUGUAUUAUGAUUUUACCACGCAUAACAACAAUGUAAUUUGCUUUCACAUUUUACUACGAUUUUCGUGUUUUAUUUUACUUGAUAUAACAAAAAUUAGUUUUAAAAAAAUAAUAAAAUAAAAUUUCAUGUUUAGAUUCGAGAGGAUCGUACCCUAACUUACUAGGUUUCGAUUUUCAUAAUAAAUUUAAAUAUACGAAUCUUUUCAAACUCAAGUUUUUAAACGAUCUUGGGAAUUAAGAAAAGAUCGUGUCCUAACAUACUGGGCAUGAUUCAUUUUUUUAAACCCGAGAUAAUAAAAUAUCUUUUAAAUGAGUAAAUUUUCAGCAUUCGUUCGUGUAUCGGGAAUUUGAGAUAUUGUGUCCUAACUUACUGGAUGUGAUUCUCUUUCUCGAUUAACGUGAAAUAUGCCCAUUUUCCCAAAAUUUUUAACAUUUUAAUACAAGGAUCGUAUUUUUAAUUAGGUACCAAUUUCUGGGCAUUACGAGGGUGCUAAUCCUUCCUCGUACGUAACCGACUGCCGAACCUGAUUUCUGAAUUUCGUGGACCAAAAUCGUUGUUUUAAUAAAAUCAAAUCGUUUAUUAAAACCACUUUUCGAGGUGAUCCAAUCGCACCUCAUAAAAAAGGGAUUGGUGGCGACUCCCCUUUCAUUUUUUUGAAACCCAAGUCGACCCCGUUUUUCAUCAAAAAAAUGGUGUCAACAAAUAUUAAAAUAUUUUUCUGACUCAGAUUUGUAGUCCCAAAACCACUGUCCGACUAGGGUCUAAACCGGGCUGUUACAAAAUUAAUUUUAAAAUCAGUUAAAAUGGAUUAAGGUAAUUAAUUAUUGAGUAAUGAAAUACAUAAUCAAAUCAAUUGAUUUUGCUAGAAACUAAAAGAAAAAGGGAUAAGCUAAAAACUGAUUGCCCUUUAUUAAAAUUAACGAAUCCGCCUUUUACAUAUUAGAUAAUAUGAACAUCGCAUAUAUAAUAAGAAAAAUUACGUACGAUUAUUUAUUAUCAUAAAAGGUUAGUUUAAAUUUAAAGUAAUCUAAUAUGUUUAUUGAACUUCAACUAUUAAAUAAAGUAUAAGCAAAAUAUGUGUAAAUAUUCUAGAAACCAUUUCUAACUAAUGAUAGGCUAAUUUGGAAUUAAGAUUAAUAUAUAAAAACUAGAUAGUAGGGUUAUAGUCCUCAAACUACACCUAAUUUAAUAACAUUUAUAUUUUUUUUAGCCUUAAACAUUUAUAGUUUUUGUUAAUUUGGUCCUUACUCUUUAAAAGUACAUAAAAUUGCAAAAAUAUUUUAAAAAUUGCAAGAAAACAACUCCAAUGACACUAUUGAAGCCGACUCUGAAGCAGAUGUUCAUCAAGAUUGAAGAUUCCAGUUGAUUUCUUAAGAGAUUAUCAUGAGUUUAUUUAUUUCUUUGGGUUAUACUACCCUUUGGAUGUUUUUAUUUUUAAGCAUAAACUAAUUUUCAAAAUAUUUAAGAGAGAUGAACCCUAUGAUAGAUUGUGACACCCUAAACCUGACCGAGAUAGAUUGGACCGAAUUCGAAGCAUUACAUUAGCCACAUAAGUGCCUCUCCAGCUAACGACCACCCAAGACACACCCCGACCUUAUAACACCUCAAUCUUAUCUAAUUAUUAGUUAUUUAUUAAUGCAGAAGUAAAUUAUAAGCCAAUUUUAAACUUUUCCUAGAUAAUUUAACCUAAGGGCAAUUUUGUCAUUUUAUCACCUACUGUAAAACUAACCUUUUUAGAUCUAAGUGAUUACCAACCUUCUUUUAGUCAAAUUAUGCAAGCCUAAAAUUUUGAGCUUAAUUUGAGUUCGUUUACUAUGUCUAAUUCAAGUUUUAUUAUUAAGGACUGAAUUGUAACUCAAACAAAUUAGAAUACUAAUUUAAAGAGACAAAAAUUCAAAACCCCAAAACCCACACGGGCAUGUGGGUAAGUGACAGGGGUGUGUGGAGACUGGAGCUAUCACACACAGGCUUGUGGGAUUGAAAAAUAUGAAAUAAAUUAAUCCACUCAAUUUUCCAACAACCAUGCUAUACUACCAAACCAAAAAACACUUGAAGAUUUGAAUAGGGGCGAAUCUAAAAAAAGAAGAAGAAGAAGAAUUAGAAUUAAAUUAUAAAUUUUUGAGAAGUUAAAAUAUAAUUUUAUCAUGUAUUAAUUUAUUAUUUUUUAAAGGGUCUCAAUAGAAUUUUUUUUUCCAUUUUGGUUGGGCCAAUACCCCUGCCUGCCUCUUUAAAUUUGCUCCAACCCUAUACCCAAUAUUUGAUUUGGAUUAACAACAAUAUAUAGGUUAGUAUUUGUGGGAGUUUGACGAAUCUUAGAUGUUUAAAUUAUAAAUUUUUGAAAGAUUAAAAUAAAUUUGUAUUUUUUAUUAACAAAAGAAAAAAGAAAAAAAAACAUGUGUAGACAAGUCAAGAGACCUUUGGGAUCAUACGGGUGAUUUUGAUGAAGUUAAUGGUUAUUUUGGUGGAGAGGGUGAAAAGGAAACAAAUGAUUCAUUAUAUAUAAUAUAAUUAUGAAAUUCAAGCCAUAUAUUGUAUGUUUCAUACAUAAAAAUUUCAUGGGACGUCCAAAGGUUAACAUAUCAAUUGAUUUAUGAGUUUACACUUUUUUUAUAAUGUUGUACUUUUGGUUUUUGUGCAAUAUGAUACAUAUAUUUGGUAAAAAGUUAUAUAUUUUGAUACUUAAAGGUAACAUUGUUAAUUUUUUAGUGUUUUAUCUGAAUUUUAGAGUUUAUUUAAUGAACAUUAAUUGUUAAUAUUGUUUUGUUUAUUUUUUUAUGAUUUUGUUAAUAAAAUAAAUUUCAUGUUAAUCUUGUUAUCUUUCUUAUUUUAGAAUUGAUUACAUGAAAGUUAAUUGCUAAUAUUAUUAGUUAACUAUUAGUUUUCUUCAAAUCAAAUUAAAACCCGAAAGGUCCCUCUUUUUUUAUAUUAGUUUUAGUUAUCCAUUAAAUUUGUUUCUUUGUAAUAAAAUUAAAUUAUAGAAAUAACAUUAAAAUUUUCAAUAAAAAUAAUUCACAAUAAUUAUACAGAAUUUAAUUUUCUUUCAAAUGCUACAGUUAAUAAGGAAAGUGAAUAUAGUACAUAUCAAUAAAACUUUUAAAAAAGAAAUAUUGUUUAAUUAGUUAAUUUAAAAAUUAGCGUCUAAAAACUGUCAGAAUGAAAUAUUAGAUUUUAUAAGAUUUCAUUAUUCUAAAAAAUAAAAUAUGACAAUGCUUAAAAAUUUUAUUAAAAAAGUUUUAAAUUUUAUAUAAAAUUUAAAAAAAUAUAAAAUAGUACUAAAAAUUUUUAUAAGCAAAUUUAAAUAUUAAUUAGUAAAUUAUUUUUGUAAUAUUUAUAUGUAUUUUCAUUUUUAUAAAUACUAUUAAAACUUAUUUAAAAAAAUUGAAUGCUAUUAUAUGAAAGUUAAAAUGAUCUAAAAACAUUUUUUAAAAUUUUAAAUACUUUAUAAAAUAUUUAAAAUAUUUUAAAUUAUAUCAUAUAUAUUCUACAUAUAUUAAGAUUCUGAAUCAUUAAUUAUAUAUCUACAUAUUAUAAUAAAUUCAUCUUUCAAAAUUUUCCUAAACUAUAUUCAUAAUAUUAUAAAUAUAUUAUAUCAUAAAUAUUCUUUCAAAUGUUUUUAAUGUUUAUUAAUAAGUUAAUUUAUAAAAUAUUCUUUCAGUAAAUUAACGUGAUGAGAUCGUUAGUUGCUUGGAUUUGGUGAUGGGGACGAGGAGAAAAGGGAUGGAAGUGAAGAGAAAUGUUGGGAAAUUGAAAGGGUUAGCGAGGGAGGCCUCCAUGAAAGGUGGUUCUAUGGAUAUGAACCUUCAAGCUUUUGUGGAUGAUGUUGCUCAAGGUUGUUGCAAGUAAAUUUAAAAAUGUUUUUUUAAUUAUUUUUUGUUAAAAAAUAUUUUUUCUAUGUGAUAACUUCUGAUGAUUUUUGUCUGUAACAUUAGACAGGUUAAUAGUUAAAUCGUUCAAACUGACAGAUUUCGCUAAAGGGAGAGGUCAAUUGAUUUUUUUUGGAAUCAUUGAGAACUCAAUUGGUGCACUUUUUUCAUAAAGACUAAAUUAAUUUUUUAAUUUGUUAUCGCUGAGGGCUACAGUAAUAAAAAAUUUUGAGGCAAAAAUGGAAUAACGUCCCAAAAAUCUAAUACUUAAUUUGUAAAAUUUUAUCAUUAAUAAAUAUUUGCCUUAGUGGUUAAGUAUUCAAGACGUGUCUAUAAUAUCUUGUAUUCAAGUCCUUAUGUGAAUGGAUUGUUAUUAUUUUUUUUGCGCGGGUCGGGUAGGAGGUUGAGUUUGAGUCCAGUUCGAACUCUGGAAAAAGGUGGUUAGUUAUCUGAGAUGGGGUUAGUGCUUAGUAGAUUUGGAUUUGGUUUAUUUUAAAAUUUAUUAAUUAAUUUGUUAAAAAAUUAAAUAGUUUUUUCCUAAUUUUUGGCUCACCAUUCUUUCUUUUGUUUUUCUUUAUGCUUUCUUUUUCUUUUCUUUUUCUGUUACCUUUCAAAUCACGUCGAUUUGUUCCUAUUUUGCUUUUGAGUUUUUCUUUUCUUUCCUUUACGCUCCUCUACGAUCGUGUCUUAAUUCCUUCAUUAUUUUCUCUUUGUUGGCGUUGCUCGUUCGAGAGUGGAUUAGUUUCCGUUUUGAUGUGUUUUUACGUGGUUAAUAAAAGAAAUGUGUUAAUUUUUGGAUUAUGGAGUUGAUCGUUUUUAAUCAAUUCUCCAGUAAGUUGACUCGUUUGCUGUUGUAAUGUGCUAGGGUAAGAGAUUAAUUCUGAUUUGGGCCUGUGUGGUUGUGUAGAUUUUCCAUGUGAAUUCGUUUGGUAUUUUUAGGUUAAAUCAUUCUUUAAAUCGUAUUGCUACCAUCGCUAAUGUGAUGUUUUAAUUUAUGCAUUUAGGAUCUGGUAGUCUUGUAGGUGUUUUCGCAUAAACAAUUCGAACCAUGUGUAACGAAAAACUCGACAAUAACGAGCGACGAAAGCUAAAAAAUUGCACUGUCGAUGCCACACGGUCAUGUGACAAGCCAUGUGCUAGACCGUGUGCAACACACGAUCUGGGCUAGUUGAGCCGUGUGGAACAAGAAACUAAGAAAAUCCAAUCUAACAAAGAAAAUAACUUGAUGUCCAAAAGCUACCAUGAACCGUAAUUCAUGGGAAGGCUUGUUGCUCAUUUUAUUGGUUUCCAUUUUGACUUUUGCAAAAGAAGUUUGAAUUUUGAAGAGAGCCUAGUACGUGAGAGCAAAAGAAAGAAUUCUAUAAAGAUUUUGAAUUUUGAAUUUUGAAUUUUGAAGCAAAUUUUCAUUAAGAUUGAAGAUUUGUAAUUGAUUUCUUAGGAGAUUAUCACGAGUUCCUUAAUUUUUUCAGUUAUAUUGCCCUUUGGAUGUUUUUAUUUUUAAUCAUGAACUAAUUUUCUAAAUACGUAAGAGAGAUGAACCCUAUGAUAGAUUGUGACACCCCAAAGCCGACCGGGAUAGACCGGCCCAAAUUCGAAGCAUUACAUUAGCAACCUAAGUGACUCACUAGCUAACGACCACCCAAAACACACCCCGACCUUAUAACACCUCAAUCUUAUUUAAUUAUUAGUUAUUUUAGAGAUUCUUAGCUUUGACAACUUCUCUCCACCACUUCUCUUACGCUCCUUCCAGGAUCUUGCUUUUUGUCUGUUGAAAACUCAAAUGAACAAAAUAAAGUGAAUUUAUGAGUUUUGUUUUCUUUUAAAAAUAUUUUUAAUAUUUUUGUGGAUAUCAAGAGAUACCAAAAAUUAUUUCAUUAAGAAAUUUUAAUUCACUCGAAAAGUUAGUGUUUUAUUUCAAGGGAUCAUAAUUAAUCAUUAGAUUUCUGAAUUUUAAAUUUUGAAUUUUUUGACAAUUGCGUAAUUAAUAAGUACCAAUUUUGAGUGUUGUAGGGCUAGUACANNNNNNNNNNNNNNNNNNNNNNNNNNNNNNNNNNNNNNNNNNNNNNNNNNNNNNNNNNNNNNNNNNNNNNNNNNNNNNNNNNNNNNNNNNNNNNNNNNNNAUUUGUCCUUAUACUUUGAUCUAAAUAUUUUGAUCUAAUAAAUGUAAAAAAACCUUUUAAACAAAAUAAGGUUGAAAUAAUCUAUUUGUCUUUAUACUUUGAUAAAAUUUAAGAUUUAGUCUGUAUACCUAAAAGGUUAAAAAUUAAGUCUUCUUGUUUUUAUUUAAAAAUCUUAGUCCUAUCGUUAAUUUUUUUUUGUUAAAAUUUAUCAACUUGACAUAUUAAUUAGGUUUCCCUUAUAUGUCGUGGUAUACGACUAACACAAAAUAAACAAGUUGACAAAUUCUGACAAAAAAUAUCAAAGAUGGUAAUAAUUUAAUUAAAAUUUUUAAAUUGAAAAAGUAGGGAAUUAAAUUUAUAACUUUUAAAGUACAAAAAAUGAACUUAUUGAAAUACAAGAACUAACAACAUAUGUUAAAAUAUUACUAGUAAAUUAUAUAUCUACAACAAGAAUUGUAAAAUUCUGCACCUUUCGUUAUAAUAUGAUUUAUUAAUUUUAAAUUUUUUACAGAAUAAUAUGCUUUAAACUAUUUUUUGUAUCAUUUAUAAAAAUUAUAAUAAACUUACAAAAUGAUUUCAUCAUAUUUAAUUAUUAACGGGAAAAAAUGAUACCAUAUAUAUUUUGUAUAUAUUAAGAUUCCGAAUCAUUAAUUAUAUAUCUACACAUUAUAAUAAAUUUAUCUUUCAAAAUUUUCCUUAUAAUUAAAUCAUAAAUUACAUUUAUAAUAUUAAAAAUAUAUUAUAUCAUAAAUAUUCUUUCAAAUAUUUUUUAAUGUUUAAUAAUAAGUUAAUUUAUAAAAUAUUCUUUCAAGAAAUUAACGUGAUGAGAUCAUUAGGUGCUUGGAUUUGGUGAUGGGGGAUGAAGAGAAAAGGGAUGGAAGUGAAGAAAAAUGUUGAGAAAUGGAAAGGGUUAGCGAGGGAAGCCGCCAUGAAAGUUUAUUGGUUCUAUGGAUAUGAACCUUCAAGCUUUUGUGGAUGAUGUUACUCAAAGGUUGUUGCAAGUAAAAUUUAAAAAAAAAAAGAGGUAAAAAGAAAAAAAUAUUAGAGCUAAAUUUGUCAUUAUGACUAAAAUGUAAAACCAAAAUUUUUUAAAAAUGGAAAAUUUACAAAUUUUGUCACUUAUGUUUGCUUAAAAUUAUAGUUUUGGUCACCAAUCUUUUAAAGUAAAUAUAUGGUCACCAAUAUUAUCCAUUUGUUACUUUGUAAUAACUCACCUUAAACUUCAGUAAUUGACGAGCGCUUUCACAAACUGUGGAUGACUUGGGGAUAAGAACUUCAACAAUUCUAGAGUUAAAGUGUAAAUUUACUAUUAUAUUAUAAGUAAAUAUUGAAAUUUAUCACUAUAAUUGAUACUUGUCAUUACACUUUGAAAAUAUAAAUAAAUUUACCAUUUAACUCAUAUGUGAUAGAACUUUACAAGUAAACUUAAAAUUUUAUUUAAUUUUGUCACUAAAUUUGAUUUAUUUAAUUAAAUUUACAACUCAAUAUAGAUUUUGGUGACUUAAAAUAAAAUUAAUAAAAAAAACUAUUCUUUCAGAUAAUUUUUUAAUGUUUAAUAAUAAGUUGAUUUAUAAAAUAUACUUUCAUUGGACACAAGCAUCCAAGGCGGUGAACAAACCACUUGUCAAAUUAAUUUGGAGAUGUCUUUUUUUCUAAAUCAAGUAAAUUUAUGAGUUUUGCAUUUUUUAUAAAAAUAUUUUUAAUAUUUUUGUGGAUACCAAGAGAUUAGGGGUGAGCAAAACUCGAUUCGACUNNNNNNNNNNNNNNNNNNNNNNNNNNNNNNNNNNNNNNNNNNNNNNNNNNNNNNNNNNNNNNNNNNNNNNNNNNNNNNNNNNNNNNNNNNNNNNNNNNNNUAUUUUUUAAUUCCAAAAUACAUAGUGACAAGAAUCUGAAGAUAAUUGAAACAACUAAGCAAGCAAAGAAGCUAAUCAGUAUAUAAAAAAUUAAUAAAUAAAUUAUGAGGUGAUGAAAGUUAAUAAAAAAUUUGAUUAAGGUAGACAAAUUUUAUUACGAUGGGUGACAGCGGUUACAAGGACCCAAAAUUAUUUUUUAAAAUUUAACUCGAAUAAAUAUAUUCGAUUCGAUUCGAUUCGAAUUCCAUCUCACUCGACUCGAUUCGAGAAAACUUCAAAUAAAGGUAGGAUGAUAAAAUAAGAUUUGAAAACUCGAUUAACUCGAAAAUUUUUGAUUCGAUUCGAUUCGAUUCGAUCGAAUGCUCACCCCUACAAGAGAUACCAAAAAUUAUUUCACUAAGGAAUAAAUUAGUGUUUUAUUUUAAGAGUUCACAAUUAAACAUUAAAUUUUUUAUUUUUAAAUUUAGAAUUUCUUGACAAACGCGUAAUUAAUAAGUACUAAUUUUGGGUGUUGUAGGGUUAUUACAAUCUUGCCUACACGUAACAGAUUCUUAAACCUACUUUUUUUUUCUAGAACUCAAUGCAAACCUCAAAUUUAUCUUUUUAAAAAAAUUUUAAAAUAUCUAUAUAAAAGGUGAUUUUUUUUAUCGAUCACACUUAAGAAAUUUUAAAAAUUAUUAAUUUUUUUGAAAUUUAAAUUGAUCUAAAAACAUAUUUUUAAGUGCUUUAACCAUCUGGUGCUAAUUUCUUUAUUAUAUUAAAUGCUUGCAAUCACUCCUGAUAUAUUAUACUUGAGUUGUGACAGAGCCAAUUAUCAACGUGCCAUAAUGUUCUAUUGGUGCUGAAACUGAAGUUUUAGUUAUAUUAAUAGAGCUUGUCCUUCAACGCGUAUAAUAAGUGUUUGUUAUUUUUUUCCUUCAAAUUGUAUGAUCUCAUUCAUUAAAUGAAUUAAUGAAUUUCUUUUUAAAAAUAUAAUUCUAAAAAUUAAAUACUUUAUAAAAUAUUUAAAACUAUUUAAAAAAUUGUAAGCGAUAAAACAAUCAACAAGAUAUAUUUUUCUCUAAAAAAAUCAAUAAAAAUAUGUUUGAAAUUUUAUAUGAAAUUUAAAAUUUUUUAACAAUAAUAUAUUUUAAAAUUAUUUACACCUUUUUUUUAUAUAUUUUUCCUAACAUAUCGUUAUUUUCAACACUAUCGCAAUCCUGUUUUGGUAAUUCCCUUUCCAUACAUCCUUUUUCUACAUAGAAUUUCGAAAGAAAAUGUGAAUUAAUGCAGACUUGAGAAGACUUAGUGGUAAGUCACCCAAUGAAAGUGACCUAAACCGACUUAUGGAACAAUCAAACAAUAAUUUUGUAUCUUAUAAUAUAUUUAAUUACAUUUAUUAGUUUAUCAAUCAAAACUUAAUUAGAAUCCAUCAAUAUUUCACACAUAGCAUAAAAUUCACUUUUAAAGUAUUUGGGUUGUAUUUAUAUUAUAGGAAAUAGACUUAUUCUUGAUGCACAUGUUUUAUUAUAUUUAAAAAUUAAAAUAUAUGAUUGAUUGGGUUUUAGUUGAGUUAGUAUUAGUAUUGUUAUCACUAUAUGAAAAAGUGAGCUCGAUCAUGCUCAAAUGCGUUUUAUCCUCCAAUUCAAGAGUUGAGAAAAAAUUAUUGAUAAUUAAAUUAUACAAUAUCUAAAAAGCAUUUAUAAAUAAUAUAAGAAAAAAAAAGAAAAAAAGAAGAGAAACAUAUUCAUAUCGAUGGGCUCUUUCAUUAUUAGAAUUUUAUUCUCUCACAAGUAAAAGUAUUUAUGGAGAGGAUCAUGUAAAAUAAUGACCUGAAUAAUUUUAAACGUUUCAUCAUUACAAAAAUGAAAUAAUAGAAAAGAAAGACUACCCAUUUUAUGAAAUAUAAAUUUUAAAUGAAUUUUAAAAUCUUUUUAUAGAAAGCUAUUUUUUUAGGUGAUUCACCAAAGAAUAAAAAGAUGGGAGGUGAUUCCUCCUUUUUAAUAAAACCUUGUGCUUUUACAAACACCAAAUUAUUCCUAAGCUUUACAUUAAUAUACAUGAUUUAUUUUUUCGUUAUUAUUAUUUCUAUGAUUAUAAUAUUAUACUUAUUGGACUAUAAUCAUAACCAUGUUUAUUAUCAUUCAAUAAAAAGAAAUAAGUGUUGGAUGUAAUGGCAAGGUACAUUACAAUCUUAAUAGGAGAUUAGGGUUUUGGACAAAGGAAGAAUAUGAUUUGAAUUUUGGAGACGACAUUCUUAAAAUGAGCAACCACGGGGCCCGAUUAUGAACCAUAAAAUGAACAUGAAAAGUACCCAAAAAAACACGUCUAUUAUCCAAUUAGUAAUCCAUCCCAAGGCUUAAAUUAACAAAAUUCACCAUGCAACCGUGUAGACUAUUUUAUGUAUAUACUAUAUUUAUUCUUCAUGCAAAUGUUUAUUAUAUUUAAAAAUUAAAAUAUAUGAUUGAUUGAGUUUUAGUUGAGUUAAUAUCGAUAUUGUUGUUAGUGCAAAAGAAUGUGAGUUCAAUCAUGUUUAAACGCGUUUUAUCUUCCAAUUUAGGAGUUGGAGAGGAUUCUCAAUAGUUAAAUUAUAUAAUUUUUUGUCUAUUUAAAAUUGGUUUAUAAAUAAUAUAAAUAAAAAGAUUUAAAAUAUAUAUAUUCAUAUUGAUCGGCGUUUUCAUUAUUAGACUUUUUUCCCUACAGGUAAAAGUAUUUAUGGACAGGAUGAUGUAAAAUUAUGACCUAAAUAAUUUUAAACCUUUCAUCAUUGCAAAAAUGAAAAUAAUAGAAAUGAAAGACUAGCCAUUGUAUGAAAUUUGGCAGGCCAUGUCAAUUUCGUAGAUUUGCACUCUGAACUGUGAAAAAAAUACAAAUUUUAGGUUUUUCAAGCAUUUUAAUUCGUAUAUAUGAAAAAAAAAAAAAAAGAAGAUAGGAGAGAACCUUCCUAGAAUAUUUAAGAAAACAGCUCCAAAGACACUAUUGAAGCCGACUCUAAAGCAGAUUUUCAUCAAGAUUGAAUAUUCCCAGUUGAUUUCUUAAGAGAUUAUCAUGAGUUUCUUUAUUUCUUUCGGUUAUACUGCCCUUUGGAUGUUUUAAUUUUUAAGCAUGAACUAAUUUUCUAAAUACCUAAGAGAGAUGAACCCUAUGAUAGAUUGUGGCACCCCAAACCCGAUCAGGAUAGAGCAGCUCGAAUUCGAAGCAUUACAUUAGCCACCUAAGUGACUCUCCAGCUAGCGACCACCCAGGACACACCCCAACCUUGUAACACCUCAAUCUUGUUUAAUUAUUAGUUAUUUAUUAUUGCAGAAGUAAAUUAUGAGCCAAUUUCAAACUUUUCCUAGGUAAUUUAACCAAAGGGCAAUUUUGUCAUUUUACCACCUAUUGUAAAACUAACUUGAUUUUAGAUCUAAGUGUUUACCAACCUUCUUUUACUCAAAUUAUGCAAGCCUAAAUUUUUUAGCUUAAUUUGAGUUUGUUUACUAUGUCUAAUUCAAGUUUUAUUAUUAAUGACUAAAUUGUAACUCAAACAAAUUAGAAUAUAAUUUAAAGAGAAAAAAAUUCCAAACCCCAAAACUAACACGGGCAUGUGGGUAAGUGACACGGGCAUGUGGAGACUGGAGCUAUCACACAUGGGCGAGUGGGAUUGAAAAAUAUGAAAUAAAUUAAUCCACUUAAUUUUCCAACUACCAUGCUAUACUACCAAACCAAAUAACGCUUGAAGUUUUGAAUAGGGGCGAAUCUAAAAAAUAUUAGAAGAAUUAUAAUUAAAUUAUAAAAUUUUGAGAAGUUAUCAUGUAUUAAUUUUUUAUUUUUAAAGGGUCUUCAUAGAAUUUUUUUUCACAUUUUGGUUGGGCCAAUACCCCUGUCUGCCUCUUUAAAUUUGCUUGAACCCUAAACCCAAUAUUCGAUUUGUUGUGGAAGUUUGAUGCAUAAAAAUUUCUUUUUUAGAGGUUUAAAUUAUAAAUUUUUGAAAGAUUAAAAUAAAUUUGUCUUUUUUUUAUUAACAAAAUAUAAAAAGAAAAAAAAAACAUGUUUAGACAAGCCAAGAAACCUUUGGGAUCAUACAGGUGAUUUUGAUGAUGUCUCAUCCAUAAAAAUAAUCUCUUUAUACUGUAGGCUUGCUGAAUUUCUUUGAAAGGCCCAAAGGUAAUUUAACAUUCACAAAAUAAUCUCUAAAUACUGUAAAGACAAAUCAAAUCCACAGCAGCAUUAGAGUUGAUUAAGCUAAGCAUUGGCAAAUAUUACUUUGAUUUUGCAUGCAAUAUUGGCAAAACCCCCUCCUACAUUAGAAAAACAACAUAAUCCAUGUAACAUUGAUAGCCCAAUACAAAUUUCAUCAAGAAAAAAGUCUCUUUGUUUAUUUGUAGAACAUGAUAGUAAAGAUAUGGAGUUUCGUACGUUCUUCUUGUUGUCCUCCUUUAGUUUCCCUUGAUCAACAACCACUAGCCAAAAACACAAUUAGAUUAGAUUAUGAAUGAUACUUUCAACUAUGACAAUAUUAAAUACAAAACACUCUAAAUAACUCUAAAUAAAUGGAAAGCAGCAAAUUACCUGAUAAGGCAAGUUAGCUGAAUUAAGACCAUUGUGUUAUACUUGUCUUUGAAUUGAAAAUUUUAGAAGAAAAUAAAGAGAAAAAGUUAGAAAAUACUUGAAAACAGAUAAAACUUAUAUGUCAUUGAUUGGAUAAACUACAAUCACCUAUAAUAGACCUUGUACUUGACUUUUGUUGAGGGAGAUCGACUCCUUUAGGAGAAGUCUUUUGAGUGUUGUUUGCUAGGCAAUCGGUGCUGCCCUCAACAACUAAUGGUAGUGUCCCCAUGUCGGGAUUUAAAAUUUAUAUUGAAUUACUUUAUACUUAAAUUUAUGAGAACCACGUAUUUAGAACUUAAAUUUGUGUUUUAAAAUAACUUAUGAUAAAUAAUGAAAUGUAUAAUUUGAAACUAUUUAAUAAUAACACAUAGCACAUCUACUAUGUUAAAAUAAAAAUAGAUUAAAUUGUAAGUAAAACAUAAUUUAAACAUAUGAAUACAUCAAAUUAAGAAUAAUAAAUGAAUACAGUUAUUUAUGAAGAGAGCAUACUACGUGAGAGCAAAAGAAAAAAUAUAGUUUAUUAAUUUUUACGAAUACCGACAUAUUAUAUAUACGAUUAAAAUUCAGAAUAGAUUAAAAAUGUUGAAUUAAACAUAAAAUUAAGUNNNNNNNNNNNNNNNNNNNNNNNNNNNNNNNNNNNNNNNNNNNNNNNNNNNNNNNNNNNNNNNNNNNNNNNNNNNNNNNNNNNNNNNNNNNNNNNNNNNNNNNNNNNNNNNNNNNNNNNNNNNNNNNNNNNNNNNNNNNNNNNNNNNNNNNNNNNNNNNNNNNNNNNNNNNNNNNNNNNNNNNNNNNNNNNNNNNNNNNNNNNNNNNNNNNNNNNNNNNNNNNNNNNNNNNNNNNNNNNNNNNNNNNNNNNNNNNNNNNNNNNNNNNNNNNNNNNNNNNNNNNNNNNNNNNNNNNNNNNNNNNNNNNNNNNNNNNNNNNNNNNNNNNNNNNNNNNNNNNNNNNNNNNNNNNNNNNNNNNNNNNNNNNNNNNNNNNNNNNNNNNNNNNNNNNNNNNNNNNNNNNNNNNNNNNNNNNNNNNNNNNNNNNNNNNNNNNNNNNNNNNNNNNNNNNNNNNNNNNNNNNNNNNNNNNNNNNNNNNNNNNNNNNNNNNNNNNNNNNNNNNNNNNNNNNNNNNNNNNNNNNNNNNNNNNNNNNNNNNNNNNNNNNNNNNNNNNNNNNNNNNNNNNNNNNNNNNNNNNNNNNNNNNNNNNNNNNNNNNNNNNNNNNNNNNNNNNNNNNNNNNNNNNNNNNNNNNNNNNNNNNNNNNNNNNNNNNNNNNNNNNNNNNNNNNNNNNNNNNNNNNNNNNNNNNNNNNNNNNNNNNNNNNNNNNNNNNNNNNNNNNNNNNNNNNNNNNNNNNNNNNNNNNNNNNNNNNNNNNNNNNNNNNNNNNNNNNNNNNNNNNNNNNNNNNNNNNNNNNNNNNNNNNNNNNNNNNNNNNNNNNNNNNNNNNNNNNNNNNNNNNNNNNNNNNNNNNNNNNNNNNNNNNNNNNNNNNNNNNNNNNNNNNNNNNNNNNNNNNNNNNNNNNNNNNNNNNNNNNNNNNNNNNNNNNNNNNNNNNNNNNNNNNNNNNNNNNNNNNNNNNNNNNNNNNNNNNNNNNNNNNNNNNNNNNNNNNNNNNNNNNNNNNNNNNNNNNNNNNNNNNNNNNNNNNNNNNNNNNNNNNNNNNNNNNNNNNNNNNNNNNNNNNNNNNNNNNNNNNNNNNNNNNNNNNNNNNNNNNNNNNNNNNNNNNNNNNNNNNNNNNNNNNNNNNNNNNNNNNNNNNNNNNNNNNNNNNNNNNNNNNNNNNNNNNNNNNNNNNNNNNNNNNNNNNNNNNNNNNNNNNNNNNNNNNNNNNNNNNNNNNNNNNNNNNNNNNNNNNNNNNNNNNNNNNNNNNNNNNNNNNNNNNNNNNNNNNNNNNNNNNNNNNNNNNNNNNNNNNNNNNNNNNNNNNNNNNNNNNNNNNNNNNNNNNNNNNNNNNNNNNNNNNCCAUUCCAUCUGAAAGCUCCCUUUAUAUACAUAUCCAAAACUCCUGAACCAAGCAUAUUGCUUUCCUCAAAUCAUAGUGCUCGUGAAAGUUCAGCAUGUGAAAUUCUUCUCGGUGUCUUCAAAGACAACAAAUCAUCUUUAAUUGGUAAAGCUGUACUCCUCCUUUGGCAUCUUCUAUACAUAAUAGUUAAGACUAUUAGUACUACGACAAUACCAAUUGUUGGUAAACCAUACCUAAAAGCAUGCAAUAUAAUCAUUUGAGAGUUCUUGUGGAUGUCGUUUUUGCAAGGUGGGACUAGCAAUCUAGGUGGACCACAAAGAGCAUAAUUCUUCAUGAAUGAUGUACUAGAAAAGUUUGAAAAACAUCCUUUGCUGGGAAUUUCCCCUUCAAGUCUAUUGGAAGACACAUUAAAAUACUUUAGAUGUAAAAGCUUUUCCAAAGAUUUGGGAAUGACUCCAGAGAGACUGUUAUUGCAUAAAUCCAAGAAUUCCAAACUAGUCAACCCAUCAAAUGAUUCAGGGAUAUGACCAUGUAGUAUAUUAUUUGAUAAAUCUAAUGAAACCAAAGUUUGAAGACCCCCAAAUGAGGAUAAGAUAUCGCCCGUGAGAAGAUUCCUUGAAAAAUUUAGUUUCAGUAGACUCCUCAAAUUUCCAACAUCAAUAGCAUGUGAAUUGUGAAGAUGGUUUGAUGAUAAAUCUAUUUCUAAGAUAUCUUUAAGAUUCCACAAAGUUGAGGGUAUUGUAGAACUCAAUUUGUUGGAAUCUAAGUAAAGAUAUCCCAAAGAAGUUAAAUUACCCAAACAAGAGGGUAUGGAUCCAUGCAGCUUAUUCAACCCUAAAGACAUCUCGUAUAGUCUCUCCAAAUCACAAAGGCUUUCUAAGAUGGGCCCUCCUAAUUUAUUAGAGGAAAGAUCUAGAGCUUGGAGAUUUCGCAGUCCUCCUAUUGAUGCUGGAAUGAAUCCACUUAAUUUAUUAUGGCGAAGUUGUAAAAGCAAAAGGUUGGUUAAGUUACCUAUUUCCAUAGGAAUAAUGCCUUGAAGCUCACAAUUAGAGGCAUAAAAGUAUUGAAGGGAUUUUGAAAGGUUCCCGAUAUAAGUAGGAAGAACGCCACUCAAUGGAUUUCCUGAAACAAUUAUUCUUUUCAAAUGCUUGCAAUUCGUCAAAGAAGAAAGAAAGCUCCACUCAUGAUCAGUAGCAGAUCCUGUGAUCAAAUUAUUGUUUACGAUUCGGAACCAUUCAAGGUGUCUUAAGUUGCCAAGCGUUUUAGGGAUUGGGCCAGAGAAUAAGUUAUCUCCCAAGUCUAGUUCCUUCAGCAUGGAAGCAUUGGAGAUAGAGUUGGGAAUGUUUCCUCUAAGUUUAUUUCCCCACAAUACAAGAAUCUCAAGCUUUGGAGCAUUGGUGAUGGGUGGUAAAUUACCUGUAAAAUAGCAUCUUUUAGUAUACAUAUUCACAAAAUAUAUAAUACACUAAUAAUUUUUUAAAAUAUUGUAAAACUUGAAAUAAAAUAAAAAUAAAAGUUUGGCAUGAGAAUAUGGCAUCUAAUCAAUCUUAAAAAUGAGAUUGAGACUGAAUAAUAAUUAGUUAUGAUUUGGGAAACAAAAAUGUUAAAGCCAUUAUUUAUCUUUAUUAAAUUAUAGUGUAAAAUUUAAAGAUUAUUAUUUGCUCAAAAUUUUUGUAUUUUUCGUAUGUUUGAAAUUUAAUCUUCAUAUUUUUUUAUUUUCUGUGAUUUAGUCUCUCUACUUUUUGAAUUGAAAAUUUUAGGUUCAUCUAUUAACACUGUUAAAAAGUUUUUGUGUUAGUAUGGCAUUUUGAAAAAUAAAACAAACUUGAUAUCUAUGUUUUUAAUUAUUCCAAAUAUUGUUUUACUAUUUCAAGAUAAAUUAUUUGUGUCUAGACCAAUAUCUUAAGAACUAUUGUUGUAUGUUUAAUUAUUCUAAAGAAUUGUCGAUUGAGUGUCAGCUUGAUUGGCAUGUACAUUGUUGCUAAUGUAGGAGAAUGUGGGUUUAAGUAUGCUGAAGUGCAUUAUCCCCCUAUUUAAGAAUUGGGGAGUUUGUAAAGUACUAAAUUUUGAUAUAUUUUUUAAAAUAUUAAAAUAUUAUUAAAAUAUUUUUUAUAAAAUUGAUUGUACCUCAAUAUACAAUUUUAAUAUCAAAUUUUUAAUUUUUUUAAAAAUAUUAGCGGAUAUAUACUUUAUUUCAAGUUACACAAUUUUUUUCCAGUUUUUAACCCUCUUUUUUUAAUUUUAAUUAUCUUUUAUAAUUUCUGAUAAUUUUUUACAAUAUUUAACAAUUUCUAACUAUUUUUAAUAAUUUUAUUAUUAAUCACAAAUUUAAAAAUUAACAAAUUUUUAUUUUUAAAAAAAUUAUAUAUUUAUAAUGUAGUUAUUUUUUAUAAUUUUAUUUGAAAUUUUAAAAAAAAAUUGGUUUUUUUAGAUGAUGAUGUCAUCAUGAUGUCAUCAUAUGACACUUGGCAAUUUAUGAUUAGUUGGAUAUCUCAAUCUAUUUUUUUAACGUCCAAUAGAUUAAACCGAGAAUACCUGAUAAUGUUAGAGACUACACUAGGAAUGUUUGAUAAUAUUAGGUACUAAAGUGGGCCAAAAAAAAAAAAGAGCAAUAUGGUGUAGGGAAUAAACUAUGCAUUAAGCCAUUAAAAAUAUAUCUAUAAUAUAUAUAAAUGCAUGGAUUUUGAGAAACUUUUGAACUGAUAAUUAUAUAGUCUUUCUUGUUUACUAUAUUAUUGAAUUUGUUAUUUUAAAUAUUUUUUAUUACUUUUAAGAUUUAUAUAAGAAUUGUGGUUUUACUAAAAUAUUUGGUUAAGUAAAUUCACUUCAUAAGAAAAUUUAGCAUCCUUAUAAAUAACAAUUUUGAUUCUAUUAAAAAUAUUAUUUUAAAAAAUAUAUAAUAAUAAAUUAAUUAUUUUUUUAAGCUUAAUGAUUUUUCGAGUUUCUCGUUACACUUCUAGUUCUAUUUUAACACGAAAGCAAACACAAGAUAACCAUUACCUAAUACGAAAACCAAAUCACCAAUUGAGACAAAUUUUCUGGAACCCGAUUUACAAAAUCAAUUUUACCAAUAACAAAGUUAAUGAUGAAAUUAAGUCCAAAUCUCCAACCUUGAUUCUUACCCUCAAGAAAAAGUAGUCCAAAUAACGAUUCUAAGUCGUCGAGUAACUAAUCGCCUUGUGAACUACACCUAAAACCAAAACAAUUGAUUAACAUCGAUAAAUCACACCAACCAGAACUCAAAAUAAUCGAAGCUAACGAAGGCAAGAUUCCAUAACAGAAGAGAAGUAGGCAAUACUUACGCACGAAUCAAAUUACACUCAACAUAGCAGAGUAUCCACCACCGAUUCGGAAAGGCAUAAAGAACAACAUUCAAGAAUGAACAAAAGAUUGAGAAAAGAACAAGAGCAGGAAAAAGAAACGAAAAUUGAGGGCCUUCUCUACUAAAAUCCACGUGAAAGAAACGAAAGUAAUAAAGAAAAAAAAAAAUAGAACCAGAAAGGGGAAAGAAAAAAAUGGAGAACAUGUAAACAAAUGGGAGCAAAAAUUGGGGAUUGGAAUUAUUUUAAUCAAUUAAUUCCCCACCAUUUAAAAAAACAAUAAAAUAAAAUAAAUAUCUUAAUAACCACCCACUAAACUUAGAUAAUUACCCAGAUUCUUUUCAAGAAUUUGAAUUUAAUCUAAACUUAUCCACUUGAACAACACAAAGCAUAAAAUAUUUCACUUGCUUGCAUGGAAGCUUGAAUACAUGACCAAAGAGUACUCAAGAAUUUAACCACUAAACCAGUAAAUUUAUUCUUGUCAUAGAUUUAACGAUAAUAAUAUUUAAGCUGGAUAAACAGAGAUAGACUUAGAAACAAAAAUAAUUGAAUUUUCCCAAAGAAGUGCAACUUAAACUCAAGACCUUAAACUCACAAUUAAGAGACUUCACCACUAAAACAAACACUUUCUAAUGACAAAUUUUAACAAAUUAUGUAUACGAAAUUUGGGAUGUUACACGGAAAGUGGAGGGAUGGGAGGAAGGAGUGAACAAGUGGAAAUAAAAUAAAUUGAGUAUGAUUAAUUGGAAAGAAAGUGAGAGGAAAGAAGAUAAGAGAAAUGAUCAUUUUCCAUUCCAAUGAAUAAAAAUGAAUCAUUCCAAAUUGGAAAGAUGAGAUGAGAGAAAAUGAUAAAUAUGUGUAUGUUAGUUUAAAAGAAUGCAUUUUUGAAAUGAUUUAUUUUCUUUCCUUUCAUUUUUUCAACUCUACCAAGCAUUGAAUGGAACUGGAAUAAAAAUUGAAAGUAGAAAACUAGAAGGAUGAAAAACAUAAUUUUUUAUUUUCAUUUUUCUAUUUUUCCUACCAAACACAACUAUGAAAUUUUCUACCCGUUAAAUCUUCCAUUCUUUCAAUUUUUGUUACACUCUAGACAGCAAAACUUAAAUGUUGAAAAUUUAAUUCCAUAGCAGAUAGAUUACGAAGUGAAACUAAACGCUAAAAUGAUUAUAUUAUGAAUAUGAAAUCUCCAUUAAUUCUGAAACUGUAUUACCAAUGAAGAAGUAUUGAUUUCUAAUUGUAAAAAUGUGACGACAACAGGUUUACUUUUACAAGUAAGAAUUUUUUGAGCAUCCUUCAUAUUUUUACAAUUAAAAGCCAACUCCAUAGCCAAUUUGCUUUGACAAUGAACUGUGUAUCUUCAAGACUUCCAGCUUCAGUACAGAUUAAGUUGAGCAUUGGAUGAACUUGCCAAGGCUUCUCAGACCAUUGCACUUCUUCCACUAUAUUCAGCAUUUCUUGGAAAUAUUCAUGCAAUACUAUUGGUAACAUGGCUCUUUGACAUUAGAAAAGUAGCAAAAUUUGUGGAACUUUGAUAGCCCCAUUGACAAUAAGGAAUGAUGGGUUCCAUUCUUCUUAUUAAUCUCCCUUUUUUCCCCUUGAUUAAGCACUGGUUAUUUGAAAGCAAAACACAUAGUUGGAUUAGAUUGUAAAAUUAGCACCUAAAAACAUAAUUUUCAUUUUAGCACAGGGUGAUUUAGAUGAAACAACUCUAAUUUUUAAAACAAAUGCUGAACACACAUUAACUGAAAGGAACAAACCUGAAGAGGCAAGGAAGCUCAACCAAGACCACUGUGAUCUAUUUGUCUCAACAUUAAACAAUUAAAGAAGAUUAGAUAGAAACUUAGAGAACACUUCCAAAGAUAUAAGCUUUCUUCAAUUCAUCAAACGAUUACAUAAAUUUCUUAAAUUGCAAUCAAACAUAACAAACCUUAUACUUGACUAAAAGUAAACCAGCUUCCUCAUCAUUUAGGCUUCUCUACCAAGCAAUGUUUCAAAUGUUACAAGGCUCAGCAUGGAACCCAUGGAUAGGUUUUAGGAGGCCUCUCUGAUACAGAAACAAUAUGAAGUGCAUUAACAGAUCAACAACUCCUAUUGGUAGGAAAUUCAAACAUCCUUAGUUUAAGAAAAUUACAUUUUAAUAGAUCAAAUUCAGUAUAGAAUAUCUUUACCUUGUUCUUAGCUUGGCGCCUUUGACUUGUCAGCCAUGUUACAAUACGAUUCAAUUGCUUUAACUCACCUUCUGGGGUUCGAUACCUCAAAAACUUUUAACGCCAAUGACAAGAUAACAAAUAAUUUAACAAGUAAAUGAAAUUGAAAUGCAUACCUUAAAACUCCUUUUUGGUACAAAAGUAAAAACACAUUUUACAGAAAAGAAAGCAAGGAAAAAUCCAAAUAUAGAAGUACAACAAUGUUGAAAUCCCAAGAAAAGAUAAAAGAACAUGAAAAUUAACUAACACAAGCAACUAAGUAGACAAAUAAUCAGUCUAACACAGAAAUAACUUAAUCCCCCAAUGCUAUCAUAGAGUGAAAUUGUUGGAAGGGUCUGCUUCUGCUACUACUUCUGCUGUUGAGAGACUUGCAAAGAGAUCCUAGUACAUAAGGGCAAAUGAGUGAGCAAAGAGUUUACGUAUUAUAUAUGGAACAUGAUUCAUCGAGGAUGAAUCUUAUAUAUAUAUAUAUAUGGUUAAAAUACAAAAAUAAAAUUAAAUAUGGAGUUAAACACGUUACCAAGAGUAAGUUAAUAACCACAAGCAUACUCAUCGUUCGAUGAUGUUUAGAAACCUUUGUUUGAUCUUUUUUAGCUCAACCACAACAUCCUUCAUAUCUUUUCUUUCUUCUGGCAACUCAGCUGAACAAUCCAAAGCUAACUCCAUGAUAGAAGAAAUACAAUUUGCUUUAAUAACAAAAUUCUCAUCCUCUCUUCUUAAUAAAUCAGCAUCCACAAUGUCUAUCAUUCCUUCAGAUAAUAAUCUUUUCACCCAAUGCCUUAUGGUCAUUUCAUCACCAAAAAUUUCAUCUGUUGGCUUUUUCCUAGUGAAAGUUUCUAUGAGGACAAUUCCAUAACUAUAGAUGUCACAUUUUAUAGAAACAAUUCCCGUUGAUCCAAAUUCUGCAUUUCAAGCAUAAGUAAUCCUGAAUUAUUUCUAAUAUGUUUACCACUAUAUAUAGACAUACACGAAAAAUAAUCAUUAAUUAAAAAACUCAAAAAUUCACCUGGUGCCAUAUAACUAAUAGUUGCAAGAGUCAUGGUUUGCUUCACUACAUCACCUUCUCCCAACAAUUUCGCAAUGCCAAAAUCUCCCACAUGAGCAACCAUGUCUUCAUCUAGUAGAAUAUUGCUUGGUUUUAGGUCACAAUGAAUUAUAGGUGUUGGAUGUCCAGUGUGGAGAUAUUCUAGAGCAGCCGCAACAUCUACCAUUAUGUUGAUCCUUUGUAUGAUAUCAAGGAAACAACUGUUUGAAUGUAACCAUUUCUCAAGAUUUCCAUUAGACAUGAAAUCAAGCACCAAGGCUUUGAAGUCAACAUUGGAGCAGCAAGUAAUGACCUUGACAAGAUUACGAUGAACUAUGUUACGCAUAGCUUCACAUUCAAUGUCAAAACUCCUAAAUGCUCCUUCUAUUUGCAAAUUGAAAACUUUUGUUGCAACUUCCAUUCCAUCCGAAAGCCUCCCUUUAUAUACAUAUCCAAAACUUCCUGAACCAAGCAUAUUGUGCUCCUCAAAUCCACUAGUUGCCCGUGAAAGUUCGUCAUGUGAAAUUCUUCUUCAUGUUCCCAAACGUAGUGAAUCAUCCGUAAUUGGUAGAGUUGUACUCCUAAUUCGGAAUCUUCUAUACAUAAUAACUAAGACUAGUAGUAACAUGACAAUACAAAUUAUUGGUAAACCGAACCUUAAAUCAUGCAAUACACCCAUCUUGGAAUUUUUGCGGAUGUCAUUUUUGCAAGGUGGGACUAGCAAUCUUGGUGGACCACAAAGUGCAUAAUUCUUCAUGAAUGAUGUGCUCGGAAAGUUUGGAAAACAUCCUUUGGUAGGAAUUUCCCCUUCAAGUCUAUUGAAAGACACGUUAAAAUACUUUAGAUAUAAAAGCUUUUCCAAAGAUUUGGGAAUAACUCCAGAGAGAUCGUUAUUGCAUAAAUUUAAAAAUGUCAAACUAACCAAACCACCAAAUGAUUCGGGGAUAUGACCAUGUAGUAUAUUAUUUGAUAAAUCUAAUAAAACCAAAGUUUCAAGACCUCCAAAUGUGGACAAGAUAUCUCCUGUGAAAAGAUUCCUUGAUAAAUUUAGUUUCAGCAGACUCCUCAAAUCUCCAACAUCAAGAGCAUGUGAAUCGUUAAGGCAGAUUGAUGAUAAAUCUACUUCUAAUAUAUGUUUAAGUUUCCACAAAGUUGAGGGUAUUGCCGAACUCAAUUUGUUGGAAUUUAAAUAAAGAUAUCUCAAAGAAGUAAUAUUACCCAAACAAGAGGGUAUGGAUCCAUCCAGCUUAUUCAACCCUAAAAACAUCUCGUAUAGUCUCUCCAAACCACGAGGCUUUUUAAGAUAGGUCCUCCUAAUUUAUUUGAGGAAAGAUCUAGAAUUUUUCAUUCCUCCAAUUGAUGUCGGAAUAAAACCACUUAAUUUAUUAUGGUCAAGUUGUAAAAGUAAUAGGUUGCUUAAGUUACCUAUUUCUAUUGGAAUAUUGCCUUUAAGCUCACAAUCAAUAGCGUAAAAGUAUAUAAGGGAUGCUGAAAGGUUCCCAAUAUUAGUAGGAAGAGUGCCAUUCAAAGGAUUUUCUGAAAUAUCUACUCUUGUCAAAUUCUUGCAAUUUGUCAAAGAAGAAAGAAAGGUCCACUCAUGAUUUAUAGUAGAUCCCAUGGUCAAAUAGUUGUUUGCUAUUCGGAACCAUUCAAGGUGUCGUAAGUUACCAAACGUUUCAGGAAUUGGGCCGGAGAAGAAGUUAUCUCCCAAGUCUAGAAGCUUAAGCAUGGAAGCAUUCAAGAUAGAGUUGGGAAUGUUUCCGCGAAGUUUAUUUCGAUGCAACGAAAGAACAUUCAGCUUUGGAGCCUCGAUCAUGGGUGGCAAGGUACCUGUAAAAGUUUCAUCUUUUAGUGUGUGUAUAUAUAUAUAUAUAUAUAUAUAUAUAUUCAUUCAAUACCAAAUUCUCGAUAUAUAUAAUAAACAAAUACAGUUUUAAAAGGAAAAUUGUAAAACUUCAAAUCAAAUAAAAAUAAAAAUUUCACAUGGAAAAAUGCAAUUAAAUCAAUAUUAAAAAUGACACAUAAUAAGAAGUUCUGAAUAGUAAUUAGUCACUUAUGAUUUGUAUUAAAUAAUAAAAAUAAAUAUAACCAUUUUUAAUAAAGUGUGCAUAAAAAAUUAAAAUAAAAUUUUGAUUAAUUGAUAAAUUUAAGGUUUUACAUAUUGAUGUGAGUUCAAAUCUCACCAUAAUUUUUUUUGCUUUUUUUAAAUAAAAAGUAUUAAAUACCUUUAAAUAAUAAAAUUUAUUUUAAAUACAAAAGAAUAUUAUUAUAAUUUCUCUAAUCGAGUUUGUGCUUGGUUAACUCUUGACACUUAACCAAGCACCAACUUAAUAAGACACUUAAAUUACAAUAUAGAUAUUCACAAUCACCAAAAAAGUAAAAACUUUAUAGUUUCUAAUAACAAAUUUUAAUGAUUUAUAUAACAAGAAACUUUCUAAUUCACAUAAUUUUUUUUAUAAAUAAUAUAUUUAUAUAAUCUAAUCUAUUAUAUUUAUAUUAAUUAUAUAUCAUCAGUAAAUUUUUAUGAUCAAUUUACUGAUUAUUAAGAAGAGUAAAAAAUUAAAUUAAAAUAAUGAAUAAUUUAAUUUACAAUAAACUAUUUUUUACAUUUUGUACAUAUGCUUUAUGAUGAUAAUUAAAAAAAUGUAUUAACACUAUUUCUGAAUUAACAAAAAUAAUUAAUAUAUUUUAAUUAUAUUUAUUAUUUAUUAUUUUGAAUAAUAUUGCUUUUUUUAAUUACAUGAAAUAAAAAUAUAUUAAUUAUAUAUUAAAUAUGAUACAUAUGCUUUAAUUAUGGCUUAAAUUUUAUUAAUAUAUUUGAACUAUUAAAUAAACUAAAAUAUUUUAAUUAUGUUUAGCCAUUUGAAUAAAAAACUAAUUAAAAAAUUUAUUUAAAAAAUUAAAUGUGUAAAAUCAAGUGGAAUAUCAUAAUCUAUAUAUAUAUAAAUUUAUAAUGUGAGAAAUGAUUAUAUGAAACUGAGAUAUCAUGCCAUUUGUAUUUCUAGUAAUUUAAUGUCAUUUUAUUAUUUUCAUUUUAAAUUUCAGCAUAUCGUGUUGGAUUGAAUUUUUUUUUCAGGAGAAAAAUGUUGAAAUGACAUUAAAUUAUUGAAAAUGAAUACAAAUGACAUGGUAUCUCAAUUUCAUAUAAUCUCUUUUCAUUUCAUGUAUAUGUAAUACGUGGUUGUUUCAAUUUUUAAAAUAAAAUAUAUUUUCCACAUUGGUUUCUUUUCUUCCAAAGAUUAAGUAUUUCUAAUAUUUUUAUAUUUGUUACUUAUAUAAAAUAGAUUAGUUUAUGCAAUAAAAAAUUAAUUACUUUUUUAAAGCUUAAUGGAAAUUAAAAGUUUUAAAAUAAAUCAAUUCAAUUAAAUUUUAUUGUUUAUUAUCAAAUUAAUAAAUUUUAAUGAAGUAUAUGAUCAAAAAAGAAGAAACAAAUGAAAGUGAAAAACCUACCUUCCAAAUUGUUGUCAUAUAGAUAUAUUCCUUCGAGCAUAGUUGAAUUAAAAAUGCUUUUCGGAAUCAGCCCACUGAAUUUAAUUUCUAAUAAACUUAGCAUCUGAAGCUUGUAACAUUCACCUAUACUUGAUGGAAUAUUACCAGAUAAUUCAUUUGCAUCCAAGUAAAGCCCUUCAAGCUUGGGACAAAGGUGACACAAAGCAUUAGGCAAACUACCUGCACAAAUAGUUGAAACAUCAGGGUGUUAAACUACAUAUUUUGUUAGCAUAAGUCAAAAGAGGUUUUCUUUUCUAUUCUAGAGUAAUUUGGAGAUGUUAGAUUUUAAUAUAAUUAAGUGUAGAUUUUCUCAUCAAGUUAACUAUUUUACCUUGAAUGAAAUAAAAUGUUCUUACUUUUGUUAUCCAUUACAAAUCAAACUCUUUUAUUAAAAAAAACUUUAAAUUAAAGAAAUCAAGGAAAUUCAGUACCUUCUAAGUUAUUCAACCCCAAAUCUAAUUCUUCAAGUCUAGUCAGAUUUCCAAUACUUUUUGGAAUGAUCCCCGUAAAUUGAUUGAAGUACAAUGAGAAAUAUUUAAGGUUGUUGCAUUUGCCUAAACUUGAUGGAAUGCUACCGGAUAAUCUAUUCAAACUCAAAUGAAGCACUUCAAGCUUGGGAAGAUGUCGACACAUAUCAUUAGGCAAACUACCUGAUAGGCUAUUUCUGAAGAGACUAAUAAACUUCAGAGAAGAAAUCUUGAAGAUGGAAGAUGGAGCCUAGCCAGAUAAUUGAUUCAAUCCCAUAUUCAAGAUCUCUAGAUUGGACAUGUUAACAAGUGUUUGAGGGAUUGUGCCUGAAAUGUUAUUAUUUUCCAUUUGCAACCUUCGAACUCUGUGUAAGUUCCCAAGCCAUGAUGGAAUUUCCCCAUUAAGACGGUUGUAGCUUAAUCGAAUGAUCCUCAAACGAUGCAAUUGGCCCAAUUCUUUAGGCAGAUGGCCAUAGAAAUUGUUGCUACUCAAGUCGAGAGAAAGUAGAAAUGAAAGAUUUCCAAGGUGUGGAGAGAUAGUACCGCUAAGAUUCAUGCUUGCAAGAUUCAAAGCUAUUACUCUUUUAUGGAGGAUGCCACAUGAAACACCAAUCCAAUUACAAACAGAGGUAGAGGCCGUCCAACUGUUUGCCAAGACAUUUUGAGGACCAGCAAUGCGAUCCUUAAACUCGAGAAGCGCAAACUGAUCGGAGUUUAGAUUCCUGGCUGUCAUAGCCAAGCAAAGUACGGAACAUGGUAUGAAAAAAGCUAAAACAAGAUGAAAGCAAGUGUUGUAGUUCAUGAUUGCAAGACGGAAUAAGGCAAGAAAAUAAAAAGUAGGAAAAGGGAAGUUGAAUUGAUAAAAUAGCCCAGAGAGCAUGCUUUAAUAUGUUUCAACCCUCCCACACUUCUCCUACAUUAAAUUCAGUGGUGUUACAACAUUAAUCCAGAUUUUACAUUUUAUCGUGGAACUUUAUAAAUUUUUAUGAUGAAAAAUGUAUUUCAUAAAUUUAAGACUACGCUAAAAAUUAGAAAGGAAAGCAAAUUUUUGCAGAAAUUUCAAAAUAAAUUUUCAAAAAUACGUACUAAGAAGCAAAUUUUCAAAAUUUCUCCUAAAUUUUCUUCACAAUAGUCCACAUAAUCCAUAAAAAAAUUAAGAAAUAUAAUAUUUUUAAUUACUAUAUAUUCUUUUAUUUUUUUCACAAUAACAAAUUGGUUAAAAUAUGCUAUUAAUCCCAAUACUUUUUCAAUUUAAAAAUUCUAGUCCAAUCUAGGCCUGUUUUUGACAUUUUUGGAGCCCUAGCCGAAACUAUAAAUCAGAUCUUUUAAAAAAAUAUAAAAUGUAAUACAAUAAAAUAAAUCAAAUACUUGUAAUUUCAUUAAAAUAAUACGUUUUAUGACAUUAAGCAAAUAAUAUAUUUUUCUAACAAAAUUUUAAAUUUUUUUUCAUUCAACCUACUCCUAUGUCAUCAAUUACAAAACACAAAAAAUUAUAAAAAAAUAUGUUCUACGAGAAUUCUGAGAUGCAAAAUCAUUAAUGAUAACAUCAACAUCAAUAUUUUCCGAAAAAUCCUUCUUGGUUGAUAAUAUUGUCAGACCAUUCAACAGUUCUUGCGACAUUGACAACUUCAAGAUUCAUUUCUCUAAUAGGCUCCUUUUCGACUAAAAUGUCUCUAGUUUUGUUAUCAAGAUUAGCCCAAUUUCUAGGAUGACAAAUAUCCAAAGAAGGAAUCGUUUGUUCUUCAUCAAUGUCAAUGUCAUGAGGAAUUGCUUGUUCUUAAUUAAGAUCAAGAUUUUCAAGAUUUGAUAUAUUUGGCACAUUAUUAUGCUCAUUUGGAUCAUUAAUUUCAUCAUUCUUGUUGACAUCAUUGUGCAAACUCUCAUUUGAUUGAUCCAAAUUUACUAAAAACUACAUUUUUAAAAACGAAUUUAUCAAUAGGACCUUUCUGUGAUAUUUUUUUUAACUCUUCAGCAUGUUUUCUCUUUUUCUUUUUUUUCACUUUUAGAUAAAUGCUUUUUAGGCAACACUAUAUAUAAAAGAUAAAUCAAUUACUUAAGUAACACAAGAAAAUAAACAAUAGCACCUGAUAAAAGAUUCUAAGUUGAAUAUUUGCUUUCACAUUUGGUAAUUCCAAAACUCAAAUCGAGCGACUGUAAUUCUUUAAAGGCUUAAGGGUGCAAAAAGCCCUCAAACUUUUUCAAAAAGAGUAAUUAAGCACUUGCUUUUUUUUUUUUUACACUCAUUUGGUUACUUGAACUUUCAAAAAUACAUAAAAAAAAACCCUUAAACUGUAACACACCAAAAUUUAUAAUUUUGUUAUUGUGAAAAUUUGCCACACAAAUAUCUGUUAGCUAUAGUGGUUACUUGUUUUGGGAGUGUUUGGGAGGUCCCAAGUUCAAGCAUUUGCUUGGGAAAAUUUUGGUAUUUUGAAUGAAUUAGGCCUUACUCUUGUUCAAUGGGCUUUUAUUUGAUUGUUGGGUAAAUUACAUUAGAAUGGGUCUAUUGGUUUGGUGGUUAAAUGGUGUGUUAUUAUGGUGGAGGUAUUGUGUUCAAAUCCCUAUGCAGGCAAGGGUAUUAUUAUUAUUUGCUCAGAUUUCGGGAUAGAGUUGCGUAAUAGGUGGAUUUUGAGUAGUGGAUAUGUAGUGAGAAUUAGGGGAGAAGAUUAAGGGAUUUUAGGGGUUAUCGAGAUUUUAAUUUAUUUUUUCCAUAACCGAAUUUUGACUCUUUUUUCCAAAAAAAUUUUGCCGUCUAUUUUUCUUCCUCUCCUCUUGCCAAAAAUCUCUGAAUUUUUCCAUCUUUCUCUUCUUUUUCUUAUUCUUGAUUUUUCCCUAAUGCAUUUAUUUUCCUUCGUUUUCGCACGCGGUUAGUGCUACCUUAGUUCUGGUAAGUAUUUCUCUUCGUUUCUGUCAUGAAUCUCCUAUCGACUGAAGUGGUAAUGUUUUUUCUCUAUGAUUUGGGCGUAGGGGGCUCUACUGGUGAAUUCAGUGUUUUUGUCUUAACAAUAGUUAAACAGAGGGUUAUUGUUGGUAGUAAGUUGGGUUUCUGGUCGUUCUUGGUUGUCAAUUUGCUUGUAAAUCCGUUAAAUUGAUAUUGAGUAUCUUGAUUAUAGGAUUUGGAGUGCUCGAGGACUAUUUUAGAAUCAAACAAAACCAGGUGUGUACCAAAAAUGCAAAAAAAAGGAUUCGACAAAAAGUCAAAAUUGUUUGCUGUUUGGACAGCAACAGUAGGCUAAAUUUAUAAAAUUGUCAUAAAUUGUGGAAAUAGAAUUAGAGGAUGAACAAAAUAUGGAAUUCAAGCUUAUUUAGUAUAGUUUCUCAUAAAAGAAACAGUGUAAGUAAUGAAACUAUAAAUCAUGAGUUAUAAUAAACUUUGUGAGACAAGAUCAAAAUGAAUUCGGGUUCCCCUAUUUUGACUUUGGAAAAUCAUUAAAAAUUGGAGAAAAAUAAUUAGGGCUUAAAAUUUACAUGUUUAAAUUAUUAAUGAGUCUAUUUUCAAUAGAAAAAGAUGGAAACUUCAUCCAAAUUUUUUACAAAAAGAUAAUUAAUUUUUAGCAAAGAAUGGUCAAAGCUAGCAAACAAAAAAUAGUGGUAAGUUUGAAGAUUUUACUAUACGUAUUGGCUGAAGCAAAAAUUCUUAAAAUUUUAUGGUGGAAAGGUAUCUAAGUCUAGUUUCAAAAACAUUAAGAAAAUUUUAAUUUAAAAUUCUGUAGCUCAAGAUAUAAAUAAUUUAGUAACAGUGACUCAAGUAGACAGCUUUGAAGGAACACACAAUUAAAUAGUGAAAACAUAUAUGAAUAUUUAACUAGCACGGGUUACAUUAAAAAUGGAUCACGUGACCAAGGCCAAUUUGUGCUGAGUGGGCCACAUGGAUAUGUGAACCCAUUUUUUUGAAAAGUUUUGUAAGGUUGUACGGGUCGCCCAAGUCGACUGUGGACCUACUAUAGGGUCGGUAAGAUUUACUUAGAUCCCUAUAUAUGUGAUCUAUCUGUUUGAUUUCUAUACCGAGCAUGACUUAUGAUAUCUGAAUGUAUGUACUAUUAAUUGCAUAAUGGCAUGACAUAUUUUGUAUGUUGCAUUGCAUCGGGGUGGGUUGAUGAUAUUUGGACGAAGUGUCUAAAAGGCUAUUAAGCAUGUUAUCUGGUAGCUCAGCUGCAACAUUCUAAUUAUGUGCCGCAUUUUAGUACAACAUUGUGUGUAGGGAUGGAUGGAUUGAUUUAAUCCCCAUAUGAUGUGUAGGGUUGGACGGAGAUGGUGUGUAGAGGCUGGUGGGUGACGGAGAUGGUGUGUAGAGGCUAGUAGGUAGGAUUCUAAGUUACUGUAUCUGAUAUGGGCUAAGGCCGUAAUGUAUUUCUUAGACUGUAUCUGAACGGGCUAAAGCCCAAACUAAUUCUUUGACGGGCCUAGGCCCCAGACUGUAUCUAACUGAACUCUGUUGAUUAUUUGUAUGUAUGUUUUUCGUGGAGAUUACACACAGAGUUUGCAAAAACUCACCCUUUCUUUGUUUAAUCUAUACAGGUAAUCCCCAGACUUUACGGGUUAGUGUAGCGGAGGACUCGACGGUGCCACACGUAAGUUUCUGACUGUUUUUCGCUAAUUCCUAGAAUUUAUUACUUAUUUGGGGUUUUGAUGUAUCUUCUGGAUUAUGAAUUGGUUGGCUUUAAAUUUGAGACUUUAUGCUAUUUUUACUUUUUUUAAACUGCAACUCCACAAAACACGAUUUUUUUCUAAAAAUUAAUGAUUUUCGUAAAUAGAAGUGAUUUUUCGUAAAUUAAUUGGUUACAAAAGUUUCCGCUAAGAGACAAGUUUUAAAGCAAAUCAACUAGUUUUUUUUCGAAUUAAAUAAAAGCUAACUUACUAUAACGGUUUUUAAACUCAACAAUCUUCUCUUCAAAUUUACUGUAACAGUUUUUAAACUCAACAAUCUUCUCUUCAAAUCCCUUUCUAUGUGACAUUGCCAGAUUCGACCAUAACGUCUAGAUUGGGUUUGUGAUGUUAGAUUUAGUGGUAUGAGAGCCAGAUUAGAAAACUCAGUUGUGGGUUUGGGUUUUAAAACUUUGUUUUAAAGAAAUGAUUUUUAAAUGGUUUGAAAUAUUUUUAACUUACUAUGUGAUACACUGAGUCUCCAGUGCCGAUUCUGUAAGUGUUCUAAAAACUGUGAUAAGUUUUUGAAAAUAUGAGUAGUAUAUUCUAAAACUACUAUAAGUAGUACAUUGUACUGAGAACACUAUAGAUAGUGUAUACUGAAAAGAGUAACGAAACUGAAAACUGUAGUAAGACUGCGAUUUGUGAUAACAAACUCUAAACUUCUGAUACUAUUUUGCAUAAAAUAUAUACUAAUAGAUAUAGAAACUAUAACUAAUUCAUAAAACUGUUAGUGUUACAAAUUCUACGAUGAGCGCACGAGGUAUCCGCGGACGGGGUACUAGAGGCCGAGGUAGAGGUCGUAGAAGGGUUCGAGCUGAGUCUUCAUUGUUAGACAGCAUGCUGAAUAUGGAUACAAGUGAGAUGCCAGUUUUACCUGCUACAUAGACUGGGUCUCAUAAUCAUAUGGCUGGGGACGUCGCCUUGUCCCAGGCUAUGCUGAGGAUACUAGAGAGGGUCAGUGGGCCUAACACUGGAUCUAGAGGUCGACGGUCAGUUACGGACUUUGGUCUAAUGUGGAUGAACUAUUCAGUGGUUUCAUCGGAGUCACCCCUAACGUGGCCGAGUAUUAGAUGGAGGCCACAAAAAGAAUCAUGGAUGACCUGGACUUUACCCCUGAACAGAAAUUGAAAGAGGCUGUUUCUUUACUUUGUGAUAAAGCAUACCAAUGGCGGCUGACCGUUAAGGAGGGCACUUAGCCCGAACGACUAACUUAGGAUUUUUAUAAGUCUAAUUUUCAAAGUAAAUAUGAGGUCGAGUUUUUGAGAUUGAACCGCUAUGUGUGAGGCAUGGUGGUGAUUGAAUAUGAGCAUUGUGUCCACUUCGAGGAUGGACUUAGGGAUAGUUUGAGAGCUCUGAUAGCUCUGCAAAGGGAGUGUGACUUUUAACACUAGUAGAUAAGGCUUAGACCACAGAGGAGGUGAAGCGUGCUGAGUGUCAAAACUGGGAUAAGAAGAGAGGGAAGAAUAAGAGGAAUUCAGAGCCCUCAAAUUCUAUGAUGAGGCCUAAAAAAUGUCAGAUUUGGUGGGCCAGUUAGAGUUGGGGCACUUUUGCACCUAUUAGGAUCACGCAUUGUGGGCAUUCUGGAAGACAUCAUCCGAGCAAAUGUUGGAGGACGACUGGAGCUUAUUUAAGAUGUGGGUCUACUGAGUACUGUGUUCAAGAAGUCUGCUGAGGGCCAAUCAGGUGCAAGCUCUGGGCUCUAGUACUACACAACCACUAAGGGUAGUUCAGUAGCCACUUAGGGGCCGUGGUCAAGCUAGAGGUGGUAAUGGUAUGGGUUGUGGGUAGAGAGCAUUGGGCAGAGGUGCUGGACAGGCUAGGGAGAGACAGUCGACCCUGCUACUCAUCAUCGAGAGGAUAGAGAUGCUUCAAACAUCAUCACGGGUACGUUUCUUAUUUUUGGUGUGCUUUACACUGCAUUGAUAGAUAUAGGAUCUACACAUUCCUAUGUUGUUUGUUCUGUUUCCAAAAACCUAGGGAUUUCAGUUGAGAGUACUUCUAGUUAGGUGACUAUGUUGAACCUGCUGGGUUAAUCUGUUAGAGUUAGCAAAUAGUAUAGGGAUGUUCAUUAAGAGGUUCAAUAGAUGAAAUUUCUGGAUGAUUUGAUAGAGCUUUCAUUUGGGGAGUUCGAUAUGAUAUUGGGGAUGGACUGGUUAGUCAAGCACCAUGUCAUUUUAGAUUGUACGACUGAGAGGGUCGUAUUGAGAACUGAAGGGGGUAAUGAAGUAGUUGUGAUUGGAAAAUAUCGAAAUUACUUGGCUAAUGUGAUCUCUACAUUGGUAGUUGAGAAACUGGUUUGCAAGGGAUGUGAGAUGUAUUUGGCCUACAUAAGUGUUUUUACUUCUAAGGACUCUACUGUUAAGGACAUCAGAACUGUAAGGGAUUUUCUGGAAGUCUUUCCUGAGGAGCUACCAGGUUUACCUUUGAAUCGAGAAGUGGAGUUUGGGAUUGAGCUUUUCCUUGGUGCAACUUCAGUGUCUAUCGCUCCUUAUCGAAUGGCACCAAAGGAGCUUAUAGAGCUCAAGGCUCAAAUUCGGGAGUUAUUGGAUCGUGGGUUCAUCCACCCUACUAUGUCUCCAUGGGGGCACUGGUACUAUUUAUUAAGAAAAAGAAUAGAUCCAUGAGGAUAUGUUUAGACUACUGAUAACUAAAUAAGUUGACUAUUAAGAACAAGCAUCCACUUUUGUUGACUGAUGAUUUGUUUGACCAGUUUCGAGGGGCAUCUGUGUUCUCCAAAAUUAACUUACAUUCUGGGUAUCAUCAGUUGAGGGUUAAGGAGACUGAUGUACAUAAGACGAUAUUUAGGACUCGUUAUGGUCACUAUGAAUACCUAGAUCAGUUUGCAGUGGUGUUCAUCGAUGACAUAUUGUUUAUUCGAGGACUGAGGAUGAGUAUGAUGAGUACCUUAGGAUUAUUCUUUAGAUUUUAAGGGAAAAAUAGCUCGAUGCCAAGUUCAGCAAGUGCGAGUUUUGGUUACGUGAAGUAACAUUUUAGGGUCAUGUGGUGUCUGCUAAGGGGAUUCAAGUCGAUCCUCAAAAAAUUAAGGUUGUAUUGGAUUGGAAGCAAGCUAAGAAUGUGUUUGAGAUCCACGCUUUUUGGGGCUAGUAGGUUAUUGCCAACGGUUUGCGGAAGGAUUUCACUGAUCGCAACACCCUUGACUAAGCUAUUACGUAAAGGUGUACCUUUUGACUAGACUAAUACGUAGCAAAAGAGCUUUGAGAAGCUUAAAACUGUACUGACUGAGGCUCUUAUUUUGGUACAGCCUGAACCUGGAAAGGAGUUCACGGCUUAUAGUGAUGCAUCACAUGUCAGUUUGGGAUGUGUGUUGAUGCAGGAUGGUAAGUUGGUUGUAUAUAUGUCUCAUCAGCUUAAGGCUCACGAGAUGAACUAUUCGAUGCACGAUUUAGAGUUGGCCACUGUAGUCUUUGUAUAAGAAUCUGGAGGCAUUAUCUGUACAAUGAGAAGUGUAUUAUCUACACCGAUCAUAAAAGCCUCAAGUAUCUCUUCACUCAGAAGGAGUUAAAUCUUAGGCAGCGUAGAUGAGUUGAGCUGCUUAAGGAAUAUGAUUGUACCAUUGAGUACAAUCCCGGUAAGGCCGAUGUGGUGGCUGAUGCAUUGAGCAGUAGGGCUAUGACAGAUGUAAGAGCCUUGUUAGCUCGACUUAGCCUACUCGACGAUAGAAGUCUAUUGGUAGAACUUUAGGUUAAACAGACAUGGAUUGAACAGAUUCGAGGUAAACAGUUAGGGGACAAGUCUCUCAGGUUGCAUUUCCAUCCUGUUGAGAAUUGUGAUACUACUGAUUUUGAGAUAAACAGUGAUGGGGUACUUCGUUUCUGCGGUCAGAUUUGUGUACCAAAUGAUAAGGAUUUAAGGCAGUCGAUUCUGAAGGAGGCGUAUGGUAGUCCCUAUACUAUGCAUCCUGGCAGGAACAAGAUGUAUCAAGAUCUUUAGAAAUUAUACUAGUAGCUAGGGUUGAAGUGUGAUAUUACUAACUUCAUCGCUCGCUGUUUGACUUGUUAGCAGGUUAAGUCUGACCAUCUGUUACCUUCGGGUUUGCUACAGCCAGUUAAGAUACUGUUAUGGAAAUGGGAGCGAGUAACGAUGGACUUUGUUAGUGGGUUACCUCUAACACCCACUAAAAAGGAUUCUAUGUAGGUCAUCAUAGAUCGAUUGAUCAAGUCUGCUCACUUCAUCCCAGUAAUGACAGACAUUUCUCUUCAGAAAUUAGUUAAGCUCUAUAUAUCAGAAAUAAUAAGACUACAUGGGGUACCUGUCUCGAUUAUUUUCGAUAGGGAUCCUCGUUUCACGUUUUAAUUUUGAAAGAGGCUUCAUGAGGCUCUGGGUUCAAUAUUAGAUUUCAGUACUGCUUUCCAUCCUCAGACAGAUGGUCAGUCAGAGAGGGUGAUUCAGAUACUGGAGAACAUGUUGAGGAGUUAUGUUAUUGAUAUCUGAGGUAGUUGGGAGGAGUACUUACUGUUAGCAGAGUUUACCUACAAUAAUAGCUUCCAAUCUAGCAUCCAGAUGGUACCUUACAAGGCACUGUAUGGUCGUAAGUGCCGCACUCUUUUAUGUUAGACUGAGUUGGAGCGACGUGUUCUAGGUCCUGAGUUGGUGUCUGAGACAGAGGAUAAUGUUAGAUUGAUUUGGGAUCGUUUGAAAGCGGCUUCUGAUAGGCAAAAAUCUUAUGCGGAUUUGAAGAGGUGUGAGAUCGAGAAUCCUGUGGGGGACUUAGUUUUUCUUAAGGUCCUUCCAUGGAAAAAGGUUCUGAGGUUCAAUUGCUAGGGCAAUCUGAGCCCACAAUUUAUUGGACCUUAUCACAUUUUGAAACAUGUGGGACCUGUCACUUAUCAAUUAGAGUUACCUACGGAGUUAGACUACAUUCAUGAUGUUUUUCACGUUUUGAUGUUAAGGCAUUACCGCUCUGAUCUUGCAUGUUGUUUCUGUUGAGGAGAUUGAGGUUAGGCCAGACUUGACUUUCGAAGAUGAGCCGGUUCAGAUUCUGGAGCGUGAUGUAAAGGUCCUUCAGAAAAAGUCUAUUCCCUUAAUGAAGGUUAUUUGGCAUAAUAAUAGCACUAAGGACGCCACGUAGGAGCCUGAGGAUAUGAUGUGUCAGCAAUAUCUUCAUAUAUUUUGAUCAGGUAAAAUUUCAAGGAUGAAAUUUUCUUUUAGGAGGUAGGGUUAUAACGCCCCAAAAUUUUUAAUUUCAUUAUUGUAAAAAUAUGACACAAAUAUCUGUCAGUUUUAGUGGUUACGUGUUCUGGGAGUGUUUGGGAGGUCCCAAGUUCAAGCUUUCGCUUGGGAAAAUUUUGAAAUUUUGAAUGAAUUAGGCCUUACUCUUGUUCAGUAGGCUUUUAUUUGAUUGUUGGGUAAGUUACAUCAGAAUGGGUCUGCUGGUCUAGUGGUUAAAUGGUAUGUUAUUAUGGUGGAGGUUUUGUGUUCGAAUCACUAUGCAGGCAAGGGUAUUAUAAUUUUUUGAUCAAAUUUCAAGAUAGAUUUGUGUUAUUAUGGAGUGCUCAGGGCUGUUUUAGCAUUAAACAAAACCAAGUGUGUACCUGAAAUGCAAAAAAAAGGAUUCAGCGAAAAGUAGAAAUUGGUUGCUGUUUGGACAACAACAAUAGGCUAAAUUUGAAAAAUCUCCAUAAAUUAUGGAAAUCAAAUUAAAGGAUAAAAAAAUAUUGAAUUAAAGCUUAUUGAGUCUAGUUUCUCAUAGAAGAAACAGUGUAAGUAAUGGAAUUGUAAAUCGUGAGUUAUAAUAAACUUUGUGAGACAAGGUCAGAAUGAAUUCGAGUUCUUCUGUUUUGGAUUUGGAAAAUCAUCAAAAAUUGGAGAAAAAUAUAAAAUUUACAUGUUUAAAUUAGUAACGAGUCUAUUUUCAAUAGAAACAAAUGAAAACUUCAUCCAAAUUUUGUACUAAAAGAUAAUUAAUUUUUAGCAAAGAAUGGUCAAAGUUGUCAAAUAGCAAAACAGAGGUAAGUUUGAAGAUUUUACUGUACGUAUUGAUUGAACCAAAAAUUCUAAAAAUUUUAUGAUGGAAAGGUAUCUGAGUCUAGUUUCAAAGACAUCAAGCGGAGUUUAAUUUGGAAUUUUGUAGCUCAAGAUAGAAAUAAGUUAGUAACAGUGUCUCAAGUAGACAGCUUUGAAGGAAUACACAAGUAAAUAGUGAAAACAUAUAUGAAUAUUUAACUAGCAUAGGUUACAUUAAAAAUGGAUCAUGUGGCCAAGGCUAAUUUGGGCCGACUGGGCCAUAUAGAUAUGUGAGCCUAUUUUUUUGAAAAGUUCUAUAGGUUACACGGGUCGCCCAAGUCAACUAUGGACCUACUGUAGGGUCGGUAAGCUUUACUUAGACUCCUAUAUAUGUGACCUAUCUGUUUGAUUUCCAUACCGAGCAUGACUUAUGAUAUCUGAAUGUAUGUACUAUUAAUUGCAUAAUGGCAUGACAUAUUUUGUAUGUUGCAUUGCAUCGAGGUGGGUUGAUGAUAUUUGGAGGAAGUGUUUGAAAGGCUAUUAAGCCUGUUACUUGGCAGCUCAGCUGUAACCUUCUAAUUAUGUGCCGCAGUUCGGUACAGCAUGGUGUGUAGGGAUGGGUGAGUUGAUUUAAUCCCCACAUGAUGUGUAGGGUUGGCCGGAGAUGGUGCGUAGAGGCUGGUGGGUGAUGGAGAUGGUGUGUAGAGGCUGGUUGGUAAGAUUCUAAUUUACUGUAUCUACAUUCUGUAUCUGAUAUGGGCUAAGGCCGUAAUGUAUUUCUGAGACUGUAUCUGAACGGGCUAAGGCCCAAACUAAUUCUGUGACAUGCCCAGGCCCCAGACUGUAUCUAACUGAAUUCUGUUGAUUAUCUAUAUGUAGGUUUUUUGUGGGGAUUACACACUGAGUUUGCGAAAACUCACUCUUUCUCUGUUUAAUCUGUACAUGAACGGGUCGGUACAGCGGAGGAUUCGGCGGUGGCCACACGUAAAUUUCGGACUGUUUUCCGCUAAUGCCUAGAAUUUAUUACUUAUUUGGGGUUUUUUAUGUAUCUUCUAGACUAUGGACUGGUUGGCUUUAAAUUUGAGAUUUAUACUUUUUUAUGGUUUUUUUUAAACUGCAGCUCCAAAAAAAACACGAUUUUUUCCUAAAACUAAGGAUUUUCAUAAAUAGAAAUGAUUUUCCGUAAAUUAAUUGGUUGUAAAAGUUUCUGCUAAGAGACAAGUUUUAAAGCAAAUCAACUAGUUUUUUUCCCGAACUAAAUAAAAGCUAACUUAAUGUAACAGUUUUUAAACUCAACAAUCUUGUCUUCAAUUCCCUUUUCAUGUGACAUCGCCAGAUUCGAUCAUAAUGUCUAGACCAGGUUUGGGGUGUUACACAAACCUUUUCAAAAAAAGCAAUUAAGCCCUGCUUUUUUUUUCUACACUCAAUUGGGUUCUUGAACUUUCAAAAUGCAUCAAAAACAACCUCAAACUUUUUCAGAAAAAGCAAUUAAGCUCUUCGUUUUAUUAAAAAAUAGAAAAAAAUUAUAAAAAAAUAAAAUCAAUAAAAAUUAUACAUAUACAUAUGAUGUGGAAAAAAAAAGAUGAUGUGUGAUCUUUUAAUUGGACAGGACCGUGGAUGAUGUGAUGGAAAAGAUCUAUAAAAUAAUUUUUCCUAAUUUAAGGGUUAGAGAGGGUUACUAUAGUUAAAUUAUAUCAAUUUUUUAAAUAUUUAAAAAGGAUUUAUAAAUAAUAUAAGUAAAAGAUAAAAAAAGAAAGAAACAUAUUCAUAUUUAUCGGCUUUUUCAUUAUAAACUUUUUUUGUUCAUGUAAAAUUAGGACGUGAAUAAUUUUAAACGUUUCAUCAUUGCAAAAAUGAAAUAAUAGAAAAAAAAAAAAAAAGACUAUAUGAAUUUGCAUUUGGUUCUUUCUUUUAAUACUUGUCAUGGGUGUAGAAUUCUCUCACCAGUUUCCAACAACUUGACGUGAUUUCUCAAUCACAAUUAAUGUUUUUGAAUGAGACAAACAUUUGAAUGGGUCUUUAGGGUUAUAAUUAGUCCUUGCUUUACUUCGGGUGGAUUCUUCCAACUAGUCCAAGAAUUAUUGUACAAUCACAAUUAGUCUUUUUGAAUGAGACAAACAGUUCAAAUGUAACAUAAACGGGUCUUUAGGGUUAUACUUUAGUUAUUAAGAGCCUUUCUACAAUUUGUGAUUGAUUUGAGGGACAAGAGGUUGAGAUUGCAUUUAACAUGGACUGACUUUUCUAUAAUUAGUCCUUGCUUUACUUUGGGUGGGUUCUUUUUAAAUGAUUUCUCAAUCACAAACAAACUUUUUAAAUGAGACAAACAUUUCAAUUUUAACAUAACGGGUCUUUAGGGUUAUUCUUUCAGUUAUUGAGAAUAUUUUCCACAAUUUGUCAUUACUAUUUGUGAGUGAUUUCUGGAUCACAUUGCAUUUAAGACGGUUCUUUGGAGCUUUUCGUAUCUUUAACGUAGACUGACUUUUCUAUAAUGAGUCCUUGGUUUGCUUUGCAUGGAUUCUUCCAACUAGUGUGAUCCUUGGCAUUACUUUUCAAACACUGACGAAAUUAAUUUGAAGAUAUCUGUUUUUUUUUUUUUUUCAAUAGAGUGAAUUCACAAGUUCUAUUUUCUUUUAAUUGUUUUUUUAGUAUUUUCAUGGAUUUCAGGAGAUAUUGAAAAUUAUUUUACCAUGAAAUUUUAAGUCAUCGAAAAGUAAGUGUUUUAUUUCAAGGGAUCACAAUUAAACAUUAGAUUUUCCACUUUUAACUUUUUAAUAUUUUUAUAAUUAUAUAAUUGACGAAGUACUAAUUUUGGACAUUGUAGAGGUGUUAUAACAUUCUUUAUGCAUAACCGACUAUUAAACUCACUUUUUUCUCUAGAAUUUAACACAAAAUUCAAAUUUAUCUUUUUAAAAGAAUUUUAAAUCCCUUUACAAAAAAAAAAGAAGUGAUUUUUAAGUGAUGAAUUGUACUUAACAAAAAAAUCAAUGGUGACUCCCUUUUAAAAAAAAACCCUUUUUAAAAGAAUUUUAAAAUCUCUUUACAAAGGAAAAAAAAAAAGCUAUUUUUAAGUGAUGAAUCACACUUAACAAAAAUAUAAAUGGUGACUCCCUUUUAAUAAAACCUUCUGUUUUUUUUGGAAAGACCAAAAUUUCAUUCCCCAGCUAUUUAAUUUGUUCUAUUUUAAUAAUCUAAACUGUUAGCUAACUUUUCCACAAUUCUACAUCUCUAUUUGUGAGUGGGCACAAAAACUUGGACAUUUCUUGAUGAAAUUUAAUUCAAUUGCAUUUAGUAUCACAUGAUUUUCUUUUAUCAUUUUAAUCUAUAAACUGUUUCAAAAACAAUACCACGUCGACAUUAAAUUUGCUACUACAUAUUCAAUUUUUAGACGGGACGUUGAAAUAUUAAUUUCACUAUGAACCAAGGGAGAUAUAAAUGUUUUCAUUGGUUUGAAAGUAAGAUUCUCUCAACAAUUAAUUAUAGAUAAUUCAUAAAUGAAUAAAAUUUUAAUUAAUAUUUUAUAAAUAUAUCAAAUGUGUUAAUUAAUUAUGAUUUUAGGUACUUUUUUGUGUGAAUUAAGUGAAAUAAGCGACAUAAACAAUAAAAAAGAACUAGAUCUUCAAUGGGGAAACUUCAAAAAUUUGAAGACCUUCUCUCCUAUCUUUAACUUGUCUUGUGAUUCUAUCAACUUCUCCAUUAUGUUCCCUAGGGAUAUGUUGAAUGCCCUAAUGUCUUACUCUGGAUAAAUUUUGGUGAAUUCUCUUGAUUAGAGUAGAGUCUAACUCAUUACAGGCCUCAUUUUGAAUUGCUAUGACUAUCUCCAUGUUGUCAGUUUAAAUUAUCAUGCUGCCGUAUUUCCACUCCAAAAGAAGCGUUACUCCAUCUAAGAUGUCCCAGAAUUCAGUUUCUAUAAUAGAGCGAAAGCCCAAGUACCUGUUGUAACCUAGAAUCCAUCCUCCAUUCUGAUCUCGAAAAACACCCACGACUGCAGCAAAACCGGUUCCCUCAUGAACAAAACCAUCAGGUCUUAAGCAAACCCAAUUAAUUGUCCAAGAUCGAAGGUGGUAUUGGGAUAUGCAAAGCCUCCUUAGUUACCUUAUUAUUAGAGAAUCCAUAGUGUUUAGCCUAACUAUAUGAUACUUUGAUGAUAUCAUUUUAACACCAUGGAAUACCCAGAAAUAAAAGUAAAUUAUGAUUUUUCCAUAUCUGCUACACUGUAAGACAAAAGAAACAUUGCCAAUCAAUAUCCCCUAGAUGUAUUUGAUGAUGAUUUUUCAUAUUCGAAGCUAGCCACUCUAUUAGGUCUCGUGAGAAGAAUAGAGGUAUCUUAUCCGCAGGGACAAUGAUCUCCCAAAUAUCUCUAGCUGCAGAACAAUCUCAAGGCAUGUACCACAUCUUCAACCUUGAUAUUACAGUACCAAUACUAUCCAUACUAAUAUGCCUCCUCAUUCUUUCCAUAUUAGUUAGCUGACGUUGCUAGAUGGCAAGCCAAAUGAAGUAUUUAACCUUUUGAGGUCCCUAGAAUUUCCACGAAAGUUGCUAAACACUCUUUUUUUGGGUAACCAUGUAAGUGGGCAAUCCAUCGCCAAAUUAAAAUGAGAUGGGAUAAGCUUACAGAGAGGACAAACGUUAGGAAUCCAAGGAUCUUUCUAGCAUUUAAUACUGCAACCAUCUCCCAUUGACCAAAUUAAGUUUUCUCAAAUCAGUGGCCAAACUUUCGCCAGACUUCUCCAAAGAAAGGAACCACUACUUUGAGCCAAGGUUUCUGGUAAGCCAUUCUGGACUCUAUAUUUAUACUUCAGGACACGACCCAUAUAUCUUCCAAGUCUAAUACGAUUUUAAAGCUAAUUUUCAUCAUGAAAGCCAUGUUAUGAUCUUGUACUUGCCUUAACCUCAAACCACCAGUUAGUUAUCGCUGACUAACUGAAUCCCAACAAACCAACACCUUUUUCUACCUCUAUUAGAAGGUUCCCAUAUAAAUUGUCUUACCAAACACUCAACCUCAUCACAAAUAACUUUGGGAAUCAUCAUAGACUGCAUAAAAAAACUUAAUAUCAUUAGAAGCACUGAUUGAGCAAGUGUAGCCCCUCCAGCCAAAGAAAGUUUCCACGCAUCCAAACUAUCCAACUUGCAACAAAUCUUGUCCUCCAUGAACCUUAGGGUGCCAUUUGUAACUCGCUCAUGGAAGAUUGGUACACCUAAAUAAGUUUCCAAAUUAUUCACUUUAUGAAACCCUAAAAAGUUACUAAUCUCCCAAGCUAAAUCCUCAUCAACCCCUUUAAAGAGAAUCAUGUUGGUCUUUUUCACAUUUAUUCAAUGUCUAGAAAACUAACAAAAACUGUUCAAUACACCCUUGGGAAUGUGGGCUUGUUGAACAUUGGCUUGACCAAAAAUAAUGAGGUCAUCUGGAAAAAAAAGUGAGAAAGAGGUGGACCCAAACGGGUCAAUCUAAUCGGAACCCAAAGUUUUGAGUCAAUGUGGGCCUGAAUGCUAUGACCAAGCCACUCCAUACACAAGACAAAUAAGCACAGAGAUAGAGGUCAACCUUGACAAACCACUUUAGCCGGCUUAAAUUUUGUGUAGGAAUGCCAUUCUAAAGAAUCUGUAAGGUAGAGUUAGUAAUAGCAGACAUAAUUACAUUAAUGAGAGAAUUCGGGAUGCCUACAACCUAUAAAGAAUAAUGAAAAUCAUGAAAUAUUAAUAUAUAAUAAUAUAUUAUAAUGAUAAAAAUAGAUAAUAAAACUAAAUAUUAAUAUAUAGUAAUGAUAUGAAGACUUAAAAUCAUGAAAUAUAAUAAAAUGAUAUAUACAAAAAUAGAUAAAUGAAAGUAUAAACAAUAUAAAAAUAACAGGAAUAUUAAUAAUGGCAAUAAUAAUAAUAACCAAAAGGACUAAAUUAUAAUUUAAAGAAGCUUAAGUCUAAAUUUUAAAAUAAAAAUAGAAAUAGCAAUCUGAAGGGUCAGGAUGAAACGCGCAAAAAGAUAUAGGGACUGAUUGGGAAAUUAAUUCCUGUUUCUCUAAACGACGCCGUUCCAUUGAGGGAUUAAAAUGAAACACGCAAAUUAUAUGAGGGAAAGUAAUCUGUCUCCCCAAAACACUGUGUUUUACGCAGGAUUAAAAUGAAUAAAUUAAAACUAAACAAGGUAAAUUUAAAAGAACAAACCAACAAAAUUGCAACACUGAGAAGAUAUGGGGGCAAUUGUGAAAUAUCCCCUGUGGACCCAAAACACGCGGAUCUGGUAGUGAUCGGGUCGGGUCUCAGGUCAAUGGCCUAUACGACGUCAUUUUGAGGUCAUGAAGCAGGCCUCAAACGACGUCGUUUCACAGAAGUUAUAAAACCCCAAAAGAAAUUUUGAAUAUUUACCUGCCAUUUCAAAAUAGAAAAGUGGUAAAAACCUUGACCAUAUUCUCAAUUCUCUCCCAGAUAAUGUCUCUAAAAGUGGUGGUUUCUUUACUGCCACCGCUGGCCAAGACUCCAACAAAGCUUACGCUCUUGGGCUGUGCAGUGGAGACUUAAAUCCACACGAUUGUUAUGGCCUUGUGAAAUCCGCGGUUCCUGAUCUCAGAGAUAAAUUUCCCGAUCAGAAAGAAGUCAUUUCAUGGUCAGGUGAUCCCGCAUGUACUGUACGAUUUGCAAAUCGCCCCUUUUUUGGAAUCCUGGAGCUAGAGCCUACUACUGCUGGCACUAUCACGCACGACGUCGGCUCCAACUUACGACGAUUUGAUACGAUUUGGGAGAGUUUAACAGACGGUUUGGUGAGAAACGCUUCCAACGGCUCUUCUAGUCGUAAAUAUGCAACUGGCGAAGCAUAUUUUAUAGUAUCUCAAAACAUAGACGCACAAAUGCAGUGAACUCCAGACAUAUCACAGGAGGAAUGUGAUUCCUUCCUAUUGACACCAUUUUCUUGACGAAAAACGGGGUCGACUUGGGUUUUGGAAAAUGAAAACGAAAAUGGGAGUCGCCACCGAUCCUUUUUGAUGAGGUGUGAUCGGAUCACCUCGAAAAGUGGUUGUUUUUAAUAAACGGUUUGAUUUUAUUAAAACAACAAGUUUGGUACAUGAAAUUCAGAAAAACAAGUUCGGGAGUCGGUUACGCACGAGGAAGGAUUAGCACCCUCGAUACGCCCAAAAUUGGUACCUAGUUUAUUUGUUAAUGUCUUAAUGUCGAUCCUUGUAUUAAAACGUUGAAAAAUUUUCAGGAAAAUGGGCAUAUUUCACGUUAUUCGAGAAAGAGAAUCAUAUCCAGUAAGUUAGGGUACAAUGUCUCGAAUUCCCGAUAUGCGAAUGAAAAAUGCUUAUUUAAAAGAUAUUUAACUAUCUUGGAUUUAAAAAAGGGAUCACGACUAGUAAGUUAGGACACGAUCCUUUUUUAAUUCCCGAUAUCGUUUAAAACUUGAGUUUGAAAAGACUCGUGUAAUAAAGUUUAAAAGAAUAUUCAAUUAUUUAAAUCAAAUGAAGAAAUCGCAACCCAAUACCUUAGGGCACAAUUUCUCAAAAUAUUAAACAUUGAAUAUUGCAUUUAUUUCAAAAAAUCCUCGUUUCGAGAAAACAACGUGUCACAUCCAAUGCGUUAGGACACAACAUAUUGAAUUCUCGAUAACGAGCUUUUUAUCAUUUUUAAAAGAGUAAUCUCGAUUAUUUAAGUUCAACGAAGAAAGUCGGAACCCAAUACGUUAGGGCUCAAUUCUCUCGAAGAUCCAAAAUACCGAAUAUUACUUAUUUCUAAAAUUUCUUUUUCGAAAUCUAAAUAAAAAUGGGUGUAAUGGAAUAACGAUGAUAAUGAUGUAAGUAAAAUAAUAAUACGAGCAAUAGCAUCAAAGAUAAUAUAAAUAAAAAAGGACAAAUCAAUAGCAUCAAAAUAAAUAUAUAAGCAAAAUAAUACAAGCAAAGGCUACGAAGUAAAAUAAAUACAGAGACGAACUAAUGUAAUACACAAUCACAAGCAUAUGAGCAAUAAAGUUAAAACAUUCAUUCUAAAUAAUGAAAAUAUAAAUAAUGAAAUAAACAAAGAAAAUGUAUAAAAAUAUAAAAAAAUAAAAGAUAUAUAUAUGUGUAUAGAUAUAAAUUAAUGAAAUACGAAAAAAUAUAUGUAUUUACAUAUAGUUUUAAGUUAUGAAACAAAAUAAAAACAUAUGUGUAUAUAUAAUUUUAAGAUAUAAAAUCUAUUAAGGUAAAUAUAUAAAGCUUUUAAGUUUUAUAAUAAUAAAAAAUAUGCGUAUAUAUUUAGUAUUAAAAAAAAGAAAUAUACAUAUGCAUGGAAAUAGUUUUAAGUUACAAAAUAUAAAAAAAUAUGUAUAUGUACAUGCACGUAUAUAAAGACUAUAAAAGGUAUGCAAAAGUAUAUAUGUAUAUAUAUAUAUAUAAGCUAUUAUGUAAUAAUAAUAUGAUAAGUAACAAUAAUAUAAAUAAUAAUAAUAGAAAUAAUAAUAAUAAUAAUAAAAUUACUGAAAAAAGGGACUAGAUCGAAAUAAAAAAUACUGGGAGAAUUCGAAUUAAAUAAAAAGACUAAAAGGACUAAAUUGUGACACGCGCCGAAAGAGGGGGCCAAAAAGGAAAAAUAAGUCAAAGUCCCAAAACGCAGCACUGAAAUGGACCAAAUGAAACAAAAAUAAAAAAUUGCAGGGCUAAAUUAAAAAUAAGAGAAAAUAACGAAAAAGGAUCAAAUUGUAAUACACUGCAAAAUUAGGGGGACUGCACGCGCAAUUAAUCCAUUAGGAGAAAACACACGGAUCCUCCCCUUCGGGUCGGGUUGACGCGCGGAUCUCCCUCACUAAAACGGCGUCGUUUCAUGUUUAAUAUAAAUACUAAAAAUAAGCUUAAAAAAAGCAGUUUCAUCAUUUUUUAAAAAAGUACAGAGAGAAAACUCUCUUUUUCUCUCUCUCAAACCCCAAUUUCGGCCAUGGUUCGACCAAGGAUUCCGGCCAGCCUCCGCCAUAGCGCCACCGUGUGUGGCUGUUGGAGGUUCAAAAUCAGACCUUUUUGGUCCCUUUUUUAAGCCAAACGUCUCUAGGACGUGAACCCAAGGCCAAAUCCCCGGAAAAAGGAGCCCAAAACCUGAAGAACGAGAAGAACCGUUCAUCUCCUCUUCCUCUGGCGCGGCGCAGGUAAGGUUUUCUUCCCCUUUUUUUUGAUUUUUUUAAAGAAAUAAAGUCGAAAUAAAUACUAAUGAAACAGAAAAAUAAAAGAGAAACAGAGAAAUAAAAGUUGAAAUCACCUUAGUUUUUUUAAACUUUAAAUGAGUGUGUAAAAAAGGAGAGAACCCCCAUUUACAGUGUUCGGCUUUUGCCGAAAGAGAAAGAAGAAAAAAAAUCCAGAAAAAUCCCCCCUUUUUGUUGUUGAAGUUCGGCCCUUUUUAUCUAGCCAAAGAAAAGAAAAAUAAAAGACUAAAAAGCUACUGUCCAUUGCUUUGUUUUCUUUUCUGUUUCUAUUUCCUUUUCGUGUUUGCAGGUGGCUGAACAGUGCAGGCACCGAUGGGACGUGCGGCAGUGGCGGCAGGUCAAGUGGCCGACCCUAGGUUGUGGCGCUAGGCUAGGCUAGGGUUUCAGAAAACUGAAACCCUAGUUUGAAAUUUGGGCCUGAUUUGGAUGUUGGGCCUGGUUGGGCUUCGGGUUUGGGUUCAAUUGUAAAUAGGUUUUGGGUUUGUUUGGGUGUAUUCCGGGUUUUUGGGCCGGUGUUUAGGGGGUUGGGUUAUUUAAUUUUGGUAAUGGGCCCGGGCAAAAAUGGGCUUGUACAGCUGCCCCUCUUUGCUUAUUGUCGUGUAACGAGAACAAAGCAAAGACUAAGAAAGACCAAUUUUUGCCCGGUCCUGCUGAUUCUUGACUUGUUCAACGCCUCUCUUUUCAAGUAGCUAUAUUUCAGUCCACUAUGUCUUGUCACUUCAAUCCACUCCACUCCACUUCAGAAAGACAAGACUUGUAGCUUCAAUCCACUCUGUUGUAACUUUAGGGGGUGAGAUCUGCUGUUGUAGCUUCAAUAUUUUUAAUUGCAAUGUCAGGGAAGUAAGAUCCGCUAUUGUAGCUUCAAUCUGUUCCACUGCAAUGCUAGGAAAGUAAGAUCCGCUGUUGUAGCUUCAAUCUUUUUAAUUGCAAUGUCAGGGAAGUAAGAUCCGCUGUUGUAACUUCAAUCUGUUCCACUGCAACGCUAGGAAAGUAAGAUCCGCUGUUGUAGCUUCAAUCUUUUGAAUUGCAAUGUCAGGGAAGUAAGAUCCGCUGUUAUAGCUUCAAUCUGUUCCACUGCAACGCUAGGAAAGUAAGAUUCGCUGUUGUAGCUUCAAUCUUUUGAAUUACAAUGUCGGGAAAGUGAGAUCCGCUGUUGUAGCUUCAAUCUGUUCCACUGCAACACUAGGAAAGUAAGAUCCGCUGUUGUAGCUUCAAUCUUUUAAACUGCAAUGUCAGGGAAGUAAGAUCCGCUGUUGUAGCUUCAAUCUGUUCCACUGCAACACUAGGAAAGUAAGAUCCGCUAUUGUAGCUUCAAUCUUUUGAACUGCCAUGUCAGGGAAGUAAGAUCCGCUGUUGUAGCUUCAAUCUGUUCCACUGCAAUUCUAGGAAGGUAAGAUUCGCCGUUGUGGCCUCAAUAUUUUAAUUGCAAUGUCGGGGAAGUGAGAUUUGCCGUUGUAGCUUCAAUCUAUUCCGCUGCAUCGCCUGGGAAGUAAGAUUCAUCGUUGUGGCUUCAAUCUUUUAAAUUGCAAACUAUGGUUUCUUCGAUCUGCUUCGCUGUCAGUACAGGAAGGCAAGAUCUGCUAUCUCAUUGGUCUGUUCUCUAGGGAACAUGACCUGUAUAAUCCAUUUGAUGGACCUAUUUAUGCCUAGUGAUUAGGAUGAAAUGAUCAGAAUGAAUCAAAUGCUCCUAACUAGAUGUGUAUGAAUGACAUUUGAUUGAAUGCAAAAUGUCAUGAAAAUGAUUCCUUAAUGCUUAGGUUAUCAUCACGCAAAAGCUUAUUAAGGCUUUAUCACUGACGUGCUACAACGCCUUCUUGUUCGGCUGGCAUAUCCAAAGAAACACUUAAUCUGAUUGCCCCUUACUGUGAACGUUGAAGUUCAAUCCACUGGGACAUAAAAUUUGUACCAUCAAUCUCCCACUGUAACCCAAGGGUAGAAAUAUAUGGCUUUUCUUAAUCUUCUCCUAUCGCAAUUCAAGGAUACAAAAUGUGAAGCUCUUUGGUCCUUUACCUCAUUCCUAGGUGUCAUACCAAAUGCUCAUGCACAAUUGCAAAAUUUUCUUCUCCCAGAAAACCUUUUCUUAUCACUCGGUAAUCCUUGCUUGUUUGUUCAUUGAAGCUUUGUCACCAACACGGCAUCUUGUCAUUUUGUUCAAUGUUUGGACAACAAAAUCUAAAAGGAUAGUCUUUAACUUAGACCCUUCCUUCUUAGAUAUUUCACCCUUUAAACUUGGUGUUUUCUGAACAAUAGUCCUAUUUCAGGUUCCUAUAUUAUUUAGAAACUUCUAGAGUAAUAUGCAAAACUUCCAUUGUGAAAGUAUUAUUAGUCCAUUAAUCAUUAUUCUAAUGCAACAUGCUUGCAAAAGAUCAUAACGAUAGAUAAAAUAGAAUUGAUUUGAGAGCAUAACUCGAAAUGAAUAAAGUAUCAAGGAUAGCAAGAAUAAAAAGAGGAAUUGAUUGGAACAUGUAUCUUGAAAAAGAAUGAAGUAUUCCAAGAACAACAAAUUCAAUAAAUAGUAUGAAGGUUAGGUGCCCCAGAUAUCGCAGCUUGAACUUCUCUUUACAAACUUUCUGAAGACCUUUCUGAGUUUGACAUGUGUUUAGAAGAUCUACAGGACUUUGCCGAUGCCCCAAGACAUCGCCUUACCCUUUCAGGUAUAGCAAGAUCACCACAUGCCCUAAUCUGAUCACUUCAUGCCCCAUUCUGAUCAAUAUUUGAGCCGCCCUUCGGGUUUUCAACUCAAAUCCCCUUUGGCCUAAGGUGCCCUUUGCGGGUUUUCCCCUUAGCCUCUUCAUUUUUAUGAAUUAUAGAGCAUGCUCCACCGCAGUGAAUCAAAUUCGGUGGAGUGGAGGACUUUUUUUCACUACUUUAUGCUCUAUGCUCCAAGUUUUGUAUUCUUCUUCCGAGACCUGCAAUGGGAAAAUAAAAAAAAUAAGAAACAAGUCUGAAUUAACUUUGAAAAUUAGAAAUUUUCAACAAAAUUGAAAUAAAAUAUAAUUAAUCCACAAAAACUAUAAAAUGCAAUGAAAACGAACCUAAAUACUAAAAUUACCACCUAAAAUGCUAUAGAUACUAUAAUAACUCUAAAUAUGAUAGUUAUCAGAAGCGACCUGAAGAAGCCAAUCGUGUAGAUGAUUUCAACUAUUGCAAAUACCAUCCAUCGAUUAGGCAUCCUCUUCAGAAGAUCACCGAGUUUAAAGAAAAAAUCAUACAACUCCAUGAAGAAGAAAAAAAUCAUGUUUGAAAAAGAAGUGGCAUUAUCAAACUUGACUUCAAUGCUUUGGUUUCUCAAUACAAUAUUAUGGACAGAUUCAUCAAAUUUGGCUCUUUCAAUCCUAUUACACUAGCUCUAAGUAGAAGUAAGAUGGUGAAUUUCGAAGGGAUUGGGGGCAAUCAUCUAUUUUUGGAAUAUCAGAAUGGUCAUGAUUGGACUCUAGCCACAUGUCAAAGAAGCCAAUGAAAAGCAUCUCUCCUAGGUAUAAGCUUAUAUUGUCACAUUGCUCCUAAGCACGAACUUCAUCCAAAAUGAUGAUGCUGCUAAGCAUGACCUUAAACUGUUCAUCUAAUGCUCCUAAUAAGGAGCCUAAACUAUUCAACCCAGACGGUCAUGCUUUAAGCACAAUCUUAAACUAUUCAUAAAAACUAAAUGAUGAUCCAAUGAAGCACGAGCUUAAACUAUUCAUACGAAAUAAAUGAUGACCUCCUAAGCAUGAAUUUAAAUUGUUUAGACAUAAUAAAUGAUGAUACUCCUAAGCACGAGCUUAAAUUACAGUCCAAAAAAAUUUAAACUACGUUAUAACUUGAUCUUUUAAAAAAGAAGGUACAUAGAUAGCCUGGUUUCAUUGCCAAGUUCAGUCUAUAUGAAAAUAAUAAAAUUGAGGGUGACCUUUGAAACAAAUUCUUCAAAGUAGGAAGCAAAUAAAAUUUCAAGACUUGUCCCCUUUCUACGCCCAACAAAAUUCAGAAUUCAUCAUUUGUUAUUACUGUAAUAAUAUCUCUUACUAAAUUAAUGAAAGGAUAAAUCAAAAAAUUAAAUCCUUUUAGAACUCUCUUAGAAAGAAACCAUAUUCUUUAAGGAUUACUUUAUCUCUAAUUAAUUAAAUUAAUAAAAAAUGAAUAAUAAUAAUAGAGUUAAAUUUCUACAAGAACUCUUAUAUCAAAGUGAUUGACACUAUAAAAAUGGGUCACCUCUAAGUCAUCCUACACAUUCACAAGUUCAAGAAGUUGAAAAAUUCAUUACAAAAAUAUUUGAAGAAAUUAAAGUAGAAGAAAUUCUGAUGAACAUCAUAUCAAUUGAGAGGAGGAUGACAACAGAAGAGAAGAAUCAAAAGGAGUUUUGUUUGUAAAGAAAUUCAAAACUUGUACAGUCUUCGAAAUUAUAAAUAAAAUUUGACGUAAAAUUUUCAAGUAAAUUUUCAACUUGAAAUUUGUGUGUACAAUAUAUAUGGGAAAGAAUCCAUUUACAUUAUAUAAAACUAGUGUAUGUAUAAUACAGAAAUAUUUAGUACAUUAUCAAUAAAGUUUUUAAACUAUGCACCUGUGAUUAAAACCAAAAUAAUAAUAAUAAUAAUAAUAAUAAUAAUAACCAAUCACUUUAUUUGACUAAUUUUUCCCUACAAGUCUUUAGUAUGGAGAGAAAUCAGUUUAAUCAGUCUUUGGAGCUAUUAACUGACUUUUCCACCAUUGAUUUGAAAAUCAUAACCCAUCAAUUCGCUUUAAAUGAAACGAGAUCCACGAGUGUUUGGUGUUAUAUUUUUAAAAUGUAUUUACAUGAUUGUUUAUUAAUUUUAUUUCUUUAUAUUUAAAUCAAAUGUAAUAAAUUGUUGAAUUUAUAUACUUCUUAUUAUAACAAUAUAUGGACUAUCUUUCUACUUCUCUUUUUAAUUUAAUUUUUUGUAACUCUUCACAAUUUAUUUUGAAAAACAUUGAAAAAACUCAAUUGGAAAAAGUCUUUAAAUUAUUUUUAAAUUGUAACAAAUAUUAUUAUUAUUAAGAUGUUUUUCUUUUUAUAUUUUUUAUAAAAUAUAUUAAAAAACAAUUAGAAUAAUUUUAAGAGAAAAAAACUCAUACACGGUAGAAUUUAAUCUAACGAUAUCAAAGUUUUAAAGCCUCAACUUUAACAUUUCAACCGAAAUUCCAUUAGUAUAUAAAUAUUUUACAAAUAUAGAUUUUAUAUAAAAAUAUUUAUGUAAACUUUUUUUUUAACCCGCAUAACAAGUAUACCAUAUUUAGAGAUAUUCAUAGCUAGGCAGUCCACUUUGGUUCAAGCUUCAGCUUAGGUUUCCGAUCUCAAGUUGGCCCAAUUCAACUUACUUUACUAUUUAAAAAUAUAAAUAUAUGUCUAUAAUUAAAUUUUCUGUGAAUAUUUUCUGAUAGAAUAUUUUCUGUGAAUGAGGUUACGAUUUCAAACAUUUCAGCUCGAUGAUUGAUUAGUUAUUGCACGAUGCCUUUGAAAAAUUGUUAAUAUGCUAUUUUAUAUUGGAUGUAAAAUACUAAACGUUUUGCAACUUUUCAAUAAAACAACUAGAGAUUUUCUUUCAUUAUAUUGUAAUGAUUUUUGUUGUUGUUUUUACGUAUGUUAAUUGAUGGAUUUGAUAAUUUUUUCUAAUUUUGAUACUUCAACUAUUUUUUUACAUUAAUCCUCAAAUUUGAAUUUCAGUCACACAUUUUAAUAUUAAAAAGUGAUAAUGUGGCACUCGCACAUCGUCGCCUAAUUUAUCUCUGAAAACCCUUACCAAAAUCUUCACAUUUCAAACUUGGAAGAUUGUGCCUCGUCAUUUUCCUCCGCAACCUCUCUUUUUCUUUCUUCUUAUUUUAAAAGUUUAUAAUUUGGUAUUAUUUUGUUUUUGUUAAUGCAGUUUUCAAAAAUUAUGGAGAUGAAGCAUUUAUCUUCAGUUGGAGUCAACCCUAAUUAAACUGUACCACCGUUUUCCUUUCAAAUGUAACUCAAGAGUGUGAGUUUUUAAGUGUUUUCUAAUGUUUAGAGUGACGGAUCUCUCUGUUGUUAAGAGCAGUUUUACCACAAUCGACUCCGAUCUUAACCUUCUCUUGUUACAAAGCGUGAUUGUCAAAACAUUAGAAAACAAAGUAGCCUGUGACACGCGGUUAUUAGUUAAUUACUAAAGUCGCUGCUUGAGUUGAAGAAACGUGAAAAUAACCCAAAUUAAAAUACUAGUAUAGUCAAUCCAACGCCUUAUUUUGGAUGAAACGAAGCUCUCAAUUUUAAGAUAAACGGGUCUUUAGGGUUAUUAAUGGAGGGCCUUUUCCACAAUUGCCAUCGUUAUUUGGGGGUGAUUCGGGGAUAAUAACUCCAACAUUUCUGUAUCACAUUUAAUUCAAUUCCACAUUCAAUUUUUAAGUUUUAGAGAGAUGAUUGGGUUACAACAAUGGUUUGAAGUGAAGAUGUUUCAAGUGAAGAUGAAUACUCUACCAAUAUAUAAGUCAUAAUUUAAAAUUCAGGUUAUGUUUCAUUUCAACGAAGUUAAAUGUUAAGAUUGAAGUUAAACCUUUUAGAGGUUGCUCACAAAAGGAUCAAACCUUUAUAAAAGUGCUUAAAUGAAGGCUAAACUUUUUAAAAUAGACAAAUAAGGCCCUAACAUUUUAAAAGGUGUUCAAAUAAAGGCUUCUCAAAUGUUGUAUAUCAGCUUAUGUGUUUUACUCUAAACAUAUCAGCAUUUAUCUAUAUUUUUUCUACAAAUUGGGUUGAAGUGCAUGAAAAAUCUUUAUUUCAGCACUUCUGUAAACGUUAAACUCUUAUUUGACAAUUUUGAAAGGUUUGAUCCUUAUGUGAGCAACCUUUAAAAGAUUAAGCACUAAUUUAACAAGUUGAGAAAUACCUAAAUUUGUUUUCAUGAAUCAAGAAAUUAAAAAAACAAGCAUGUUGAGAAAUAUUUUAGAGAUUCUUAGCCUUGACAAGUUCCCUCCACCAUCUCCCUGCCUCCAGUCCCACCUCUACUCUUAUGCUCCUUCCAGGUUCUUGCUUUUUGUGUGUUGAAAAUUCAAAGGAACAAAAUAUCAACCUACAUCAUAAGGCACGAAGGAAGACCAAAGAGUCUUGAGAUCUGACAACUUUAUUUCAUUUUCAUUUUCUUUGUUAUUUUCUAUGUUUCAUGUCAAAUACAAUGAAAGAAGAAGAUAGAAAAAUGUUGCCUAUUUAUUUCCCAAUCAUCAUGUAAAAAAUAUAUAAUGUCGGUAAUGACAAUAUAUCGCAAAGAAAAAUAGAAAUAGAAAAAUAAAGAACACACAGAUUUUACGUGGAAACCCUUUCGGGAAAAAACCAUGGGCAGAGGAGAAGAAAAUUCACUAUGUCAAAAACUUAAUUACAAGAGGAGUAGACUAUGCCUAUUUAUAGGCUUGUAAACCUUAUUCUAAUAGGAGUGAAACUCCUUAUUCAAAUAAUAUCAAAUAGAUGGAGUUUAAUAAGGUUUAGAAACAUUAUUUUAAAAUAAAAUAAAAGAAGUAUAAUUCUAUAGGGAUUUUACUUUUAUUUUAUUUUACCACAGUAUUUUAUUUCAAUAAGGAUUUGGGUCACUUAAUUCUAACACAUCACGAAAUUACUUGCCAUAGACUUAGAAUUUUCUCACAAAUUUUCAAGUAAUCUGACAUGAUUUCUCAAUCACAAUUAAUUGAAUUCAAGAUCUUUUUGGAUGACACAAACAUUUCAAUUUUAACACAAACUAAUAUUUAGGCUAUACUUCAGUGCUUGACAAGCACUUUCACAUUUGUGGGAUAAUAACUCUAGCAUUUUAGGAUCACAAUUAAUUCAAUUGCAUUUAAGACAUCAUGAUUUUAUUCUAUAAUUUGAGUCUUAUCAACCUUUUGGGAAAUAAUAAAACAUCGACAUUAAACUUUGUUGUUGAUGCAUUCAAUUUGAUUUUUUGAGGGGUCGUUGGAGUUAUAUGUGACUUUAGCUUUGAUUGACUUUUUUAGAAUUAAUCUUUUAUACCAAUUUAAUAACAUCCACAUGUUUUUGGGUUGGGUCGAGCAAAACCCAAUUAAAACCGAUGAUAUUGUCUUAAUUGACUCGGUCAAGUCCAUUAGAUGGAUAAAAUCAAUUUUAAAAUCAGUUAUAAUGGAUUAAGGUAACUAAUUAUCGAGUCAUGAAAUCCAUAAUCAAAUCAAUUGAUUUUGUUAGAAACUAAAAGAAAAUGGGAUAAGCUGAAAACUGAUUGCCCUUCAUUAAAAUUAAGGAAUUCACCUUUUACAUGUUAGAUAAUAUGAACAACCCAUAUAUAAUAAGAAAAAUUACUUACGAUUAUUUAUUAUCAUAAAUGGUUAGUUUAAAUUUAAAGUAAUCUAAUAUAUGUAUUGAACUUUAACUAUUACAUAAAGUAUAAGCUAAAUAUGUAUAAAUAUUCUAGAAAUCAUAUCUAACUGAUGAUAUUGUUUUAGUUGACUCGGUCAAGUCCAUUAGAUGGAUAAAAUCAAUUUUAAAAUCAGUUAUAAUGGAUUAAGGUAACUAAUUGUCGAGUAAUGAAAUCCAUAAUCAAAUCAAUUGAUUUUGUUAGAAACUAAAAGAAAAUGGGAUAAGCUGAAAAUUGAUUGCCCUUCAUUAAAAUUAAGGAAUUCGCCUUUUACAUGUUAGAUAAUAUGAACAUCCCAUAUAUAAUAAGAAAAAUUACUUACGAUUAUUUAUUAUCAUAAAUGGUUAGUUUAAAUUUAAAGUAAUCUAAUAUGUGUAUUGAACUUUAACUAUUACAUAAAGUAUAAGCUAAAUAUGUAUAAAUAUUCUAGAAACCAUUUCUAACUGAUGAUAGGCUAAUUCGAAAUUAAGAUUAAUAUAUAAAAACUAGAUAGUAGGGUUAUAGUCCUCAAACUAGAUAGUAAUAAUAUUAAUUUGAAGAUAUCACUUUUUGAAUCCAUAAGUUUUGUUUUGAUUUUUUUUUUGUAAAAAAGAUAUCAAGAGAUACCAAAAAUUAUUUUACUAAGAAAUUUUAAUUCACUCAAAAAGUAAGUGUUUUAUUUCAAGGGAUCACAAUUAAACAUUAGAUUUCUCAUUUUUAAUUUUUUUUUGUUUUUUUAACAACUACGUAAUUAACGAGUACCAAUUUUGGGUGUUGUAGGGGUACUAAUCGACUCUUGAACCCACUUUUUUCCUCUAGAAUUCAAUGCAAACCUUAAAUUUAUCUUUCUAAAAGAAUUUUAAAAUCUUUUUAUAAAAGACUAUUUUUUUUAGGUGACUAAUCACACUUAAUAAAAAAAAUCGGUGGUAAUUCUUUUCCAAUAAAUGUAAAAAACUUUUUAAACAAAAAAUAACAGACAUGUCUAUGUUUCCUAGGUUAUCUCAUAUUAAAAUCCAAAGAAAAUAAAAAGAUUCUAACAAUUAUUGCUUUUUAGUGUUGCUUUAGGGAAUUUAAAUGUAUUUAGUUAGAUUCCAAACCUACCCGUAGAUUCUUUCCUAUCCCAAGAUUAUUACGUAUAUUUAAAAUCAACAUUCAUUAUUUUCACCCUAAAAAAUAUUCUACAUUCAUUAUAUUACUAAAGUAGUGAUUAGAGUGAGUAAAAUCUGAUUUGAUUCAAAAAAAUCGAAAAGAAAUUCAAAAUUCGAGUUAAUUGAUUAAGUUAUUUGAUUCAACUCAAAUAAGUAAUUGGAGUUUUGAGUUCAAGUUGAGUAGAAUUUACAAUUCGAAUAAUAGAUUGGUGUAACCAUGUCAAUUUUGAAAUUGAGCAAAUUGAUCUCUCUCAACAAAAAUUACAAAAAAAUCAAAAUAAUUUUCAAAAAUUAAAAAUACGAUAAAAAUUCCAAAUUAUAUAUUUUUUAUAAAAAAAUUCUGAAAAAUAUAUAAAGAAAUUUAAAAUUUAAAAAAUUUUCUAAAAUAAUAAUUUUGGGGACUUAAAUAACUUAAUUAAUGAUUCAAUUUUAUCAUACUAAAAUAUAUUUUUUUAUUUUGCUUUGAAAAAGCUUUUAAAUAUAUACGAUUUCAAAUUUAUGUGCUUUAACAUGAGAUUAUUACAUAUUUAAAUACAUUUAAAUCCACGUCUAGAACUACACAUAUCUAGAACUACUCAUAGCCCCUCUCCAACCCAUAAAUAGGAUGAUAAUGCGUUUAAACGCACUUGAACCCAUGUCUUCCUGUAUUGAAAACAAUGUCCAUGUUAAUUGAGUUAAUACUCAAUUGACAAUUAGAAUUUGUAAAUUUAACUUUUAAUAUUUUAGACACAUAUAGUAAAUCUCAAUGUAUAUUUUAGCGUAAUGAAUUUCUAUUUGUUUAAAGAUGCUUACGGCUCUCAACUGAGAUGCCUGAUUUCCCAACAUAUAUUUUAACUUGAUUCCAGCCUUGUAAAAUGGGGCAAAAUUUAACCUUUUGUGACACAUUGGACAUCUUCUUACGAUACUUUUGAUAAAAUUGUGGCUACAUAAACCCACCAUUUUCAUGUUCUUUGCACUAAGAAAUAGUAUAAUUUCAAGGAUUAGUUAACAAAAGUAUAUGAAUAUGAAGGGUUUUCCCACUAUUUUUCUUUUUAUUUGCUUUGUUUUAGUUAUUACAAAUUGUUUCAUGGUGGAAGCAGAUACAUGCAAACCCAGCGGUAAGCUUAGAGGCAAAAAGCCUCCUCUAGGUAAAUGUAACAAAGGCCAUGAUUCUGAUUGUUGCCAAGAAGGCAAGUUUUAUAACACGUAUACAUGUUCGCCGCCGGUUUCAAGUCAUACCACGGCAACCCUAACUCUCAACGGAUUCGGUCCGAAGGAGGACGGUGGCGGUCCAUGUGAAUGCGACAACAACUAUCAUAAAGAUUCAGAAUUGAUCGUGGCACUUUCGACGGGGUGGUUCAACAAGAAAAAACGGUGUAUGAAUUAUAUUAACAUUCACGGUAAUGGAAAAACUGUUAAAGCUAAGGUAGUCGAUGAAUGUGACUCGACGGUGGGGUGUGAUGAUGAACACGAUUACCAGCCUCCGUGUGCCAACAACAUCGUCGAUGCCUCAGAUGCAGUUUGGGAUGCCUUGGGAGUGUAUGGAGAUAAACGUGGCGAAAUGGAGAUAUACUGGUCUGAUGCUUGAUUAUAUUUUUCUGCCUCUCCGUAUUUGCCAUUGUUUCAAGCAAGGGUUGUGGUUCGUUACUCUUUAGGCGCAUGAUAUGUGGUCCUUAAUUAUAUCUAAGGCCUGAAAAUAAAGUUUUAAUUUUAACUAUUUGGUCCUUAAUCUAGGACCUUGUCCCCUUGCUUAAAUGGUCUAAUUCUAUUUAUGCGCUAUUAAAAUACAAUACUUUAAUUUAGUUCAUUUUAACCACUUUUAUGAAUUUUUUUAUCUUUUUCCCUUUCUAAAAUUUUAAUUAUUCGAUUUAAAUCAUUUUAGGACCAAAUUUUUAAUUUGACCCUUAAAUUUUUAUUAUCAAUCACAUGCAACAUUAUAUGAAGGCAGUCUACUCAGCAUAUAUCCAAGUUUAUAGAUUUUAAUAGAAAAUACUUACAAUCCUAAUGGUAGGACUAAGUUUUUUAAACUAGAAAAGUAAGACGACUUAAUUUUUAACUUUUUAAGUACAAGGAUUAAAUUUUAAAUGUUGUCAAAGUACAAUCACUAACAAAAUAUUUUGAUCUAAUAAAUGUAAAAAACUUUUCAAACAAAAUAAGGUUGAAAUAAUUUAUUUGUCCUUAUACUUUGAUAAAAUUUGAGAUUUAGUCCUUAUACUUAAAAGGUUAAUAAUAAAGUCUUCUUGUUUUUAUUUAAAAAUCUUAGUCCUAUCGUUAAUUUUUUUUUGUCAACUUUACAUAUUAAUUAGUUUUCCCUUAUAUGUCGUGGUAUAUGACCUACACAAAAUAAGCAAGUUGAUAAAUUCUGACAAAAAAUAUCAAAGAUGAUAAUAAUUGGAUUAAAUUUUUUAAAUUGAAUUUAUAACCUUUAAGGUAUAAGGAAUGGAUAUCAAAUUUUUAUAGGAAUAAAGGGACUAACAACAUACUUUAACCACAAAAUAAUAUGAGUGAUUAGAAUGAAUCUAAAAGAGACUACCAACAUAUUUAUAACUUUGAAAUCUCCUUCGAUCAUCCUUUUUCUACGUUGAAAAAGAAAAUUAAUUAGCAUCUAAAGUGUCAAUUAGUGAAACCUUCAAAAGAAAAUGUAUAACUUAUAAUAUAUUUAAUUACAUUUAGUAAUUUAUCAAUCAAAACUUAAUUAACAUCCAUCAAUACUUCUAAAUUUUCCAUUUAACUCAGAUUUAACGGAAUUGAUUUUCCGGAAAAUCAUUUCCAACUUUUCCAGCGUUUGAUUGGCGGAAAACAUUUUCCAUUUGGAAAAUGAACUCCAAAACAAGGGAAAAUGGAUUACAUUUUAGGGAAAAUGUCUUACCCUUUCAAUUUCCGUAAGACAUUUUCCGUGCUCUCCUCUCUAUCGCCUCAUUCAUUCCUUCAUUUCCGGUAGAAAACUGCUUCUGUUUAUCGAUUUUCCAGUAACUUAUUUUUUUAAUUAUUCAAUACUUGUUUUUUAACACAAUUACAAAUAAUUUAUUUGAUAAUAGUUUUUUUCAAUUUAUAACGAUUAAUAUUGUAGCUUAAUAAUUGAGUAUUAUUAUAAAUAAAUCAUUGCAAUAUAUGUAAAAAUAAUUUAAAAUAUAAAAAUUUAUUAAUAUAUAUUAAUAUAUGUAAAAACAACUUUUUCAGAAAAUAUUUUCAGGGAAUCUGCCAAACAGCAGAAAAUAUUUUACACAGAUUCAAUCAAACACCAGAAAAUAUUUUCUAGUAAAUCAUUUUACAGAAAAGCAAAACAUUUUCCAGAAAUCAUUUUACGGAAAACAUUUUACUAGCAAUCAAACAGACCCUAAAUUUAAUUUGUUCAAUAUAGAUUUUGGUGACUUAAAACAAAAUUAAUAAAAAUUAUUCUUUCAGACAUCUUUUUAAUUUAUAAAAUAUACUUUCAUUUGACACAAGCCUCCAAGGCGAUGAACCACUGAUCAAAUUAAUUUGGAGAUAUCUUUUUUUCCAAAUAAAGUGAAUUUAUGAGUUUUGUUUUUAUUUUAAAAAUAUUUUUAAUAUUUUUGUGGAUAUCAAGCGGUACCAAAAAUUAUUUCACUAAGAAAUUUUAAUUCACUCGAAAAGUUAGUGUUUUAUUUUAGGGGUCAUAAUUAAUCAUUAGAUUUCUCAAUUAUAAAUUUUGAAUUUUUUGACAAUUGCAUAAUUAAUAAGUACCAAUUUUGAGUGUUGUAGGGCUAGUACAAUCUCCCUUACACAUAACCGACUCUUGAACCUACUCUUUUCUUUAGAAUUCAACGCAGACCUCAAAUUUAUCUUUUGAAAAGAAUUUUAAAAUCUCUAUAUAAAAGGUGUAAAAAUAUAUGUUUUAUUAAUUACUAUAUAUUCUUUUAUUUUCAGAAUAAUAAAUUGUUUAAAAUAUGCUAUUAGUCCCUAUAAUUUAAAAGUAUUUGGGUUCUUGAGUGCAUCAAAUUCCUCCUUUUAUUAUUAAAUGUUCUAUUUUAGUUACUCUAAUUAAAUAUAUCCAAAUUGUAAUAGAGUGAACAUUUAUUAUAUAAAAAAUAUUUUAAAUUUUUUUCAAUUGCAGUUUAAUUCUAGUAGAAAUAUUUCAUUUAUAAAAUCAUAAAACUUUAAAAUAUUAACUUUUUUAAAUAAAAAAUUAUUUUUUAACAGUAAAUGUUGACUUUAUUAACACAAAUGGGUCUUUAGGGUUAAACUUCAUAAAUUGACGAGCUCUUCCACAAACUGUGGAUGAUUUGGGGAUAAGAACUUUAAUAAUUAUGGAGUUAAAGUGUAAAUUUACCACUAUAUAUUAUAAGUAAAUAUUGAAAUUUAUCACUAUAUUUUAAUUGAUACUUGUCAUUACACUUUGAAAAUAUAAGUAAAUUUACCAUUUAACUCAUAUGUGAUUGAACUUUACAAGUAGACUUAAACUUUUAUUUAAUUUUGUCUCUAAAUUUGAUUUAUUUAAUUAAAUUUACAACUCAAUAUAGAUUUUGGUGACUUAAAACAAAAUUAAUAAAAAACUAUUCUUUCAGAUAAUUUUUAAUGUUUACUAAUAAGUCGAUUUAUAAAAUAUACUUUCAUUGGAUGCUUGAGCGGAAAUCAACAGAUACCAAAAAUUAUUUCACUAAGGAAUUAAUUAGUAUUUUAUUUUAAGGGUUCACAAUUAAAUAUUAGAUUUUUCAUUUUUAAAUUUUGAAUUUUUUGACAAUGCGUAAUUAACAAGUACUGAUUUAGGGUGUUUUAGGGUUAUUACAACCUUGCCUACACGUAACAGACUCUUAAACCUACUUUUUUCUCUAGAAGUCAACGCAAACCUCAAAUUUAUCUUUUUAAAAGAAUUUUAAAAUAUCUAUAUAAAAGAUGAUUUUUUCAGAUCACAUUUAACAAAAUUUUAAAAAUUAUUAAUUUUUUUAAAAUUUAGAGUGAUCUAAAAACAUAUUUUUAAGUGCUUUAGACCAUGCGGUGCUGAUUUCUUUAUUGUAUUAAAUGCUUGCAAUCACUCCUGAUAUCUUAUACUUCAGUUGUAACAGAGCCAAUUGUCAACGUGUCAUAAUGUUCUGUUGAUGCUGAAACUGAAGUUUUUGUUAUAUUAAUAGAGCUUAUCCUUCAACACGUAUAACGGGUGUUCGUUAUUUUUCCCUUCAAAUUGUAUGAUCUCAUUCAUUAAAUGAAUUAAUGAAUUUUCGUUUAAAAAUAUAAUUUUAAAAUUUAAAUACUUCAUAAGAUAUUUAAAACUAUUUAAAAAAUUGUAAUCGUUAAAACAAUCAACAAGAUAUAUUUUUCUCUAAAAAAUCAGUAAAAAUAUGUUUGAAAUUUUAUACGAAAGUAGUGUUGCUGAAGCAAUACUGAUUCACGACUGGUGUUCCAAAAAUUGGGAAGUCAAAUUUCGACAUAUUCAGCGAAAUGCCAGUAAAGUUGUUGAUUGCAUAGCUAAGGGAGAUGGAGGCAUAAUUGAGCAGCUGGUUAUCUUAGAAGAUCCACCGCAUUAUGUGAGAUGUUGGCUUGAAGAAGAUAUUAGACAGUCACUGGUCACUGAUGAUAAUUUUCAUUUGAAUUGAUGCUGGCUUAAUUUUCUAAGUUUAUGUUCAACCAGAAAAAAAAAUAUAUGUCUAAAUUGUAAUAGAAUUAAUAUUUAGUGUAUAAAAAAUAUCGUAAAAAUUAUUUUUUUUUCAAUUGCAAUUCAAUUCCACAAAUACUGACGAUGAACCCUGAAACGAACAUGAAAAUUACCAUAAGAAAAAAAACACAUCUAUCACAAACCAGCAAUCCAUGCCUAAACUUAAAUUAACAAAAUCUGUCACCGCAACCCGGUACACUAUUUUAUAUAAUAUAUAUACUAGAUUUAUUCUUGAUGCACAUGUUUUAUUAUUUUUAAAAAUUAAAAUAUAUGAUUGGCUGGGUUUUAGUUUAGUUAGUAUUAGUAUUAUUGUUAGUGUAGGAAAAAGUAAGUUUGAUCAUGCUCAAAUGUGUUUAUCCUCUAAUUCAAGAGUUGGGAAAAGGUUAUUGAUAAUUAAAUUAUACAAUAUUUAAAAAGCAUUUAUAAAUAAUAUAAGGAAAGAAAAAGAGAAACAUACUCAUAUCGAUGGGCUCUUUCAUUAUUAGACUUUUUUUUCUCUCACAAGUAAAAGUACUUAUGGAGAGGAUCAUGUAAAAUAAUGAAUAAUUUUAAAUGUUUCAUCAUUGCAAAAAUGAAAUAAUAGAAAAGAAAGACUAGCCAUUUUAUGAAUAUGGACGACCCAUUUUAUUUAUAAUUUUUUGUGUUUUUCUUUUUUUCCGACUUUUUCUAAUGUCAAGAGUUGGGAAAAAGUUAUUGAUAAUUAAAUUAUUUUACUAUGAAAUUUUAAUUUAACUGGAAAAUAAGUGGUUUAUUUAGAGGGAUUACAAUUAAACAUUAGCACUUCAGUAAAGGUUAAACUCUUAUUUGACCAUUUUGAAAGGUUUGAUCCUUAUGUGAGUAAUCUCUAAAAAAUUGAGCACUAAUUUGACAAGUUGAGAAAUACCAAAUUUGAUUUCAUGAAUCAAUAAAUUAAAAAAAAAUGUUGAGAAAUAUUUUAGAGAUUCUUAGCUUUGACAAGUUCCCUCCACCAUCUCCCUGCCUCCAGUCCCACCUCUUCUCUUAUGCUCCUUCCAGCUUCUUGCUUUUUGUGUUUGAAAAUUCAAAGGAACAAAAUAUCAACCUACAUCAUAAGGCACGAAGGCCGGAACUUUACUUUCUAGCCCGUCGAUCCGAUCCAAUGAAAGAAGAACAAAGAGUCUUGAGAUCUGACAACUUUAUUUCAUUUUCUUUUUCUUUGUCAUUUUCUAUGUUUCUUGUCAAAUACAUUUGAAAGAAGAACAUAGAAAAAUGUUGCCUAUUUAUUUCCCAAUCAUCAUGAAAUUACUUGCCAUAGACUUAGAAUUUUUUCACCAAUUUUCAAGCAAUCUGACAUUAUUUCUCGAUCACAAUUAAUUGAAUGCAAGAUCUUUUUGGAUGACACAAACAUUUCAAUUUUAACACAAACCAAUAUUUAGGUUAUACUUCAGUGCUUGACAAGCACUUUCACAUUUGUGGGAUAAGAACUCUAACAUUUUAGGAUCACAUUUAAUUCAAUUGCAUUUAAGACCUCAUGAUUUUAUUCUAUAAUUCAGUUUUAUCAACCUUUUCGAACUCAAUAAAACAUCGACAAUAAAUUUGUUGUUGAUGCAUUCAAUUUUUUGAGGGGUCUUUAGAGUUAUAUGUGACUUUAGCAUUGACUGAAUUUUUUAUAAUUAAUCUUUUAUAAUAAGGUAAAUAUAUCAAUUUUAAUAAUAUCGAUAUGUUUUUUAGUAGGGUCGAGCAAAACCCAAUUAAAACGAUGAUAUUGGCUUAGUUGACUCGGUCAAGUCCAUUAGAUUGAUAAAAUCAAUUUUAAAAUCAGUUAAUCAAAUCAAUUGAUUUUAUCAGGUUCAGGUUUCGUGUUUUAAUUAUGAGUUUGGGCCUGUCUCAUAUGGGCCCAAUGAUUGGGCCCGAUAAUUUUGGGCCAGCUGGGAUUGGGUAAUUGGGUUUAAUUUUGGAUUUGUUUGGGCUUUAGCCCAUUAGUGUUUUUGUUUUUUUUUAAUUUUAAUAAUAAUAAUAAAAAAAUAAUAAUAAUAAAUAAGAAAAAUACAAAAGUUAAAACUUACAUUUUGACUCCUAACUUUCCUAAAACUACAUUUUAACCCCCCUAACUUUCUUAAAAUUACAUUUGACCUCCAAUUUUCCUAAAAUUAUAUUUUGACCCCAAAUUUUCCUAAAAUUACAUUUUUCCCUAGAAGUUUUACAUCAUUUAUAAUUUGGUCCUUCUAGCACAAAAUCCCUAGCCGCCAGGUGCGAUUUGCGCACCUACCCCCCGAUUUUUCGGUGAUCAGCCUAGGGUGGUGGCCCUCCUCUCAAGCUACCUACUCCUUGAAAAAAUCAACAAUAAAAGGGGGGUUUUUUCCCCCAAAAAUUCGACAACCAAAGAGGAAAAAAGCAAGCAAAAAAAAAAAAACACAGCAAAAAAUUGAAACAAAAAAUAGGAAAAAAAACUUCAAAUUCGGUCGGCUUCCUCUUGAAUUGAUUCACGGUUGGUGUUCCAAAAAUUGGGAAGUCAAAUUUCGACAUAUUCAGCGAAAUGCCAGUAAAGUUGUUGAUUGCAUAGCUAAGGGAGAUGGAGGCAUAAUUGAGCAGCUGGUUAUCUUGGAAGAUCCACCACAUUAUGUGAGAUGUUGGCUUGAAGAAGAUAUUAGACAGUCGCUGGUCACUGAUGAUAAUUUCAUUUGAAUUGAUGUUGGCUUAAUUUUCUAAGUUUAUGUUCAACCAGAAAAAAAAAUUUGUCUAAACUGUAAUAGAAUUAACAUUUAGUGUAUAAAAAAUAUCUUAAAAAAUAUUUUUUUCAAUUGCAAUUCAAUUCCACAAAUACCAACGAUGAACCUUGAAACGGACAUGAAAAUUACAACAAGAAAAAAAGCACAUCUAUUAUCAAACUAGCAAUCCAUGACUAAACUGAAAUUAACAAAAUUCAUUAUGCAACCCGAUACACUAUUUUAUAUAAAUAAUAUAAGGGAAAAAAAGAGAAUCAUAUUCAUAUCGAUGGGCUCUAUCAUUAUUAGACUUUUUUUCGGCCAAAUUACCAAUAAAAGCACCUUUUUUAUCUAAAAUUACUGAAAUGGGACAGGUCCUAAAUUAACUAUCGGAAUGGGCCAAUUUCCACUAAAACGCGUCCAUGUCAGCGCGUUAUUAGGUGAAAAAUUAGGAAAACGCUUCCUCAAGGAAAUGCUUUGUCCACGUGGACACAAAGCGCGCCCUCAAGGACGCGUUUUGUGUCCACGUGAACAAAACGCUUCCUUGAGGAAGCAUUUUCGUCGUCCGUUUACAUUAUGGUUUUGGGUUUAGGGUUAGGGUUUUGGGUUGUUGAGUUUAGGAUUUUAAAGGAAAAAUUUAAAUAAGUAAGGUUUAGGGUUUAGGGUUUCUUAAUUAAAUUAAUUAUAAAAUUUUCAAAAUUAGAUUAGGGUUUCAAGUUUAUGGUUCUUAAGGAAAAAAUCAAAUAAAUUAGGGUUUAGGGUUGAUUAAAUUAAUUAUAAAUUUUUAAAAAAUUAGAUUAGGGUUUAAUGUUUAGGGUUUUUAAGGAAAAAACUCAAACAAAUUAGGGUUUGAUAUUUAGGGUUAAUUAAAUUAUUUGUUAAUUUAAAAAAGCUCCCACGUGGACGCUCUUUUGCUACAGUAGUUCCUGAAAAAUAAUUUUGAGAAAACGUUUCUGAGCAAAUAGUGGCAAAAAUGCUUUAAACAGGAUGCAUCGUCAGUAAAAGUACUGAAAGAAGCUCCCACGUGGACGCUCUUUUUCAACAGUAGCUCCUAAAAAAAUAAUUUCGAGUAGACGUUUCUGAGCAAAUAGUGUCAAAAAAGCUUUAAGCAGGAUGCAUUGUCAGCAAAAGUACUGAAAGAAACUCCCACGUAGACGUGCUUUUGCUACAGUAGCUCCUGAAAAAAUAAUUUCGAGUAGACGUUUCUGAGAAAAUAGUGUCAAAAACGCUUUAAGCAGGAUGCUUUGUCAGCAAAAGUACUGAAAGAAGCUCCCACGUGGAUGCUCUUUUCCUAUAGUAGCUCCUGUUUGGCCUGAGGCUAUAAAUGAGGAAAAUUUUUUUCUCAAAUUGCAUAAGUUAUAGCAAAAAAAAUUUAGAGAGGCUAAGAAGGAUAGGAAUUGUAGAUGAGUGAACGUAUUAGUGCUGUUAUUUACUAUGAUGGUGAGGUUCGUCACACCGAGAACGGUGUUGUUUUUUUAUUGGAGAAUACAGUGCGACUGGUUUUUAACCAGAACAUAGAUUUGACAGAACUUCGUAAAAGAAUUAGGCGUAAAAUAUUCAGAACGACGCCAAUGAAAGUUCUGUCUAUUACAUAUUGGUUUUAUUCUUCUGUUGAUCUGGUGACAUAUGACUCGUUCAACAUAAAAGGUGCUCAUAACUUGGAGGUAAUAGUGCAGACUCAUCUCACUAGUGGAGCAUCCUAUAUUUAGUUAUAUGUACAAUUUAUAUCGCCAAAUGAUGCACUAGUGACUGCUGUUCGAGAGGUAUACACGACCCUUGCCCGACACUUGGUUAGUGGGUUACAAAAUACAGAACAACCCAUGUUUGGUAGCGGUAUGGAAUACACAUCCCCAGCACGACACUCUGUCAGUGGAUGGGACAUGUACCUCGGUGGGUCGAUGUUUGAUGCUGGAAAUACGCACUGAGGAACGACAUCAACUUCUAGUGGUUGGCAAUCUACAUCCAAUUGAAGAUGUUAUGAAACGCCCAGAAGAAAGGGAUAAUGUACUCCCUACGACGUCUACUGAUGAGGGGACCUUGUACGUUACAGAUAAUGGUGGGUUAGAAGAUGACUCCGAUGUGGAUCCACCUCGAGAGCCAGAGCCCGAUGGUGCAGAAGUUGUAUUAUUUUCUAAACCAGAGCCUAUUCCAACCGAACUUGAAGAUGUUUAAGGGGGUUCAGAUGAAGAAGAAGAUUCACGAUUUAGGGCAUACUCGCCUCCAGCCCACAUGCAUAAUGUUGAUCUAUCUACAGAUGAUGCAUUAGAGUUUCCAGAUCUACCACACAGAAUGCGUGAUCAUACAAGUUUGUUAUUGGAUUCAGGUGAAUUUGAAGUUGGUAAGGAGUUUUCCAAUAAGGAUAGUUUUAUUGGUGCACUGAAACAACAUAACAUCAAUAACGGCAUUAACUACAACGUGGUUAAAUCCAAAGUUGAUAAGUUUGAGGCAAAGUGUGCAGUGCAAGACGGUACAUGUUCAUGGAAUAUCUACGCCUCGUUGAGGAAAAUGACAAGGUUGUGGGAGAUAAAAAAGUAUGAAGGUCCACAUACAUGUGCUGCAGGUACAAUAUUUAGGGUUUUUACAUUUGCUAUUAUUAUGUAAUGUUGCAUUAUUUAACGUACUUCGUUGACAGGUAUUUCACAAGAUCAUCCCAAGAUGGAUUCAGCUAUGUUAGCUAGCUUGAUACUACCAACGAUGAAGGCAGAUCCUAGGACUUCAGUGCCAGUCUUAAUUACCAAUAUUCGUAGCCAAAUGGGGUACACACCCUCUUAUCGCAAGGCUUGGAUAGCUAAGCAGAAGGCGUUGGAGAAGAUGUAUAGUGGGUGGGACGCUUCAUAUAAUGAAAUAUGGCAGUGGUGUCACGUGCUAGAGAGAUACGUCCCUGGUUGUAUAACAGACCUUGAAAUAGAACAUACGUACUACAACAACCGAUUACUACGUGGAUGCCAAGUGUUCAAACGACUGUUUUAAACCUUUAAGCAAUGUCGAGACGCAUUCUAUACUGCAAACCAUUGGUACAAAUUAACAGUACCUUUAUGUUUGGUAGAUAUACCCAUCGACUAUUGCUAGCAGUGACACAGGAUGGCAGUGGGAGAAUUAUUCCAAUUGCAUUUGUAAUAACAUUGGGGGAGUCAGCUGAUGACUGAGAUUUCUUUCUAUCUAGGUUAAGGAGGCAUGUAUGCCUCCAACCUGAUAUCUGUGUUAUUUUGGAUCGAGGCACUGGAAUACUAGCUGCAAACGAGCGACAGUGAAGCCUAUGGCAGUGCACACACCAUUAGUAUUGCCUAAGGCACAUUGCUUCUAACUACUACAGGCAAUAUCCAUCUAAAAGUGAACGAUGACAAGUGACCAACAUGGGUAUUUAGUCUCUAUUAAUAUAAUUUCGUUCCUCAUUUUGAAUUUAUUCUAAAUGAAAGAGUGGUAUGUAAUAUUCGCUAUGAACUUAUAUUGACAGGGUAUGAAAUAAGUAAAGACGUUUUUCAUGAGAUGUUGGCAGUUUUGCGUUCAGUUAACAGUGAAGGUGUGGACUACUUCUGUAACAUACCUUUCGAACAGUUGACACAAGCAUACAACGACGGCCUACGAUAUGGUCAUAUGACCUCAAACCUGGUUGAAUGCAUAAAUUAUGUUCUAAAAGGAACUCGACAUCUACCGAUAACAUCGAUUGUGCGAAGAAUAUUUUCACUUAGCGGCGUUAUUUCCAAAGUGAGCAGCGAGUUAUGCGACCCAAAUGCAAGGAGGCCAUGUAUGGUGCAGGAAGGUAUUGUAAGAAAUUAACAAGGUAAAGGCGAGGGCGAACACCAUGCACACAGUGUGUCACGAUCGAGACAACUUAUGGUUUCGCGUGACGGAGUUUGACAGACCGCACCAAGGUGUUAUUGGAGGGCAAUAUCGUGUUCACUUGCGAAAUAGGACUUGCGACUGUGAGAUGUUUGACACACUUCGUUAUCCAUGUGCUCAUAUAAUUUCAGGUUGUCAGAAUCUCUGACUGGAUUCCAUGAGCUAUGUCGACGAAGUGUACAAAUUAGAAAACAUGUACAACGUCUGGAGACACGUAUUCCUAUCGGUCCCAGAUGAACGCAAGUGGCCGUCUGUAUCGCUUGCUCCAUUUAAGUUGUUACCAGAUAGAGAAUUACGUCGCAAACCAAAGGGUCGACCUUGCUUGACUUGAAUACGUAACAAUAUGGAUAUCCGAGAAAUAGCCAAUCAACAGAAGUUGUGCUAAUGGUGUAGGAACCCAGGCCAUACAAGCAGAUCAUGUCCAAAUCGCAAUAGUUGAACGUUGUUGUAAAAAACUAUGUUGUAUUAUUUAUAUUUUAUUACAUGAAAUAAUAUAGAAAUAUUCAAAAUAUUACCUUUGUCGAAACCAUUUUUAAAUUUGAAAAAUAGGGAUCGACUUUUGAAAAUAAAAUGGGAGUCGCCACCGAUCUUUUAUUAAGGUGUGACCGGUUCACCGUUAAAAAUGAAUUUGGUCCGCAAAAUUUUGAGAAAAUAGAUUCCGGAGUCGAUUACGCACGAGGAAGCGUUAGCACCCUCGUAUGCCCAAAAUUGGUACCGAAUUGAUUGUUUGAUGUCUUAAUGUCAAAACUUUGAAAAGAUUCUAAAAUACGAUCCUUUGGUGAGAAAACUUGAAUAAACUAAAUUGAAUGAUAAGACACACUUAUCUCGCAGAAAUAAAUUGCCAUACUCAGUGAGUGAUGGGUGUCGAAUCCACCAAUAUAAACCUACGCCUUAGUUUGCAAAUUAUGCAGUAUAGGGAGUAGGGUCGAUCCCUCAGAGACUAGUUUACUAUAAAUUGUUGCUCGUUUGACCAGAUUAAUGUCGGGGCAGCUGUCGUGCCCAAGACAUUCGAGGGAUAAAAAUUUGGAAACCUGAAAUUAACAGAAAAAUAACGUCAAAAGUAAAAGUUGAAAACAGAAUAAUAAUAACUGUGAAAUAAAUAUUAAGAAAAAUUAAUUAGAAUGAGCUCAGCUUUAGGCGCGAAUUUUCCUCGUCUUUGAACCGAUCCUCGAAAUUGGAUGAACUCCUCUUUUCCAAUAAGCUAGUUAUAGCUACCAAGGACGCCUCGGACACCAACUCUUCCUUGUGUAAAUUAGUUAUGGAACGUCUAAUAACUAAUUCUUACUGAUUGAACAACCACGAAACGUUCGUGAUUUAGAACUCCGGCAGCUUUGCGUUCUAGAAGAGCCUAGCUCGAACCAAAGCCCUCAACCGCGUGGGACAUUUAAAUCCGGUUACUACCUCCCUUGACGGAACCAAACAGCAAUCUCCACUUGGCACGCCAAUGUGUUCACAGAAAACCGAUUAGAAACGUUCCUUUUGGAAUUCCAACUGUACGUCUAAUCACACUAAAUCAAACGACGUCUUUUUUGACUUAGUGUUGAUCUGACUUUAUGAGCUGACAAAAUCAUACUCUUAAUCCGGUGAAGUAAUAAGUACUGGAAUUUUAGGAGUUAAAUGGCUCGGGUUCGUAACUCACGGGUUUUAACGAGGCUAAUUUCGGCCUAAAGCUGAAAAUGAGUUUAGUUGGCUAAGGUUUGGGACAUGUUGGUAUUUGAUAAAUAAGGUAAAUGGGUGAAAAGGUGAGUGAUGUGAUUGAGUAUGGGGGUUGGAAUAUAUUAAAGUGGGAUGGUUGACUAUUUGGAAAAGAAUUGAAAAAGGAAUUGCAAAUGGCUUGAUAUGGUGAUUAGCAACUGGAAAUUAAAAUUUAAAGGAAAGGAAACUAAAGAAACAACAAAGCUACAUGAGAAAAGAGAGAAUGUAUUGAAAGAAGAAUGCUUGAUAUUUGAUUGAUGAUUUGAUGAACAAUACAUGCUCUAUUUAUACUAGAGGAUUUACUAAUUUAGGAGCCAACUAGUCAUAGAAAAUUAAGGAAAAAAAAUAUUCCAUGACCAAAAAUAUCCCAAAAUAAUCUCCCCCACUAAAUCAACAAAAUUUUCAGCUAAUUAAAAUUGGAAAAAUUCUACUUUUGCCCUCCUUCUUUGCUUCUUUCUUUAAUUUGGCCCAAUUGUUUCCUUUUUCUUCUAUUUAGCCCCAAAUUGCAUUCCUGCACAAAAUUCAAUAAAUAUGGCAAAGUUAGUGGUGCAUUCUCAUAAAUUAACCAAUUUAAUUUCAUAAAAUAUGUAACUUUAGCAUUUAAUCAGUGAGUUAGGGUGCAACAAUUCAAUCUUCGAAAUUAAAUUCGUCCCCUCUUUUUUUUUUAAGAAAAUCAUGUGUUUUAAGAAGGUUAUUCGAUUAUUUAAGUCAAUCGAAAAAUCAAAAUCCAGUAAGUUAGGGUUCAAUUUCUCGAAAUUCCUAAACAUCAAACAUUGCUUUUAUUUUAAAAUCGAGAUAACAAAAUGUUGUAUCCAGAAAGUUAGGAUCCAACAUUUUGAAGUCUCAAAAGCUUUAUUUUGAAGUUGUAUGGUUUUACCAAAAUAAACGCUUGGCUAUUCAAAUUCGUCGAGAAGAAUUGGAGCCCAGUAAGUUAGGGCACAAUUCUCUCGAGGGCUAUGAACACUAGGUCCUUUUGAAAUUUAUGAAAUAAAAAUGAUUGUAAUGCUCCAAUAAAAUACAAUUUUACAAAUGAGACAUAACUGAAGCAAUAUAUAAUGUAAAAAAUAAAUAACAACCCAAAUAUACACUAAUAAGUGGCAAACAAAUAGUAAGUAAAUGCAAAUAACCAUAAUGAUUUUAAUUAUAUUAUACAAACAUCGAUGUCAAUGUACAAAAACUAAAUAAAUUUAUCAUAAAUUCAAAAGAUACAUUAAGAUAAUAAAAAAAAACAAUACAUCCUAUGUAUGAAAGUUUUUAAAAUAAAUUACAUAUAUGAUCUUCAAAAUAGACACAAAAUAUAAUAAAACAUUAAAUAAUUGGUAUUUGAAAUAAAUUGGAAAUAAAUUUGAAAUAGACAAUAUACAUUUGUUAGUUUGAUAUAUAAAUAAUGCAUAUAAAAAUAUAAUAAUAAUGAUAUAUAUAUAUAUAUAUAUAUAUAUACUAGUAAAAAAAUAGAAUAGGGAAAGUAUAUUAUUGAAUUUAAAAUAUAUAUAUAUAUAUAUAAAACCGGUUUAAAAGACAUAUAUAAAUAAAAAUUUAAAACUAAUAAUCAUAAUGAAAUCAAAAUAUUAAUAUAUACUUAAGAAAAGAAUAAUUUCAUGAGUUAUAUAUAUUUAUAAAUAAUAGUAUUAUAAAAAAACAAAAAAAUUAUUAUGUAAGUAUUUAUUAUAUAGGAAUAUAUAAAAAGAUAAUUUUACAAAAUAAAACAUCAAAAACUUGUUUAAAUUUCCAUAAAGUAUAUAAAAUAAUCAAUGAUGAGGUAAAUAAUAAUAUGUUAAAUUUAAAACAAAAAAAUAUAUAGUAGGCUUAAAACAUUAAUGUAUGAUGAAUUUAAAUAAUGCUAAUAAUGAUUUUAAAAUAAUAAUAUAUCAUAUCUUAAAAUCGCACUAAUAAUAAAAUUAAAAAAUAAUAUCAAAUUUAAACAUUAAAAUAAGAUAAGUUGUUAAAAAUAAAUAUGUCAAACUAAGAAUUAAUUAGAAUUAGAAUUAAAUAAAAAAAAACUAAAUUUCUAGUAGAAUUAGAAAAACGAGCUAGAUUGAUAAUUGAUUCAAAACUGAGGGAUCAAAACAGAAUUAAACGCAAAUGCUAAGAUGUUCAAAUCCAAUCAGCGAAAAUGGCGGCGUUUAAAUAUGGAUCUAAAUGAAAUAAAAAUAAAAAUGCAAUAACAAUUUAAAAGAAUUGAAAGAAAACUGAAUCAAAAUGAAAGCCAAUACAGAGGGUUUCAAUGCGCAAAUUUCCCCUUAAUUUCAAAACGCGCAGAUCCUCCCUGAAUCAAGUCGGAUCAUCGGGUCAAGGCACCAAACAGUGCCGUUUUUUUGAAACAUUUAAAAGCGUAAAAAAAACCUAAAUCUAAAGAUUUUUGUUCAAAAUGCAAAAGAAAGUGGGAGCGCCGCUUUUGGUUUUUCAUCUACUAUCGCAACUCAACCUCUCAGAUCCCCAUCUGUUCCGAUUGCAACGAGAGAAACAGGGAUCCGACCGUCGCACUCUGAAGGUAAACUCUCAUCCUUAAGCCUCUCUUUUUCUUUGUUUAGUGUAUUCGUAGAGAAGCAAAAAGAGAAAGAAAACAGUGAAGAAAAACGAAAAAGGAAAAAAAAAUCAAUAUACCUCUUAAAUCUGCUCCUUUUCUCUUUUUCUUUUCAUCUUUUUUAUUUCAUAUCUCUCUCUAAAAAAAAAGCCCUCGAUCGAGUGCAUCCAUGGGGGUUUUUAUAACCCCAAAAUAGAAGAAAAAUAAAAAGAAUACAAAUUUCUUUUUUCUGCUUUUCUCUUGCUGUUUGUUUGUGUGUUGCACAGGUACGGCCGUACGGAGGUGGUGGCGUGGCGUGCGUAGAGAGGAAGACCGAAAGCGUUGGAAGCUGUGCGGCGCGAUAGGCUAGCUAGGGUUUCUGCUUGUGAUUCUUUUUGUUUUGGGCUUCAAUGUAAUUAGGCCGAGGUAUUUGGACCAUUGUUUGUAUAACUAGACAUUUGGACUUUAGUUAUAUAUAUUUUAUUUGGGUUUUAAUAUCCGUAUCGGGCCGGGCAAAUUUGGGCCAUUACAACCUUAUUUAAAAGAAUUUCUAUUUUAUUAAAAUUAUAAAAGUAAAUUUCAAUUACUUUAUUCAAAAUAACCUUUUAUUUUAUUACAUGAAAUAACAUAGAAAUAUUCAAAAUAUUGCCUUAUUUAAAAGAAUUUCUAUUUUAUUACAUGAAAUAAUAUAAAAAUAUUCAAAAUGUUUGUACAAAUAUGUUAAAAUAAAAAUCAAUCUCCGUGCCCGCCGGAUUUAGUGUCACAUGGCGGUCGUUGACGGUUACGCGCUGGGUUCCUCCUUUGUCUAGCUUCUGGUGGGGGUUGUGGUUGCUCUGGUGGGGAUUCUAGUUACUCUGGUAGGGGAUCGAGUUGCCAGUGUUGGGAGGAUGACCUACCUUGAUAGAAUAGUGAAUCUUGCGGUGUUUGCAUCACGAACGGCGAAGGCGUUUGAAACCCAUAAGGUGAUGGGGAUUGGUAAAAAGAAGAGCUCCCCGACGGCCCCUCGUGCGAUCCAUGUUGCGACUGUGGCCUAUAGAUUGGCAGUCCACUCGGCGACAUUGAUAAUGGAGAUGAACUGGGCCAUGGAUUCCAACCUGCCAUAGGACUAGAAAAAGGAAACAUAUAAGGGUUAGGAUACAAAAAAGGGCUACAAUACGCACCUGGCAUCAUCUGAAAAGGCUGUGUUGUAGGUGUCGUUGGUUGAAGUGUUGGGUCGGGUGACUGUGACGGUGUUGUUGCUGGGCCUGGUGAUUGUUUGGGAGCUGUUGAUGCGCUUACGUCGUCGUCCGUUCUUCUUGGAUUUAAAGGGCCAUGUCGUUCCCUUUGGACACGUAACUACCGCUGCCUCUCCUCUGCCGACAGUAAAUACGGCUUGCUAUGGAUCCUAAACCAUGGGAUGUAUUCCGCCAUGCAGCUAACUCUAGAACGAUGAUUGGUUCCCAAGUUGGUAUAUAAUCAUACUAAUCUUCCCACAUUUGGAUGUACUGUGACCAGAAUCUUGGCCAAUCUGUAUGCAAUUGCCGUAGGUCGAUUUUGUGAUGGUCAUCCAACACCUCAGGUGCCACGGGAAUCAGUUGUCAAAAUCCAAAUUGCCGUAAUACUCUGUCCAUACUCUGUGCGACUGGUGCAUCUCCAUGGUCGCUAAGUUGACCAAUGGGACUUUUACAUGCCAAGCGUUUGGAUUUUGGAAGUACUCAUCUGGAAUUACUGCCCGAAUUGCCAGAUCCUCGUAUGGUGUCCAUUGAAACUAUAUGAACAUGAUGGAAAUAUUAGUUAUAUACAUAAUACAUAAUACUAAAUACUAAAUACUAAAUACCGAUCGACUAUCUCAUGAUGGAAAUAUCUAUUUUAUUUAAUACUUACUUGUGCUUCUGACUGUUGGUCUAAUAGAAACCGUAUAUCUUCAAGAGAGGUAGGAAAUCCAACAUAACUUGUCGAAUGGUUCCACCUAAUUAAAUAAAUUUUUAGCAUACAAUUAUAUUUUAAAUCUACGUAAUAAUUGUAAAAUCUAAUAUAAAAUUUACCUCGUUAUGUGUGGGAAGGUAUAUGGGUGGUCCACUCGAGGACAUAAAAAUGGAAAGCGAAAUCGUGCCCAUGACUGCAGUAGUGAGAGACAACCUCCGAUUUUCGCUUUAUUCGGUCGCUUCGGCCCACACAUCUCCAGGUACAAUGUUGCCAACACGGUAAACCCCUAACUAAAUUCACCAGCUGCUCUAAAAUCAACGAGUUUCAGCAGCCAUCUUAGAUGUACAAGGUUCCGUGACAAGUCCGGCAUCAGAUAACCUCCAAUUAUCGGAAGAAUGUAUGCCCGAGCAUAUCUGAUUCUUUCUAGUUCGAUAGAAUCAUCAUCCGGCUCUAGGAAUGUGUCUCGUAACCAGCCUAUCUCGAUCCGACCUCCGUUGAUAUUAUCCGAAAUAGCGCCUAAAAGCUCGUAGCAUACCGCUCCCCAAUCACCAGAUUGAACAUACCCAGUGACUACGUACCCGUCCACCGGCAAUCCCAAUUGCAAAUUUACGUCUUCCAAAGUGAUAGUACACUCUCCACAUGGAAUAUGGAAUGUGUGCGUCUCGAGUCUCCACCUCUCAAUCAACGCACUAAUGAGCUUCGGUUCCAACUUGCAUCCCCGACCUACCAUUGCCACGUGCCAAAAACCCGCUUCCCGUAGGUAAUUCUCUACCAACGGUGAUGGAGGACCAUGCAUAUUACAGAUAUAGCAUUGCAAUAUCCGAUCUAUAGACUUUUAUAAGAAAUAAUAAAAUAAAAAUUAUUUAAAAUUUCAUAAAUCAAAAAAAUCUUAAAUAAUAUUUAAAAGUUAAAUUUAACACUUAUCAUUUUCAUUUGUUCGAUGGAUAUGUGCUUGUUAUCGAAACAAAUUAAUUCUCCGGCCAUUGAGAGGAAUUUGAGAGGAAAUUUUUAUGAUUUAAAAAAAAUAAGAGAAAUUUAAAAAAAAUUAUGAUUUAAAAAAAUUCAAAAAAAAUUAAAUUAAAGCUUUUUUUAGAAUAACUAAAAAAAUUAAAGCUUUUUUUGAGAGGAAUUUGAGAGAAUAUUGGAGAGAAAUUGAGAGAAAGGAUUUAGGGGUGAAAAAAAUGAAAGGGGGAGUUUAUAGUUUUUUUUUUUUUUUUUACCAUUGGGGGUGGUCACCAACGGUAAAAAAACUAGCCGUUGGUACUGUUCACGCGCGGGGAAAACGCUUCCCCAAGGAAGCUAUUUGUCCACGUGGAUGCGCUUUCUAGGAAUUGGCCCAUUCUAGUAAUUAAUUUUUCACCGGGCCUAUUUCAGUAAUUUAAAAAAAAUGGACUUUUAUUGGUUUUUGGCCCCUUUUUUUCUCUCACAAGUAAAAGUACUUAUGGAGAGGAUCAUGUAAAAUAAUGACCUGAAUAAUUUUAACCGUUUCAUCAUUGCAAAAAUGAAAUAAUAGAAAAGAAAGACUAGCCAUUUUAUGAAAUAUAAAUUUUAAGAAUAUGGACUAGCCAUUUUAUUUAUAAUUUUCUGUGAUUUUCUUCUUCUCUAACUUUUUUUUAAUGUCAAGAGUUGGGAAAAAGUUAUUAAUAAUUAAAUUAUUUUACUAUGAAAUUUUAAUUUAACUAGAAAAUAAGUGGUUUAUUUAGAGGGAUUACAAUUAAACAUUACCUUUUCAAAUUUUAAAAAUAAAAUUUUCUUUACAACUGCAUAAUUAAUAAGAUAUCAAUUUUGAGUGUUAUAACCUUCUCAACGCAUAACCAACUCUUGAAUUCACUUUUUUCUCUAAAAUUCUACGUAGAACACAAAUUAAUUUUUAAAAUGAAUUUUAAAAUCUCGCGAUUUUUUUAGGUGAUUCACCAAAGAAUAAAAAGAAGGGAGGUGAUUCCUCCUUUUUAAUAAAACCUUGUGCUUUUGCAAACACCAAAUUAUUGCUAAGCUUUACAUUAAUAUACAUGAUUUAUUUGUUUGUUAUUAUUAUUUAUAUGGUUAUAAUUUUAUACUUAUCGGACUAUAAUCAUUACCAUGGUUAUUAUCAUUCAAUAAAAAGAAAUAAGUGUUGAGUGUAAUGGCAAUGUACAUUACACUCUUACUAGGAGAUCAGGGUUUUGGACAAAGAAACAAUAUGAUUCGAAUUUUGGAGACAACAUCCUUAAAAUGAGCAACCACAAAGCCCGAUUAUGAACCAUAAAACGAACAUGAAAAGUACAAAAAAACACAUCUAUUAUCAAAUUAGUAAUCCAUCCCAAGGCUUAAAUUAACAAAAUUCACCAUGCAACCGUGUAGACUAUUUUAUGUAUAUACUAUAUUUAUUCUUCAUGCAAAUGUUUAUUAUAUUUAAAAAUUAAAAUAUAUGGUUGAUUGAGUUUUAGUUGAAUUAAUAUCGAUAUUGUUGUUAGUGCAGAAGAAUGUGAGUUCAAUCAUGUUUAAACGCGUUUUUCUUCCAAUUCAGAAGUUGGUGAGGAUUCUCAAUAGUUAAAUUAUAUAAGUUUUUGUCUAUUUAAAAUUGAUUUAUAAACAAUAUAAAUAAAAAGAUUUAAAAAAAUAUAUAUAUAUAUAUAUAUAUUCAUAUUGAUGGGCUUUUUCAUUACUAGACUUUUUUCCUUACAGGUAAAAGUAUUUAUGGACAGGAUGAUGUAAAAUAAUGACCUGAAUAAUUUUAAACGUUUCAUCACUGCAAAAAUGAAAAUAAUAGAAAUGAAAGACUAGCCAUUGUAUGAAAUUUAUAAUUGAACUGUCAACAAAAUUGGGAGAAAUUUUUAAAUUUUAUGAAAUUUUAAAAUUAAACUGUCAAUAAUAGAAAAUUGUGCGCCUGAGUGACUUGGGAUAAGAGGUUGAACAUUUCUGGAUCACAUUACAUUUAAGAUGGGUCUUUAAGGUUAUACUUUAGUUAUUGAGAACAUUUUCCACAAUUUGCCAUCGUUAUUUGUGGGGUAAGUGGUUGAACACUUAUGGAUCACAUUGCAUUUAGGACGGGUCUUUGGAGUUAUAUGAUACUUUAACAUAGACUGACUUUUCUAUAAUUAGUCCUUGGUUUACCUUGGGUGGAUUCUUCCAACUAGUCCAAGAAUUAUUGUACAAUUACAAUUAAUCUUUUUAAAUGAGACAAACAUUUCAAAUUUGUCAUUACUAUUUGUGAGUGAUUUGGGGGUAAGAAGUUUAACACUUCUGGAUGUCUUAUAAAAUUGUGAUUAUACUGUUUGAGUAUUGACUCAGUUUUCCACAAUUGUGGGUCUCUAUUUGAGCAAAACAAUUUCAACAUUUCUUCAUCUCGUUUAAUCCAAAUGCAUUUAUGCAUUUCUUAUACCAUUAAAUUGGCUGUUUCACAUUCAAUUUUUGGACAAGUAGAAUUUUCUAACCUAGUUUCCAUCAACUUCAAUUGAAUUUUCAAUCAAAAUCAGUUGCAUUCAAGAGCACCACAUCCUUUUGGAUGAAACAAAAUUUCAAUUUUAGGAUAAACGGGUCUUUAGGGUUAUACUUCAUUUAUUGAGGGCCUUUUAAUUUCCACAAUUGUCAUCACUAUUUGCGGGUGAUUUGGGGAUAAUAACUUGAACAUUUCUGGAUCACAUUUAAUUCAAUUUUUAAAUUUUAGAGAGGUGUUUGGGUUACAACAAUUGUCAUCAUUAUCCUUAAUAGAACAUUUGGGAGGAAAAUGAGCAAAAAAUGAGCGAAAACCGAAAAAUGGGGGCAAACUAUAGGACCCAAACGGGCUGACCUAUUCCACACGACCGUGUGACCCACACGGUCGUGUGGCAAGCCAUGUCAAGUUCGUAGAUUUGCACUCUGAACUACGAAAAAAUAUGAAUUUUAGGUUUUGCGGGCAUUCUAAGAUGUAUAUAUGACCAAAAAAAAAAAAAGAAGAUAGGAGAGAACCUUCCUAGAAUAUUCAAGAAAACAACUCUAAAGACACCACUAAAGCCGACUCUAAAGCAGAUUUUCAUUAAGAUUGAAGAUUCCUAAUUGAUUUCUUAGGAGAUUAUCAUGAGUUUCUUUAUUUCUUUCAGUUAUACUGCCCUUUGGAUGUUUUUAUUUUUAGAUUAACUAAUUUUCUAAAUACCUAAGAGAGAUGAGCCCUAUGAUAGACUGUGACACGCCAAAGUCGACCGGGAUAGACUGGCCUGAAUUCGAAGCAUUACAUUAGCCACCUAAGUGACUCUCCAGCUAACUACCACCCAAGACAAACCCCGACCUUAUAACACCUCAAUCUUAUCUAAUUAUUAAUUAUUUAUUAAUGCCGACGUAAAUUAUGAGCCAAUUUUAAACUUUUUCUAGGUAAUUUAACCUAAGGGCAUUUAUGUCAUUUUACCACUUAUGGUAAAACUAACUCGGUUUUAGAUCUAAGUGUUUUUUGACUUCUUUUAGUCAAAUUAUGCAAGUCUAAAAUUUUUAGGUUAAUUUGAGUUCGUUUACUAUGUCAAAUUCAAGUUUUAUUAUUAAGGACUAAAUUGUAACUUAAACAAAUUUGAAUACCAAUUUAAAGUAAUAAAAAUUCAAAACCCUAAAACCCACACGGGCAUGUGGGCAAGUGACACGGGCGUGUGGAGACUGGAGCUAUCACACACAAGCAUGUGAGUUGAAAAAUAUGAAAUAAAUUAAUCCAUUCAAUUUUCCAACAACCAUGCUAUACUACCAAACCAAAAAACGCUUGAAGCUUUGAAAAGGGGUGAAUCUAAAAAAAAAAAAUUAGAAGAAUUAGAAUUAAAUUAUAAAAUUUUGAGAAUUAAAAUAUAAUUUUAUCAUGUAUUAAUUUAUUAUUUUUAAAGGGUCUUAAUAGAGUUUUUUUUCCAUAUUGGUUGGACCAAUACCUCUACCUGCCUCUUUAAAUUUGCUCCAACCCUAAACCCAAUAUUCGAUUGGAUUAACAACAAUAUAUAGGUUAGUAUUUUUAGAGGUUUAAAUUAUAAAUUUUUGAAAGAUUAAAAUAAAUUUGUAUUUUUUUAUUAAGAAAAUAUAAAAGAAAAAAAUAUGUUUACACAAGCCAAGAGACCUUUGGGAUCAUGCGGGUGAUUUUGAUGAUGUUAAUGGUUAUUUUGGUGGAGAGAGUGAAAAAGAAACAAAUGAUUCAUUAUAUAUAAUAUAAUUAUGAAAUUCAAGCCAUAUAUUGUAUGUUUCAUACAUAAAAAUUUCAUGGGAGGUCCAAAGGUAAUAAAUGACUUGUAGGCUUGCUGAAUUCCUUUGAAAGGCCCAAAGGCAAUUUAACAUUCACAAAAUAAUCUCUAAAUACUGUAAAGACAAAUCAAAUCCACAGCAGCAUUAGAGUUGAUUAAGCUAAGCAUUGGCAAAUAUUACUUUGAUUUGGCGUGCAAUAUUGGGAAAACCCCCUCUUACAUUAGAAAAACAACAUAAUCCAUGAAACAUUGAUAGCCCAAUACAGAAGUGUUUAUAUAUGUGUUUGAGACUAGUUAUAUUUGGCUUAAUUGAAAUAGAUUAUAUAUGUUUUUAUGACUAUUUAUUUGCUUAAGACUUACUAAGCUUUUAAAAGCUUGCUUUGUGUGUGUUCUUUCCCUAUUUUAUAGAUAGUCGAAGCUAGCUCGAGCUCGAAGAUCGUCAAGAAUUGUCGUCACACUAUCGAUCGUCAUUUUAGUACUUUUGAAACUUGUAAAAAUAGUAUAUGGCAUGUAUAGGCUAGUAAUCAUGUGAUAUGUUUUUGGGUUGUGGUUUUAGCCAUAUAAGUUGGUUUGUAAAUGGUGUAGUUGUUGGAAGUUACUUUAGCUAUGCAAAUGAGCUUAUUUUAUGAAUUGACAAAUGGUAGGUGAUGUUUAUUUGGCAAACUUGGUAUAGUCAUGUGGUUAAUUAUUCGGUUAGAUGUUAAUGUUAGUAUGUGUUCAUAUUUACUAUGUGAUGACUAUGCUAUGCCAUGUAAAUUUGACUAUUUGGUGUGGAUUAUUAUUAACCUAUGCUAUGCCAUGUAAAUUUGACUAUUUAGUGUGGAUUAUUAUUAACCUAUGUGAUGUAUAAAUUAACCUAUUUGGUGUGGAUUAUUAUUAACCGGCGACGUAUUCAGGUUAGGGGUGUUACAUGAGGCGCUUUUGGUAAAUACAUUACUGAGUUGGUGACCUGAUUGAGGGUAACACCAACUCAAUAAAACUCUUAAAUAUUGACUACAAAUCCUAUCACACACUUAUGAGUAUGAAAACACAAAUUUAGAAUACAAAGAUGUGUUUAAAAAUAACAUAGAAUAAAGAAUGAAAUUUAUGGUUUGAAACUAAUUAAUAAUAACACAUGAAAUAGAAUGAAAUUUAUGGUUUGAAACUAAUUAAUAAUAACACAUGAAAUAUGUAUGAUAUCAAAAUGAAAAAAAAAAGAUUAAAUUGUGCAUAAAACAAAAUUUUUUCCUGUUACAUCAAUAAAGUUAUAUUUAUUACCCUCGCCAAUUGUUUGUCAUUAAGAACAUUAAAGUAUCCUUGAAUGAUAUAACUGAUUCUAAAUAGAGUUGAUGUAUGGUUGGCUUAGGAUACCAAGUCAGUUAGGGGCUUAAGAUUAUUAAAAUAUUCUUAUUUUAAAGGGAAAUUAAUAUUAUUAUAAGUGUAUUUUCACCUUUUCAUACUUUUAUAUAAUCUUCAAGUAAAACAAUUGAAAAAUAUUAUGUGAGGCUCAAACACAAGACUAAAAAAAUUCAUAUAGAAAACGCUUACCACUCCACUAAUAAUCAUUUGUUAAUGUAUUUUUGGUAAAAAGACCUCUCCAAUCCCUCUUAAUUUCACAAUUGCGCAAAUUAGUCCCUCUCAAAAAAAAUGGAGCAAUUUAAUCCCUAUCAAUUUUGAAAGUGAGUAACUAAGGACAAUUAAUUAUGGUGUUAAAUUCUUCCAUCAAUUGUACAUAAUUUUGAUUAGUACAGUUAUAAAUUUAACUUUCAAUGUUUAUAUAUUUUGUCAUUUUGGCCUUAAUUUUUAAAAAAAUUUAAGAAAUUCAACCUCAACAUUUACAUAUUUACACAAACGUUGCAGGAAAACUUUGUUAAAUUAAGACCAAAUUGCAAAGUGUGUAAAUUUUGAGGGCUAAAUUUAUUAAUAAACCAGCCAAAAUCAUGUACAUUUUAUGGAAUGUUAACAUCUUGAUUAAUUAUUCUUAGUUGCUCACUUUCAAAAUUAAUAGGGACUAAAUUGCUCUGACUUUUUUAGGGUAACCAAUUUCCUCAAUUUGGAAAUUGAGAGAGACUAUUGAGAUCUUUUUAAUAUAAAAUUAAUAUAUUUUUUUUAUAAACAAUAAAAGAACGUUGACAUUGAAUUUGCUGUUUCACAUUCAAUUUACAGAGAAGAAGAAUUUUCUAACUUAUUUUCCAUCAACUUCACUCCAAUUUUCAAUCACAAUCAAUUGCAUCAAGAGCACCACAUCUUUUUGGAUGAAACAAACCUCUCAAUUUUAAGAUAAACGGGUCUUUAGGGUUAUUAGUUGAGGGCUAUUUCCACAAUUGCCAUCACACACGGGAGUGUGGGAUUGAAAAAUAUGAAAUAAAUUAUUUCACUCAAUUUUCCAACACCCAUGCUAUACUACCAAAUUAAAAAAAGGCUUGACGCUUUGAAUAGGGAAGAAUUAGAAUUAAAUUAUAAAAUUUUGAGAAGUUAAAAUAUAAUUUUAUCAUGUAUUAAUUUAUUAUUUUUAAAGGGUCUUAAUAGAAUUUUUUUCCCAUUUUGGUUGGGCCAAUACCUCUGUCUGCCUCUUUAAAUAUGCUUCAACCCUAAACCCAAUAUUCAAUUUGGAUUAACAACAAUAUAUAGGUUAGUAUUUGUGGAAGUUUGACGAAUAAAAUUGCUUUUUUAGAUGUUUAAAUUAUAAAUUUUUGAACGUUUAAAGUAAAUUUGUAUUUUUUUAUUAACAAAAUAUAAAAAAAAAAACAUGUUUAGACAAGCCAAGAAACCUUUGGGAUCAUACGGAUGAUUUUGAUGAUGAUAAUGGUUAUUUUGGUGGAGAGGGUGAAAAAGAAACAAAUAAUUCAUUAUAUAUAAUAUAAUUAUGAAAUUCAUGCCAUAUAUUGUAUGUUUCAUACAUAAAAAUUUCAUGGGAGGUCCAAAGGUAAUUAAAUGACUUGUAGGCUUGCUGAAUUUCUUUGAAAGGCCCAAAGGCAAUUUAACAUUCACAAAAUAAUCUCUAAAUACUGUAAAGGCAAAUCAAAUCCACAGCAGCAUUGGCAAAUAUUACUUUGAUUUUGUAUGCAAUAUUACAUUAGAAAAACAACAUAAUCCAUGAAACAUUGAUAGCCCAAUACAAAUUUCAUCGAGAAAAAAGUCUCUUUGUUUUGUAGAACAUGAUAGUAAAGAUGUGUUUAGUUUUCCUUGAUCAACAACCACUUGCCAAAAACACAAUUAGAUUAGAUUAUGAAUGAUACUUUCAACUAUGACAAUAUUAAAUACUAAACAUUCCAAAUAACUCUAAAUAAAUGGAAUGUAGCAAAUUACCUGAUGAGGCAAGCUAGCUCAAUUAAGACCAUUGUGUUAUACUUGUCUCUAAAUUGAAAAAUUUAGAAGAAAAUAAAGAGAAAGAGUUAGCAAAUACUUGAAAACCGAUAAAACUUAUAUGUCAUUGAUUGGAUAAACUACGAUCACCCAUAAUAGCCUUUACCUUGCAACCAUCUACAUGAACCCAUAAGACUCUUAGCGGAAUCAAGAGACAAGACCCUAACAUGAGAACAAUACCAUUUGUUGAUGCCUUUAUUAAUAGGGCCGUACCUAGGAGAGUUGGCAGGGGUCCCGACCCUCCUUAAAAUAAAAAAAUUUCUAUUUAGGCCCUUUAAAAUUUUUAAAAUUUUAAAUUAAUAAACGUAAAAUUGUACUUUGGCCCCCCAAAAAAUUAUAAAACUUUGAUUUAAUCCUUUAAAAAUUAUAAAAAUAUUGGCUAUUAAAAUGGUGAAAUUACAUUUUUACUAUUGUAAAAAUUACAAUUUAAUUUCACCCCUAAAAAGAUUUUCUGGCUUCGCCCCUAAUAAAAUCAUUGGCAAAAGAUUAAAAUAAAAUUAUAUCAUAAAUAAUAAAAAAACUAAGAAAAUCCAAUCUAACAAAGAAAAUAACUUGAUGUCGAAAUUUAAUGCAUUUUAUUGGUUUCCAUUUUGAUAUUGCAAAAGAAGUUUGAAUUUUGAAGAGAGCCUAGUACGUGAGAGCAAAAGAAAAAAAAUGGUUUAUUAAUUUUUACGAAUACCGACAUAUUAUAUAUAUGAUUAAAAUUCCAGAAUAGAUUAAAAAUGUUGAAUUAAUGAUAAAAUUAAGUGUGAAAUAAUAACCACAAGUGUACUCUUUACUCACCAUCUCUGUUAAAAAUGUUGGAUGUUGUUUAGCAACCUUUGUUUGAUUUUCUUCAGCUCAACCACAACAUCUUUCAUAUCUUUUCUUUCUUCUGGUAACUCAGCUGAACAAUUCAAAGCCAACUCCAUGAUAGAUGAAAUACAAUUUGCUUUAACAACAAUGUACUCAUCCUCUCUUCUUAAUAAAUCAACAUCUGCAAUUUCUAUCGCUCCUUUAGGCAAUGAACUUUCCAUCCAAUGCCUUAUAGUCUCUUCUUCAACAAAAACAUUAUCAGUUGGCUUUUUCUUCGUGAAAGUUUCUAUAAGGACGAUCCCAUAACUAUAGACGUCAGAUUUUAUAGAAACAAUUCCUGCUGAUCCAAAUUCUGCAUUUCAAGUAUAAUUAGAACAUCAUUCAUCCUCAAUUAUUUCUAAAACGCUUAUUCAAAUAUAUAUCCACAUACACGUGAAACAAAAAUAUAAAAUGCAAAUUAGUAAAAUAAUCAUACAAAAAUAAAAAAGAAUUCACCUGGUGCCAUAUACCCAAUAGUUGCAAGAGUCAUGGUUUGCUUCAUUACUUCACCUUCUCCCAACAAUUUGGCAACGCCAAAAUCUCCAACAUGUGCAACCAUGUCUUCAUCUAGUAAAAUAUUGCUUGGUUUUAUGUCACAAUGAAUUAUAGGUGUUGGAUGUCCAUUGUGGAGGUGUUCUAUAGCUACCGCAACAUCUAUCAUUAUGUCGACCCUUUGUAUGAUAUUAAGGAAACAAUUUUCAGAAUGUAACCAUUUCUCAAGGUUUCCGUUAGAUAUGUAAUCAAGCACCAAGGCUUUGAAGUCAACACUUGAGCAGCAAGUAAUGACCUUCACAAUAUUACGAUGAACUAUAUUACACAUAGCAUCACAUUCAAUGUCAAAACUCCUAAAUGCUCCCUCUGUUUGCAAAUUGAAAACUUUUAUUGCAACUUCCAUUCCAUCUGAAAGCCUCCCUUUAUAUACAUAUCCAAAACUCCCUGAACCAAGCAUAUUGCUUUCCUCAAAUCCAUUAGUUGCUCGUGAAAGUUCAGCAUGUGAAAUUCUUCUCGGUGUUUUCAAAGACAACAAAUCAUCUUUAAUUGUUAGAGUUGUACUCCUUCUUUGGCAUCUUCUAUACAUAAUAGUUAAGACUAUUAGUACUACGACAAUACCAAUUGUUGGUAAACCAUACCUAAAAGCAUGCAAUAUAAUCAUUUGGGAGUUUUUGUGGAUGUCGUUUUUGCAGGGUGGGACUAGCAAUCUAGGUGGACCACAAAGUGCAUAAUUCUUCAUGAAUGAUGUGCUAGAAAAGUUUGAAAAACAUCCUUUGCUGGGAAUUUCCCCUUCAAGUCUAUUGAAAGACACAUUAAAAUACUUUAGAUAUAAAAGCUUUUCCAAAGAUUUGGGAAUGACUCCAGAGAGAUUGUUAUUGGAUAAAUCCAAGAAUUCCAAACUAAUCAACCCAUCAAAUGAUUCAGGGAUAUGACCAUGUAGUAUAUUAUUUGAUAAAUCUAAUGAAACCAAAGUUUGAAGACCCCCAAAUGUGGAUAAGAUAUCGCCCUUGAGCAAAUUCCUUGAUAAAUUUAGUUUCAGUAGACUCCUCAAAUUUCCAACAUCAAUAGCAUGUGAAUUGUGAAGAUGGUUUGAUGAUAAAUCUAUUUCUAAGAUAUCUUUAAGAUUCCACAAAGUUGAGGGUAUUGUAGAACUCAAUUUGUUGGAAUCUAAGCAAAGAUAUCUCAGAGCAGAAAUAUUACCUAAACAAGAGGGUAUGGACCCAUGCAGCUUAUUCAACCCUAAACACAUCUCGUAUAGUCUCUCCAAACCACAGAGGCUUUCUGAGAUCGGCCCUCCUAGUUUAUUAUUGUAAAAAGUUAGACUUUGGAGAUUUCUCAUUCCUCCUAUUGAUGCUGGAAUCAAUCCACUUAAUUUAUUAUAGCCAAGUUGUAAAAGGAAUAGGUUGGUUAAGUUACCUAUUUCCAUAGGAAUAAUGCCUUGAAGCUCACACUUUUUGGCAGAAAAGAAUUGAAGGGAUUUUGAUAGGUUCCCGAUAUAAGUAGGAAGAACGCCACUGAAUGGAUUUCCUGAUACAUCUAUUCUUCUCAAAUUCCUACAAUUCGUCAAAGAAGAAAGAAAGCUCCACUCAUGAUCAGUAGCAGAUCCUGUGAUCAAAUUAUUGUCAAAGAUUUGGAACACUUCAAGGUGUCUUAAGUUGCCAAGCGUUUUAGGGAUUGGGCCAGAGAAUGAGUUACGUGCCAAGUCUAUAAUCUGAAGCAUGGAAGCAUUGGAGAUAGAGUUGGGAAUGUUUCCGGUAAGUUUAUUUCUCCACAAUAAAAGAAUCUGAAGCUUUGGAGCAUUGGUGAUGGGUGGUAAAUUACCUGUAAAAUAGCAUCUUUUAGAAAACAUAUUCAUUGAAUACCAAAUUCACAAAAUAUAUAAUACAUUAAAUAAAAACUGUAAAACUUUAAAUCAAUUAAGGAUAAAAUUUUUGCGUGAUGAAAUCAAUUAAAAAGUUGAGACAUAAUAGGAAGUUUUGAGUAGUAAUUAGUCCUUGUGAUUUGAAUAGACAAAACAUAUAAAACACUAAUAAUUUUUUAAAAUAUUGUAAAACUUGAAAUAAAAUAAAAUAAAAGUUUGGCAUGAGAAUGUGGCAUCUAAUCAAUCUUAAAAAUGAGACUGACACUGGAUAAUAAUUAGUUAUGAUUUGGGAAACAAAAAUGUUAAAGCCAUUGUUUUUAAUGUAAACUGGUAUGAUUUUUAUCUAUUGGGAUAAUUAUUUAUUUUUAUUAAAUUAUAAUGUAAAAUUUAAAGAUUACUAUUUGCUCAAAAUUUUUGUAUUGUUCAUAUAUUUGAAAUUUAAUCUUUAUAUUUUUUAUUUUCUGUGAUUUAGUCUCUACUUUUUGAAUUGAAAAUUUUAGGUUCAUUUAUUAACAUUGUUAAAAGGUUUUUGAGAUAGUAUGGCAUUUUGAAAAAUAAAAUAAGCUUGAUAUCUCUGUUUUUAAUUAUUCCAAAUAUUGUUUUAUUAUUUCAAGAUAAAUUAUUUGUGUCUAGACCAAUUUCUUAAGAACUAUUGUUGCAUGUUUAAUUAUUUUAAAGAAUUGUCGAUUGAGUCUUAGAUUAAUUGGCAUGUGCAUUGUUGCUAAUGUAGGAGAAUGUGAGUUCAAGUAUGCUGAAGUGCAUUAUCCUCCUAUUUAUGAAUUGGGGAGUUGAUAAAGUACUAAAUUUUGAUAUAUUUUAAAAUAUUAAAAAUUUAUUAAAAUAUUUUUAUAAAAAUUGAUUGUACCACAAUAUACAAUUUUAAUAUCAAAAUUUUAAUUUUUUUAAAAAUAUUAGCGAAUAUAUACUUUAAAGUUACACAAUUUUUACUAGUUUUUAACUUUAUUUUUUAAAUUUUUAUCGUCUUUUAUAAUUUCUAAUAUUUUUUUUAUAAUUUUUUACAAUAUUUAACAAUUUCUAACAAUUUUUAAUAAUUUUAUUAUUUAUUACAAAUUUAAAAAUUAACAAAUUUUUAUUUUUUUAAAACAAUUAUAUAUUUAUAAUGUAGUUAUUUUUUUAUAAUUUUAUUAAAAUUUUUAAAGACUUUUUUGGUUUUUUUUUCUAGAUGAUGAUGCCAUCAUGAUGUCAUCAUAUGCCACAUGGCAAUUUAUGAUUAGUUGGAUAUCUCAAUCUAUUUUUUUAACGUCCAAUGGACUAAACCAAGAACACCUGAUAAUGUUAGAGACUACACUAGGAAUGUUUGAUAAUAUUAAGUAUGAAAGUGGGCAAAAAAACAUUAAGGAUUAAAAAAAAGAAAAAAAAAAGAGCAAUAUGCUGUAGGGAAUAAACUGUGCAUUAAGCCAUUAAAAAUAUAUGUAUAAUAAAUAUAAAUGCAUGGAUUUUGAGAAACUUUUGAACUGAUAAUUAUAUAGUCUUUCUUGUUUACUAUAUUAUUGAAUUUGUUAUUUUAAAUAUUUUUUAUUACUUUUAAGAUUUAUCAUAUGUAUGGAUAAGAAUUUUGGUUUUACUAAAAUAUUUGGUUAAAUAAAUUCACUUUAUAAGAAAAUUUAGCAUCCUUAUAAAUAACAAUUUUGAUUCUAUUAAAAAUAUUAUUUUAAAAAUUAUAUAAUAAAAAUUUAAAAUUUAUAUUGAAUUACUUUAUACUUCAAUUAUUAUUAGAAACUUUAUCAUACACAUACGUGUAUGAGAAUCACAUAUUUAGAACAUAAAUUUGUGUUUUAAAAUAACUUAUGAUAAAUAAUGAAAUGUAUAAUUUGAAACUAUUUAAUAAUAACACAUGGCAUAUAAAUCUUAUUGUUUAAAGUUUAAUGGAAAUUAAAAAAAUUAAAAAUAAAUCAAUUCAUAUAAAUCUUAUUGUUUUUUAUCAUAUUAAAAUGAUAAAAGUAUAUGACAUAAAUAGAAGAAACAAAUUCAACACAAUGUUUUUGGAGUUUGGAAAAAAUUAAAGUGAAAAACAUACCUUCUAAAUUGUUGUUAAAUAGAUCUAUUUCUUCGAGCGUAGUUGAAUUAAAAAUACUUGAUGGAAUUUGACCUGCACACAUAGUAAAAAAAUUGAAGUGAAAAACAUAUCUUCUAAACUGUUCAACUAAAAAUACUUUUGUUAUCUAUUACAAAUCAAACUCUUUUGUGAAAAAAUUAUUACCAGAUAAUUCAUUCCAACCCAGGUAAAGCCUUUCAAGCUUGGGAAGAUAUUGACACAUAUCAUUAGGCAAACUACUUGAUAGGCUAUUGUUGGAGAGAUUAACGGUCUUCAGAGAAGAAAUGUUGAAGAUAGAAGUUGGAAUCUGACCUGUAAGGCCUUUAAUUGCUUGAAUAUUAAGCAUUUCCAAACUAAGAAGAUUACUGAUUUCCUUAGGAAUUUGACCUGCAGACAGUCGAAAAAUCAUUAUUUUUCAGCACUUGUUUUUCUUCAAAUUAACUAUUUUGCCUUGAAUGAAAUAAAAAUUUCUUCCUUUUGUUAUCUAUUACAAAUUAAACUCUUUUAUAAAAAAUACUUUAAAUUCAAGAAAUCAAGGAAAUUGAUUACCUUCUAGAUUAUUAAACCCCAAAUAUAAUUCCUGGAGUCGUGUCAGAUUUCCAAUACUUUUUGGAAUGAUCCCCCUCAAUUGAUUAUUGGACAACGACAAAUUUUUAAGGUUGCUGCAUUUGCCCAUACUUGAUGGAAUGUUACCAGAUAAUUCAUUCCAACUCAGGUAAAGCCCUUCAAGCUUGGGGAGAUGUUGACACGUAUCAUUAGGCAAACUACCUAAUAGGCUAUUGCUGGAGAGAUCAAUAAUCUUCAGAGAAAAAAUCUUGAAGAUGGAAGAUGGAACCUGACCAGAUAAUUGAUUGAAUCCCAAGUUCAAGAUCUCUAGAUUAGACAUGUUAACAAGUGUUUCAGGGAUUGUGCCUGUAAAGUUAUUGUUUUUCAUUUUCAGCCUUCGAACUCUCUGUAAGUUCCCAAGCCAUGAUGGAAUUUCCCCAUUCAGAUGGUUGUAGCUUAAUUGAAGGAUCCUCAAAUGAUGCAAUUGGCUCAAUUCUUUAGGGAGAUGGCCAUAGAAAUGGUUGCUACUCAAGUCGAGAGAGAGUAGAAAUGAAAGAUUUCCAAGGUGUGGAGGGAUAGUACCCCUAAGAUUCAUGCUUGUAAGAUUCAAAGCUAUAACUCUUUUAUGGAGGAUGCCACAAGAAACACCAAUCCAAUUGCAAACAGAGGUUGAGACCGUCCAAUUGUUUGGCAAGACAUUUUGAGGACCGGCGAUGCGAUCCUUAAACUCGAGAAGUGCAAACUGGUCGAAGUUGAGAUUCCUGACUGUCAUAGCCAAGCAAAGUACGGAACAUGGUAUGAAUAAAGCUAAAAGAAGAUGAAAGCAAGUGUUGUAGUUCAUGAUUGCAAGACGGAAUAAGCCAAGAAAAUAAAAAAAAAGUAGGAAAAGGGAAGUUGAGUUGAUAAAAUAGUUUGGAUGAUGAAGAAAAGCCCAGACAGCAUGCUUUAAUAUGUUUCAACCCUCGCACACUUGAUAAACUUGAUAAAAAUAUUUUGAUCUAAUAAAUGUAAAAAACUUUUUAAACAAAAUAAGGUUGAAAUAAUCUAUUUGUCCUUAUACUUUGAUAAAAUUUGAGAUUUAGUCCUUAUACUUAAAAGGUUAAAAAUAAAGUCUUCUUGUUUUUAUUUAAAAAUCUUAGUCCUAACGUUAAUUUUUUUUGUCAAAAUUUGUCAACUUUACAUAUUAAUUAGGUUUCCCUUAUAUGUCGUGAUAUAUGACUAACACAAAAUAAGCAAGUUGAUAAAUUCUGACAAAAAAUACCAAAGAUGAUAAUAAUUGAAUUAAAAUUUUUAAAUUGAAUUUAUAACCUUUAACGUAUAAGGAAUGGAUAUCAAAUGUUUAUAGGAAUAAAGGGACUAACAGCAUAUUUUAACCAUAAAAAAAUAUGAGUGAUUAGAAUGAAUCUAAAAUUUUAUAGAAAUAAAAGAGACUAACAACAUAGUUAUAACUUUGAGAUCUCCUUCGAUCAUCCUUUUUCUACGUGGAAAAAGAAAAUUAAUUAGCAUCUAAAGUUUCAAGUAAUGAAACCUUGAAAAGAAAAGGUGAAAGUGAUUUAUCAAACAAUAAUAGUCUAACUUAUAAUAUAUUUAAUUACAUUUAGUAAUUUAUCAAUCAAAACUUAAUUAACAUCCAUCAAUACUUCAUACAUAAGUAAAUUUACCAUUUAACUCAGAUUUAACUUUGCAAGUAAACUUAAAGUUUUAUUUAAUUUUGUCACUAAAUUUGAUUUGUUCAAUAUAGAUUUUGGUGACUUAAAACAAAAUUAAUAAAAAAAAUUAUUUUUUCAGAUAUGUUUUUAAUAUUUAAUAAUAAGUUAAUUUAUAAAAUAUACUUUCAUUGGACACAGGCAUCCAAGGCGGUGAACCACUGAUCAAAUUAAUUCAGAGAUACCUAAAUUUGCUUUCAUCAAUUAAUUAAGAAAUUAAAUUUUUAAAAAAAAUUGUUGAGACCUCAUGAUUAUCUUUUAUAAUUUCAGUCUUAUCAACUAUUUUGAAAACAACAAAACGUCUUACACCAAAACCUAAAAAAUAAAAACGUCGACAUUAAAUUUGUUGGUAUGCAAUCAAUUUUAAGAUGGUUUUUGGAGUUAUAUAUCACUUUAGCAUUGACUUACUUUUCUACAGUUAGUCUUCUCCAACAAGUUAAAUAUUUCAAUUUUAACAACAUUGAAAGGUUUUGGCGUAGAGUCGAGCAAAACUCAAUAGAAACAGAUGAUAUAGGUUGAGUUGGCUCGGCCAAGUCGAGUCGACUUGUUCAAAUUAGUUAAAUUAGUAAAUUUUAGGGUGCAGUUAGAAUUUUUUAUUUUGAGAUGCUAAGAUGAAAAACUUUGAGUUGCUAAAACAAAAAUUUUGUAUUUAAAAAGGCAUAAAUUAAAUUAUUAAGUUUUUCAAGUUUCCAUUUAAUCAAAGGUUAAAAAGGACUAAAUUGAAGCUUUUUAUUUUUAAGAAAGGCUGAAUGACAAAUUGCUCAAAGCCCAUGCCCCUAGCUAUACGCCCCUGUUAAAAUCAAUUUUAAAAUUAGUUAUAAUAGUUGAAGCGAAUUGAUUAUUGAGUAAUGAAACACAUCAUUCAACAAAAUAAACAAGUUGACAAAUUUUGACAAAAAAUAUCAAAGGUGAUAAUAAUUAAAUUAAAAAUUUAAAUUGAAAAAAUAAGGAAUUGAAUUUAUAACUUUUAAAGUAUAAAGAAUGAAUUUAUAACUAACAUAUUUUAACCACAUAAUAAAAGUAGUUAUGGAGAGUAUCAUGUAAAAUAAUGACCUGAAUGAAAUAAGAAUAGAAAAGAAAGAGUAGCCAUUUUAUGAAAUUUAUAAUUCCAACUGUGAAUAAAAUAUAAAUUUUAUGAAUGUGGACAAGACAUUUUAUUUAACUUUUUUUAAAGUCAUUUUGUUUGUUUCCUAACCACCAUGAAAUUACUUGUCACAAUUCAUCUUUUUAAAUGAGAAACAUUUUCCACAAUUUGCUAUCACUUUAACAUACACUAACUUUUCUAUGAUUAGUCUUUGGUUUGCUUUGGGUGCAAUCUUCCAACUAGCCUUAUCAGUGGUUUGACUUUCCAACAUUUAGUGUAUCACGAGUUUUGUUUUCUUUAAAAAAUAUUUUUGUGGAUAUUAGGAGAUAAUGACAAUUAUUUUACUGUGAAAUUUUAAUAAAACUGAAAGAUUAGUAAUUUAUUUUAAGAGAUCACAAUUAAACAUUAGGUUUCUAAUUUUUUAAUUUUAAAUUUUUUUGACAAUUGCAUAAUUAAUAAGGUACCAAUUUUGAGCAUUGUAGGAAUGCUAUAACCUUCCCUACGCAUAAUCGCCUCUUGAGCAUGAUGGAUCCUAGACCUUAUCCUCUAUUCUCGUAUCACAAAUUGCUUUGAGUGUGAGUUCGAACAAUCACAUAUUAAGCACAAAACCAGAAAUGAAUUAUUACUUUCAAUGGCAAAGUAAUUCUCUCUCAAUAGAAACCAAUAAAAUUGUAAUUCCAAGAAAAUAAAAUUUAGUUUUUGAAAAUAUAUUCUCACUGCUUUCUAGCAGAAUAACAAUAUGUGAAACUCAUGUCAAUGUUAAUAGCUCUACCAGUACUAUCUAUUUAUAGGGAGAGACAUGAGAAUCCUGGUUGAAUUAGUAAAACACAAGUAAUAUUUAUUUCAUAGAAAACAAUAUUCUACUCUAAGUAGAUCAAGUUUGGAUGACGCAUGGAUCGAAGCUCAAUCUAGGAGAAAAAAAUAAAGGAAUUUUCUCUGUAACGAAAAUCUGAGAUUGUACUAUUUUCGAAGUUAUAAAUAAAAUUAUACGCCAAAUUUCAAGUCAAUUUUCAACUCAAAUUUUAUAUAUACAAAUUUCUAAUACACUUGGUGGGACAUUCUUUGACUUUUAUCUAUUCUCUCAAAAAGUUAAAGUUCAAAGUUGCAUUAAACUCAAAGAAGAUAAUCACUAGUAAACCAGCUCACAAGCCUGCUCAAGCUAAUCCUACAACUCUUUCCACUUCAUCAUCAAACACCAAUGUUCUUGCUUAUCCUUAUGGAAUUAAACAAAAGACAAAAGCUCUUUAAGAGUUAUUUGAAAAGACAAAAGAUUCAGAUGUGUUGAGAUGGAAAGUGACAAUACAAUGUUGAUUGAAACUAUUCGUAAUGGGUUGGCUACAAUAACUAGUGUUGCUGAAGUAAGACAGAUUCACCAUUGGUGUUCCAAAAAUUGGGAAGUCAAACUUCGACAUAUUUAGCAGAAUGCCAAUAAAGUUGUUGAUUGCAUAGCUAAGGCAAAUGGAGGCGUAAUUGAGCAGCUGGUUAUCUUGGAAGAUCCUCCGAAUUAUGUGAGAUGCUAGCUUGAAGAAGAUAUUAGACAAUCACUGGUGACUGAUGAUAAUUUUCAUUUAGACUGAUGAGCGCUUAAUUUUCUAAGCUUAUGUUCAACAAAAAAAAAAAAUUAAAUGUCUAAAUUGUAAUAGAGUUAACAUUAAGUGUUUAAAAAAUAUCUUAAAAAUUAUUUUUUCCAAUUGCAGUUCAAUUCCACAAAUAUCGAUGAUGAACCCGGACAUAAAAGUUACAAAAAAAAAACACAUCUCUUAUCAAACCAGCAAUCCAUGUCUAAACUUAAAUUAACAAAAUUCGCCACGCAACCCGGUACACUAUUAUAUAUAUAUACUAGAUUUAUUCUAGAUGCACAUGUUUUAUUAUAUUUAAAAAUUAAAAUAUAUGGUUGACUAAGUUUUAGUUGAGUUAGUAUUGGUAUUAUUGUCAUUGUUGGAAAAUGUGAGUUUAACCGUGCUCAAAUGUGUUUUAUCCUCCAAUUCAAGGGUUAGGAAAAGGUUAUUAAUAAUUAAAUUAUACCAACUUUUAUGAUAUUAAAAAAAGGAUUUAUAAAUAAUAUAAGGAAAAGAAAAAAAAAAAAGAGAAACAUAUUCAUAUUGAUGGGCUCUUUCAAUAUUAGACUUUUUCUUUCUAUCACAAGUAAAAAUAUCAAAGGUGAUAAUAAUUAAAUUAAAAAAUUUAAAUUAAAAAAAUGGGGAUUGAAUUUGUAACUUUUAAAGUAUAAAGAAUGAAUUUAUAACUAACAACAUUUUUUAACCACAUAAUAAAAGUAGUUAUGGUAAAAUAAUGACCUGAAUAACUUUAAACGUCUCAUCCUUGCAAAAAUGAAAUAAUAGAAAAGAAAUAAGUGUUGGGUGUAGUGACAAUGUACAUUAUACUUCUAAGGGGAGAUCAGGGUUUUAGACAAGGGAAGAAUUUUAAACCUACUUUUUUUCUCUAGAACUCAACACAAACCUCAAAUUUAUCUUUUUAAAAGAAUUUUAAAAUAUCUAUAUAAAAGGUGAUUUUUUUACCAAUCACACUUAACAAAAUUUUAAAAUUUCUUUUUUUGAAAUUUAAAGUGAUCUAAAAACAUAUUUUUAAGUGUUUUAGACCAUCCAGUGCUGAUUUCUUUAUUAAUUUGAUUUGUUCAAUAUAGAUUUUGGUGACUUAAAACAAAAUUAAUAAAAAAUUAUUUUUUCAGAUAUCUUUUUAAUGUUUAAUAAUUAACUUACAUAAAAUAUGUGUCUAAGGCGGUGAACCACUGAUCAAAUUAAUUUAGAGAUACCUAAAUUUGCUUUCAUCAAUUAAGAAAUUAAAAAAAAAAUUGUUGAGACCUCAUGAUUAUCUUUUAUAAUUUCAGGCUGAUCAACUAUUUUGAAAACAACAAAAACGUCUUACACCAAAAACUAAAAAAUAAAAACGUCGACAUUAAAUUUGUUGGUAUGCAAUCAACUUUAAGAUGGUUUUUGGAGUUAUAUAUCACAUUAGCAUAAUUGACUCACUUUUCUACAGUUAGUCUUCUCCAACAAGUUAAACAUUUCAAUUUUAACAACAUUGACAGUCUUUAGGGUAGGGUCGAGCAAAACUCAAUAGAAACAGAUGAUAUAGGUUGAGUUGGCUCGGCCAAGUAAUUUAUUUUUAAAACAAGUAAUUUAUUUUAAGAGAUCACAAUUAAACAUUAGAUUUCCAAUUUUUUUAAUUUUAAAUUUUUCUGACAAUUGCAUAAUUAAUAAGGUACAAAUUUUGAGCGUUGUAGGAAUGCUAUAACCUUCCCUACGCAUGAUGGAUCCUAGACCUUCUCCUCUAUUCUCAUACUACAAAUUGCUUCGAGUGUGGGUUCGAACAAUCACAAAUUAAACACAAAACCAUAAUUAUUAUUUUCAAUAGAAAAGUAAUUCUCUCUCAAUAGAAACCAAUAGAAUUGUAAUUCCUAGAAAAAUAAAAUUUAUUUUUUGAAAAUAUCUUCUCACUACUCUCUAGCAGAAUAACAAUAUGUGAAACUUAUGUCUUGUUUUAAUAGCUCUAUCGGUACUAUCGAUUUAUAGGGAGAGACACGAGAAUCCUGGUUGAAUUAGUAAAACACAAAUAAUAUUUAUUUCAUAGAAAAAAAUAUUCUACCCUAAGUAGAUCAAGUUUGGAUGACGCAUGGAUCGAAGCUCAAUCUUGGAGAAAAAAAAUAAAGGAAUUUUCUUUGUAAAGAAAAUAUGAGAUUGUACUUUUUUCGAUGUUAUAAAUAAAAUUAUACGCCAAAUUUUCAAGUCAAUUUUCAACUCAAAUUUUGUAUGUACAAAUUUCUAAUACACUUGGUGGGACAUUCUUUGACUUUUAUAUAUUCUCUCAAAAAGUUAAAGUUCAAAGUUGCAUUAAACCCAAAGAAGAUAAUCAUUUGUAAACCAGCUCACAAGCCUGCUUAAGCUAAUCCUACAACUCGUUCCACUUCAUCAUCAAACACCAAUGUUCUUGCUUAUCCUUAUGGAAUUAAACAAAAGACAAAAGCUCUUUAAGAGUUAUUUGAACAGACUUCUUUAACGGUAAAUUACAAUCCACUCUAUGAUGCUUCUUCGCCCAACUCAUGAAUUAAAAGAAGUUUCUACUCAUGGAUCAAGUGUAGCCCGCCAGUUAUCAUUAAGGAGAAAACAGAGUCAAUCAAGUGAAAAUUAUAUUCCAACAUCUCCCCAGAACCAAAUUUCAGAGUGAUGAAUGUCAUGACAACUGACACUACAUUCUUAGAAGAAUAAGUAGAUCUCUAGCAAAAACGAUGGAGAGUCUUACUACAAGCAUAAAAGGAAUGGAUGAUCAAACUGAACAUCUUAGUGGAAGUAACCAAACCUUUUCCAGCGAAACUCAACAUCCUCUUCACAAAGUUGUUGGAAUCAAAAUUGUUGAAGGACUUUAAAGUGUUUCUUUAGAUCAACUCAAGGAGCUUAUUAAAGAAACCAUUAAAGAUCAAGUCAAAAGUGUUGCUUCGCCUUCAUAUACAUACUCGAAGUCAUACAUUUGGAGGAUUUAUCAUUUGAAUAUGCCUGAACAUUAUCCACCUCUAAUACGGCUGUCUGAAUAUAUUCCGAGAAAACACAACAAGAGAAGGGUGAUAGUCUAAUAGAGGAGUACACGACUUUGCUUCAUUGCCCGAGGAUUCAAGUUGACAAAGCUUAUUCAAAAGUCGUCAACGUCUUGACCCUUUUUAAAGAAUCUAACGAGAAUUACGAGGAUAAGUGAGCAGUGAGUCGUAGCCUGGCUCAAGCAAAAAGGAGCUAGUAGAGGCACCUAUUGGAAAAUUCAUGAUAUUUAUCUUAACAUCCGGAUGAAGAAAAGGAUCGAUGUCUUCGCCUAGAGUAUGAGGGCAAAGCUGUAUAUAUAUUCGCUUUAUGUAAAGAGAAUUGUUUUCUAGUAAAGUUGUUCUAACAUAAUUGAAUCAGACUUAACGUCGUAUUCAUUCCAUUCAUCUGCAUUACAUUUCAUUGCAUGCAAAAUUUCACAAAAGGAUACUAAUUAAUCAAAAUUGUUACAGUUACCCUGGAAACUAACGAAAAUCCACCAACUAAAUAUCGCUACGGUAUCCGCUGCAAAACCAAAGAAAUGGAUCAAAGAUUAGAAAGAUUAGAACAAAUGCAAAAAGGUAUGCAAGAUCAGUUGCAAGCGCAACUACAAGAACAAUUAACGAAAGUACAACAGGAGAUGAGGGAUCAGAUACUAGAAUCUCAAAGAAGCAUGAUGAGCCAAUUAACGCAGUUACUAGCCGGAGGGCUUAAAAAAGGGAAAAGCUAAGUGGUCAACAUUGGGGAUGAUAAUGAAGACCUUGCCUAUCCCUCAAGUUUUACCCCGAUAAGUGUCCAGGCCCAACUAGACGCGCGUCUACAAAGGGCACCCGUUACUAUUAGACCCCAACAAUAUCAAACCGGUACCUCGGCACCAGUGAACUACCCAACAGGCUUAGGUUCCAAUCUGGGGGACAAUCCAACCAAUCCUGUAGUUCCUAAUUUAGACGAAAUGGUAGAAAUAAAAAAAAGCAAAGGUGGAACUGCCAAAAAAACUUGAAGAUCGGUAUAGGUGGUUAGAAGAAAAACUCAGAGCAAUGAAAAAUGAUGAUUACCAUUAUAGGGUUGACGCCAAGGAUCUGAGUUUUGUUCCAGAUCUAGUACUCCCACCAAAAUUCAAGACUUCAAAAUUUAAAAAGUAUAAUGAGACUAGUUGUCCUAAAGCUCACAUCACGAUGUUCUGCCGAAGAAUGACAGGAUACGUUAAUAAUGAUCAAUUGUUAAUUCAUUACUUCCAAGAUAGUUUGAUUGGGCCUACUGCCAAAUGGUACAACCAACUGAGCCGUGCUAACAUCCACUCAUGGAAGGACUUGGCACAAACUUUCAUGAAGUAAUACAGCCAUGUAACAGACAUGACACCUGACAGAAUUACACUGCAGAAUAUGGAAAAGAACCAAAGUGAGAGCUUCAGGCAAUAUGCCCAAAGAUGGAGAGAGGUAGCGACAUAAGUCUAGCCACCUUUUCUGGAGAAAGAAACCACGAUGCUUCUCAUCAACACUCUGAAAGCCCCAUUCAUUAACCAUAUGUUGGGAAGGGCUACCAUGAGCUUCUCAGAUAUAGUAAUGUCUGGCGAGUUUAUUGAAAACGCGAUGAGGAGUGGAAAGAUAGACGCGGGAGAAAGCGCCAAAAGAUCAACCCCGAAAAAAAUGAAAAUGAAGCGAAUAAUGUAAGAAAAGGGUAUUCCAAAUCGGUCAUUGUAGGUGAGCCGAGGGCCGUGACUACUAACUAUCAAGCCCUCUUCAGGCAAGAGUCUAACUCGAGGCAAAGCACUGAAAGACUCCAGUUUACACCCAUCCCAAUGACAUAUAGGGAGCUGUAUCGGAAUCUAUUUGAUGCACAUGUGGUAUCCCUAUUCUAUAUGAAACCCAUACAACCUCUAUUUUCGAAAUGGUAUGACGCAAAUGCUCAACGAGAAUACCACGCGGGAAUAAUAGGACACUCAAUUGAAAACUGCACUACAUUUAAAAAGUUAGUUGAAAGGUUUAUUAAGAUGGGCAUCGUGAAGUUUGACGAUCCAUCAUGACCUAAUUUGACAGGAAAUUCGUUACCUAGUCGUCAAGACCCAAGGGUAAACGCAAUAAUUGAGAAUGGAGGAAAGAGAACCAAAACCAACGUUGCAGAAGUAAAAACCCACUGAAAUGGGUUUUGAAACAAAUGAUAGACAUGGAAUUAAUAAUUCAGAAUUUAGAGGAGAUACCAAAAGAGAUGAGGAGCUACUGUGAGUUUCACGCUGAAGAGGGCCAUGAAAUCCAAGAGUGCGCUAAAUUCAAAGUUUUGGUGCAGAGCCUAAUGGAUAAUAAAGAGUUGGAAUUCCUUUAAGAAGUCAAAGGCCUGGAAGGAAUGUUAGGGAAUCUAAACAUUGACGCCGUAUCCAAAAAGGGAGCUGGGGAAGAGAAUUUAUCAGGCAUUUGCCUUUACACACCUGGGAGUGUUUUGACUAAAGGGACUGAGGAAGAGAUCCCUGGAUUUUUUAGACCUAAUUCGGAGUAAUGUCCAAAACACACUUGCUCUAAGCCUAGGAGAAAUAAGAAUCCUUUUGUGAGAUAGGCUUAUGUCCAACAUCUUUAUUUCAAUAAAAUGCAUCCUUGUUUAUCACUUCGAGCAAAUAUUCUUUUAUUGUUUCCAUUUCAUUCAUAAUCAUACCAUAUAAAUAAAUAUUCUCAGAUUCUUUUGUUCUUUGGAUCUUCCUUCAUCCCUAUAACAGGUCUCCAGAUAUCUAUGAUAUGAGUGACUCUGCUAUUGACUCAGAACCUCCUUUUGAGCAAAAUAUGUGUCCAGAGGAACCACAGGACUUUGAAGAUAACCGGGACUAUAACUUAUCUCCUAAUUUGUUAAGGAUGGUAGAACAAGAUGAGAAACAGAUCCUACCUUAUAAAGAAUCAAUAGAAUCCAUGGCCUUUCUCUAUAUAGGGCAUGGAUGUCAUUGAGUUGAUCUUGCCAAAAGCUUCUGGCAGUCAUCAAUUCAUCUUUAUGGUUGUCGAUUACUUCACUAACUGGGUGCAAGCUGCUUCAUAUGCUAAUGUCAAAAAGUCGACAGUCAGCAAAUUCUCAAAAAAAUCAUAUGUCGGUAUGGAAUGCCAAAAAGGAUCACAUCUGACAAUGCACUAACAACAGGGCGAUAAUAGAAGUUUGCAGUCUGUUCAAGAUUAACAUCAUAUCACCCUAAAAUGAAUGGUGUAGUGAGGGCAAAAAAACCUCUACCGGGGCAAUGCCUUUCUCUUUGGCUUAUCGUGGUUUUGCCCAUUGAAUUUGAGAUUCCUUCUCUUGGAGUUUUUUUGGAUCCAAUCCCGACUAAAGAGCAAGGUUCAAAGUUAUCUGUCAUGGUCAAAUGUACCAAAAACAAAUGAUACAAGCUCACCAAAAAGGUUCGCCCCAAAAAAUUCCAUGAGGGUGACCUGGUAUCGAAGAAGAUCCUUCUCAUACAAAAGGACUUUAGAAGAAAGCAGAUGCCAAAUCGGGAAAGACCUUAUCUGGAAGACCUUAUCUGGAAAAGCAUUGAUUUUGACCAGGAAUGAUAACAAGGGAUUGUCUAAUCCUAUGAGUUCAGAUUCAAUCAAAAAUAUUUCAUGAAAAUUAAUAAAAAAAUAGAAAAGAAAAGAAAAAUUAAAAAAAAGAAAGGCCAAGGUGAAAACCCGCAAAAGGUACCUUGAGACUAAAGGGAUUUUGAGUUGAAAACCCAAAAAAGGGCGGUUUAAAUUUUGAUCAAAGUUAAGGCAUGUGGUAGUCUUGUCCUCUCCGAAUUAACGAAAAGGAGGGAUGCUACAUCUUGGGGCAUCAACAAAGUCUUCUAGGACUUCUAAGCACGUAUCAAGUUCAAAGGGUCCUCAAGAAGUUUUGUAUAAAGAAGCUUAUAAUACCCAAUUUUCGCCCGGGCCCAUGCAGAUUAAAUAAACAAAAAAUAAAAACCAAAUAAAAUAAAAUAACAGUCCAAAAGUAAAAAAAAACACAGAAACAUUAGCCCAAUAAAAUCCAACCCAGCUAACCUAACCUAAAUUACCUAGAUACAUUAAGCCCAAUAAGUUAUAAGCCCAAAAUCAGUUACCCAAACCCAAACCCAAACCCAAAUAACCCAACACCAGCCCAAAUCAAAGCUGAAACCCUAGCAGUUUCUGGAACAGUCUAGGCACCGCAUCUCCCUCACGCAAUAUAUGUGCGCCUUUGACUCCUCUCACGUAUGUCGCACUAGAUUCACGCGCGCCUUCUCCAGCCUAUACCUGCAACAACCCCAAAACGAACAGAAACAAAUAGCAAGAAAAAAAUAAAAAUAGAGGAAACUAGAAUAACAGAGAAAAUAGAAAAUAUUAAAUAAUUUUUCUAUUUUUUUGGCUAUAUAAAGCCAUUCAAGACGUUUUAAAACGGAUCCGAUUUUUGAAAAAAAUCAAUAAAAAAAGAAUGAGCAUAUAGCAGAGAUUCGAAGGUGAUUUCAGUUUUUUUUUAUUUUUUUUCCUUUUUUCAUUAUUCAUGUGCUAAAAUGAAAGGAAAGAUGAAUAAAAGAAGGAUGAGCUUACCUGGUGGCCGAUCUUCCUUCUACUCCGUCGCAAUCGGAGUUGGAUGGAAGUUAAAGGCAUGAAACGGCGCACAGAGGGGAGGAGAUUAGUUUUUUAUUAGGGUUGAUUUGUGAAUAAUGAAUGGCUGCUAAUUUUAGGUCUCAGUUUACCUAAUAUGUGACGAAAGAAACGUCGUCGUUUAGGGCCUAUUUCAGUGGCCCUAAAACGACGCCAUUCAGCUGCCAUCAACCCGCACAUUAACCCGAUCCGGUUCCAGAUCUGUGUGUUUUAUAGCGCGUAGGAAAUUUGCGCGAUUGGUCCACCUCUUUUCUAAUGUAUUUAAAUCAAUUUUUUCAUUCCUUUCAAUUUUCCCCCAUAUUUUGCUUUUGUUUCAUUUUGACCCAAGUUGUACACAGCGUUUUGCUGGGAUGGGAAUUAUUUCCCACUUGGUCCCCGAAGUUAGUCGCGCAUUGCAUUCGGCCCCUCUGCUUUAUUGUAUUUUCUUUUUUUUCUUUUCAUUCUACUUUUAGUUUAAUUUAAUCCCUACUAUCUUAAUGUGCUUGAUUUCAUUUAAUUUAUUUAAUUAUUUAAUAUUACAUUAUUUUUUAUACAUUAAUUUUUUUAAUCUAAUAUUAUAUAAUGACUAAACUCAAUAUUUUUUAUCUUAUAUUAUUUUACGUUUUAUGUGUAUUAUUGUUUGAAGUUUUUUUUUCAAAUUUUAGAUUUUUUUUAAAUUUAUAAUGUAUUAUUAUUAAUAGUAUAAAUUUAUUACAUAUCAUUUUUUAGAUUUAUUAUGUAUUGUUGUUUUAAAAUUCAUUAUACAUUGUUAUUUUAAAUUUAUUGUGUAUCAUUACUUAAGUUAAUUGUUUUUAUUUUCUUUUAUGCAAAUUUGAUAUUUAUGGAUAUUUUCUUGAUUUUUUUAUAUUUCUCUUAAUUCAUUUUUUAUAUUUUUUUGUAUUUUUAUAUAAAGAUAUUUUAUAGAAUAUUAUUUUGUAUAUAUACAAUUUAUUUAUUUUAUAUAUAAUUUAUGCUAUAUGUAAACUUUUGUAUAUAUUAUUUAUUUUAAAGAUUUUGUAUGUAUACUUUAUUGAUUUACUAUUUUCUUUCUUUCAUGCCAUUUUUUAGUUAUUUCAAAACUUAUACAUUGGAUUUGCAUUUGUGUUAAUUUGCUUGCUUUAUAGGAUUUACUAGCUUUUAAAAAUGAAUGCUAGUAUUUGCAUAAUGUAUAAUAUGAGAUGGUUGCCCUUAUAUAUGUUGUAUUGUUUAUUUGUAUUUUAUUGAUUUUUCGUUGCUCAUUAGCUUAUAUUUAGCUUACGAAUUUUUCUUUCGCAAUGUACAUUGCCAUCCCAUUGCGUUUUAUUCAUCAAAAAGAUUAUAUUCUAUUUAAAUAUUAAAAUUGUUUUACUCAAAAGCUUUCAGGAUAAUACAAUACUCAAAAUUUGGGGUCUUCGAAAGAAUUGAACCCUAACGUAUUGGGUUCCAAUUUUUCUCGUUGAAUCUAAAUAACCGGAAAUAUUCUUUAAUCAAAACACAUAAAUAAAAAGCUCAUUCUCGGGAAUUCGAUACGUGUGUCCUAAUGCAUUGGAUAUAACAUGUUGUUUUCUCGAGAUGAGGAUUUUUCUAAAUAAAAGCAAUAUUUAGUGUUUGGGAAUUUUGAGAAAUUGAACCCUAACUUACUGGAUUCUGAUUUUUUCGUUUAACCCAAAUAACCAAAUAUUCUUCUCAAAAUGCAUAAGUUUCAAAAGUUAAAAGAUAAACUUAAUUUUGAAGAUUAAACUGUUGCACCCUAACUCACUGAGUGUGACAAUUUAUUCCUUCAAAAUAAGAGUGUCUUAUCAUCCAUUGCAGCUUAUUCAAAUUUUCCUUUCAAAGGAUAGUAUUUUAAAAUAUUUUCAAAUUUUCAACACUAAGAUGUUAAUCAAUCAAUUCGAUACCAAUUUUGGGCGUUACAAGGUUGCUAACCCUUCCUCGUGCUUAACCGACUCCCAAACCUAUUUUCUCAAAUUUCAUAGACCAAAAUUGUUAUUGUAAUAAAUCAAACUGUUUUAUUAAAAUCUCAAGGUGAUCCGAUCACACCUCGAAAAAAGAUUGGUGGUGACUCCAUGUUCAUUUUUAAAAGUCGAUCCCCAUUUUCAAAUAAAAGUGGUUUUGAUAGCUUAGCGACUCCACUUGGGAAACUUGAGAGUCAAGCCGUAAAAUUGAUUGUUUUUUGUCUUAUUGUUGAAAAUUGAAAUUUUGAUUUGAAAAAUUACGAUCCUAAUUACAUUUAUUUGUGGUAUGAUUGCUGUAAAUUGAGUUUUAUAUCUUGGCAUCAUGUUGCAUCAAGAAUGCUUAGUCUUACCUUUUAAGUGGGAGUGAGAAACUAGUCCUUCGUGAGGUUUUCACCUCCGUGCAGGAUAGCGGAUCACUUUCAGGAUACAUUCGUACCUAUGUCUUCAUGAGAUUUUCAUCUCUGUGCAGCCAUAGGGAAAUGUAUUCCCUUGAACCGAACUCGGUCCGCAUGAGCCUAUAAUGGGUGAGGAUCGAGGAAUCUGCUGGUUCGGGUACCUUUGCCCUAGAAGCCAAACCACAUAUAGUGAACCUUAGGAACUUGCCCUAGAUAGAACUAUGCCAAACCCCUAGAGGUCACCCGAGUAGGUACUCUAUUUAUUCUCUUGUUUACUUUUACUUUGUACUAACUGGUUUUUGUUUUGUUUUUAUUAUGAUUGCAUUACAUUUGCAUCUUAGAAAAGAGGUGUUGAUUCAAGUUUGAUUACUAAAUUAGAGAGCUUGUCAUGGAAAUCGAAUUUUUUGAUAAAGUGGAAGAUAAUACGGUUGCCUGAAUAUAUUCCGAGAAACACAAGAAGAGUGAUGGAGGAAUACAUGACUUUACUUCGUGGCCUGAGGUUUCAAGCUGAUUAUCCAAGAGCCUUCGACAUUUUAACUUCCUUAAAGAAGCUGAUGAGCAUUACGAGGAUAGGCAAACGAUGGAUUGCGACCAUGAUCAAGAAAAAGGAGUUAGUAGCGGCAUCCAUUGGAAAUUCGCGAGAUUUAUCUUAACAUCCAGAUGAAGAAAGAUCGAUGUUGUCUUUUGGAGUAUGAAGGCGGGGCCGUACAUGCAUCCGUUUUAUGUAAAAAAGUUUGUUUUCUAGUAAAGUUUUCUAAAUGUAAUUGAAUCAGAAUCAACAUCUCUUUAGGCAUUCAUUUCAUGCAUUUGCAUUACAUGAUAUCAUAUGCAUUAAAAUCCACUAAAAGAGUCUAAUUGAUUAAAAUUAUUUCAGUUAAUUUGGAAAACCAACACCCUUACGGUACCCAGGCACAGACUAGAGAAAUGGACCAAAGGUUGGAGAGAUUAGAGCAUAUGCAAAUACAAAUGCUAGAGCAAUUGACCAAAUUUCAACAGGAUAUGAAAGAUCAGAUGCUAGAAUUUCAAAGAAAUAUGAUGAGCCAGUUAACCCGGUUGCUAGCUGGAGAGUUAGAAAGAGGGAAGGACUCAGUCGUCCACUUUGGGGUUGGUAAUGAGGAUCUUGCCUAUUCCUUAGGUUUUACCCCGAUAGGUGUCCAGGUCCAGCCAGAUGAGCAUCCACAAGGGGCACUCCUUAAUAUCAGAUCCCAACAAUAUCAGACUGGUACAUCAACACCAGUGAAUUGCCUGACAGGCCCAAGAUCCAAUCUGAGGAACAAUUUAGCUAAUCCUGUUGCUCUGGAUAGUCCAGCAGAAAUAAAACAAGCGAGUGUAGAGUACCGAGAUACUAUAAAGGCCUCAAGGAAGAAUGGGAAUAAGGGGGAUAAUUCAGACAGAUAUAACAAGGGUCACUCAAAACUAAUCACUGUGGGCCGGCCAAAGAUAGAAACCACUAGCCAUCCGAGCCCUUUAAAGCGAGAAUCUUGCACGAAGACAUAUACAGAAAGGCCUCAGUUCACGCCUAUACCGAUGUCAUAUAGCGAGCUAUAUUAGAGCCUAUUUAAUGCACAUGUCAUUGCCCCUUUCUACUCAAAAUUUACAACCUCCAUAAAUGGUACGACACGAAUGCACAGUGGGACUACCAUGCAGGAAUUACAAGGCAUUCCAUACUUAUACAUUGGAUUACGAAUAUUAUUUUUAUAUAUUUUUUAUAUAUAUUUUUUGUAUUUUUAUAUAAAGAUAUUUAAUAGAAUAUUAUUUUGUAUAUAUACAAUUUAUUUAUUUUAUAUAUAAUUUAUGCUAUAUGUAAAUUUUUGUAUAUAUUAUUUAUUUUAAAGAUUUCGUAUGUAUACUUUAUUGAUUUACUAUUUUCUUUCUUUCAUGCCAUUUUUUAGUUAUUUCAAAACUUAUAAAUUGGAUUUGCGUUUGUGUUAAUUUGCUUGCUUUUUAAGUUUUAGUAGCUUUUAAAAAUGAAUGUUAGUAUUUGCAUAAUGUAUAAUAUGAGAUGGUUGCCCUUAUAUAUGUUGUAUUGUUUAUUUGUAUUUUAUUGAUUCUUCAUUGCUCAUUAGCUUAUAUUUAGCUUACGAAUUUUUCUUUCGCAAUGUACAUUGUCAUCCCAUUGCAUUUUAUUCGUCAAAAAGAUUAUAUUCUAUUUAAAUAUUAAAAUCGUUUUACUCAAAAGCUUUCAGGAUAAUACAAUACUCAAAAUUUGGGGUCUUCGAAAGAAUUGAACCCUAAUGUAUUGGGUUCCAAUUUCCUCAUUAAAUCUAAAUAACCGGGAAUAUUCUUUAAUCAAAACACAUAAAUAAAAAGCUCAUUCUCGGAAAUUCGAUAUGUGUGUCCUAACGCAUUGGAUAUAACAUGUUUUUUUCUCGAGAUGAAGAUUUUUCUAAAUAAAAGCAAUAUUUGGUGUUUGGGAAUUUCGAGAAAUUGAACCCUAACUUACUGAAUUCUGAUUUUUUUGUUUAACCCAAAUAACCAAAUAUUCUUCUCAAAAUGCAUAAGUUUCAAAAGUUAAAAGAUAAACUUAAUUUUGAAGAUUAAACUGUUGCACCCUAACUCACUAAGUGUGACAAUUUAUUCCUUCAAAAUAAGAGUGUCUUAUCAUCCAUUGCAGUUUAUUCAAAUGUUCUUUUCAAAGGAUCGUAUUUUAAAAUCUUUUCAAAUUUUCAACACUAAGAUGUUAAUCAAUCAAUUCGGUACCAAUUUUGGGCAUUACGAGGGUGCUAACCCUUCCUCGUGUGUAACCGACUCCCGAACCUAUUUUGUCAAAUUUCGUAGACAAAAAUCGUUAUUUUAAUAAAUCAAAAUGUUUUAUUAAAAUCUCAAGGUGAUCUGAUCACACCUUGAUAAAAGAUUGGUGGCAACUCCAUUUUCAUUUUUAAAAGUCGAUCCCCGUUUUCAAAUGAAAGUGGUUUCGACAAAGCUUAUGCUACGAUAUCUGGGGCACCUAUUUUCAUCUUAUUCAUUUCAUAUCUUAGCAAAAUUUGAUAUCUUGAUUAAUUUAUUCAUUUCGAGCUUUGCUCUCAAUAAAAUUUCAUCUUGUCUAUUGUGAUAAUCUUUUUCAAGCAUUUUUCAUUAAAAUAAUGAUUAAUGGACUAACAAUACUUAAGGAAAAGGAGUUCUGAAUAUUACUCCAAAUGCUUCUAAAUAGUACGAGGACCUGAAAUAGAACUAUUAUUUAGAACUAACCAAACCUAAGGGUUGGAAACAUUUGAGAAAGAAUAGCCUAAAUUAUGGCUAUUUCUUUGAGUUUUCUAUAAAAAAUACCAGCUGAGUAAGAAGGUAGCGUAUACGUCAGUGAUAAAACCUUGAUGAAGAACGAGCAAUGUCAACCCAAGCAUUAAAAGGAGAUCAUUCUCAAAAAAAGAAAAAGAAAAAAAAUGACAUUCUGUAUCCAUGCAAAUAUUAUUUAGGAGUAUUUGAUUCAUUCUGAUUAUGACAUCCUAAUCACUUGGCAUAAAUAGGCCCGUGAAAUGGACUCUACAAGUCAUGUCACCCAAAGAAUGGUGUAACAGGUUAAUGAAGCCGCUAAUCCUAUACCCCUGAAGUUGCAAUGGGAUGGAUUGAAGAUCAUAUUAAACCUUAUCUCCCUGAAGUUGCAAUGGAACGGGUUGAAGUUACUAGUCUUAUCUCCCUGAAGUUGUAGUGGAGUAGACUGAAGAUAGAGAAUCUUAUUUCCCUGAAGUUGUAGUGGAACGAAUUGAAGUUAUAAAUUACAGAUCUUAUCUCUCUAAAAUUGCAGUAGAGCAGAUCAUAGCAAACCUUAUCUCCUUGAAGUUGUAGUGGAGCAGACUGAAGAUAGCGAAUCUUAUUUCCCUGAAGUUGUAGUGGAACGGAUUGAAGCUAUAAAUUGCAGAACUUAUCUAUAUGAAGUUGCAGUAGAGCAGAUCAUAUUUUAUCUCCUUGAAGUUGCAGUGGAACAGGUUAAAAAUAAGCCAAUCUUAUCUCUUUAAAGUUGCAGUGGAGCAUAUUGAAGAUAGGCUACAAAUCUUAUCUCUCUGAAGUUGCAGUGGAGCAGAUUAAAGCCACAAACCUUAUCUCCCUGAAGUUGCAGUGGAGCAGAUUAAAGCCACAAACCUUAUCUCCCUGAAGUUGUAGUGGAGCAGAUUAAAGCCACAAACCUUAUCUCCCUGAAGUUGCAGUGGAACAAGUUAAAAAUAACCAAUCUUAUCUCCCUGAAGUUGUAGUGGAGAAGAUUGAAGACAUGCUACAAAUCUUAUCUCCUUAAAGUUGCAGUGGAGUAGAUUAAAGCCACAAACCUUAUCUCCCUAGAGUUGCAGUGAAACAGGUUGAAGAUAGCAAUCUUAUCUCCCUGAAGUUGCAGUGGAGUAGAUUGAAGCCAUUAAUCCUAUCUCCCUGAAAUUGCAGUGGAGUGGAUUAAAACGAUGAAUCCUAUACCCUAUACCUCUGAGGUUGCAAUAGGUCGGAUAAAAUCUACCAUAGCAAGUCUUAUCUCCCUAAAGUUACAGUUAAGCAGACUCAAACUGCGAGUCUCAUCUCCCUGAAGUGGCAGUGGGUUAGAACAAGGUUACUUGAAGAAGAUGAGCACCAAGAGAUCGAGAUUCGACAAGACCAAACAAAAUUGGUCUUUCUUAAAAGUCUUUGCUCCGUUCUCAUUACACGACAACGAGCAAAGAUGGGCAGCUAUAGCAGGCCCAAUUUGCCCAAGCCCAGAACCAAAUAAAUAAAACCAAAAAAUAAAAGAGUCCAAGUCCAAAUUAUUACAAACACAAAUUAAAAACCCUAGUGGCCCAACAAACCCAAAGCCUAAACAUCUUUUCAGAAAAAAAGAAACCCUAGGCUUGCCCUUCAACCGCCGCUCCUCCCACGCACGCCACCACUGCCACACGCCAUCCUCCACGCGCCUAGUACCUGCAAACAAGAUAAAAAAGCACAACAGACACAGAGAAAAAAAUAGUAGCAAAAAGAGUUGUAUUUUUUGGCUAUAAAAGCCAUGAUUCAUCAAUGUAUUUUUUACAGACAUAAAAUCAAUACAAAAAACGAGCAAUCAGAAACAAAAUUUGAAAAAAAGGUGGUUCUUUUGUUUACUUAUUUUUCUUCUUUUCUACUGAUAUUUCUACUAGUUUUUAAGGAAAAUAAAAAAGAAAGGAGUCGAAUCUUACCUUUUUCUCAUAUUUUCACCGCCGAAAAUGGCUGAGGUCUAUCCAUUCUAAUGAAAAUCGAUAAUUUUUUGGGCUCAUGGAGUAGAAGAGCCAAAAAUGGCCUUUUUGGAUUUUUUGGCCACCGUGGACGGCGAUGCCGUCGCCGGUGACUGGUGUCCGGCACGAUGGCCGACGACCGGGACCAUGGCCGGACUUGAAGGGCUUUAAGAGAAAAAGAAGGGAUUUCAAAAUUUCAUUUAAAAACUCAAGCAGAAUGAAGGAUUUAAAUUUUUUUUUGUUUAUAUAGCAAGGCCAAACGACGUCGUUUUGGCCAGUGAGCAUAGGUUCCAAAACGGCGUCGUUUUGGCCUAACCUGAUUUUUGACCUGCCCCUGUUAGAGGAUCCGCGUGUUUUUUUGCAAAAUGGGUUAUUUACACGCUGGUCCCUUCCGUUUUUAUGGCCUAUUGCGAUUUGGUCCCAUUUUUUUCUAUUUUAAAUUUCCCCUCAUAAUUUUAUUUUUAUUUCAUUCAGGUCCUUUACAGAAUGGCGCGAUUAGAGGACCUGGGAUAAUUUCCCAGUUAGUCCUGUUUCUUUUGCGCGCAUUCCAGUUGGGGCCCUAUUUGCCACUUCUAUUUUAAUUUAUUAUGAUUUAUGCCCUUAAUUUUGUUUUGAUUUCAAUUUGAACCUAAUUUGUUUAGAUUCAUUAUCUAUUUAUUACCAUUAUUUGUUUGCAUUUUUUUAUAUACCAUAAUUUAAUAAUAAUAAAAAACAUUAACAUUUAUAUAUUUGUUUGAUUCUUUCCUUGUUUAUUUAUAUAAUAUUUGAAUUCAAACCUUAUUCAUAUUUGACUUAUCAAUUUAUCAUUUUUUUAAACAUUUAAAUUUAAUAUUAUUUUAUCUAUUUGUUCAUUUUUUUUACUUUUAAAAUAAUUAAAUUUAAUAUUAUGUAUUAUUUCAAAUUUUUUAACAUAUGUAUUUAUUUGCACAAUUUCAACCCUUAAUCAAAUUUUCAUUUAUCUUAUAUCUUUUUCGUGUCAUCAUUUUGUUAUUACUCCAAUCAUGUCAUGAGCCGUGUUUAAACAUUUUUCUUUACACUAGAAUCCAAAAAAAUAAAUAUGUAUAGUUUUAAAUAUUACAUGUGUAUUUAUUCAAAGACUUUUGGGAAUAAAGGUAAUAUUUCGUGUUUUGAGCUUCGAGAAAUUGUGCCCUAACUCACGGGGUUUCAAUUCUCUCGUUGAACUCAAAUAACCGAUUAUCCUUUAAAAUUAAAAUAACAAAAUUUAAAAUAAAAAAAGACAAGCUCAUUCUCAAAGGUUCAAGGUGUUGUGUCCUAACUUACGGGAUGUAAUAUUUUGCUACUUCGGGACGAGAAAGUCUUAAACGCGCGUUUUGACUUAUCCAAGCUAUUUUAACUAAAAAUAACAUUAAUAAAAAAGGAUCGUAUUUUCAAUUCUUUCCAAGUUUUCAACUUUCGACAUUAAGACAUUGAUUAAUCAAUUAGGUACCAAUUUUGGGCGUUACGAGGGUGCUAAUCCUUCCUUGUACGUAAUCGACUCCUGAACUCAUUGUUCUGAAUCUCGUAGACCAAAAUUGUUAUUUUAAUAAAUUAAAUCAUUACAAGGUGACCGAUCACACCUCAUAAAACUGAUAGGUGGCGACUCCCGUUUUAGUUUUUGUUUUUAAAUGAAAAGUCGACCCCUCUUUUUAAAAAAAAAUGGUUUCGAUGCACACCACACAUUUUCAAAAUAAAUCAUAUUAAAAUUAAUCCUAAUUGCAUGCCUUUUUAAACAUACCAUAAAAAAUGAAGUAAAAAAAUUCAUGUUUAGGUCACCUGCGAACCCACCCACAAAGAAACCUAGCAGCUCACAUCAACCUGGUAAGCACCAGCUCGAGACCUACUCGCGACCCCAGCUCAUUGCUAGCCCUACGAACCACUAGUUUGCUACUAUCCUGCGAUCCCAAAAGAUUGACGAACCUAGACACACAACUCCCCUUUUGUUUUAACAAACUACUCAGGUGGAUGGCUCACUCGCGAACUCCUCUAUUGUAUUAAAUGCUUGCAAUCACUCCUAAUAUAUUGUGCUUGAGUUGUAACAGAGCCAAUCGUCAACGUGCCAUAAUGAUCUAUUGAUGCUGAAAUUGAAGUUUUUGUUAUAUUGAUAGAGCUUGUCCUUCAACGCAUACAACGUGUUUGUUAUUUUUUUCCUUCAAAUUGUAUGAUCUUAUUCAUUAUAUGAAUUAAUGAAUUUCCCUUUUAAAAAGAUAUAUUUUUAAAAAUUAAAUACUUUAUAAAAUAUUUAAAACUAUUUAAAAAAUUGUAAGCCUUAAAACAAUCUACAAAAUAUAUUUUUCUCUAAAAAAAAUCAAUAAAAGUAUGUUUGAAAUUUUAUAUGAAAUCUUCUUCACAUUACUCCACAUAAUCCAUUAAAAAAAACUUAAAAAGUAUAUUUUAUUAAUUACUAUAUAUUCUUUUAUUUUUAGAAUAAUAAAUUGUUUAAAAUAUGCUACUAGUCCCUAUAAUUCACAAGUUAAAAGUAUUUGGGAUAUCUAGUGCAUCAAAUUCCUCCUUUUAUUAUUAAAUGUUUUAUUUUAGUUACUCUAAUUAAAUAUAUCCAAAAUGUAAUAGAGUUAACAUUUAUUAUAUAAAAAUAUUUUAAAUAUUUUUUCAAUUGCAGUUUAAUUCUAGUAGAAAUAUUUCAUUUAUAAAAUCAUAAAACUUUAAAAAUAUUAACUCUGUUAAAUAAAAAAUGAUGUUUUUUAAACAGUAAAUGUUGACUUUAUUAACACAAAUGGGUCUUUAGGGUAAAACUUCAGUAAUUGACGAGCUCUUCCACAAACUGUGGAUGAUAUGGGGAUAAGAACUUCAAUUAUUCUGGAGUUAAAGUGUAAAUUUACCACUAUAUUAUAAGUAAAUAUUGAAAUUUAUCUCUAUAUUUUAAUUGAUACUUGUCAUUACACUUUGAAAAUAUAAGUAAAUUUACCAUUUAACUCAUAUGAGAUUGAACUUUGCAAGUAAACUUAAAAUUUUAUUUAAUUUUGUCACUAAAUUUGAUUUAUUUAAUUAAAUUUACAACUCAACAUAGAUUUUGGUGACUUAAAACAAAAUUAAUAAAAAAAACUAUUCUUUCAGAUAAUUUUUUAGUGUUUAAUAAUAAGUUGAUUUAUAAAAUAUACUUUCAUUGGACACAAGCAUCCAAGGCGGUGAACAAACCACUAGUCAAAUUGAUUUGGAGAUAUAUUUUUUUCUAAGUCAAGUGAAUUUAUGAGUUUUGCUUUUUUUUUUAAAAUAUUUUUAAUAUUUUCGUGCAUAUCAAGAGAUGCCAAAAAUUAUUUCACUAAGGAAUUAAUUAGUGUUUUAUUUUAAGGGUUCACAAUUAAGCAUUAGAUUUUUCAUUUUUAAAUUUAGAAUUUUUUGACAAUUGCGUAAUUAACAAGUACUACUUUUGGGUGUUGUAGGGUUAUUACAAUCUUCCCUGCACAUAACGGAGUCUUAAACCUACUUUUUUCUCUAGAACUCAAUGCAAACCUCAAAUUUAUCUUUUUAAAAGAAUUUUAAAUGCUUGCAAUCACUCCUGAUAUAUUAUACUUGAGUUGUGACAAUGUCAAUUGCCAAUGUGCCAUAAUGUUCUAUUGAUGCUGAAACUAAAGUUUGUUAUAUUAAUAGAGCUUGUCCUUCAACGCGUAUAAUGGGUGUUUGUUAUUUUUCUUUUUCAAAUUGUAUGAUCUCAUUCAUUAAAUCAAUUAAUGAAUUUCCCUUUAAAAAAUAUAAUUUUAAAAAUUAAAUACUUUAUAAAAUAUUUUAAACUAUUUACAAAAUUGUAAGCAUUAAAACAAUCAACAAGAUAUAUUUUUCUCUAAAAAAUAAAUAAAAAUAUGUUUGAAAUUUUAUAUGAAAUUUAAAAUUUUUUAACAAUAAUAUAUUUUAAAAUUAUUUACACCUUUUUUUAUAUAUUUUUCCUAACAUAUCAUUAUUUUUCCUAAUAUAUUAUAAAGUUUCUAAUUGUAUAGCUAAGGCAGAUGGAGACAUAAUUGUGGAAGUUUGACGAAUAAAAAUUUUAAUUUUAGAGGUUUAAAUUAUAAUUUUUUGAAAGUUUAAAAUAAAUUUAUAUUUUUUAUUAACAAAAUAUAAAAGAUAAAAAAACAUUUUUAGAGAAGCCAAGAAACCUUUGGGAUCAUACGGGUGAUUUUGAUGACGUUAAUGGUUAUUUUGGUGGAAAGGGUGAAAAAGAAACAAAUGACUCAUAUAUAUAAUAUAAUUAUGAAAUUCAAGCCAUAUAUUGGAUGUUUCAUACAUAAAAAUUUCAUGGGAGGUCCAAAGGUAAUUAAAUGACUUGUAGGCUUGCUGAAUUUCUUUGAAAGGCCCAAAGGCAAUUUAAAAUUCACAAAAUAAUCUCUAAAUACUGUAAAGACAAAUCAAAUCCACAGCAGCAUUUGCAAAUAUUACUUUGAUUUUGCAUGCAAUAUUGGCAAAACCCCCUCUUACAUUAGAAAAACAACAUAAUCCACGUAACAUUGAUAGCCCAAUACAAAUUUCAUCAAGAAAAAAGUCUCUUUGUUUUGUAGAACGUGAUAGUAAAGAUGUGGAGUUUCGUUCUUCUUAUUGGCCUCCUUUAGUUUUCCUUGAUCAACAGCCACAAGCCAAAAACACAAUUAGAUUAGAUUAUGAAUGAUACUUUCAACUAUGACAAUAUUAAAUACAAAACACUCCAAAUAACUCUAAAUAAAUGUAAAGCAGCAAAUUACCUGACGAGGCAAGCUAGCUCAAUNNNNNNNNNNNNNNNNNNNNNNNNNNNNNNNNNNNNNNNNNNNNNNNNNNNNNNNNNNNNNNNNNNNNNNNNNNNNNNNNNNNNNNNNNNNNNNNNNNNNNNNNNNNNNNNNNNNNNNNNNNNNNNNNNNNNNNNNNNNNNNNNNNNNNNNNNNNNNNNNNNNNNNNNNNNNNNNNNNNNNNNNNNNNNNNNNNNNNNNNNNNNNNNNNNNNNNNNNNNNNNNNNNNNNNNNNNNNNNNNNNNNNNNNNNNNNNNNNNNNNNNNNNNNNNNNNNNNNNNNNNNNNNNNNNNNNNNNNNNNNNNNNNNNNNNNNNNNNNNNNNNNNNNNNNNNNNNNNNNNNNNNNNNNNNNNNNNNNNNNNNNNNNNNNNNNNNNNNNNNNNNNNNNNNNNNNNNNNNNNNNNNNNNNNNNNNNNNNNNNNNNNNNNNNNNNNNNNNNNNNNNNNNNNNNNNNNNNNNNNNNNNNNNNNNNNNNNNNNNNNNNNNNNNNNNNNNNNNNNNNNNNNNNNNNNNNNNNNNNNNNNNNNNNNNNNNNNNNNNNNNNNNNNNNNNNNNNNNNNNNNNNNNNNNNNNNNNNNNNNNNNNNNNNNNNNNNNNNNNNNNNNNNNNNNNNNNNNNNNNNNNNNNNNNNNNNNNNNNNNNNNNNNNNNNNNNNNNNNNNNNNNNNNNNNNNNNNNNNNNNNNNNNNNNNNNNNNNNNNNNNNNNNNNNNNNNNNNNNNNNNNNNNNNNNNNNNNNNNNNNNNNNNNNNNNNNNNNNNNNNNNNNNNNNNNNNNNNNNNNNNNNNNNNNNNNNNNNNNNNNNNNNNNNNNNNNNNNNNNNNNNNNNNNNNNNNNNNNNNNNNNNNNNNNNNNNNNNNNNNNNNNNNNNNNNNNNNNNNNNNNNNNNNNNNNNNNNNNNNNNNNNNNNNNNNNNNNNNNNNNNNNNNNNNNNNNNNNNNNNNNNNNNNNNNNNNNNNNNNNNNNNNNNNNNNNNNNNNNNNNNNNNNNNNNNNNNNNNNNNNNNNNNNNNNNNNNNNNNNNNNNNNNNNNNNNNNNNNNNNNNNNNNNNNNNNNNNNNNNNNNNNNNNNNNNNNNNNNNNNNNNNNNNNNNNNNNNNNNNNNNNNNNNNNNNNNNNNNNNNNNNNNNNNNNNNNNNNNNNNNNNNNNNNNNNNNNNNNNNNNNNNNNNNNNNNNNNNNNNNNNNNNNNNNNNNNNNNNNNNNNNNNNNNNNNNNNNNNNNNNNNNNNNNNNNNNNNNNNNNNNNNNNNNNNNNNNNNNNNNNNNNNNNNNNNNNNNNNNNNNNNNNNNNNNNNNNNNNNNNNNNCUAUACAUAAUAGUUAAGACUAUUAGUACGACGACAAUACCAAUUGUUGGUAAACCAUACCUAAAAGCAUGCAAUAUAAUCAUUUGGGAGUUUUUGUGGAUGUCGUUUUUGCAGGGUGGGACUAGCAAUCUAGGUGGACCACAAAGUGCAUAAUUCUUCAUGAAUGAUGUGCUAGAAAAUUUUGAAAAACAUCCUUCGCUGGGAAUUUCCCCUUCAAGUCUAUUGAAAGACACAUUAAAAUACUUUAGAUAUAAAAGCUUUUCCAAAGAUUUGGGAAUGACUCCAGAGAGAUUGUUAUUGGAUAAAUCCAAGAAUUCCAAACUAAUCAACCCAUCAAAUGAUUCAGGGAUAUGACCAUGUAGUAUAUUAUUUGAUAAAUCGAAUGAAACCAAAGUGUGAAGACCCCCAAAUGUGGAUAAGUUAUCGCCCAUGAGAAGAUUCCUUGAUAAAUUUAGUCUCAGUAGACUCCUAAAAUUUCCAACAUCAAUAGCAUGCGAAUUGUGAAGAUGGUUUGAUGAUAAAUCUAUUUCUAAGAUAUUUUUAAGAUUCCACAAAGUUGAGGGUAUUGUGGAACUCAAUUUAUUGGAAUCUAUGUGAAGAUAUCUCAAAGAAGUAAUAUUACCCAAACAAGAGGGUAUGGAUCCAUGCAGCUUAUUCAACCUUAAAAAUAAGUUGUAUAAUCUCUCCAAAUCACAAAGGCUUUCUGAGAUGGGCCCUCCUAAUUUAUUAGAGGAAAGACCUAGACUUUGGAGAUUUCGCAGUUCUAAAACCAACAUAUUGGUUAAGUUACCUAUUUCAAUAGGAAUAAUGCCUUGAAGCUUACACCCAUCGGCAAAAAAGUAUUGAAGGGAUUUUGAAAGGUUCCCAAUAUAAGUAGGAAGAAUGCCACUCAAUGGAUUUCCUGAAACUGAUAUGGUUUUCAAAUUCUUACAAUUCGUAAAAGAAGAAAGAAAGCUCCACUCAUGAUCAGUAGCAGAUCCUGUGAUCAAAUUAUUGUCAGAGAUUUGAAGCACUUCAAGGUGUUGUAAGCUGCCAAGCAUUUUAGGGAUUGGGCCAGAGAAUAAGUUUUGUGACAAGUCUAGUAUCUUAAGCAUGGAAGCAUUGGAGAUAGAGUUGGGAAUGUUUCCGCUAAGUUUAUUUGUCCACAAUAAAAGAAUCUGAAGCUUUGGAGCAUUGGUGAUGGGUGGUAAAUUACCUAUAAAAUAGCAUCUUUUAGUAUACAUAUUCAUUGAAUACCAAAUUCACAAAAUAUAUAAUACAUUAAUAAUAAGAAGUUUUGAGUAGUAAUUAGUCCUUGUGAUUUGUAUAGACAAAACAUAUAAUACACUAAUAAUUUUUUAAAAUAUUGUAAAACUUGAAAUAAAAUAAAAAUAAAAGUUUGGCAUGAGAAUGUGGCAUCUAAUCAAUCUUAAAAAUGAGACUGACACUGAAUAAUAAUUAGUUAUGAUUUGGGAAACAAAAAUGUUAAAGCCAUUAUUUAUCUUUAUUAAAUUAUAGUGUAAAAUUUAAAGAUUAUUAUUUGCUCAAAAUUGUUGUAUUUUUCGUAUAUUUGAAAUUUAAUCUUUAUAUUUUUUAUUUUCUGUGAUUUAGUCUCUCUACUUUUUGAAUUGAAAAUUUUAGGUUGAUUCAUUAACACUGUUAAAAAAGUUUUUGUGUUAGUAUGGCAUUUUGAAAAAUAAAAUAAACUUGAUAUCUAUGUUUUUAAUUAUUCCAAAUAUUGUUUUACUAUUUCAAGAUAAAUUAUUUGUGUCUAGACCAAUAUCUUAAGAACUAUUGUUGCAUGUUUAAUUAUUCUAAAGAAUUGUUAAUUGAGUCUUAGCUUGAUUGGCAUGUGUAUUGUUAUCAAUGUAGGAGAAUGUGGGUUCAAGUAUACUGAAGUGUAUUAUCCUCUUAUUUAUAAAUUGGGGAGUUGAUAAAGUAUUAAAUUUUGAUAUAUUUUAAAAUAUUAAAAAUUUAUUAAAAUAAAUUUUAUAAAAAUUGAUUGUACCACAAUAUAAAAUUUUAAUAUAAAAUUUUUAAUUUUUUUAAAAAAUAUUAGCGACUAUAUACUUUAUUUCAAGUUACACAAUUUUUACUAGUUUUUAACUUUUUAAAAAAAAAUUUUAACGUCUUUUAUAAUUUCUAAUAAUUUUUUAUAAUUUUUUACAAUAUUUAAAAAUUUCUACCAAUUUUUAAUAAUUUUAUUAUUUAUUACAAAUUUAAAAUUAACAAAUUUUUAUUUUUUAAACAAUUAUAUAUUUAUAAUGUAGUUAUUUUUUAUAUAAUUUUACUUGAAAUUUUAAAGAUUUUUUUGGUUUUUUUCUAGAUGAUGAUGCCAUCAUGAUGUCAUCAUAUACCACAUGGCAAUUUAUGAUUAGUUGGAUAUCUCAAGCUAUUUUUUAAUGUCCAAUGGACUAAACCAAGAACACCUAAUAAUGUUAGAGACUACACUAGCAAUGUUUGAUAAUAUUAGGUACUAAAGUGGGCAAAAAAAAAUAUUAAGGACCAAAGUAAAAAAAAAAAAGAAAAGAAAAAAAAAUGCUGUAGGGAAUAAACUGUGCAUUAAACCAUUAAAAAUAUAUCAAUAAUAUAUAUAAAUGCAUGGAUUUUUUGAAACUUUUGAACUGAUAAUUAUAUAGUCUUUGUUGUUUACUAUAUUAUUGAAUUUAUUAUUUUAAAUAUAUAUUCUUUUACUUUUAAGAUUUAUAUAAGAAUUUUGGUUUUCCUAAAAUAUUUGGUUAAGUAAAUUCACUUCAUAAGAAAAUUUAGCAUCCUUAUAAAUAACAAUUUUGAUUAUAUUAAAAAAAUUAUUUUAAAAAUAUAUAAUAAUAAAUUAAAAUUUAUAUUGAAUUACUUUAUACUUCAAUUAUUAUUAGAAACUUUAUCAUACACGUACGUGUAUAAGAAUCACGUAUUUAGAACAUCAAUUUGUGUUUUAAAAUAACUUAUGAUAAAUAAUGAAAUGUAUAAUUUGAAACUAUUUAAUAAUAACACAUGGCAUAUCUACCAUAUUAAAAUAAAAUAGAUUAAAUUGUAAGUAAAAUAUAGUUUAAACAUAUGAAUACAUCGAAUUAAGAAUACUAAAUGAAUACAGUUAUUUAUGAUGAUGUUGUUGUCAAUUCCUAAGUUGGUGUCGAGUUAAUUUGUGACAUCAUAUAUUUAAGUGAUAAAUUUAAGGUUUUAUGUAUUGAUGUGGAUUCAAAUAUCACCAUAACUUAUUUAAAAUAAAAAACUAAAUUACCCCAAAUAAUAUAACUUAUUUUAAAUAAAAAAAUGAUUAUAUUCAACACUAAAUCAAUUUUUAGAUUUUGUACAAAUGAUUUAAUGAUGAUAAAAACAUUAUUACCACUAUUUUUGAAUUAACAAAAAAUUAGUGAUAUAUUUUAAUUUUAAUUUUUUUAUUUUUUAUUGUAUACUAAAUAUGGUACAUAUACUUUAAUUAUAACUUGAAAUUUUAUUAUAUAAAUUAAUAUAUUUUAAUUAUAUUCAACCAUUUGAAUAACAAAAUAAAAAAAAACUAAUUAGAAUAAUUUAAAAAAAAUUAUUUAAAAGCUAGUUAAAAAUCACGUGGUGCAACAGGUGAUAUGAGAAUCUAUGUAUAUAAAUGUAUAUGUAUAUAUAUCGUUCUUUCAUUUUUUAAAAUAAAUAUAUUUUCCACAUUGGUUUCUUUUGUUAUACAGACAAAUGAUUUCUAAUGAUUUUUUAAAAAAAAUGUACUUAUAUAAAAUAGAUUAGUUUAUGAAAUAAAAAAUAAUUUAUUUUUUAAAGUUUAAUGGAAAUUAAAAAUUAAAAAUAAAUCAAUUCAUAUAGAUCUUAUUAUUUAUUAUCAAAUUAAAAUGAUAAAAGUAUAUGACCAAAAUAGAAGAAACAAAUUCAACACAAUGUUUUUGGAGUUUGGAAAAAAUUAAAGUGAAAAACAUACCUUCUAAUUUGUUGUCAUAUAGACCUAUUACUUCGACCAUAGUUGAAUUAAAAAUACUUGAUGGAAUCUGACCUGCACACAUAGUCAAAAAUUAAAGUGAAAAACAUACCUUCUAAUCUGUUCAACUAAAAAUACUUUAAGCAUAUUUUUUAAGGUUGUUGCAUUUGCCCAUGCCAAAUGGAAUGUUACCGGAUAAUUCAUUCCGACUUAGGUAAAGCCCUUCAAGCUUGGGAAGAUGUUGACACAUAUCAUUAGGCAAACUACCUGAUAGGCUAUUGUUGGAGAGAUCAAUAGUCUUGAAAGAAGAAAUGUUAAAGAUCAAAGUCGGAAUCUGACCUGUAAGGCCUUUAAUUGCUUGAAUAUCAAGCAUUUCCAAACUAAAAAGAUUACCGAUUUCUUUAGGAAUUUGACCUUCAGACAUAGUCGAAACAUCAAGGUGUUAAAUUACCUAUUUUGUUAGUGUAAAUCAAAGAGGAUUUUUAUUUUUUUUUCGUUAUGAAAUAAUAAGGAUAUGUUAGAUUCUAAUCAUAUUUAAAUAUAUAUUAGUUCUUGAAAGAAAGAGUUCUUAUUUUUGGUAUUUAUAAUGCAAAUAUUUUUUUAAAAAAUUUAAAAAAAGGGGGGGCAAAUGUGUUUAAACUAAAGACAUCAAGGAAAAGGCAUACCUUCUAGGUUAUUUAACCCCAAGUAUAAUUGUUUAAGUUGUGUCAAAUUCCCAAUGCUUUUUGGAAUGAUCCCACUAAAUUGAUUAAUAGACAAUUCCAAAAUUUGAAGGUUGCAGCAUUUGUCUAUACUUGAUGGAAUAGAACUUGAUAAUUCGUUUCUACUGAAGUAAAGCUCUUUCAGCUUGGGAAGAUGGACACACAGAUCAUCGGGCAAGCCACCAGAAAGACAAUUAUGACGAAAAUGAAUCCUUUUCAAAGAAGAAAUGUUAAAGAUGGAAGAUGGAACCUGGCCAGAUAAUUGAUUGAAUCCCAAGUUCAAGAUCUCUAGAUUGGACAUGUUGACAAGUGUUUGAGGGAUUGUGCCUGUGAAGUUAUUAUUUCUCAUUUCCAACCUUUGAACUCUGUGCAAGUUCCCAAGCCAUGGUGGAAUUUCCCCAUUAAGACGGUUGUAGCUUAAUCGAAUGAUCCUCAAACGAUGCAAUUGGCCCAGUUCUUUAGGCAGAUGGCCAUAGAAAUUGUUGUUGCUCAAAUCGAGAGAAAAUAGAAAUGAAAGAUUUCCAAGGUGUGGAGGGAUAGUACCCCUAAGAUUCAUGUUUGUAAGAUUCAAAGCUACAACUCUCUCAUGGAUGAUGCCACAAGAAACACCAACCCACUUACAAACAGAGGUAGAGUUCGUCCAAUUGUUUGCCAACACAUUUUGAGGAUCGACAAUGCGAUCUUUCAACUCAAAGAGUGCAAACUGAUCGGAGUUGAGAUUCCGGACUGUCAUAGCCAAGGAAACAAUAGAGCACUGUAUGAAUAAAAGUGAAAGAAGAUGAAAGCAAGUGUUGUAGUUCAUGAUUGCAAGACGAAAUAAGCCAGGAAAAGAAAAAGUAGGAAAAGGGAAGUUGAAUUGAUGAAGAAAUACCCAGCGAACAUGCUUAAAUAGGCUUCAACCCUCGCACACUUCUCAUACAUAAAGUUCACUGCCAUUACAACAAGAAAACUCAUAUCUCCAUUCAUACCUAUCCAUACUUUAUUUGACUAACUUUUCCCUAACAAGUGUUCAGUAAGGAGACAAAUCAGUUUGGAGCUAUUCACUGAGUUCUCCAACCUUGGUUUCAAACUCCUAGCCCAUCAAUUCACUUUAAUUGAAACAAUAUACACGAGUCUUUCGGCUUAUAUUUUUAACUUACUACUUCUCUUUUUAAUUUAUUUUUUUGUUACUUCUCAUAAUAUUUUUUGAGAAAUCCAAAUAUUCCAGUCUGAAAUUUCUUCAUUGCCACGUCUAUCUCCUGGGUAAGUUCGUGGUUAGGCAGCCCACUUUGGGGGCAGGAUUGUAAUUUUAGUUCUAUCCGACUCAUUUUACUAUUUAGAAAUAUAAAAGUAAUAUUAUAUUAAUUUUUAUAUUUUUAUAAUUUUAAUUUUAAUUUUUAAACAAUAAAACGUGUCAUUUGUAUUUGCCUAGGCUAAACUGAAUCAGGAGUGAAAAUUUUUUUAAUCAUAAUUUACUUAUUUUAAUUAAUUAAAUUUUAAUCUGCUAUAACAAGUAGUUGCAUAAAAAAAUGUCAUUCCUUUAGAAAAAUGAGAACUUAUGAAGCAUUCAAUAAGAGUUGUUGGAAUACAUGGUAACAAAACUAUAAUUCGAUAUAAAACUAUAUAAAUAAAGUAAGAUUUGUGAUACCUAAAUUGUUAUCUUUUCUGUAAAUAUAUGGAGAUUUUUUAUUAGGAAAUAAUUUUAUAUAUCAACAUUUGUUAUUUUCUUUUGAUAGAAAUUUAAUUAUGUUAUCUGUAGAAAAAAAAUAUUUACGGAAAUAUCAUUAGUAGAAAAUCAUAAAUUUGUGUGUGGCAAAAAAUUUUCACCACCAAGAAAGGGACAAAUUAAACAACUUGAAAGUCAUUGGUUGUUUAAAAUAUUAGAUAAUAAUUUUAGUGAAGAAUCAUUAAAAUUAUGACAAAAUAACCCUAGAUAUUGUAGUAUUAAAUUAGAAAAUCUCAAUAAUAUUAUUAUAGUAAAACCUAUGAUCUAUCUAAACAAGAUAUAGAAGAAUUUGAUAUACAAAUUAAGGGCAGAAAUCAUGUGGAAAUAAUAAAAAACAAGAAAAAGCUAGUAUGGUCAUUAAUUAUAAAAGAUUAAAUCAAAAUAUUAUUUUUUAUAGUUACUUGAAUUAAUCAGGAUAGACAAACAAAAUAUUUUAGUAAAUUUGAUUGUAAAUCAGGAUUCUAGCAAAUCAUGCUAACAGAAAAGUCUAAACCUUUAACGGCUUUUAUCCAAUGGACAUUACCAAUGGAAAGUGAUGUUAUUUGAAUUAUGUAAUGCACCAAAAAUCUUCCAAAGACGAAUGGAUUUUAUAUUUAAUAAAUAUAAAAAAGUCUGUGUAGUUUAUAUAGAUGAUAUUUUGAUAUUUUCAGAUACACUAGAAUUACAUAAGAAAUAUUUAAAUAUUAUUUCUUAAGAAUUUAUAAAAUAUAGAAUCAUAUUAAACCCUAAAAGUAUAGAGUUAGAAAAAAGAGAGAGAGAGUUUUUAUAACAGUGGAAAUAAAAAAUUGUCCUCAAAAGAUUGAAGAAAAAAAGAACUUCCAGCAAUUUGUAAUAUAUUCCUCCCAAAUUUUCAGUUUCAAUUUUAUUACAGAAUUUCUUUGCCGACAAUAAGAAAAGAGCAUAUUCACAUUUUCGUCGCAAUUUCAACACCCUAUCUCUUGCCCACUUUCCUUUUUCGGCCAAUUUCAAACGUAGCUGUUUUUCGAUUUUUCCUCUUUAUUUCAUUAAUAAAAUGUCAAUCUAUUUGUUUUUUUAAUAUAUAAUUUUUUUAAUAUUUUUUUAAUUAUAAUAUAAGAGCUGUUGUUUAUUUAUAGUUUUAUUACAUUAUUUAAUCUCUUUUUUCUAUCAAGUUUUUUAAAUUAUAAUAUAAGAUUUAUUUUAUCAAAUUGUGGCUUAUCGAGUAUUCAUCUAUUUUAAUAAUAACUUGAGUUCCAAUCAUUAUUAUACCAGAAAGAGUUCCAUUUAUUCUUUAUCGUAAAUUUUAUAAAAAAAUAUAUUUUAUUAUAAUACUAUACGUGUUAGGAAUAAUAUUUUAUUUUGGAUGCCCAUAAUUUUCAAAGUUGUAACCUCUAAUGUAGUAACCUCAAUGAAAUUAUGAGGCUUUUAUAUUGUAAUCAAGCCUCUAUUUAUUCUUUGUAACUUAUAAACAAAGGCAUAUUUUCUAUUAUAUUGAUAUUUUCUAUAGAGGUAUAUACACAAGGAAUCAAAUAAAAAGUUAUUUACCUUUCUAUUAUAUUGAUAUUUUCUAUUUAAUUUGUUCUUUUCUUUCACUAUUCCAUAAUAUAUUAUCAGUACGAUUUUAAUUGAGAGUAACAGUUAUUAGAUUGUGUCAAAAUUUUGUUGGACUCCAAGUAUUGGAACUUAAUUGUUUAGGUUAAGAAUCAUUAGAAUCAGUGGCUAUUUGAGAUAUGCUUGAGGAUGAUCUCAUUCUCUUCAUCACAAAGGUGGAGGUUAGAAAAUCUUUAUGUUUAAACAUUUAUAGCUUCAAAGUUAUUUUAACCUCUUAUUGUGACCUUAUAAUAUUUUGUAAUUUUUUGUCUUAUGGUAUAUAAAAAAAUAUCUAACCAUAGUGAUUGAUUAGUAAUUUGAAUUUGUUAUUUGUUAUGUUUAAUAUAUAUUUUAUUUAUAUUUAUUCAUUUUAUUUUUAUAUGAGUAAAUGAAGUGUUUGAAGAUUCGAAAUUUUUAUCAUCCACGUUGAAAGUAAGUGCAAAUGUGUAUAUUAUUUAAAAUAAAUUACACAUUCAUUAAUGUUAUAUGAUAAAAUCAUUACAUGUUUUGAAGAACUAAUAUUGCAUCAAACUGUAAAAUGCUAAACCCUAAAAAGCUCUUGAAGAACUAAUAUUUUUCCUCCUUGUGAUGCAAAAUCUUCUAAAAUAUGAUAUUAUUUUUCAAAUCGAGAAGAUAUAUGUUGCAGGAAAUCUUUAUGUGUUUUACAUUAAAACCAUGAAUAGAAAUGACAUGAUAUAUGUAAUAGGCCCAAUUUGCCCGACCCGCUAUUAAAAUAAACCAAAUGAAAAAACAAAUGAAAUAACAGUCCAUUAGUCCAUAGUUACAAACCCAAGUUACAGUGGCCCAGUCACCUAAAAGACCCAACUAAAACCCAAACCCACUAAGCCUAAUGCCCAUCAGCCAACCCUAGCUCGACGGCCCAACACCAAAGAGGUUGCAGAAACCCUAGCAGCAAACAAUCUCUGGCGCCGCAGCCUUUGGCCCUCUCCUCGUAUGUGCUGGUCUCUCCACGUCACCACCCCUCCGUACGCCGUACCUGCAAGGAGGACAAACAAACAAGCAGCGAGACAUAUAGCAACAAAAAAAAUGGAGCAUAUAGCAGAUUGACAGCAAAUACUAGGGGAAAAUAGGAAGAAAAUGUAAAAUUUAGAAAAAAAUUUAUUCUUUUUCUCAGAUCGGCUAUAAAGAGGACCGAUUGAACUAUGUAUUUUUUUACGCAUUCAAAAUAUUGAAAGGUGACUUCCGAGUUUCUUUUACAUUUUUCAUUUUGCUAGUAUCAGUUUUCUUUUUUCUUUCUCUUAUUUUUUGUGUUCAAUAGCCAUUAGUUAAGAGAUAAAACAAUAAGAGAAAGAGAGGGACGGAUGUACCUGGUAGCGCGAUCUUAGCCCUCUUCGCCGUCAUCGGAGAACGGGCUAGGUUCGAAAGCCGUCUGAAUGCCCUCAAUGCGCAGAACGGUCUAGGGCUUUUGCUUUAGUUAAGGUUUUGUUUUGAUGUAGGUGAUAGUUUUUUAGGGUUUAUUUUAGUUUUAAAUGCAGGAUUUAAAAUGUCGCCGUUCAGAGCCCAUACAAUGGCACUGAAACGGCGUCGUUUGAUGGUCCGACCCAGGCGAUGACCCGAUCCGGGUAGGAUCCGUGUCCUCUAGUUGGUUGGUCUAUUUGUCUAAUAGGUCCCUCGGAGUUCAAUGGGAUUAUGAUUCGAUUUUCUUUAUUUGUUUGUAAUUUGUACUUUACAUUUAAUUCUGUAUUCAUUUAGAUCCGAAUUUAAAUGGCGUCGUUUCUGUGGUUGACUUGGAUUGUUAUGAUGUUUGUGUUUAAUUGCUAGUUUAGUCCUUCAAUGUUGAAACAGGUUUUGAUUUAAUACAAAUUCAGUUUUCUUUUUAAAAUUCCACAAUAUUUUUAAUUAAUUAAAUCCUACUUUCGUAUAUUAUAAUAUUUAAUAUUAUUUGUAACAUUUAUUUUAUAUAGUGUUUAAAUUUAUUAUUAUAGUUUAAAAUGUAAUAAAUUAUUAUUAUUUUGUUUAUUUUUUAAUUCAUUAUACACCAAUAUUUUGAGUCAAUUGUAUUUUAAUUUUGUCCUAAUUUAUUAUCAUUCUAAUUUUAUUUAAGUCUCGAUUUAAAAUUUGUUGAUUAUUGUUCGAAAUUUCAAAAAAUGUUUUGCAUAUUUAAUCCUGAUUUCAAAAGUCUUUUAAUAAAUCAAGUUUUAUAAUAAUUCAUAUUUUUAAUAUCAUUUUAAUAUUGGCUAAUAUUAUCAUAAUUGUUGUUAUCAUUUUUAAAAUUAUUUUUCUCAUGUCUAAUGUUGUCUUCAAAAGUUUUCUUUAGAUAAAUUAAUUCAUAUUUUAAUUCAUCAUUUUUAACCUUAUUUUAAUAUUUAGCUUAUUAUUGUAUUUUAAAUUUAUUUUUAAAUCUUCAUAUUAAUUAUUAUUUUUAUUUUAUUUUAUCGUUUAAAUCAACGUAUCCUUAGGAAUUUGAUUAUUGAUUUAUUAGAUGUUUAAUUAUUAAUAUGGAUGAAUUAUAUGUUUGGUUGCUCUUUAAUGUAAAUUUAGAUUACUAUUUAUCUUUUGCAUUACAUAUUGCUAUUUAAUUAUAUUGUUUGUAAGAAUUCCAUUUCAUUAAAACAUUAUAAUCGUUUUAUUUCAAAAUUCCUAAAAAAAAUUGGUGUUUAAUAAUGCUCGAGAGAAUUGUGCCCUAACUUACUGGGCUUCAAUUCUUCUCGAUGAAUUUAUAUCAUCAAGUAUCCAUUUUAUUUAAGCCAUACAAUUUUAAAAUAAAGCAUUUAAGAUUUCAAAAUAUUGGAUCCUAACUUACUGGAUAUGAUAUUUUGUUAUCUCGAUUUUAAAAUAAAGGCAAUAUUUGGUAUUUAGGAAUUUUAAGAAAAUUGAACCCUAACUUACUGGGUUUCGAUUUCUCGAUUGACCCAAAUAACCAAAUAUCCUUCUCAAAACGUAUGAAUUUUUAAAAUUAAAAAAGACGAAUCUAACUUCGAAGAUUGAAUCGUUGCACUCUAACUCACUGAGUGUGACGGUUUAUUUCUUUAAAGUGGGUAGGUCUUAUGUUCCACUUCGAUUAUUAAAUUUUCUUUUCAAAGGAUCGUAUUUUAAAAUCUUUUCAAAUUUUUGACACUAAGACAUUAAACAAUCGAUUCGGUACCAAUUUUGGGCGUAACGAGGGUGCUAACCCUUCCUAGUGCGUAACCGACUCCUGAACCUGUUUUUUUCAAACUUCGCAGACCAAAAUCAUUUUUAUGGUGAGCCGAUCACACUCCUUUAAAAGAUCGGUGGCGACUCCCAAUUUGCGUUUUUAAUUCGACAACUAAAAUUUUUGUUGUUUCCAAAACGGUGGGUUCGACAAUAUACUCGUGUAUUUGUAUUAUAAAUAUUCCUUGAAGGAAUACACUUCACUUGUAUGAUUGACAUAUGAGAUAGUGACAAGAAGUUCAUAGUGUUGGUAUGGUCUGCUAGAUCAUCUCAAGUCAAUAAUGAUGCAAAAUCAUUUGAAGAGAAUUUAUAUGAUUUUAUUGAAGAAUGAGAAGUUAUUUUCAUUUUGAUAAUUGUCAUCAAUACUAGUUCUUUGAAAAAAAUAUUGAACUAACAUCAACUAAAGUUAGAGGUUGGUUGCAUUUUUUGAUGAUAUCCAAAUAAUAUAUGAGCUCAUGUAUCACAUGUAUGCAACCCAAAGUUUACAGUAUUAUUUCUUGAAAUAAUUUGAUUCUACACAAUCUCUAUAGUAUGCAAUUUGUGCUAACAACAUUGAUGCAUUAUAUCCUAAGCUUGAUUUUCAUAGUUUUAGCUGAGAUAAUAUUAAGUUAUCUAUGCCUAUAUAUGUUAUACUUAAUGGUUAGCAAAAUUAUGCCUCCAUUUAAUUGCUUAACCAUUAAUAUAAGAAGAGCUUUAAAAUAAGCAUGUAAUUUUAUUUGCAUAGAGCCAACAUGUAAGAAAUGUACAAGCCCAAUUUCGUCCGGGACCAACCAAAUAAAACCCAAAAAAAAAAAGAAUAAUAAUUAACAGUCCAAGAAAUUUAAUAAUAACUUGAGUUCGAAUCAUUAUCAUACCAGAAAGAGCUCCAUUUAUUCUUUAUCGUAAAUUUUAUAAAAAAAAUUAUAUUUUAUUAUAAUACUAUAUGUGUUAGAAUAAUAUUUUAUUGUGGAUGCCCAUAAUUCUCAAAGUUGUAACCUCUAAUGUAGUAACCUCAAUGAAAUUAUGAAGCUUUUAUAUUGUAAUCAAGCCUCUAUAUAUUCUUUGUAGAAAAUAUUAAGUUGAUUUUACUUUAUUAAAAAAUUUAAAAUAAAUUAUCUUGUUUUUUUUAAAUGAGUUAACCAAAUUAACAUAUUUAUUUUUAUCCAAAAUUGUCCAAAAUAAUAUAAAAUAUUAUAUUAAUAAAAUUAAAACUAUGAAAUAAUAUUUUUUAAAGAUUAUUAUUUACUUUUAUCAAACAAUACAAUUAUAUUCAGUACUUAUAUUUACUAGUUUACCAAACAGUUUUCCAAUAUGAGUUCAACACUUAUCAAAUUCAGUAUUAAAAAUUCAGUGCUUAAUUUUUUAGCACUUAACUUUUCAAUUCAUCAAGCACGUCUAAUUCAAUUUAUAUAAUUCUCUAUUUGUAUCUCUAUGAAUUUAUAAAAUCCUUCUCGCAUUUAGUUGUUGGGAUCUUUAUAUGAAGAUAGAUGCUUUUAUUUUUUUAUUGGUUCAUUUUUAAUAAUUGUAUUGAUUUAUUUAAUUUAAUUUUUGAUUAAUAUAUAUAUGAUUAUUGUGGAAUGGAAGUAAAAGUAUUUACUUCUCAUAAACUUUGAAAUAUUCACCCUGUCUACAUAUUAAUUAUUGUAAAAUUUUAAUUGAAAUUAUGUCAUAAAAGGUGGAGGUUAGAAAAUCUUUAUGUUUAAACAUGUAUAGCUUCAAAGUUAUUUUAACCUCUUAGUGUGACCUUAUAAUAUUUUGUAAUUUUUUGUGUUAUGGUAUAUAAAAAAAAUCUAACCAUAGUGAUUGAUUAGUAAUAUAAAUUUGUUAAUAUAUAUUUUAUUUAUAUUUAUUCAUUUUAUUUUUAUAUGAGUAAAUGAAGUGUUUGAAGAUUCGAAAUUUUUAUCAUCCAUGUUGAAAAUAAGUGCAAAAGCGUAUAUUAUUUAAAAUAAAUUACGCAUUCAUUAAUGUUAUGUGAUAAAAUCAUUACAUGUUUUGAAGAACUAAUAUUGCAUCAAACUGUAAAAAGCUCUUGAAAAGCUAAUAUUUUACCUCCUUGUGAUGCAAAAUCUUGUAAACCAUGAUAUUAUUUUUCAAAUCAAGAAGAUAUAUGUUGAAGGAAAUAUUUAUGUGUUUUACAUUAAAAACAUGGAUAGAAAUGACGUGAGAUACUCGUGUAUUUGCAUUAUAAAUAUUCCUUGAAGGAAUACACUGCACUUGUAUGAUUGACAUAUGAGAUAAUAGCAAGAAGUUCAUAGUGUUAGUAUGGCCGGCUAGACCAUCUCAAGUUAAUAAUGAUGCAAAAUAAUUUGAAGAGAAUUUAUGUGAUUUUAUUGAAGAAUGAGAAGUUAUUUUCAUUUUGAUAAUUGUCAUCAUUACUAGUUCUUUGGAAAAAAAAUAUUGAACUAACAUCAAAUAAAGUUAGAGGUUGGUUCAUGGUUGUAUUUUUUUAUGAUAUCCAAAUAAUAUAUGAGCUCAUGUAUCACAUGUAUGCAACCCAAAGUUUACAGUAUUAUUUCUUGAAAUAAUUUGAUUCUACACAAUCUCUAUAGUAUGCAAUUUGUGCUAACAACGCUGGUGCAUUAUAUCCUAAGCUUGAUUUUCGUAGAUUUAGCUGAGAUAAUAUUAAGUUGUCUAUGCCUAUAUAUGUUAUACUUAAUGGUUAGCAAAACUAUGCCUCCAUUUAAUUGCUUAACCAUUAAUAUAAGAAUAGUUUUAAAAUAAGCAUGUGAUUUUAUUUGCAUAGAGUCAACAUGUAAGAAACAUUUGUCCCAUGAGAAUUAGCUUUCAUUUAUAAGCCAAUAGGUUUCAUUUAUGACUAUUUGAAUGUAAAAUAUCUAUUUUAUAUUCCACCAUAAUGCACUAAGAUGGACCAUCAAGUAUGAAGUUGAGAAAAAUUAGAAUUUUUAUUUGAUGGUAAAAGUUGAAAAGAGAUAUAUAUUUAUAAUUUUGAAAAAAAUAUUCAUGUUACAAAUUUUCUCAGUAUUAGGGGGAGACAAGUUGGACAAAUAAGUAUAAUUAUGUCAUCACUUUUUGUGAUCCCUUACUAAUCUUAUGUGCACAAAGUUUGAAAGAAAAAGGUAUUUGCUAGACAUGUUUAGUGAUGAUAUUUAGAGAUUGUAUAUACUAGAUGAUACAUAUACCAGCUAAAAUGUUCCAAAUAAUUAUGAGUCCUAGAAGGACAAAGUGAUAAAAAUAAUUUUUGGGCACACUAGAAGGAUGAAAAACUAGUUGGUUCUAUAAAUAAAAAAAAUCUUAAAAGAAAAGAGUAAGAAAUGAAGAUGGUCAUACGUUAAAGGAGACGAGUACUCAUGAAGAGACCCAAGGUAUAACUUUUAAUAAAACCCCAAAAGAGGUUCAAUACAUGAAAUUAUGAAAAUAAUAAGUGUAAUAACCAGAUUUUUCCCGGGCCCAAUGCCAAACAAAUAAAACCCAAACCAAAUAAAUAAAAUAAGAGUCCAAAUUACAAUCCAUCAGGGCCCAAUUCAGACCAGCCCACUAUUCAAUCAGACCAGCCCAACAAAAAAUAAACGCUAGUAGCCCACAACCCAACUAAGCCUAAAACAUUUUCAGCAAAAGACGAAACCCUAGCUGCCAUGCUAGCCGCCGCUCCUGCCCUAGCCUCUGCCCACUGUCGCACACCACCUUUGCCACCACCGUCAACCUCUGACACCUGCAAAACAGCAAACAACACGCAACAACAAAGAAGAAGACAACAAGCAAAAAACAAAUCGCAAAGGGACAAAAAUAAUGAUAACAAAUAGCCUUAGUUCGGCUAUAAAAACAAAAAAAAAAUGAAAACUUUGUACUUCUUCGGCAAGAUUAAUACCAAAAAAAAAAGAGAAAAGAUUUGAACUUUUUAAGGUGAUAUUUCAUUUUUUUACGCUUUAGAUCUAUUUUUUUUAUUUCACCUUCAUCUACGAAAAUUAAAAAAGAAAAGAAAAGAAAAAGACUUUGAUUUCAAAGUGAUAUUUCAUUUUUUUUUGUUUUAGAUCUAGUGUUUUUUAUUUAUUUUUUAUCUACGAAAAUAAAAAAGGAAAAGAGAAACGUACCUGAUUCGCCUCGUGGCUCCGUCGACGGAAGUCCCAUCGUCGUCGUCGGAAUCAGGCUUAAAAGGGGAAGGUUUUUAUUUUUCUUUGCUUUUUUUUUUGGAUUUUUCGUCUCAAGAAAGGGACUAAGGGAGGAGAAAUGGCCAAAAUGGUCUUUUUCCGAUGAACUCCGGCAACCGUAUGCAGCGGUUAACGGCGCCGGCGCUCGGUGGCUGCGAUGGAGCCAUGGUGGUGUCCCAUGGCCGGAUCUGGAGAGGAAGGCUUUGAGAGGGAGAGAGUUUCUAACAGUUUUUUUUUUAUAUUUUCUAAGGCAGAAAUGAAUUUUUGAAAAAAAAAGUUGGGUUUUAUAAGUGCAUGAAACGGCGCUGUUUUGCACAAGUGCACAUCGACGUCGAAACAACGUCAUUUACCCCUUUACCCGCGCGCCCGAGUCCGACCCGAUGAAGGUCCGUGUGUUUUCAUGCCUGAUGGGUUAUUUCCCUUCUGCUUUUGGGCUUCUUCUCAAUCUGGUCCUAAUCCUACUUUUUUCCUCCUUUUAAAUUGUACCAUUUAAUUUAAUUUCAUUUUCAAUUCGGUCCCUAGGUUGACCAUAGGAAAUGACGAGCACAAAGUUAAGGGAUAUUUUCCCUUUCAAUCCCCAAUAUUUUUAGCGCGAUUCCCUAACCUUUAAUUCCUACCUUUUACACAUAUUAUUUCAUUUUAUUCGUUUAUUUAUUCACUUAUCAUUUUUACCCUCUUUUUAUACUUAAAAAUAUAUAUUAUUUACACUAUUACUUGCAUAUUUUUUACUAUUAAAUUAUUAUUUUUAAUGUAUUAUUAUUCCCAUUAUUUUACCUUUUUAUUUAUUUUGAUACUUUCAUGUCACAUUUAUUUAUUUUAAUAUUUCCAUUAUUUAUUUUAUUUUAUUCUUAUGUUUUUUAGUAUUUUUUUUAUUUCUUUUAUUGUUCACGGUUUUUUUUUUCAUGUUAUAGAUAUUUAUCUUUCUAAUCAUGCAUUUUUCCUUUUUUUAUUUUGUUUUAGGUUACCUUAUUUAUUAUUAUUAUUAUUGUGAUAAUACUAUUAUAAUUAUAUUACCAUUAUUAUAGAAUUCCUUUAUUUGUAUAUUCCAUUAUAACUAUUAUUAUUAUUAGUCUUUAACUAACUUCUAUUUUUAUUAUUAUUUUUUAGAAUAGUAGUCAACAUGGUUAUCCUUAUUAUUAUUUGGUGUUGUUAUUAUGAUUUUAUCAUUAUUAUUGUUGUAUUUCAUUUUUUGUUCACUCUUUAAAUAUUUUGUUCAUAUAGUUAUUUUGCAUUAUUGCAAUAUUGUUGCAUUAACGCAUUAUGUUUCUUAUAUAAUAAUUAUUUCGCUUUCGCGCAAUGUUCGAAUCAAUUAAACAUGAAUCUUAUCAAUUCUUACAUUAAUUCUUACUUAAGUUCAAAAAGAAAAUUUUCAAAAUAAGGUAAUAUUUUGCGUUUUAGAAAUUCGAGAAAUCGUACCCUAACUUACGGGGUUUCAAUUUUCUCGUUAAACUUAAAUAGCAAAAUAUUCUUUUAAAUUUCAAAAUGCAUGCAAUUUCAAUAAAAAUCAAAGGCAAGCUUAUUCUCUAAGGUUCCAAAUAUCGCGUCCUAACUUAUAGGAUGUGACAUUUCGUUACCUCGAGACGAGUAGGUCUUCAACUCUCUUUUUGAUUUAUUCGGGCGUUUUUAAUAACAUUAAUAAAAAGGGAUUCUAUUUUAAAUUUCCGUUCAAGUUUUCAACCUUCGAAAUUAAGACAUUAAUUAAUCAACUAGGUACCAACUUUGGGCGGAUCUAGGGUUCUAAUCCUUCCUUGUGCGUAACCGACUCCCGAACCCGUUUUCUGGAUUUUGUAGACCAAAUAUUAUCAUUUUAGUAAAUUUAAAUUUUUAUUAAAAUGAUUAGAUUACAAGGUGACUGGAUCACACCUCAUCAAAAAGGAUUGGUGGCGACUCCCAUUUGCGUUUUCAUUUUUUAAAAAAAUCAAAGUCAACCCAUUUUUAAAAAAAAUGGUUUCGACAAUAAGAUAUCUUGAUUAGUUAUGUCAUAACUAAAGAUGAUGGAGUUGAUAAAAGGAAAUUGUAGUUAACAACGAAUAAUCUACGUAGAAUAUUUCAAUAUUAUGGAAAAAUGAGUAUUUACCAACCUUCUUUUAGUCAAAUUAUGCAAGCCUAAAAUUUUUAGCUUAAUUUGAGUUUGUUGACUAUGUCUAAUUCAAGUUUUAUUAUUAAGGACUAAAUUGUAACUUAAACAAAUUAGAAUACCAAUUUAAAGAGACAAAAAUUCAAAACCCAAAAACCCACACGGGCUUGUGGGUAAGUGACACGGGCGUGUGGAGACUGGACCUAUCACACACGGGAGAGUGGGAUUGAGAAAUAUGAAAUAAAUUAAUCCACUUAAUUUUCCAACAACCAUGCUAUACUACCAAACCAAAUAGCGCUUGAAGCUUUGAAUAGGGACGAAUCUUAAAAAAAUUAGAAGAAUUAGAAUUAAAUUAUAAAAUUUUGAAAAGUUAUCAUGUUUUAAUUUAUUAUUUUUAAAAGGGUCUUAAUAGAAUUUUUUUUUCCCAUUUUGGUUGGGCCAAUACCCCUAUUUGCCUCUUUAAAUUUGCUUCAAUCCUAAACCCAAUGUUCGAUUUGUUGUGGAAGUUUGACGCAUAAAAAUUUCUUUUUUAGAGGUUUAAAUUAUAAAUUUUUGAAAGUUUAAAAUAAAUUUAUAUUUUUUAUUAACAAAAUAUAAAAGAUAAAAAAACAUUUUUAGACAAGCCAAGAAACCUUUGGGAUCAUACGGGUGAUUUUGAUGAUGUUAAUGGUUAUUUUGGUGGAAAGGGUGAAAAAGAAACAAAUGAUUCAUUAUAUAUAAUAUAAUUAUGAAAUUCAAGCCAUAUAUUGGAUGUUUCAUACAUAAAAAUUUCAUGGGACGUCCAAAGGUAAUUAAAUGACUUGUAGGCUUGCUGAAUUUCUUUGAAAGGCCCAAAGGCAAUUUAACAUUCACAAAAUAAUAUCUAAAUACUGUAAAGGCAAAUCAAAUCCACAGCAGCAUUUGCAAAUAUUACUUUGAUUUUGCAUGCAAUAUUGGCAAAACCCCCUCUUACAUUAGAAAAACAACAUAAUCCACGUAACAUUGAUAGCCCAAUACAAAUUUCAUCAAGAAAAAAGUCUCUUUGUUUUGUAGAACGUGAUAGUAAAGAUGUGGAGUUUCGUUCUUCUUAUUGGCCUCCUUUAGUUUUCCUUGAUCAACAGCCACAAGCCAAAAACACAAUUAGAUUAGAUUAUGAAUGAUACUUUCAACUAUGACAAUAUUAAAUACAAAACACUCCAAAUAACUCUAAAUAAAUGGAAAGCAGCAAAUUACCUGACGAGGCAAGCUAGCUCAAUUAAGAUCAUUGUGUUAUACUUGUCUCUAAAUUGAAAAUUUUAGAAGGAAAUAAAGAGAAAGAAAAUACUUGAAAACGGAUAAAACUUCUAUGUCAUUUAAAAUAAAAAAAAUUCUAUUUAAGCCAUUUAAAAUUUUUUAGAUUUUUAAAAUUUUAAAAUGAUUAAGUGUACUCAUUACUCACCAUCUCUGUUAAAAAUGUUGGAUGUUGUUUAGCAACCUUUGUUUGAUUUUCUUCAGCUCAACCACAACAUCUUUCAUAUCUUUUCUUUCUUCUGGUAACUCAGCUGAACAAUUCAAAGCCAACUCCAUGAUAGAUGAAAUACAAUUUGCUUUAACAACCAUGUACUCAUCCUCUCUUCUUAAUAAAUCAACAUCUGCAAUUUCUAUCGCUCCUUUAGGCAAUGAACUUUCCAUCCAAUGCCUUAUACUCUCUUCUUCAACAAAAACAUUAUCAGUUGGCUUUUUCUUUGUGAAAGUUUCUAUAAGGACGAUCCCAUAACUAUAGAUGUCAGAUUUUAUAGAAACAAUUCCUGCUGAUCCAAAUUCUGCAUUUCAAGUAUAAUUAGAACAUCAUUCAUCCUCAAUUAUUUCUAAAAUGCUUAUUCAAAUAUAUAUCCACAUCCACAUGAAACAAAAAUAUAAAAUGCAAUUUAGGAAAAUAAUCAUACAAAAAUAAAAAAUAAUUCACCUGGUGCCAUAUACCCGAUAGUUGCAAGAGUCAUGGUUUGCUUCAUUACUUCACCUUCUCCCAACAAUUUGGCAACGCCAAAAUCUCCAACAUGUGCAACCAUGUCUUCAUCUAGUAAAAUAUUGCUUGGUUUUAUGUCACAAUGAAUUAUAGGUGUUGGAUGUCCAUUGUGGAGGUGUUCUAUAGCUACCGCAACAUCUAUCAUUAUGUCGACCCUUUGUAUGAUAUCAAGGAAACAAUUUUCAGAAUGUAACCAUUUCUCAAGGUUUCCAUUAGACAUGUAAUCAAGCACCAAGGCUUUGAAGUCAACACUUGAGCAGCAAGUAAUGACCUUCACAAUAUUACGAUGAACUAUAUUAAGCAUAGCAUCACAUUCAAUGUCAAAACUCCUAAAUGCUCCCUCUGUUUGCAAAUUGAAAACUUUUAUUGCAACUUCCAUUCCAUCUGAAAGCCUCCCUUUAUAUACAUAUCCAAAACUCCCUGAACCAAGCAUAUUGCUUUCCUCAAAUCCAUUAGUUGCUCGUGAAAGUUCAGCAUGUGAAAUUCUUCUCGGUGUCUUCAAAGACAACAAAUCAUCUUUAAUUGGUAAAGCUGUACUCCUCCUUUGGCAUCUUCUAUACAUAAUAGUUAAGACUAUUAGUACUACGACAAUACCAAUUGUUGGUAAACCAUACCUAAAAGCAUGCAAUAUAAUCAUUUGGGAGUUUUUGUGGAUGUAGUUUUUACAAGGUGGGACUAGCAGUCUAGGUGGACCACAAAGUGCAUAAUUCUUCAUGAAUGAUGUGCUAGAAAAUUUUGAAAAACAUCCUUCGCUGGGAAUUUCCCCUUCAAGUCUAUUAAAAGACACAUUAAAAUACUUUAGAUAUAAAAGCUUUUCCAAAGAUUUGGGAAUGACUCCAGAGAGAUUGUUAUUGCAUAAAUCCAAGAAUUCCAAACUAAUCAACCCAUCAAAUGAUUCAGGGAUAUAACCAUGUAGUAUAUUAUUUGAUAAAUCUAAUGAAACCAAAGUUUGAAGACCCCCAAAUGAGGAUAAGAUAUCGCCCGUGAGAAGAUUCCUUGAUAAAUUUAGUUUCAGUAGACUCCUCAAAUUUCCAACAUCAAUAGCAUGUGAAUUGUGAAGAUGGUUUGAUGAUAAAUCUAUUUCUAAGAUAUCUUUAAGAUUCCACAAAGUUGAGGGUAUUGCGGAACUCAAUUUGUUGGAAUCUAAGUAAAGAUAUCCCAAAGAAGUAAUAUUACCCAAACAAGAGGGUAUAGAUCCAUGCAGCUUAUUCAACCCUAAAAACAAGUUGUAUAAUCUCUCCAAAUCACAAAGGCUUUCUGAGAUGGGCCCUCCUAAUUUAUUAGAGGAAAGACCUAGACUUUGGAGAUUGCGCAGUCCUCCUAUUGAUGUUGGAAUGAAUCCACUUAAUUUAUUAUAGCCAAGUUCUAAAACCAACAUUUUGCUUAAGUUACCUAUUUCCAUAGGAAUAGUGCCUUGAAGCUCACAAUCUUCGGCAUAAAAGUAUUGAAGGGAUUUUGAAAGGUUCCCAAUAUAAGUAGGAAGAACGCCACUCAAUGGAUUUUCUGAAACUCCUAUGGUUUUCAAAUUCUUACAAUUCGUCAAAGAAGAAAGAAAGCUCCACUCAUGAUCAGUAGCAGAUCCUGUGAUCAAAUUAUUGUUUACGAUUCUGAACCAUUCAAGCUGUCUUAAGUUGCCAAGCGUUUUAGGGAUUGGGCCAGAGAAUAAGUUAUCUCCCAAGUCUAGUUUCGUAAGCAUGGAAGCAUUGGAGAUAGAGUAGGGAAUGUUUCCGCUAAGUUUAUUUCCCCCCAAAAAAAGAAACUCAAGCUUUGGAGCAUUGGUAAUGGGUGGUAAAUUACCUGUAAAAUAGCAUCUUUUAGUAUACAUAUUAAUUGAAUACCAAAUUCAUAAAAUAUAUAAUACAUUAAAAUAAAAACUGUAAAACUUCAAAUCAAUUAAGAAUAAAAUUUUGGCAUGGAAAAAUGUGAUGAAAUCAAUUAGAAAGUUGAGACAUAAUAAGAAGUUUUGAGUAGUAAUUACUCAUGAUUUCUAUAGACAAAACAUAUAAUACACUGAUAAUUUUUUUAAAAUAUUGUAAAACCUGAAAUAAAAUAAAAAAUAAAAGUUUGGCACGAGAAUGUAGCAUCUAAUCAUUCUUAAAAAUAAGACUAACAUUGAAUAAUAAUUAGUUAUGAUUUGAGAAACAAAAAUGUUAAAGAUGUAAACUGGUAUGAUUUUUAUCCAUUGGGUUAAUUAUUUAUUUUUAUUAAAUUAUAGUGUAAAAUUUAAAGAUUAUUAUUUGCUCAAAAUUUUUGUAUUUUUCGUAUAUUUGAAAUUUAAUCUUUAUAUUUUUUAUUUUCUCUGAUUUAGUCUCUCUACUUUUUGAAUUGAAAAUUUUAAGUUUAUUUAUUAACACUGUUAAAAGGUUUUUGUGUUAGUAUGGCAUUUUAAAAAAUAAAAUAAACUUGAUAUCUAUGUUUUUAAUUAUUCCAAAUACUGUUUUACUAUUCCAAGAUAAAUUUUUUGUGUCUAGACCAAUAUCUUAAGAACUAUUGUUGCAUGUUUAAUUAUUUUAAAGAAUUGUUGAUUGAGUCUUAGUUGAAGUGCACUAUUCUCCUAUUUAUGAAUUGGGGAGUUGGUAAAGUACUAAAUUUUGAUAUAUUUUAAAAUAUUAAAAAAUUUAUUAAAAUAUUUUUUAUAAAAAUUGAUUGUACCACAUUAUACAAUUUUAAUAUCAAAUUUUUAAAUUUUUUUAAAAUAUUAGCGAAUAUAUACUUUAUUUCAAGUUACACAAUUUUUNNNNNNNNNNNNNNNNNNNNNNNNNNNNNNNNNNNNNNNNNNNNNNNNNNNNNNNNNNNNNNNNNNNNNNNNNNNNNNNNNNNNNNNNNNNNNNNNNNNNNNNNNNNNNNNNNNNNNNNNNNNNNNNNNNNNNNNNNNNNNNNNNNNNNNNNNNNNNNNNNNNNNNNNNNNNNNNNNNNNNNNNNNNNNNNNNNNNNNNNNNNNNNNNNNNNNNNNNNNNNNNNNNNNNNNNNNNNNNNNNNNNNNNNNNNNNNNNNNNNNNNNNNNNNNNNNNNNNNNNNNNNNNNNNNNNNNNNNNNNNNNNNNNNNNNNNNNNNNNNNNNNNNNNNNNNNNNNNNNNNNNNNNNNNNNNNNNNNNNNNNNNNNNNNNNNNNNNNNNNNNNNNNNNNNNNNNNNNNNNNNNNNNNNNNNNNNNNNNNNNNNNNNNNNNNNNNNNNNNNNNNNNNNNNNNNNNNNNNNNNNNNNNNNNNNNNNNNNNNNNNNNNNNNNNNNNNNNNNNNNNNNNNNNNNNNNNNNNNNNNNNNNNNNNNNNNNNNNNNNNNNNNNNNNNNNNNNNNNNNNNNNNNNNNNNNNNNNNNNNNNNNNNNNNNNNNNNNNNNNNNNNNNNNNNNNNNNNNNNNNNNNNNNNNNNNNNNNNNNNNNNNNNNNNNNNNNNNNNNNNNNNNNNNNNNNNNNNNNNNNNNNNNNNNNNNNNNNNNNNNNNNNNNNNNNNNNNNNNNNNNNNNNNNNNNNNNNNNNNNNNNNNNNNNNNNNNNNNNNNNNNNNNNNNNNNNNNNNNNNNNNNNNNNNNNNNNNNNNNNNNNNNNNNNNNNNNNNNNNNNNNNNNNNNNNNNNNNNNNNNNNNNNNNNNNNNNNNNNNNNNNNNNNNNNNNNNNNNNNNNNNNNNNNNNNNNNNNNNNNNNNNNNNNNNNNNNNNNNNNNNNNNNNNNNNNNNNNNNNNNNNNNNNNNNNNNNNNNNNNNNNNNNNNNNNNNNNNNNNNNNNNNNNNNNNNNNNNNNNNNNNNNNNNNNNNNNNNNNNNNNNNNNNNNNNNNNNNNNNNNNNNNNNNNNNNNNNNNNNNNNNNNNNNNNNNNNNNNNNNNNNNNNNNNNNNNNNNNNNNNNNNNNNNNNNNNNNNNNNNNNNNNNNNNNNNNNNNNNNNNNNNNNNNNNNNNNNNNNNNNNNNNNNNNNNNNNNNNNNNNNNNNNNNNNNNNNNNNNNNNNNNNNNNNNNNNNNNNNNNNNNNNNNNNNNNNNNNNNNNNNNNNNNNNNNNNNNNNNNNNNNNNNNNNNNNNNNNNNNNNNNNNNNNNNNNNNNNNNNNNNNNNNNNNNNNNNNNNNNNNNNNNNNNNNNNNNNNNNNNNNNNNNNNNNNNNNNNNNNNNNNNNNNNNNNNNNNNNNNNNNNNNNNNNNNNNNNNNNNNNNNNNNNNNNNNNNNNNNNNNNNNNNNNNNNNNNNNNNNNNNNNNNNNNNNNNNNNNNNNNNNNNNNNNNNNNNNNNNNNNNNNNNNNNNNNNNNNNNNNNNNNNNNNNNNNNNNNNNNNNNNNNNNNNNNNNNNNNNNNNNNNNNNNNNNNNNNNNNNNNNNNNNNNNNNNNNNNNNNNNNNNNNNNNNNNNNNNNNNNNNNNNNNNNNNNNNNNNNNNNNNNNNNNNNNNNNNNNNNNNNNNNNNNNNNNNNNNNNNNNNNNNNNNNNNNNNNNNNNNNNNNNNNNNNNNNNNNNNNNNNNNNNNNNNNNNNNNNNNNNNNNNNNNNNNNNNNNNNNNNNNNNNNNNNNNNNNNNNNNNNNNNNNNNNNNNNNNNNNNNNNNNNNNNNNNNNNNNNNNNNNNNNNNNNNNNNNNNNNNNNNNNNNNNNNNNNNNNNNNNNNNNNNNNNNNNNNNNNNNNNNNNNNNNNNNNNNNNNNNNNNNNNNNNNNNNNNNNNNNNNNNNNNNNNNNNNNNNNNNNNNNNNNNNNNNNNNNNNNNNNNNNNNNNNNNNNNNNNNNNNNNNNNNNNNNNNNNNNNNNNNNNNNNNNNNNNNNNNNNNNNNNNNNNNNNNNNNNNNNNNNNNNNNNNNNNNNNNNNNNNNNNNNNNNNNNNNNNNNNNNNNNNNNNNNNNNNNNNNNNNNNNNNNNNNNNNNNNNNNNNNNNNNNNNNNNNNNNNNNNNNNNNNNNNNNNNNNNNNNNNNNNNNNNNNNNNNNNNNNNNNNNNNNNNNNNNNNNNNNNNNNNNNNNNNNNNNNNNNNNNNNNNNNNNNNNNNNNNNNNNNNNNNNNNNNNNNNNNNNNNNNNNNNNNNNNNNNNNNNNNNNNNNNNNNNNNNNNNNNNNNNNNNNNNNNNNNNNNNNNNNNNNNNNNNNNNNNNNNNNNNNNNNNNNNNNNNNNNNNNNNNNNNNNNNNNNNNNNNNNNNNNNNNNAGUCUAGGUGGACCACAAAGUGCAUAAUUCUUCAUGAAUGAUGUGCUAGAAAAUUUUGAAAAACAUCCUUCGCUGGGAAUUUCCCCUUCAAGUCUAUUAAAAGACACAUUAAAAUACUUUAGAUAUAAAAGCUUUUCCAAAGAUUUGGGAAUGACUCCAGAGAGAUUGUUAUUGCAUAAAUCCAAGAAUUCCAAACUAAUCAACCCAUCAAAUGAUUCAGGGAUAUAACCAUGUAGUAUAUUAUUUGAUAAAUCUAAUGAAACCAAAGUUUGAAGACCCCCAAAUGAGGAUAAGAUAUCGCCCGUGAGAAGAUUCCUUGAUAAAUUUAGUUUCAGUAGACUCCUCAAAUUUCCAACAUCAAUAGCAUGUGAAUUGUGAAGAUGGUUUGAUGAUAAAUCUAUUUCUAAGAUAUCUUUAAGAUUCCACAAAGUUGAGGGUAUUGCGGAACUCAAUUUGUUGGAAUCUAAGUAAAGAUAUCCCAAAGAAGUAAUAUUACCCAAACAAGAGGGUAUGGAUCCAUGCAGCUUAUUCAACCCUAAAUACAUCUCGUAUAGUCUCUCCAAACCACAGAGGCUUUCUGAGAUAGGCCCUCCAAAUUUAUUAGAGGAAAGAAAUAGACCUUGGAGAUUUCUCAUUCCUCCUAUUGAUGCUGGAAUCAAUCCACUUAAUUUAUUAUAGCCAAGUUGUAAAAGCAAUAGGUUGGUUAAGUUACCUAUUUCCAUAGCAAUAAUGCCUUGAAGCUCACAAUUAGAGGCAUAAAAGUAUUGAAGGGAUUUUGAAAGGUUCCCGAUAUAAGUAGGAAGAACGCCACUCAAUGGAUUUCCUGAAACAUCUAUUGUGCUCAAAUUCCUACAAUUCGUCAAAGAAGAAAGAAAGCUCCACUCAUGAUCGGUAGAAGAUCCUGUGAUCAAAUUAUUGUUUUUGAUUCGGAACCAUUCAAGGUGUCUUAAGUUGCCAAGCGUUUUAGGGAUUGGGCCAGAGAAUAAGUUAUGCGCCAAGUCUAGUUCCUUAAGCAUGGAAGCAUUGAAGAUAGAGUUGGGAAUGUUUCCGCUAAGUUUUUUUCUCCACAAUAAAAGAAUCUCAAGCUUUGGAGGAUUGGUGAUGGGUGGUAAAUUACCUGUAAAAUAGCAUCUUUUAGUAUACAUAUUCAUUGAAUACCAAAUUCACAAAAUAUAUAAUAUAUUAAUAAUAAGAAGUUUUGAGUACUAAUUAGUCCUUGUGAUUUGUAUAGACAAAAUAUAUAAUACACUAAUAAUUUUUUAAAAUAUUGUAAAACUUGAAAUAAAAUAAAAAUAAAAGUUUGGCAUGAGAAUGUGGCAUCUAAUCAAUCUUAAAAAUGAGACUGAGACUGAAUAAUAAUUAGUUAUGAUUUGGGAAACUAAAAUGUUAAAGCCAUUAUUUAUCUUUAUUAAAUUAUAGUGUACAAUUUAAAGAUUAUUAUUUGCUCAUAAUUUUUGUAUUUUUCGUAUGUUUGAAAUUUAAUCUUUAUAUUUUUUUAUUUUCUGUGAUUUAGUCUCUCUACUUUUUGAAUUGAAAAUUUUAGGUUCAUUUAUUAACACUGUUAAAAAAGUUUUUGUGUUAGUAUGGCAUUUUGAAAAAUAAAAUAAACUUGAUAUCUAUGUUUUUAAUUAUUCCAAAUAUUGUUUUACUAUUUCGAGAUAAAUUAUUCAAAAGAAUUGUUAUUGAGCCUUAGCUUGAUUGGCAUGUGUAUUGUUACCAAUGUAGGAGACUGUGGGCUCAAGUAUGCUGAAGUGCAUUAUCCUCUUAUUUAUAAAUUGGGGAGUUGGUAAAGUAUUAAAUUUUGAUAUAUUUUAAAAUAUAUCUAUAAUAUAUAUAAAUGAAUGGAUUUUGAGAAACUUUUGAACUGAUAAUUAUAUAGUCUUUGUUGUUUACUAUAUUAUUGAAUUUGUUAUUUAAAUUUUAUUUAUUUUUUACUUUUAAGAUUUAUAUAAGAAUUUUGGUUUUCCUAAAAUAUUUGGUUAAGUAAAUUCACUUCAUAACAAAAUUUAGCAUCCUUAUAAAUACCAUUUUUUAUUCUAUUAAAAAAUUAAUUUAAAAAAUAUAUAAUAAUAAAUUAAAAUUUAUAUUGAAUUACUUUAUACUUCAAUUAUUAUUAGAAACUUUAUCAUACACAUAUGUGUAUGAGAAUCACGUAUUUAGAACAUAAAUUUGUGUUUUAAAAUAACUUAUGAUAAAUAAUGAAAUGUAUUAUUUAAAACUAUUUACUAAUAUCUACCAUAUUAAAAUAAAAAUAGAUUAAAUUGUAAGUAAAACAUAAUUUAAAUAUAUGAAUACAUCGAAUUAAGAAUACUAAAUGAAUACAGUUAUUUAUGAUGAUGUUGUUGUCAAUUCCUAAGUUUGUGUCAAGUUAAUUUGUGACAUCAUAUAUUUAAGUGAUAAAUUUAAAGUUUUAUGUAUUGAUGUGGAUUCAAAUAUCAUCAUAUCCUAAAAUAAUAUAACUUAUUUUAAAUACAAAAAAUGAUUCUAUUCAACACUAAAUCAAUUUUUAGAUUUUGUACAUAUGAUUUAAUGAUGAUAAAAACAUUAUUAUCACUAUUUUUGAAUUAAAAAAAAGUUUGUGAUUUAAUUUAAUUAUAUUUUUUAUUUUUAUUUUUUAUUGUAUACUAAAUAUGGUACAUAUACUUUAAUUAUAACUUGAAAUUUUAUUAUAUAAAUUAAUAUAUUUUAAUUAUAUUCAACCAUUUGAAUAAAAAAAAAACUAAUUAGAAUAAUUUAAAAAAAACAUUAUUUAAAAGCUAGCUAAAAAUCACGUGCAACAGGUGAUAUGAGAAUCUAUGUAUAUAAAUGUAUCCGUAUAUAUCUCGUUGUUUCAUUUUUUUAAAUAAAUAUAUUUUCCACAUUGGUUUCUUUUAUUCUAUAGACAAAGGAUUUCUAAUGAUUUUUAAUUUUUUUUUACUUAUAUAGAAUAGAUUAGUUUAUGCAAUAAAAAAUAAUUUCUUUUUCAAAGUUUAAUGGAAAUUAAAAAAUUAAAAAUAAAUCAAUGCAUAUAAAUCUUAUUGUUUAUUAUCAUAUUAAAAUGACCAAAAUAGAAGAAACAAAUUCAACACAAUGUUUUUGGAGUUCGGAAAAUAUUAAAGUGAAAAACAUACCUUCUAAUUUGUUGUUAAAUAGAUCUAUUUCUUCGAGCGUAGUUGAAUUAAAAAUAUUUGAUGGAAUCUGACCUGCACACAUAGUCGAAAAUUCAAGUGAAAAACAUACCUUCUAAACUGUUCAACUAAAAAUACUUAAAAGCAUAUUUUUUAAGGUUGUUGCAUUUGCCCAUGCCAAAUGGAAUCUUCCCAGAUAAUUCAUUCCUACUCAGGUAAAGCACUUCAAGCUUGGGAAGAUGUUGACAAAUAUCAUUAGGCAAACUACCUGAUAGGCUAUUGCUGGAGAGAGCAAUGGUCUUCAGAGAAGAAAUGUUGAAGAUCAAAGUUGGAAUUUGACCUAUAAGGCCUUUAAUUGCUUGAAUAUUAAGCAGUUCCAAACCAAGAAGAUUACCAAUUUCCUCAGGAAUUUGACCUGUACACAUGGUCGAAAAAUCAAGGUGUCAAACUACUUAUUUUGUAAGCAUAACUCAAAGAGGUUUUCUUUUCUGUUCUACAGUAAUUUGGAGAUGUUAGAUUUUAAUAUAUUUUAGCAUAUGUUUUUCAUCAAAUGAAAUAAAAACUUUUUCCUUUUGUUAUCUAUUACAAAUCAAGCUAUUUUAUAAAAAAAAAUACUUUGAAUUCAAGAAAUCAAGAAAAUUGAUUACCUUCUAGAUUAUUAAAUCCCAAAUAUAAUUCUCCGAGUUGUGUCAGAUUUCCGAAACUUCUUGGAAUGAUCCCCGUCAAUUGAUUCAAGGACAAGGACAAAUUUUUCAGGUUGCUGCAUUUGCCCAUACUUGACGGAAUGUUACCAGAUAACUCAUUGCGAUGCAAGUAAAGCACUUCAAGCUUGGGAAGAUGUCGACAUAUAUCAUUAGGCAAACUACCUGAUAGGCUAUUGUUGGAGAGAGCAAUGGUCUUCAGAGAAGAAAUGUUGAAGAUCGAAGUUGGAAUCUGACCUGUAAGGCCUUUAAUUGCUUGAAUAUUAAGCAGUUCCAAACCAAGAAGAUUACCGAUUUCAUCAGGAAUUUGACCUGCACACAUAGUCGAAAAAUCAAGGUGUCAAACUACCUAUUUUGUUAGCAUAAGUCAAAGAGGUUUUCUUUUCUAUUCUAUAGUAAUUUGGAGAUGUUAGAUUUUUAUAUAUUUCAGCAUAUGUUUUUCAUCAAAUGAAAUAAAAACUUUUUCGUUUUGUUAUCUAUUACAAAUCAAACUCUUUUAUAAAAAAAGUACUUAAAAUUCAAGAAAUCAAGGAAAUUGAUUACCUUCUAGAUUAUUAAACCCCAAAUAUAAUUCUUUGAGUUGUGUCAGAUUGCUAAUACUUCUUGGAAUGAUCCCCGUCAAUUGAUUCAAAGACAAGGACAAAUUUUUAAGGUUGCUGCAUUUGCCCAUACUUGAUGGAAUGUUACCAGAUAACUCAUUACUAUGCAAGUAAAGCACUUCAAGCUUGGGAAGAUGUUGACACAUAUCAUUAGGUAAACUACCUGAUAGGCUAUUGUUGGAGAGAGCAAUGGUCUUCAGAGAAGAAAUGUUGAAGAUCGAAGUUGGAAUCUGACCUGUAAGGCCUUUAAUUGCUUGAAUAUUAAGCAGUUCCAAACCAAGAAGAUUACCGAUUUCAUUAGGAAUUUGACCUGCACAUAUAGUCGAAAAAUCAAGGUGUCAAACUACCUAAUUUGUUAGCAUAAGUCAAAAAGGUUUUCUAUUCUGUUCUACAGUAAUUUGGAGAUGGUAGACUUUCAUAUAUUUCAGCUUAUGUUUUUCAUCAAAUGAAAUAAAAACUUUUUCCUUUUGUUAUCUAUUACAAAUCAAACUCUUUUAUAAAAAAAAGUACUUAAAAUUCAAGAAAUCAAGGAAAUUGAUUACCUUAUAGAUUAUUAAACCCCAAAUAUAAUUCUUUGAGUUGUGUCAGAUUGCCAAUACUUCUUGGAAUGAUCCCCGUCAAUUGAUUCAAGGACAAGGACAAAUUUUUAAGGUUGCUACAUUUGCCCAUACUUGACGGAAUGUUACCAGAUAACUCAUUGCUAUGCAAGUAAAGAACUUCAAGCUUGGGAAGAUGUUGACACAUAUCAUUAGGCAAACUACCUGAUAGGCUAUUGCUGGAGAGAAUAAUAAUAUUCAGAGAAGAUAUCUUGAAAAUGGAAGAUGGAACCUGACCAGAUAAUUGAUUGAGUCCCAAGUUCAGGAUCUCUAGAUUAGAUAUGUUAACAAGUGUUUCAGGGAUUGUGCCUGUAAAGUAAUUAUUUUUCAUUUGCAGCCUUCGAACUCUCUGUAAGUUCCCAAGCCAUGAUGGAAUUUCCCCAUUCAGACGGUUGUAGCUUAAUUGAAGGAUCCUCAAAUGACGCAAUUGGCCCAAUUCUUUAGGGAGAUGGCCAUAGAAAUGGUUGCUACUCAAGUCGAGAGAGAGUAGAAAUGAAAGAUUUCCAAGGUGUGGAGGGAUAGUACCCCUAAGAUUCAUGCUUGUAAGAUUCAAAGCUAUAACUCUUUUAUGGAGGAUGCCACAAGAAACUCCAAUCCAAUUGCAAACAGAGGUUGAGGCCAUCCAAUUGUCUGCCAAGACAUUUUGAGGACCGGCAAUGCGAUCCUUAAACUCGAGAAGUGCAAACUGAUCGAAGUUGAGAUUCCUGACUGUCAUAGCCAAGCAAAGUACGGAACAUGGUAUGAAUAAAGCUAAGAGAAGAUGAAAGCAAGUUUUGUAGUUCAUGAUUGCAAGACGGAAUAUGGCAAGAAAAUAAAAACAGUAGGAAAAGGGAAGUUGAGUUGAUAAAAUAGUUUGGAUGAUGAAGAAAAGCCCAAAGAGCAUGCUUUAAUAUGUUUCAACCCUCGCACACUUGAUAAAUUUGAUAAAAAUAUUUUUAUUUAAUAAAUGUAAAAAACUUUUUAAACAAAAUAAGGUUGAAAUAAUCUAUUUGUCCUUAUAUUUUGACAAAAUUUGAGACUUAGUCCUUAUACUUAAAAGGUUAAAAAUAAAAUUUUCUAGUUUUUAUUUAAAAAUCUUAGUUCUAUCAUUAAUUUUUUGGUCAAAAUUUGUCAACUUUACAUAUUAAUUAGGUUUCCCUUAUAUGUCGUUGCAUAUGACCAACACAAAAUAAGCAAGUUGACAAAUUCUGACAAAAAAUAUCAAAGAUGAUAAUAAUUUGAUUAAAAUUUUUAAAUUGAAUUAAAAACCUUUAACUUAUAAGGAAUGGAUAUCAAAUAUUUAUAGGAAAAAAGGGACUAACAACAUAUUUUAACCAAAAAAUAAUAUGAGUGAUUAGAAUGAAUCUAAAAUUUUAUAGAAAUAAAAGAGACUAACAGAUUUUAUAGAAAUAAAAGAGACUAACAGCAUAUUUAUAACUUUGAAAUCUCCUUCGAUCAUCCUUUUUCUACUUAGAAAAAGAAAAUUAAUUAGCAUCUAAAGUGUCAAUUAAUGAAACCUUAAAAAGAAAAUGUGAAAGUGAUUUAUCAAACAAUAAUAUUCUAACUUAUAAUACAUUUAAUUACAUUUAGUAAUUUAUCAAUCAAAACUUAACUAACAUCCAUCAAUAUUUCAUACAUAAGUAAAUUUUCCAUUUACUCAGAUUUAACUUUGCAAGUAAACUUAAAAUUUUAUUUAAUUUGGUCACUAAAUUUAAUUUGUUCAAUAUAGAUUUUGGUGACUUAAAACAAAAAUUAAUAAAAAGUUAUUCUUUCAGACAUCUUUUUAAUGUUUAGUAAUAAGUUAAUUUAUAAAAUAUACUUUCAUUGGACACAAGCCUCUAAGGCGAUGAACCAUUGAUCAAAUUAAUUUGGAGAUAUCUUUUUUCCAAAUAAAGUGAAUUUACGAGUUUUGUCUUCUUCUUUUUUAAUAUUUUUAAUAUUUUUGUGGAUAUCAAGAGAUACCAAAAAUUAUUUCACUAAGAAAUUUUAAUUCACCCGAAAAGUUAGUGUUUUAUUUCAAGGGGUCAUAAUUAUAAAUUUUGAAUUUUUUGACAAUUGUGUAAUUAAUAAAUACUUAUUUUGAGUGUUGUAGGGCUUGUACAAUCUCCCUUACACAUAACCGACUCUUGAACCUACUAUUUUCUCUAGAAUUUCACGUAGACCUCAAAUUUAUCUUUUGAAAAGAAUUUUAAAAUCUCUGUAAAAAAGGUGUAAAAAUAUAUAUAUUUUAUUAAUUACUAUAUAUUCUUUUAUUUUCAGAAUAAUAAAUUGUUUAAAAUAUGCUACUAGUCCCCAUAAUUUAAAAGUUAAAAGUAUUUGGGAUCUCGAGUGCAUCAAAUUCCUCCUCUUAUUAUUAAAUGUUUUAUUUUAGUUACUCUAAUUAAAUAUAUCCAAAUUGUAAUAGAGUUAAUAUUUAUUAUAUAAAAAAUAUUUUAAUUUUUUUUCAAUUGCAGUUUAAUUAUAGUAGAAAUAUUUCAUUUAUAAUAUCACAAAACUUUAAAAUAUUAAUUUUGUUAAAUAAAAAAUGAUUUUUUUAAACAGUAAAUUUUGACUUUAUUAACACAAAUGGGUCUUUAGGGUUAAACUUCAAUAAUUGACGAGCUCUUCCACAAACUAUGGAUGAUUUGGAGAUAAGAACUUCAAUAAUUCUGGAGUUAAAGUGUAAAUUUACUACUAUAUUAUAAGUAAAAUUUGAAAUUUAUCACUAUAUUUUAAUUGAUACUUGUCUUUACACUUUGAAAAUAUAAGUAUUUACCAUUUAACUCAUAUGUGAUUGAACUUUGCAAGUAAACUUAAAAUUUUAUUUAAUUUUGUCACUAAAUUUGAUUUGUUUAAUUAAAUUUACAACUCAAUAUAGAUUUUGGUGACUUAAAACAAAAUUAAUAAAAAAACUAUUCUUUCAGAUAUUUUUUUUAAUGUUUAAUAAUAAGUUGAUUUAUAAAAUAUACUUUCAUUGGACACAAGCAUCCAAGGCGGUGAACAAACCACUGGUCAAAUUAAUUUGAAGAUAUCUUUUUUUUUUCUAAAUCAAGUGAAUUUACGAGUUUUGCCUUUUUUUUUAAAUAUUUUUAAUUUUGUGGAUAUCAAGAGAUACCAAAAAUUAUUUCACUAAGGGAUUAAUUAGUGUUUUAUUUUAAGGGUUCACAAUUAAACAUUAAAAUUUUCAUUUUUAAAUUUUGAAUUUUUUGACAAUCACGUAAUUAACAAGUACAAAUUUUGGAUGUUGUAGGGUUAUUAUAACCUUCCCUACACGUAACAGACUCUUAAACCUACUUUUUUUCUCUAGAACUCAACGCAAACCUCAAAUUUAUCAUUUUAAAAUAUCUAUAUAAAAGGUGAUCUUUUUACCGAUCACACUUAAAAAAAAUUUAAAAAUUAUUAAUUUAUUUUUUGAAAUUUAAAGUGUUCUAAAAACAUAUUUUUAAGCGCUUUAGACCAUCCGGUGCUGAUUUCUUUAUUGUAUUAAAUGCUUGCAAUCACUUCUGAUAUAUUAUACUUGAGUUGUGACAGAGCUAAUUGUCAAUGUGCCAUAAUGUUCUAUUGAUGUUGAAACUGAAGUUUUUGUUAUAUUAAGAGAGUUUGUCCUUCAACGCGUAUAACGGGUGUUUGUUAUUUUUUCCCUUCAAAUUGUAUGAUCUCAUUCAUUAAAUGAAUUAAUGAAUUUCCCUUUAAAGAUAUAAUUUUAAAAAUUAAAUACUUUAUAAAAUAUUUAAAACUAUUUAAAAAAUUGUAAGUGUUAAAACAAUCAACAAGAUAUAUUUUUCUCUAAAAAAUCAAUAAAAAUAUGUUUGAAAUUUUAUAUGAAAUUUAAAAUUUUUUAACAAUAAUAUAUUUUAAAAUUAUUUACACCAUUUUUAUAUAUUUUUCCUAACAUAUCGUUAUUUUCAACACUAUCGUAAUCCUAUUUUGAUAAUUCCCUUUCCAUACAUCCUUUUUCUACAUAGAAUUUCGAAAGAAAAUGUGAAUUAAUGCAGACUUGAGAAGACUUAGAGGUAAGUCACCCAAUGAAAGUGACCUAAACCGACUUAUGGAACAAUCAAACAAUAAUUUUGUAUCUUAUAAUAAUUACAUUUAUUAGUUUAUCAAUCAAAACUUAAUUAGAAUCCAUCAAUAUUUCACACAUCAAAAACCCAAAGCAUAAAAUUCACUUUUAAAGUAUUUGGGUUGUAUUUUUAUUAUAGGAAAUGUAUUAAAUUAGUCUCUUUAUUAUUAAAUGUAUUAUUUUAAUCUUUGUAUUAGAUAUAAAUGAUAUCUUCUAGAUUAAAGCUAGAGCGGUUCUUAAAUGGCUGAAUUUGGCUUGGGCUAGAGAAUUCAGAUGUGUAGAGAUGGAAAGUGACAACGUAAUGUUGAUUGAAACUAUUCGUAACAGGUUGGCUGCAGUAAGUUGCAUUGCUGAAGUAAGAUUGAUUCAUGAUUGGUGUUCCAAAAAUUGAGAAGUCAAAUUUCUGAAAUAUUCAGCAAAAUGUCAAUAAAGUUGUUGAUUGCAUAACUAAGGUAGACGGAGGCAUAAUUGAGCAGCUGGUUAUCUUGGAAGAUCCUCCGCAUUAUGUGAGAUGCUAGCUUGAAGAAGAUAUUAGACAGUUGCUGGUGACAAAUGAUAGUUUUCAUUUGGACUAACGCUCCUUAAUUUUCUAAGCUUAUGUUCAACAAAAAAAAAAACAAUUAAAUACAUCUAAAUUGUAAUAGAGUUAACAUUUAGUUAUAAAAAUAUCUUCAAAAUUAUUAUUUUCAAUUGUAGUUCAAUUCCACAAAUACCGAUGAUCAACCUUGAAAUGGACAUGAAAAUUUAAAAAAAAAAACACAUCUAUUAUCAAACUAGCAAUCUAUGUCUAAACAUAAAUUAACAAAAUUCGUCACGCAACCCGAUACACUAUUUUAUAUAAUAUAUAUUCUAGAUUUAUUCUAGAUGCACAUAUUUUUAUUAUAUUUAAAAAUUAAAAUAUAUGAUUGACUGAGUUUUAGUUGAGUUAGUAUUGGUAUUAUUAUCAAUGUAAGGAAACGUGAAUUCAGUCAUGCUCAAAUGUGUUUUAUCCUCCAAUUCAAGAGUUGGGAAAAUGUUAUUACUAUUAAAUUAUACCAAUUUUUACAAUAUUUAAAAAGGAUUUAUAAAUAAUAUAAGGAAAAAAAGAGGGAGAAACAUAUUCAUAUUGAUGGGCUCUUUCAUUAUCAGACUUUCUUUCUCCCACAAGAAAAAGUACUUAUGGACAGGAUCAUGUAAAAUAACGACCUGAAUAAUUUUAAAUGUCUCAUCAUUGCAAAAAUGAAAUAAUAGAAAAGAAAUAAGUCUUAAGUGUAAUGGCAACCACGAACCCCGAUUAUAAACUAAAAAACAAAUAUGAAAAUUAAGUAAAAAAAACAUGUCUAUUACAAAAUUAGUAAUCCAUCCUAAGGCUUAAAUUAACAAAAUUCACCAUGCAAUUGUGUAGACUAUUAUAUAUAUAUAUAUAUACACUAUAUUUAUUCUCAUGCAAAUGUUUAUUAUAUUUAAAAAUUAAAAUAUAUGGUUGAUUGAGUUUUAGUUGACUUAAUAUCGACAUUGUUGUCAGUGCAGAAGAACAUGAGUUCAAUCAUAUUUGAACACGUUUUAUUGUUUUAUCUUUCAAUUUAGGAGUUGGAGAGGAUUCUUUAUCUAGUAAAACAAAUACAUAUUCAUAUUCAUCGGCUUUUUCAUUAUUAGACUUUUUUCCCCACAGGUAAAAGUAUUUAUAGACAGGAUGAUGUAAAACUAUGACCUGAAUGAUUUUAAACCUUUCAUCACUGCAAAAAUGAAAUAAUAGAAAUGAAAGAGUAGCCAUUGUAUGAAAUAUAUAAUUGAACUGUCAACAAAAUUGUGAGAAAUUUCCAAAUUUUAUGAAAAUUUAAAAUUAAACUGUCAAUAAUAGAAAAUUGCCUGAGUGACUUGAGAUAAUAGGUUCAAUUGCAUUUAAGAUGGGUCUUUAGGGUUAUACUUUAGUUAUUGAGAACACUUUCCACAAUUUGCCAUCAUUAUUUGUGAGUGAUUUGUGGGGUAAGAGGUUGAACACUUCUGAAUCACAUUGCCUUUAAGACGGGUCUUUGGAGUUAUAUGAUACUUCAACAUAGACUAACUUUUCUAUAAUUAGUCUUUGCUUUACUUUGGGUGGAUUCUUCCAACUAGUCCAAGAUUUAUUGUACAAUCACAAUUAAUCUUUUUAAAUGAGACAAACAUUUCAAAUUUGUCAUCACUAUUUGUGCGUGAUUUGGAGGUAAGAAGUUUAACACUUCUGGAUGACUCAUAGAAUUGUGGGUCUCUAUUUGAGUAUUGACUCAGUUUUCCACAAUUGUAUACACUUUUUUAUAUUUUUACUAAUUAUAUUUGAGUAUUGAAUUAAUGUAGACGUGAGAAGACUUAGACGUAAGUCACCCAAUGAAAGUGACCUAAACCGACUUAUGGAAGAAUCAAACAAUAAUUUUGUAUCUUAUAAUAUAUUUAGUUACAUUUAUUAAUUUAUCAAUCUAAACUUAAUUAGAAUCCAUCAAUAUUUCACACAUCAAAAACCCAAACAUAAAAUUCACUUUUAAAUUAUUUGGGAUAUAUUUGUAUUAUAGGAAAUAGAUUAAAUGAGUUUAUUUAUUAUUAAAUGUAGUAUUUUAGUCUUUAUAUUAAGUAUGAAUGAUAUCUUCUAGAUUGAAGCUAGAACUAUUCUUGAAAGAUUGAAAUUAGGAUUCAGAUGUGUUGAGAUGGAAAGUGACAACACAAUAUUGAUUGAAAUUAUUUGUAACGGGUUGGCUACAAUAAGUAGUACUGCUGAAGUAAGACAGAUUCAUGAUUGGUGUUUCAAAAAUUGGGAAGUCAAAUUUCGACAUAUUUAGCGGAAUGCCAAUAAAGUUGUUGAUUGCAUAGCUAAGGCAAAUGGAGGCGUAAUUGAACAGCUGGUUAUCUUAGAAGAUCCUCCGCAUUAUGUGAAAUGCUAGCUUAAAGAAGAUAUUAGACAAUCACUGGUGACUGAUGAUAAUUUUCAUUUGGACUGAUGAGCGCUUAAUUUCUAAGUUUAUGUUCAACCAAAAAAAAUAUUAAAUACGUCUAAAUUGUAAUAGAGUUAACAUUUAGUGUUUAAAAAAUAUCUUAAAAAUUAUUUUUCCAAUUGCAGUUCAAUUCAACAAAUAUCGAUGAUGAACCUGGACAUAAAAAUUACAAAAAAAAAAACAUCUAUUAUCAAACCAACAAUCCAUGUCUAAACUUAAAUUAACAAAAUUCGUCACGUAACCCGGUACACUAUUAUAUAUAUAUAUAUAAUAGAUUUAUUCUAGAUGCACAUGUGUUAUUAUAUUUAAAAAUUAAAAUAUAUGGUUGACUGAGUUUUAGUUGAGUUAGUAUUGGUAUUAUUGUCAGUGCAUGGAAAUGUGAGUUUAAUCGUGCUCAAAUGUGUUUUAUCCUCCAAUUCAAGGGUUAGGAAAAGGUUAUUGAUAAUUAAAUUAUACCAACUUUUAUGAUAUUAAGAAAAGAAUUUAUAAAUAAUAUAAGGAAGAAAAAAAAAAGAGAAACAUAUUCAUAUUGAUGGGCUCUUUCAAUAUUAGACUUUUUUUUUCUCUCACAAGUAAAAGUAGUUAUGGAGAGUAUCAUGUAAAAUAAUGACCUGAAUAAUUUUAAAAGUUUCAUCAUUGCAAAAAUGAAAUAAUAGAAAAGAAAGAGUAGCCAUUUUAUGAAAUUUAUAAUUCCAACUUUGAAUAAAAUAUAAAUUUUAUGAAUGUGGACAACCAAUUUUAUUUAUGUGUUUUUCGUCUUUUUCUGACCUUUUUUUAAAGUCAUUUUCUUUGUUUCCUAACCACCAUGAAAUUACUUGUCAAAAUUCAUCUUUUUAAAUGAGAAACAUUUUCCACAAUUUGCCAUCACUUAACAUACACUAACUUUUCCAACAAUUAGUGUAUCACGAGUUUUGUUUUCUUUAAAAAAUAUUUUUGUGGAUAUUAGGAGAUAAUGAAAAUUAUUUUAUUAUGAAAUUUUAAUAAAACUGGAAAGUAAGUAAUUUAUUUUAAGAGAUCACAAUUAAACAUUAGAUUUCCAUUUUUUUAAUUUUAAUUUUUUUUGACAAUUGCAUAAUUAAUAAGAUACCAAUUUUGAGCGUUAUAGGAAUGCUAUAACCUUCCCUACACAUAAUUGACUCUUGAGCAUGAUGGAUCCUAGAUAUUCUCCUCUAUUCUCGUACCAUAAAUUGCUUCGAGUGUGGACACAAUCACAAAUUAAACACAAAACUAGAAAUGAUUUAGUACUUUCAAUAGCAAAGUAAUUCUCUCUCAAUAGAAACCAAUAGAAUUGUAAUUCCCAGAAAAUAAAAUUUAUUUUUUGAAAAUAUAUUCUCACUACUUUCUAGUAGAAUAACAAUAUGUAAAACUUAUGUCUUGUGUUAAUAACUUUACCAGUACUAUCUAUUUAUAGGGAGAGACACGAGAAUGCUAGUUGAAUUAGUAAAACACGAAUAAUAUUUAUUUCAUAGAAAACAAUAUUCUAUCCUAAGUAGAUCAAGUUUGGAUGACGCAUGGAUCGAAGCUCAAUCUAGGAGAAAAAAAUAAAGAAAUUUUCUAAAAAAAGAAAAUUUGAGAUUGUACUAUUAUCGAAGUUAUAAAUAAAAUUAUACGCCAAAUUUUCAAGUCAAUUUUCAAAUCAAAUUUUGUAUGUACAAAUUUCUAACACACUUGGUGGGACAUUCUUUGACUUUUAUCUAUUCCCUGAAGAUUUGACUAGGAUCUGGAAACAGUGAAACUCAAGAACUAGGGUCAUCUUCGUUGGCAAAAUAUUUUGUAAUUGACUCUUUUGAUAAAUGAAACGCCAAAAUAUGGGGCUAUCUUGAAAUCAACACCAUUUUUUGCAUAUUUAUACAUGACUAGCAUCCAUUGGUCAUUCAUUCAUUCAUUCAUUCAUUGCAUGUACAUAUCACCCUAAUCAUUCACUAAAGCCAAAACCGUACAAUCCACAAUUGCAACACUACAAGUCUGGAAUCACGUUAUUCCAGAGCUAUGGAUGCUAUUGACAAUGAGAAUGAUGAAAUUAAGAAUGCUUCAAUGAUACGCCCUUGUCCUCCAGGAUAUGUUUUGAACAACUGGACUGCUGAGGACCUCCUUGUAGUUUUUCAGUCCCCUUCAGAGUAAUGCUCAAUGUUAACCCUUCAUUUUGUGUGUCCUUAAACAGUAGGGUUCCUUUUGUAAGAGCUUAUGUUUGCUCUUUAUCAUUUCAAUGAACAUUAAUGAAGAUGCAUUUUGUUUUAUAUUGUCAUAUUCUUUUCAUUAACUUUGCGACUACUCAUUCUGUUCAUAUCCUUUUCUAGGCAUAUAUCUCAUAUCAUCUCAUAUCAUUGUGUGUUGAUUACAAUACCUCAAUACUCUGCUAUAGCCUUUUUCCAUUCACCUUUCAGGUGCUCAGAUAUCAAUGGCAUGAAUAAUCCCGUUAUGAAUCCUGAAAUCAAUUUUGAAAAGGUUGUUUGUUUAGGAGAAUUCGAAGCUGACGAAAAUGUUGAAGAUUGUGUCUCGUCUCCUGACUUACUGAGAAUGGUGGAACAAGAAGAGAAACAAAUCCUACCCCAUCAAGAAUCUGUUGAGGUAGUUAACUUGGGGAACGAAGAAGAGAAACAAGAAGUGAAGAUUGGGACUUCCAUUUCAGAAAACACAAGGCAAGAUUUGAUCGCCUUGCUCCAGGAAUACAAGGAUGUGUUUGCCUGGUCUUAUCAGGAUAUGCCAGGAUUGAACACGGAUAUUGUAGUCCACAAGCUCCCACUGAAACCAGAAUGCAAGCCCGUUCAGCAGAAAUUAAGAAGGAUGAGACCCGAAAUGCUGUUAAAGAUAAAAGAAUAAGUCAAGAAACAAUUUGACGCUGGCUUCCUACAAGUCUCAAAGUAUCCAGAAUGGGUAGCUAAUAUAGUCCCAGUGCCGAAGAAGGAUGGCAAGGUGCGAAUGUGCGUGGAUUAUCGUGAUCUAAAUCAAGCAAGCCCUAAGGAUAACUUUCCUUUACCGCACGUCGACACUUUGGUGGAUAAUACGGCAAAGCAUUCUCUGUUUUCUUUCAUGGAUGGUUUCUCAGGAUAUAAUCAGAUAAAGAUGGCUCCCGAAGACAUGGAGAAAACUACAUUCAUAACAAUGUGGGGAACCUUCUGCUACAAGGUAAUGCCGUUCGGAUUAAAGAAUGCUGGGGCAACAUAUCAGAGAGCCAUGGUGACGUUAUUCCAUGAUAUGAUGCACAAAGAAAUAGAAGUUUAUGUCGAUGAUAUGAUUGCCAAAUCUCGGGAAGAAAGAGAGCAUGUUGGGAGUCUUAGGAAGCUGUUUGAAAGAUUAAGAAAGUUCCAGUUGAAGCUUAACCCGGCCAAAUGUACAUUUGGGGCUACCUCAGGAAAACUGCUAGGUUUCAUUGUUAGUGAAAGAGGUAUCGAGGUUGACCCAGAUAAGAUAAAAGCUAUACAAGAAUUGCCUCCCCCGCGUACACAAAAGGAAGUCAGAGGUUUUUUAGGAAGGUUGAAUUACAUUGCUCGAUUCAUUGCUCAACUUACCAAUCAGUUUGACCCAAUUUUUCGACUCCUUUNNNNNNNNNNNNNNNNNNNNNNNNNNNNNNNNNNNNNNNNNNNNNNNNNNNNNNNNNNNNNNNNNNNNNNNNNNNNNNNNNNNNNNNNNNNNNNNNNNNNUAAUCCGGGAGAAUGGAACGAGGAGUGCCAAGUGGCCUUCGACAAGAUAAGACAGUAUCUAUCUAAUCCUCCUGUGCUAGUACCGCCGACCCCUGGAAAACCCUUAAUAUUGUACCUGAACGUGUUUGAGAACUCAAUGGGUUGCGUACUGGGGCAACAUGAUGAGUCAGGGAGAAGAGAAAAGGCAAUUUACUACCUCAGCAAGAAGUUCACAGAAUAUGAGGCAAAUUACCCUUCAAUUGAGAAGUUUUGUUGUGCAUUGAUUUGGACGGUUCGAAGGCUCAGACAAUACAUGUUGCAUCACACGACAUGGUUAAUUUCAAAACUGGACCCAAUAAAGUACAUGAUGGAGUCACCUGCACUCUCAAGGAGAAUGGCCCGAUGGUAGAUCCUAUUGACUGAGUAUGACAUUGUAUAUGUGAGCCAAAAGUCGAUAAAAAGAAGCGCAAUAGCUGACUUCUUGGCAAGUCGUGCAAUAGAGGAAUACGAGCCUUUGAGAUUUGAGUUCCCAGAUGAAGAUUUGAUGUGCAUUUCAGAAAAAGAGGGCGAGUCAUCAAAAGGAAAGUCAUGGAAGAUGAGCUUUGAUGGUGCAUCAAAUGCAUUAGGGCAUGGGAUAGGAGCAGUCUUAGUAUCACCUGAAGGGGACCAUUACCCACUUACUGCCAGAUUGAAUUUCUUCUGUACAAAUAAUAUAGCGGAAUAUAAAGCUUGCAUCAUGGGACUUCGUGCAGCUAUCAAGAGGAAAAUCAAAAUCUUAGAGGUACACGGGGACUCAGCACUAGUCAUUUACCAAAUUCGUGGAGAUUGGGAAGUGAGGGAUUCGAAAUUAGUCAAAUAUCGCGAUCUUAUUGCAGAAUUGGUCAAAGAAUUUAAAGAAGUGACUUUUAACUACUUUCCACGGGAAGAGAACCAAUUGGCUGAUGCUCUGGCCACCUUGGCUUCAAUGUUCAAAGCAAACAGAGAAAUUGAGAUAAUGCCUAUCCAAAUGAGUAUAUAUGAGACCCCCACACACUGUUUUAGUAUUGAGGAGGAGUCAGAUGGACGACCAUAGUUCCAUGAUAUCUUGGAGUAUAUCGAGAAUCAAAGAUACCCCGAGCAAGCAAAUGAGAAUGACAAAAGAACAAUCAGGAAAUUGGCGAUUGGAUUUGUUCUUGACGGAGAUAUUCUAUACAAAAGAGGAAAAGAUCAAGUGAUCCUAAGGUGCGUAGACGCUGUUGAAGCCAGAAAGAUACUUGAAGAGGUUCAUGAAGGAAUUUGUGGAACACAUGCCAGUGGUUCACCAUGGCCAGGCAGAUUAUGAGACUUGAUUAUUAUUGGCUGACGAUGGAAAGGGAUUGCAUUGGUUACACACGAAAGUGCCACAAAUGUCAAAUUUAUGGCGACAAAAUUCAUGCAGCUCCAUCACCCCUUCAUGUCAUGACUUCUCCGCGGCCUUUUUCUAUGUGGGGCAUGGAUGUUAUAGGGCCAAUUUCCCCGAAAGCUUCUAAUGGACAUCGAUUCAUCUUUGUGGUUAUAGACUACUUCACAGAAUGGGUAGAAGCCACUUCGUUUGCUAAUGUGACAAAGGCUGCAGUCUGUAGGUUCUUAAAAAAAUAAGAUCAUAUGUCGACAUGGUCUGCCUGAAAGAAUCAUCUCAGAUAAUGCUUUAAAUUUGAACAACAAGAUGAUGAAAGAAGUAUGUGAGCAAUUUCAGAUAAAGCAUCAUAAUUCUUCGCCCCAUCGCCCGAAGAUGAACGGAGCAGUAGAAGCGGCUAAUAAGAACAUUAAGAGGAUUCUCGGGAAGAUGACUGAGACAUAUAAAGACUAGCACGAGAAGCUACCAUUCGCUUCGUACGCAUAUCGCACCUCUGUACGGACGUCUACAGGGGCAACUCCUUUUUCUCUGGUCUAUGGAAUGGAAGCCGUUCUGCCUAUCGAAGUAGAGAUCCCAUCCCUACGCGUCUUGAUGGAGACGAAGUUAGAAGAAUCAGAGUGGGUUCGAGCUCGACAUGAUUAGCUAAACGUUAUUUAAGGGAAACGCUUGAAAGCAAUUUGUCAUGGACAGAUGUACCAGAAGAGAAUGAUCACGGCCCAUGAUAAAAAAGUGCGGCUAAGAGAAUUUCGCGAAGGAGAGCUCGUACUGAGAAAAAUUCUCCCUAUACAGAAGGACUUUCGAGGAAAAUGGUCACCAAAUUGGGAAGGGCCAUACGUUGUAAAAAAGGCAUUCUCAGGAGGGGCUCUGAUUCUCACUGAGAUGGAUGGGAAAGAAUUACCUAAUCCAGUGAACUCAGAUGCUGUGAAGAAAUAUUAUGCUUAAAAAAAACAAAAAAAAUAGAAAAAAAACAAAACAAAAAACAAAAAAAAACAGACAAAACAAAAAACAAAAAAACAAAAAAACAAAAAAAAAGAAAAAAUCAAGAUGAAAACCCGAAAAGGGCGUCUUGAUGAACAAAAAGGAUUAGGAUGAAAACCCAAAAGGGUGUCCUAAUGAAACAAGCUCGAGCUUAAGGAGCAAGGCGACUUGAACAGGGAGUCGAAUGGCGAGGUUACAAUAUUUGAAGCAUUCUCAGAAGCUCAAAAUCUUCUACACAAGAAGCCGUGCUCGAAAAGAUCCAGGAUGAAGAAACGUGGAAAGUUCAUGCAUUGGAUAUCUAGAGCAUUUCUGGCCAUUGAAUUCGCUUUCUUUUCUUUAUGACAAUUUAUUUGUUAAACUUUCCUUGUCAAUUUCCUUCGUUUGUUACUUUUAAGAAAAUGAAUGUGAGGUAUUUCUUUCAUGCCUACUUUGUCUUUUGUAUGCAUCUCGUGUUUGAUUCAUUUAAAUGAUAAAUAGUAAGAUGACAUACUCUAAACAAAAGGAAUGUUGAGCAUUACUUGAAUGAGAACUUGAUAAAUACAAGGACCCUAAAGCAAGAAAAAGUUCAACAGGGGGCAAGAGGGUGAUAUACGAAGAAAUGUGGGUUACUCACCAAACUUGAGGAUGAGUACAAAACUAGAGAGAAAAGUCAAGAAUUGAGGAAAUGAAUGCGGACCCUCACAAAAAUCAAAAGUGGGGCACGUGACAAACAACCCAUGGUGCAUUGUAUGAUCAUGUAGACACAAAAGCAUUUAGGACAAACAUGUGCAUAUCGUAAUAACAUCAUACAUCACAUAUACAGGUAUACCAGUAGAGCAAGGAAUACUAGGAGAAAGCUGCACAGAAUCAAUGAAGAAGAAGGCUUUUAGUUUCACCUGAUGUUUUUUCAAACCCUGUUUCUUUCAAGAAAUAUUUUUUAAAAUUUUGCUUUUUUCAAAAAAUCAACUCAUAAUACAGAGGUGAGUUGAGCCUCGGGUCACGCUGAGGUAUUUUUUUUAAUUUCUGCUUUUUUCAAAAAUCAACUCAUAAUACAGAGGUGAGUUGAGCCUCGGGUCACGCUGAGGUAUUUUUUUAAAUUUCUGUUUUUUUCAAAAAAUCAAGUCAUAAUACAGAGGUGAGUUGAGCCUCGGGUCACGCUGAGGUAUUUUUAAAUUUCUGCUUUUUUUUCAAAAAAUCAACUCAUAAUACAGAGGUGAGUUGAGCCUCGGGUUACGCUGAGGUAUUUUUUUAAAUUUCUGCUUUUUUAAAAAAUCAACUCAUAAUACAGAGGUGAGUUGAGCCUCGGGUCACGCUGAGGUAUUUUUUUAAAUUUCUACUUUUUUCAAAAAAUCAACUCAUAAUACAGAGGUGAGUUGAGCCUCGGGUCACGCUGAGGUAUUUUUUUAAUUUCUGCUUUUUUCAAAAACUCAACUCAUAAUACAGAGGUGAGUUGAGCCUCGGGUCACGCUGAGGUAUUUUUUUUAAUUUCUGCUUUUUUCAAAAAAAUCAACUCAUAAUACAGAGGUGAGUUGAGCCUCGGGUCAUGCCGAGGUAUUUCUUUUAAAUUUUCGUUUUUCAAAAAAUCAACUCAUAAUACAGAGGUGAGUUGAGCCUCGGGUCAUGCCGAGGUAGUUUUUUUAAAUUUCUAUUUUUCAAAAAUCAACUCAUAAUACGAGAGGUGAGUUGAGCCUCGGACCAUGCCGAGGUAUUUCUUUUAAAUUUAUGUUUUUUGAAAAAUCAACUCAUAUUGCGAGAGAUGAGUUGAGCCUCGGGGCACAUGUCGAGGUAUUUUCGAUUUUUGUUUUUCGAAGAUCAACUCAUAAUCCAAGAGGUGAGUUGAGUCUCGGGUCGCACGCCGAGCUGUUCUCGAUUUCUGCUUUUCAAAUAAAGAGGAAAAUUUUGGAUGGUCGAACAAAAUUCAGUGCUUUUUAGUCUUUGCUCUAUCCCUGUUUCACAGCGAUGAGCAAAGAGGGGCAGCUGUAAUCACUGAAUUUUGUCCGGGAAUAAUUUUGUGUUAAAAAAAUAAAAAAAUUUUAAAAAAUUGCAUUUUGACCCCUGUACUUUCUCAAAAUUACAUUUCAACCCCUAAACUUUUAUAAAUUACUUUUGACCCCUAAACUUUCUCAAAAUUACAUUUCGACCCCUAAACUUUCUCUAAAUUAUGUUUCGGCCCCAAAACUUUUGCUGUAUUUACAUUUUGGUCCCUCUGAUAGCAAUCAGCCCAACUUGCGCCUGCAACGGCGGCGGCCGGCCUACCUCUCCCUAGCCCACUUGCUACCUGCAAAAAAAGAAGAGAACAUCAAAAUAAAAUGGGUUUUAAAACCCCCAAAGCAAAAAAAAACGGGGGGAAGUAAGGAAGCAAAAAGAAAAAAAACAACAAAAUUUUUUAGAGAAAAAUCAAGCAAAAACAGCAGCACAUCGUCGGCCCUCGCACCAACGCCACCGUGCCCACCGCCGUAGCACUCCCAUCGCCGGCACCUAGCAAAGCAAACAACAACCAAGAAGCAAAAAAAGAGAGCAAGAAGCAAACAACAAACAAAAAUAAAAGAGAAAUACAAAGGAAGAAAAAGAAAAAACAGAAAAGGAAAAGGGGAGGAGAAGAGGAGAUCUCCACCGCGCGCCGUCGCCGACCGUCGCACCAGGUCGGGGAAGCGCCGUCGGGGGCUGAACGAAGGAGAAGAAAAAAAGAAAAAAAAAGAAGAAGAAAGAAGAAGGAAGAAGAAAGGGGGGAAAGAAAAAGAAAAAAGAAAAAAGAAAAAAGAAAAAUAAAAAAAUAAUUAAAUCAGUCGGGUCGAACCGACCCGACCCGAACUAGCAACCCGACCCGGAACAGCCAGCAGACCCACAACACCCAGCAGGCCCAGCAGAUUAGGCCCAAACAGCAGGCUUUUAAAAAAAACUGCAACAAAAAGUAAGUAGCAGGCCAUUCCAGCAAAGGCCCAGCAGGUCUCCAGGCCCAACAGCAGUUCCAGCAGGCCAGCUCCAGCAGCCCCAGGCCCGUUUCAGCAGCAGGCCAGCAUCCGGCCCAGCACCCAGCGGCCCAACCUGAAAAAAAAAGAAAAAAGAAAAGAAAAAGAAAAAAGAGAAAAGAAAGAGAAAAAAGGGAAAAGGCCCAAAAUUGUGCAGCCCAUAACUUUGGGUUUUGGUAAAUUCUUGAACUUUUAAUUUUGUCUAAAUAUUUAAAUGUUGUCUCGUUUUUAAUAUUAUUGCAUAUUUUUAAAUAUUUUUAUUUUGUAUUUAUGUUUUUUUAAUUUUAUUUUAUUUUAUUCGUUAAAUUCGAACAAUUUUGAUGCAUGAGGCCACGAACCGAUUCAGCAUUAAGUCAUUGAUUUCAUCGCUAUGUUGGGUGAAUAUCGAUGGCUCGUGUCAAAUACGGGACGCCCUUUUUUUUAAAAAAAAAGCGAAGAUAUUCAAAAAUUCUCGUUUUUUUAAAAAAUAAAAAAAGUUUCUCGUGUUUUAAUAGAAUCACGAUUAAAUAUUAAGUUGAAUCGAUUUAACACUAAUUCGAUGAUUUCAUCGUCAUGUAUGGGUGAAUAUCAUUGAUUUGUGUCAAUUGCGGUACCUUUAAAAAAAAACUAAUCGUGUUUCAAAAAUUUUCAUGUUUCCAAAAAAUUCCCGUGUUUUAAAAAUUUCCUUAUUUUCAAAAAUUUUCGUGUUUCAAAAAAAUCCUCAUGCUUUUAAAAAUUUUAGUGUUUCAAAAAUCCUCGUGUUUUCAAAAAUUAUUAUUGUGUUUCAAAGUUCUCGUGUUUAAAAAAAAAAGGGUUUUCUCAAGUUUCAAUCAGAUCACAAUUAAAUCUUAAAUUGAACUUGUAUUUUUGAAAAUUAAGACAACGCGCAUUUAACGAGAUUCCAAUUUUGGGCGUCGCGAGGGUGCUAAUACCUUCCUCGCGCGUAACUGACUCCCGAACCCUAAUUUUCUCUGGAUUUUCACGCAGACCUAAAAUUACCUCUUUUUUAGGAAAAUUUAAAAUAAAUUUUUCUUCUAAAAAAAGAAUUUAUUAGGUGUCCGAUCACACCUAAAAAAGAUCGGUGGCGACUCCUUUUGCAAAUAAAAUCGAAACUCUAUUUUCAAAUUUUCAAUAAUUAAUUCGAUUAGCGCCCGUGCCCAAAAUUUUUAGGUCGCUACAGAGAUAACAGAAAAAGAAAACCUGAUAGAUACUCUAACUCUUAGUAAAAUUCGGCACCAAAAAGCAAAGCAAAAACAAACGAUACACAAAACCAAUAUGAGAAAUAUCCCCUCUGGCUGAAUUUUUCCUGAGUACAAAGUUCAAUUUCUGCAUACCCUUUCCUUUCCCCUCACUUCCCUUCGUUUUCUCCAAAAAUCUCUCCCUUUAUCCCUCCUUGAAUCACUCCACCUAUUUCUCCUCAACUCCCCCGACAACUCCAUUCAAAUUCCAUUCAAACUCCCCUUGGCUGUGUUUCAGUCCAACUCCACUUCCAACACAGCUCAAGCAGCAAAAUAAAUAUUCCAUUGUGCAACCCAAUACUUGAACCUCAAACCUCACAGUUACACAACACGCCACUUUACCACUAGGCCACAAGCUCUUUUUAUUUCAUGAACAAGCACUAUUAUUUAUAAGGCCUAUAUGCCAGUGUCCAGAUUCAUUUAAGAGCAAAACUAAAAAUUCUACAAAAGCCAAAACUUAAACCCCUAACUUCUCAGACACUUGCAAACACUCCUAAAUCACUUAACCACUGAAGCAAACAUUCAUUUAUGUCUCUUCCUUGUACAACUAAAUAUUUAUGUGCAGUCUUUUAACUGUCUCCUUGUUCAAAACCUAUUUCUUCUAGGCCCAAAAUUUGGGGUGUUACACAAAUGGGUCUUUAGGGUUAAACUUCAAUAAUUGAUGAGCUCUUCCACAAAUUGUGGAUGAUAUGGGGAUAAGAACUUCAAUUAUUCUAGAGUUAGAAUGUAAAUUUACCACUAUAUUAUAAGUAAAUAUUGAAAUUUAUCACUAUAUUUUAAUUGAUACUUGUCAUUACACUUUGAAAAUAUAAGUAAAUUUACCAUUUAACUCAUAUGUGAUUGAACUUUGCAAGUAAACUUAAAAUUUUAUUUAAUUUUGUCACUAAAUUUGAUUUAUUUAAUUAAAUUUACAACUCAACAUAAAUUUUGGUGACUUAAAACAAAAUUAAUAAAAAAACUAUUCUUUCAUAUAUUUUUUUUAGUGUUUAAUAAUAAGUUGAUUUAUAAAAUAUACUUUCAUUAGACACAAGCAUCCAAGGCGGUGAACAAACCACUGGUCAAAUUAAUUUGGAGAUAUGUUUUUGUCUAACGAGUUUUGCUUCUUUUUUUUUAAAUAUUUUUAAUAUUUUUGUGGAUAUCAAGAGAUACCAAAAUUAUUUCACUAAGGAAUUAAUUAGUGUUUUAUUUUAAGGGUUCACAAUUAAACAUCGAAUUUUUCAUUUUUAAAUUUUGAAUUUUUUAACAAUCGUGUAAUUAACAAGUACUAAUUUUUUGGUGUUGUAGGGUUAUUACAAUCUUCUCUACAUGUAACAGACUCUCAAACCUACUUUUUUCUCUAGAGCUCAACGCAAACCUCAAUUUUUUUUUUACCGAUCACACUUAAGAAAAUUACAAUUUUUUUUUGAAAUUUAAAUUGAUCUAAAAACAUAUUUUUAAGUGCUUUAGACCAUCCGGUGCUGAUUUCUUUAUUGUAUUAAAUGCUUGCGAUCACUCUUGAUAUAUUAUACUUGAGUUGUGACAGAGCCAAUUGUCAACGUGCCAUAAUGUUCUAUUGAUGCUGAAACUGAAGUUUUUGUUAUGUUAAGAGAGCUUGUCCUUCAACGCGUAUAACGGGUGUUUGUUAUUUUUUCCCUUCAAAUUAUAUGAUCUCAUUCAUUAAAUGAAUUAAUGAAUUUCCCUUUAAAGAUAUAAUUUUAAAAAUUAAAUACUUUAUAAAAUAUUUAAAACUAUUUAAAAAAUUGUAAGCGUUAAAACAAUUAACAAGAUAUAUUUUUCUCUAAAAAAUCAAUAAAAAUAUGUUUGAAAUUUUAUAUGAAAUUUAAAAUUUUCUAACUUAUUUUCAAUCAACUUUAUUUCAAUUUUCAAUCACAAUCAAUUGCAUUCAAGAGCACCAUAUCUUUUUGGAUGAAACAAAGCUCUCAAUAUUAAGAUAAACGGGUCUUUAGGGUUAUUAAUUUAGGGCCUUUUCCACAAUUUCCAUCGUUAUUUGCGGGUGGUUCGGGGAUGAUAACUUCAACAUUUUUGCAUCACAUUUAAUUCAAUUCCACAUUCAAUUUUUAAUUUUUAGAGAGAUGAUUGGUUUACAACAAUGGUUUGAAGUGAAGAUAUUUCAAAAGAAGAUGAAUAAUUUAAAAUUCAGGUUAUGUUUCAUUUCAAUUAAGUUAAAUGUUAAGAUUAAGGUUAAACCUUUUAGAGGUUGUUCACAAAAGGAUCAAACAUUUAUAAAGUGCUUAAAUGAAGGCCAAACUUUUUAAAAUAGAUAAAUAAGGCCCUAACCUUUUAAAGGGUGUUCAAAGAAGGGCUUCUCAAAUGUUGUAUAUCAGGUUAUGGAUUUUACUCUAAACAUAUCGGCAUUUACCUAUUUUUUCUACAAAUUAGAUUGAAAUGCGUGAAAAACCCUUAUUUUAGCACUUCUGUAAAGGUUAAACUCUUAUUUGACCAUUUUGAAAGGUUUGAUCCUUAUGUGAGCAACCUCUAAAAGAUUGAGCACUAAUUUGACAAGUUGAGAAAUAUCAAAUUUGUUUUCAUGAAUCAAGAAAUUAAAAAAAAAAAUGUUGAGAAAUAUUUUAGAGACAAGUUCCCUCCACCAGCUCCCUGCAUCCAGUCCCACCUCUUCUCUUAUGCUCCUUCCAGGUUCUUGCUUUUUGUGUGUUGAAAAUUCGAAGGAACAAAAUAUCAACCUACAUCAUAAGGCACGAAGGCCAGAAAUUACUUGAGAUCUGACAACUUUAUUUCAUUUUCAUUUUCUUUGUUAUUUUCUAUGUUUCUUGUCAAAUACAAUGAAAAAAGAACAUAGAAAAAUGUUGCCCAUUUAUUUCCCAAUCAUCAUGAAAUUACUUGCCAUAGACUUAGAAUUUAUUUCUCACCAAUUUUCAAGCAAUCUGACAUGAUUUCUCAAUCACAAUUAAUUGAAUUCAAGAUCUUUUUGGAUGGCACAAACAUUUGAAUUUUAACACAAACCAAUAUUUAGGUUAUACUUCAGUGCUUGACAAGCACUUUCACAUUUGUGGGAUAAGAACUCUAACAUAUUUGGAUCACAUUUAAUUCAAUAUAACGCCGACCAAGUAGACGGCGGCGGCUGUGAAGGAGGUUAAAUCAAGAAAUUAAAUCCUUUUAGAACUCUAUUAUAAAGAAACCAUAUUCUUUAAGGAUUAUUUUAUCUCUAAUUAAUUAAAUUAAUAAGAUAUGAAUAACAAUAAUAGAGUUUAAAUUCUACAAGAAUUCUCUUAUAUCAAAGUGAUUGACACUAUAAAAACGGGUCACCUCCAAGUCAUUCUACACAUUCACAAGUUUAAGAAGUCCAAAAAUUCUUUACAAAAAUAUUUGAAGAAACUAAAGAAGUGGAAGAAAUUCUAAUGAACAUCACAUCAAUUGAGAAGAGGAUGUGAACAGAAGAGAAGAAUCAAAGAAGUUUUGUUUGUAAAGAAAUUCAAAACUUGUACACUCUUCGAAAUUAUAAAUAAAUUUUGAUGCAAAAUUUUCAAAUUAAUUUUCAACUUGAAAUUUGUGUAUACAAUAUAUAUGGGAAAGAAUCCAUUUACAUUAUAUAAAACUAGUGUAUGUAUAAUACAUAAAUAUUUAGUACGUAAUCAAUUCACUUUAAAUGAAACGAGAUCCACGAGUGUUUGGUGUUAUAUUUUUAAAAUGUAUUUACAUGAUUGUUUAUUAAUUUUAUUUGUUUAUAUUUAAAUCAAAUGUAAUAAAUUGUUGAAUUUAUAUACUUCUUAUUAUAACAAUAUAUGGACUAUCUUCCUACUUCUCUUUUUAAUUUAAUUUUUUGUAACUCUUCACAAUUUAUUUUGAACAACAUUGAAAAAAACUAAAUGAUUAAAUUAAGGCUCAACUUUUCACUAACCUUAGUUUAUUUAGUCUCACUUUUCACAAAUUAUUCUACUCAUUUCAUGUUUCAUACCAACAACUUUUCUUUUUGCUGAAAAGAAAAAAACAACUAUACUUUCUUUAAUCCCAAAAUUAAGGCUUUAUGAAUGAAAAUAAUAUUAUAUUAACUAUGAUAAUUAAGUUUUUAUUUUUAAUAUGAUUAAUAUUAUAUAUAAUAACUUUAAAUAUGCUUCCACUAAUGAGAUAUACUAAAGAAAAGAGUAACUUUCUUUUUAGGAUAACUAAUUUCCAAUUAUGUAUUUUAAUCUAUCACUAAGUAAUUAAUUAAGUUAAUGUCACAAGUGAAUCGUACAUCAUAUACCAACUCAAUUGGAAAAUGUCUUUAAAUUAUUUUUAAAUUGUAACAAAUAUUAUUAUUAAGAUGUUUUUCUUUUUAUAUUUUUUAUAAAUAUAAUAAAAAACAAUUAGAAUAAUUUUAAGAGAAAAAAACUCAUACACUGUAGAAUUUAAUGUAAAGAUAUCAAAGUUUUAAAGCCUCAACUUUAACCUUUCAACCGAAAUUCCAUUAGUCAAUAAAUAUUUUAUAAAUAUAGAUUUUAUAAAUAUAGAAUUUAAUCACAAGUGUACCAUAUUUAGAGAUAUUCAUAGCUAGGCAGUCCACUUUGGGUCAAGAAGUUUGUAGUUAGGCAGCCCACUUUGGGCCAGGAUUCAGCUUACGCUUUUAAUCUUGGGCUUUAAAAAUAAUAAAAAUAUAAAAAUAAUGUUCUAUUAAUAUUUAUAAAUUUUAUAAAUUUAAAUUUAUUUAUAUUUUUUAAACAGUAAAAUCAACCAUUUAUAUGGGCUAAAUUGAGUUAAGUUCGGUUUGCAUCAAGCCUUAACUUUGACCAAAUCCAACUAAAAACACCUCUAACCAUAAUCUAGUAUUGUUUUUAUGAAUUCAAUUUUAACUUGUAAUUUUCAAUUCUAUUACAAAAUUUCUUUGCCUACGAUAAGAAAAUAACAUAUUUGUAACUUCUCCAAUCCGGCGUAAACGUUCAGUCUGAAUUCGGAAGAUUACAUCAGCUAUAAAGAUGGCCUAGUAGGGUUAUCGGAGUUUUUGAAAAUAGACAUCUUUAAAACGUUUGUUUAAUUUAGUAAAAAACUUAUUUAAUUUCUAAAUUAUUUAUUACUUGAAAUCUUAAUUACACUUUAAAAGUAGGAAGUGGUAACUAUUUAUUUUUAAUAAAAAUCGGGGUUCAUGUAUAAUUUAUUAAUAACCAUAAUUCGAAAACAAUAAAACUUAAUUAAAUGUCAUGCAAAAUAAAACAAGCUUAAAUCUAAAUCUCAUGCCACAGUUCAAUAUAAUUUAUUGUAGUCUUCGAAAAUAAAAUAAAUCAUAUAAUCAACCUAAAAUAAGUUUGUAAUUUAACAAUGUGUCGAGACCUUCCAGAUGUCACUCCCGCGUCCUAACCUAGAGGGUUAUCUGUAAGGAUGAAAACCUUCCAGGUGCGGCGCUACUGCGGCGGCCAUGGCUGAAGAUCUAGGCCGGAUUUUGGGGAGGGGUUGAGGUUUGAGAGAAUUUUGUUUGAUUUUUUUAGAGGAAAGGAGAAAAUGAAGGAUUUAAAAAAAAAAUUGGCUUUUAUAGCAUUAAGAAACGGCGCCGUUUUGAUCUUAGGGUUCAGAGGCCAAAAUGACGUCGUUUUGACCUCUGACCCGUCACCCGACCCAGCAGCCCACAGGAUUCGAGUGUUUUUGCGGUGAAUGGUCCCUCAGCUUUUGCGCCGUGAUGCAAUCUGGUCCCUUCGUUUAUUUUAUUUUUGCCCCAUAAAUUUUAUACUUGUUUCAUUUUAGUCCACGCUGAAACGUUGUGCUUUAUGGCUGGGAAUAUUGCCCAGUCAGUCCCUAAUUUCUUAAGCGCGUUCCACUUCAGUCCCUAGCCACCCCCUUUUUAUUUAUUUGCGAUUUAAGCUCCGAAUUUUGGGGUCCGUUUUCAAAUUAGUCCUUAGCCUGUUUAAUUUUAAUUUUUAAAAAAAAAUAGAUUUGUCUAAUAUUUCACUUAAUAGUUAUUUAUUUACUUUUUUUUAAUUGUAAAUCAAGCUUACAUUAGUAUUUAUCUAUCUAUCUAUCUAUCUAUUUAUUUAUUUAUUGGCUUGUUCAUCUUAUUUUGCCAUUAUUAUUACUAUCAUUCCAUUAUCUAUUUAUGUGCUAAUUUUCAAAUAUUUUCAAAUUAGUAUUAUAUUUAUUAUUGUUGUUGUUAUCGUUAUUGUUAUAUUGUUACUUGCAUUAUUAUUAUUCAUGCAUGUUAACAUUAAGAUUUAUUAGUAUCAAUGCUAUAUGUGUAUUUUAUGAUGCAUAGUAUGUCAUGAUUAUUUUAAAUGCAUAUCGUAUUAUCGUUAUUAGUCGUGUACGACUCCUCUUUUUAAAAACGAUUUCUUUUCGAAUAUAAUCAAAGUUUGCACACAUACUAUUUUUAAAUAUUCUAUUAGUGCUCACUUAAAUUCAAAAAAAAAAAAUCAAAGAAAGGCAAUACUUUGCAUUUUGGCAAUUUGAGAAAUCGUACCCUAACUUACGGGGUUUCGGCUUUCUCGUUAAACCUAAAUAGCAAAAUAUUCUUUUAAAACUUCAAAAUACAAAUUUUCAAUAAAAUUUAAAGACGAGUUUAUUCUCUAAGGUUCUAAAUAACGUGUCCUAACUUAUGGGACGUGGUAUUUCGUUACCUUGGGACGAGUGGAUCUUUAACUCUCUUUUCGAUUUAUUCAAGCAAUUUUUAAUGGCAUUAAUAAAAAGGGAUUGUAUUUUAAAUUUCCCUUCGAAUUUUCUACUUUAAAUAUUAAGACAUUAAGUAAUCAACUAGGUACCGAUUUUGAGCGUAUUGAGGGUGCUAAUUCUUCCUCGUGAGUAACCGACUCCCGAACCCAUUUUCUGGAUUUUUGUGGACCGAAAAAUUUUGUUUUAGUAAAUCAAACCGUUUAUUUAAAACAAUUCAAUUACGAGGUGAUCCGAUCACACCUCACAAAAAAAAAAGAUUGGUGGCAAUUCCCAUGUUCGUUUUCAUUUACAAAAUUAAAGUCGACCCUCCUUUUUAAAAAAAAUGGUUUCGACACUACGAAUAUGAACCUUCAAGCUUUUGUGGAUAAUGUUACAGAUGGUUGUUGCAAAAAAUAUUUCUUAUUCUUUUAUGUGGCAUGCCACAUUAUCAUAUUAUCAUGUGACAACUUCUGGUGAUUUCUGUCCGUAACAAUUUUUGUUAAAUGAAGAGGUCAAUUGAUUUUUUUGGAAUCAUUGAGUACUCAAUUGGUGCACUUUUUUCGUAAAGGCUAAAUUAAUUUUUUAAUUUGUUACUGUUGAGGGCUAUAGCAAUAAAAAAUUUUGAGGUAAAAUGAAAAAAAAUGUUAGAGCUAAAUUUGUCAUUAUGCCUAAAAUGUAAAACCAAAAUUUUUUGAAAAUGAAAAAAAAUGGAAAAUCACAAAUUGUGUCACUUAUGUUUGCUUAAAAUUAUAGUUUUGGUCACGAAUCUUUUGAAGUAAAUAUAUGGUCACCAAUACAAUCCAUUUGUUACUUUGUAAUAACUCACCUUAAAGUUAUACCCCUACGCAAGAAAGUAUUCAAUGACAUUGGGAUACCAUCAAACUUGUAUCUUUUUUUAUUCAUCCAAUGUCAUUUCAACAUUUUCAUUUAAAAACAUAUCAUUUUGGAUUUGAUCUUUUCAAUGAUGAAACUAUUGAAAUGAUGUUAAAUUAUUGGAAAGAGAUACAAGUUUAAUCUUAUCUAUCUAAGAAAGCUGAUGUAACACACUAAUGACAUCAUUUCAAACAAAGUUUUGGGUCCAAUUGUUCAUCUAGUCCUUGUAAUUGCUUUUAGGUGAAUUUCACUAUUAUUCUUUUAUUUUCUUUGGCUUAAAUACACAUUUACCCUUAAUUUUAUCACAUUCUCCUUCAUUGGUAUUUAUGGUUUAGAAAAUUUUACAAAUAUAUUAUUUUUUAAGAAAUUAUAAGAAGAUUACAUUGUUUUUAUGCAUUGAAUUUUAACUUGUAAUUUUCAAUUUUAUUACAAAAUUUCUUUGCCUACAAUAAGAAAAUAACAUAUUUGUAACUUCUCCAAUCCGGCGUAAACGUUCAGUCUGAAUUCGAAAGAUUACAUUAGCUAUAAUGAUGGCCUAGUAGGGUUAUUGAAGUUUUUGAAAAUAGACAUCUUUAAAACAUUUGUUUAAUUUAGUAAAAAACUUAUUUAAUUUCUAAAUUAUUUAUUACUUGAAAUCUUAAUUACACUUUAAAAGCAGGAAGUGCUAACUAUUUAUUUUUAAUAAAAAUUGGGGUUCAUGUAUAAUUGAUUAAUAACCAUAAUUCGAAAACAAUAAAACUUAAAUUAAAUGUCAUGCAAAAUAAAACAAGCUUAAAUCUAAAUCUCAUGCCACAGUUCAAUAUAAUUUAUUGUAGUCUUCGAAAAUAAAAUAAAUCAAAUAAUCAACCUAAAAUAAGUUUUGCAAUUUAACAAUAUGUCGAGACCUUCCAAAUGUCACUUCCGCGUCCUAUCCUGGAGGGUUAUCUGUAAGGAUGAAAACCUUCCAGGUGCGGCGCUACGGCAACAACCAUGGCCGAAGGCCUAGGCCAGAUUUUGGGGAGGUGUUGAGGUUUGAGAGAAUUUUGUUUGAUUUUUUUAGAGGAAAGGAGAAAAUGAAGGAUUUAAAAAAAAAUUGCUUUUAUAGCAUUAAGAAACAACGCCGUUUUGAUCUUAGGGUUCAGAGGCCAAAAUGACGUCGUUUUGACCUUUAACCCGUGACCCGACCCAGUAGCCCACGAGAUCCGAGUGUUUUUGUGGUGAAUGAGCUAUUUCCGGGCAGGGUCCCUCAGCUUUUGCGCCGUGAUGCAAUCUGGUCCCUUCGUUUCUUUUAUUUUGGCCCCAUAAAUUUUAUACUUGUUUCAUUUUGGUCCGCGCUGAAACGUUGUGCUUUAGGGAUGGGAAUAUUGCCAGUCAAUCCCUAAUUUCUUAAGCGCUUUCCACUUCAGUCCCUAGCCACCCCCUUUUUAUUUAUUUGCGAUUUAAGCCUUGAAUUUUGGGGUCUAUUUUCAAAUUAGUCCUUAGCCUGUUUAAUUCUAAUUUUUUUAUUUAAAAAAAAUAGAUUUGUCUAAUAUUUCACUUAAUAGUUAUUUAUUUACUUAUUUUCAAUUAUAAAUCAAACUUAGUAUUUAUUUAUUUAUCUAUCUAUCUGUUUAUUUAUUUAUUUAUUGGCUUGUUCAUCUUAUUUGUGCCAUUAUUAUUACUAUCAUUCCAUUAUCUAUUUAUGUGCUAAUUUUCAAAUAUUUUCAAAAUUUAGAUUCAUUAGUAUUAUAUUUAUUGUUGUUGUUAUUAUCGUUAUUGUUGUAUUGUUACUUGCACUAUUAUUAUUCAUGCAUGUUAACAUUAAGAUUUAUUAGUAUCAAUGCUAUAUGUGUAUUUUAUGAUGCAUAGUAUGUCAUGAUUAUUUUAAAUGCAUAUCGUAUUAUCGUUAUUAGUCAUGUACGACUCCUCUUUUUAAAAACGAUUUCUUUUCGAAUAUAAUCAAAGUUGCAUGCGUACUAUUUUUAAAUAUUCUAUUAGUGCUCACUUAAAUUCAAAAAAAAAAUCAAAGAGAGGCGAUACUUUGCAUUUUGGCAAUUUGAGAAACUGUACCCUAACUUACGGGGGUUCGGCUUUCUCGUUAAACCUAAAUAGCAAAAUAUCCUUUUAAAACUGCAAAAUACGAAUUUUCAAUAAAAAUUAAAGACGAGUUUAUUCUCUAAGGUUCUAAAUAUCGUGUCCUAACUUACGUGACGUGGUAUUUCGUUACCUUGGGACGAGUGGAUCUUUAACUCUCUUCUCGAUUUAUUCAUGCAAUUUNNNNNNNNNNNNNNNNNNNNNNNNNNNNNNNNNNNNNNNNNNNNNNNNNNNNNNNNNNNNNNNNNNNNNNNNNNNNNNNNNNNNNNNNNNNNNNNNNNNNNNNNNNNNNNNNNNNNNNNNNNNNNNNNNNNNNNNNNNNNNNNNNNNNNNNNNNNNNNNNNNNNNNNNNNNNNNNNNNNNNNNNNNNNNNNNNNNNNNNNNNNNNNNNNNNNNNNNNNNNNNNNNNNNNNNNNNNNNNNNNNNNNNNNNNNNNNNNNNNNNNNNNNNNNNNNNNNNNNNNNNNNNNNNNNNNNNNNNNNNNNNNNNNNNNNNNNNNNNNNNNNNNNNNNNNNNNNNNNNNNNNNNNNNNNNNNNNNNNNNNNGUUACAGAAGGUUGUUGCAAAAAAUAUUUUUUUAUUCUUUUAUGUGGCAUGCCACAUUAUCAUAUUAUCAUGUGACAACUUCGGGUGAUUUCUAUCCGUAACCGUUUUUGUUAAAUGAAGAGGUCAAUUGAUUUUUUUGGAAUCAUUGAGUACUCAAUUGGUGCACUUUUUUCAUAAAGGCUAAAUUAAUUUGUUACUGUUGAGGGCUAUAGCAAUAAAAAAAUUUGAGGUAAAAUGAAAAAAAUGUUAGAGCUAAAUUUGUCAUUAUGCCUAAAAUGUAAAACCAAAAUUUUUUGAAAAUGAAAAAAAAAUUGGAAAAUCACAAAUUCUAUCACUUAUGUUUGCUUAAAAUUAUAGUUUUAGUCACCAAUCUUUUAAAGUAAAUAUAUGAUCACCAAUAUAAUCCAUUUGUUACUUUGUAAUAACUCACCUUAAAGUUAUACCCCGACGCACGAAAGGAUUAAAUGACAUUGGGAUAUAAUAAAACUUGUAUCUUUUUUUAUUCAUCCAAUGUCAUUUCAACAUUUUCAUUUAAAAAAAUUGACAUAUCAUUUUGGAUUUGAUCUUUUUCAUGAUGAAACUAUUGAAAUGGUGUUAAAUUAUUGGAAAGUGAUACAAGUUUAAUCUUAUCUAUCUAAGAAAGCUGAUGUAACACACUAAUGACAUCAUUUCAAACAAAGUUUUAGGUCCAAUUGUUCAUCUAGUCCUUGUAAUUGCUUUUAGGUGAAUUUCACUAUUAUUCUUUUAUUUUCUUUGGCUUAAAUACACAUUUACCCUUAAUUUUUUCACAUUCUCCUUAAUUGGUAUUUAUGGUUUAGAAAAUUUUACAAAUAUAUAUUUUUUAAGAAAUUAUAAGAAGAUUACAAAAAUUCCAAAAAAAUAUAAAAAAGCUAAGAAAAACCUUGAAAUUCAAAAAAAAAUCAUGUUUUUACAAAUUAGGAAAUACCUAAAUUUGUUUUCAUCAAUUAAGAAAUUAAAAAAAUUGUUGAGAAAUAUCUUUUUAGAAAUAUCAUAAUUGCAUUUAAGACCUCAUGAUUAUCUUUUAUAAUUUCAAGGUUAUCAACUAUUUUGAAAACAAAGACAAAAACAGAAACAAAAACGUCGACAUAUCACUUUAGCAUUGACUUACUUUUCUACUCUUAGUCUUCUCCAACAAGUUAAAUAUUUCAAUUUUAACAAUAUUGACAGGUCUUUGGGGUAGGGUCGAGCAAAACUCAAUAGAAACAGAUGAUAUAGGUUGAGUUGGCUCAGUCAAGCCCAUGUCCCUCGCUACACGCCCCUGGUAAAAUCAAUUUUAAAAUUAAUUAUAAUAGUUUAAGCGAAUUGAUUAUUGAGUAAUGAAAUACUUAAUUCAACCAAUUGAUGUAAUCAAAUUAUAAUAAAUAUAUAUUUACUUUUAUGAUACCCUUCGUCUUCUUUUUAGAGUUUGUGGCAAUAUUUUUUUUAUGCUUCAAAUUUAUAUUUUUUUAUUUAUGAGUACAAUGUGUCUUACAAUUACAUCUGCAAUUUAUAUUUUUUAUUUGAAAACAUAUAUUAUAAUAUAUGAAAAACAUAUAUAUAACCAGAUUUUGUCACACCCAUUUUAUGUUAAAAAUAUUUUCAUUUAAAUUGAGUAUAGGUUGGGUGGUAAUGUACUUAUAUUUUAAUACUAGUAAAUACGUGUUCAAUCUUUAGAUUUAUAAUUUAUAAUUCUUUUAAUUAAAGAUGAUAUACAAGUAUGAAAAGACAAAAGUGACAUAGUAAUAAUAUUAAUUAUUAAUUUUAUAAUUUCAUAAUUGAGUUGAUGGCAUGGUUGAAGGUGACACUAACUCUAAAACACUUAAAUAUAAUAAUAGCUUAAAAAUGAGGGGCUUUUGGUAAAUACAUUACUGAGUUGGUGACCUGAUUGAGGGUCACAUCAACUAAAUAAAACACUUAAAUAUUGACUACAAAUCCUAUCACACACUUAUGUGUCUAAAAACCACAAAUUUAGUAUACAAAGAUGUGUUUAAAAUUAACAUACAAUAAAGAAUGAAAUUUAUGGUUUGAAACUAAUUAGUAAUAACACAUGAAAUAUGUAUGAUAUCAAAAUGAAAAAAAAAAGAGAAUAAAUUGUGCAUAAAACAAAAUUUUAUCCUAUUACAUCAAUAAAGUUAUAUUUAUUACCCUCGCCAAUUAUUUGUCAUUAAGAACAUUAAAGUAUCCUUGAAUGAUAUAACUUAUUCUAAAUAGAGUUGAUGUAUGGUUGGCUUGGGAUACCAACUCAGUCAGGGACUUAAGAUUAUUAAAAUAUUCUUAUUUUAAAGGGAAAUUAAUAUUAUCAUAAGUGUAUUUUCACCUUUUCAUACUUUGAUAUAAUCUUCAAGUAAAACGAUUGAAAAAUAUUAUUUGAGAACACAAGACUAAAAAAAUUCAUAUAGAAAACGCUUACCACUCCACUAAUAAUCAUUUGUCAAUGUAUUUUUUGUAAAAAGACCUCUCCAAUCCCUCUUAAUUUCACAAUUGCGCAAAUUAGUCCCUCUCAAAAAAAUUGGAGUAAUUUAAUUCCUAUCAAUUUUGAAAGUGAGUAACUAAGGAUAAUUAAUUAUGGUGUUAAAUUCUUCCAUCAAUUGUACAUAAUUUUGAUUGGUAUAGUAAUAAAUUUAGCCUACAAUGUUUAUAUAUUUUGUCAUUUUGGCCUUAAUUUUUAAAAAAAUUUCAAGAAAUUCAGCCUCAACAUUACAUAUUUACACAAACAUUGCGGGAUAAUUUUGUUAAAGUAAAACCAGCUAAUAAAUUUAUUAUUAUACCAAACAAAAUCAUAUACAUUUUAUGGAAAAUUAACAUCCUGAUUAAUUAUUCUUAGUUACUCACUUUCAAAAUUAAUAGGGACUAAAUUGCUCUGUUUUUUUUUUUGGGGUGACCAAUUUCCUCAAUUUAGAAAUUGAGAGAGACUAUUGAGAUCUUUUACAUAUUUUUUUUAUAAAUAUACCUUUUUAAUAUAAAAUAUAUUUGUUCACACACAUCGUGAGUAUGAUAAAAUAUGUUUAUUGUUGAUUGAGUUGGUGUCAAAAAUUAACUUGACACAAACUCAAGAUUAAUAAUAACAAUAUGAUAAAUAAUUAUUUAUUUAAUAUUCUUAAUUUAAGAUAUUGAUGUAAAUUUUAAGACAUGCAUGUCUUGUAGAAUUGUAAUUAUACUUUUUGAGUAUUGACUCAGUUUUCCCGAAUUGUGGGUCUCUAUUUCAGCAAAACAAUUUAAACAUUUCUUCAUCUCGCUUAAUCCAAAUGCAUUUAGGAUUUUCUUAUGUCACUGCUUCAAAAACGGUAAAAAAAAAAUGUCGACAUUGAAUUUGCUGUUUCACAUUCAAUUNNNNNNNNNNNNNNNNNNNNNNNNNNNNNNNNNNNNNNNNNNNNNNNNNNNNNNNNNNNNNNNNNNNNNNNNNNNNNNNNNNNNNNNNNNNNNNNNNNNNCCAUCAACUUGACUUCAAUUUUCAGUCACAAUCAAUUGCAUUCAAGAGCACCACAUCUUUUUGGAUGAAACGAAGCUCUCAAUUUUAAGAUAAACGGGUCUUUAGGGUUAUUAAUUGAGGGCCUUUUCCACAAUUGCCAUCGUUAUUUGCGGGUGAUUGGGUUACGACAAUGGUUUGAAGUGAAGCUGUUUCAAAUGAAUAUGAAUACUCUACCAGUAAGUCAUAAUUUAAAAUUCAGGUUAUGUUUCAUUUCAACUAAGUUAAAUGUUAAGAUUGAAGUUAAACCUUUUAGAGGUUGCUCACAAAAGGAUCAAACCUUUAUAAAAGUGCUUAAAUGAAUGCCAAACUUUUUAAAAUAGACAAAUAAGGCCCUAACCUUUUAAAAGGUGUUCAAAUAAGGGCUUCUCAAAUGUUGUAUAUCAAGUUAUGUAUUUUACUCUAAACAUAUCAGCAUUUACUUAUUUUUUCUACAAAUUGGGUUGAAGUGCAUGGAAAAUCUUUAAUAUCAAGUUAUGUAUUUUACUCUAAACAUAUCAGCAUUUACUUAUUUUUUCUACAAAUUGGGUUGAAGUGCAUGGAAAAUCUUUAAUAUCAAGUUAUGUAUUUUACUCUAAACAUAUCAGCAUUUACUUAUUUUUUCUACAAAUUGGGUUGAAGUGCAUGGAAAAUCUUUAAUAUCAAGUUAUGUAUUUUACUCUAAACAUAUCAGCAUUUACUUAUUUUUUCUACAAAUUGGGUUGAAGUGCAUGGAAAAUCUUUAUUUAAGCACUUUUGUAAAGGUUAAACUCUUAUUUGACAAUUCUGAAAGGUUUGAUCCUUAUGUGAGGAACCUUUAAAAGAUUGAGCACUAAUUUAACAAGUUGAGAAAUACCUAAAUUUGNNNNNNNNNNNNNNNNNNNNNNNNNNNNNNNNNNNNNNNNNNNNNNNNNNNNNNNNNNNNNNNNNNNNNNNNNNNNNNNNNNNNNNNNNNNNNNNNNNNNCCUGCCUCCAGUCCCACCUCUUCUCUUAUGCUCCUUCUAGGUUCUUGCUUUUCGUGUGUUGAAAAUUCAAAGGAACAAAAUAUCAACCUACAUCAUAAGGCACGAAGGCCAGAACUUUACUUUCUAGCCCGUCCGAUCCAAUGAAAGAAGAACAAAGAGUCUUGAGAUCUGACAACUUUAUUUCAUUUUCAUUUUCUUUGUUAUUUUCUAUGUUUCAUGUCAAAUACAAUGGAAGAAGAACAUAGAAAAAUGUUGCCUAUUUAUUUCCCAAUCAUCAUGAAAUUACUUGCCAUAGACUUAGAAUUUUCUCACCAAUUUUCAAGCAAUCUGACAUGAUUUCUCAAUCACAAUUAAUUGAAUUCAAGAUCUUUUUGGAUGACACAAACAUUUCAAUUUUAACACAAACCAAUAUUUAGGUUAUACUUCAGUACUUGACAAGCACUUUCACAUUUGUGGGAUAAUAACUCUAGCAUUUUAGGAUCACAUUUAAUUCAAUUGCAUUUAAGACCUCAUGAUUUUAUUCUAUAAUUUGAGUCUUAUCAACCUUUUGGGAAAUAAUAAAACAUCGACAUUAAACAUUGUUGUUGAUGCAUUCAAUUUGAUUUUUUGAGGGGUCGUUGGAGUUGUAUGUGAAUUUAGCAUUGAUUGACUUUUUUAGAAUUAAUCUUUUAUACCAAUUUAAUAACAUCGACAUGUUUUUGGGUAGGGUCGAGCAAAACCCAAUUAAAACCGAUGAUAUUGGUUUAGUUGACUCGGUCAAGUCCAUUAGAUGGAGAAAAUCAAUUUUAAAAUCAGUUAUAAUGGAUUAAGGUAAUUAAUUAUUGAGUUAUGAAAUACAUAAUCAAAUCAAUUGAUUUUGUUAGAAACUAAAAGAAAAUGGGAUAAGCUGAAAACUGAUUGCCCUUUAUUAAAAUUAAGGAAUUCGCCUUUUACAUGUUAGAUAAUAUGAACAUCCCAUAUAUAAUAAGAAAAAUUACGUACGAUUAUUUGUUAUCAUAAAUGGUUAGUUUAAAUUUCAAGUAAUCUAAAAUGUGUAUUGAACUUCAACUAUUACAUAAAGUAUAAGCUAAAUAUGUAUAAAUAUUCUAGAAACCAUUUCUAACAGAUGAUAGGCUAAUUCAGAAUUAAGAUUAAUAUAUAAAAACUCGAUAGUAAGGUUAUAGUCCUCAAACUACAACUAAUUUAAUAACAUUUAUAGUUUUUGUUAAUUUGGUCCUUACUCUUUAAAAUUACAUAAAAAUUGCAAAAAUAUUUUAAAAAUAAAUUUUUUUCGUAUUUUUAAUAACAUUUAUAGUUUUUUUUUUUGUGGUUUGGUAACUUAUCAACUCGACUCUUAAUUGUAACCAACUUUUCUGACUUUUUUCGUACCCUUAACCUAAGUCUCGUUACAACUUUCUAAAGACCACUUGAUUGGUGUAUCAUCUUGAUUUGUUUUUAUAGUGGUGGAGAUUUGGUUUUCAAGCAAGCCUAUGAUAAUCACAUUUUUCGUUCAACCGUUGAGCACACAGUACUUGAACCUUAAACACUUUGAGUGCUUUGAGUGAAUCUUAGUUAGGGUAUUGAUUAUUGUUGAGUUUGAAUUUCAGGUAAUUAUUGAGAUAGAGGAGACGCCUAUGUUUUUUGUGCGUUUCAAAUUUCUACUUAGAUUGCUUUUAUUCUUUCGUGUCAUGCUAGUUUCAAUUUCCAAUGCAUGAUAAUCUUUAGAGUAUUCAUAAGGCAUGUCGGUGAAAACACUAAAUUGAGGGAGAUUAACUUGAAUAAGGGUUGAGAAUUUUGCUUAGGGACAAACAAAUGCUUAAGUGUGGGGAUAUUUGAUAAGUGCUAAAAUUGAUAUGUUUUAACAUCAUUCUUAAUGUGUUUUUGGUUGAUUAUUCGAUGUUAAUUAUGCUCUUAAUCCUUACAAUUCGUGUUUUUAUGCUUAAUAGAACAUUUGGGAGGAAAAUGAGCGAAAAAUGAACGAAAGCCUAAAAAUGUGGGCAAACUAUAGGACACGGGUUGGCCUAUUCCACAUGACCGUGUGACCCACACGGUGAUGUGGCAGGUUGUGUCAAUUUCGUAGAUUUGCACUCUGAACUGCAAAAAAAAUGCAAAUUUUAGAUUUUUCGAGAAUUUUAAUACGUAUAUAUAUGAAAAAAAAAGAAGAUAAGAGAGAACCUUCCUAGAAUAUUUAAGAAAACAACUCCAAAAACACUAUUGAAGUCGUCUCUGAAGCAGAUUUUCAUCAAGUUUGAAGAUUCCCAGUUGAUUUCUUAAGAGAUUAUCAUGAGUUUCUUUAUUUCUUUCGGUUAUACUACCCUUUGGAUGUUUUUAUUUUUAAGCAUGAACUAAUUUUCUAAAUACCUAAGAGAGAUGAACCCUAUGAUAGAUUGUGACACCCCAAACCAAACCGGGAUAGACCAGCCCGAAUUCGAAGCAUUACAUUAGCCACCUAAGUGACUCUCCAGCUAACGACCACCCAAGACACACCUCGACCUUAUAACACCUCAAUCUUAUCUAAUUACUAGUUAUUUAUUAAUGAAAAAGUAAAUUAUGAGCCAAUUUUAAACUUUUCCUAGGUAAUUUAACCUAAGGGUAUUUUUGUUAUUUUACCACCUAAUGUAAAACAAACCCGAUUUUAGAUCUAAGUGUUUACCAACCUUCUUUUAGUCAAAUUAUACAAGCCUAAAAUUUUCAACUUAAUUUGAGUCUGUUUACUAUGUCUAAUUCNNNNNNNNNNNNNNNNNNNNNNNNNNNNNNNNNNNNNNNNNNNNNNNNNNNNNNNNNNNNNNNNNNNNNNNNNNNNNNNNNNNNNNNNNNNNNNNNNNNNAAAUACCAAUUUAAAGAGACAAAAAUUCAAAACCCCAAAACCCACACAGGCAUGUGGGUAAGUGACAAGGGCGUGUGGAGACUAGAGCUAUCACACACUGGCGUGUGGGAUUGAAAAAUAUGAAAUAAAUUACUCCACUCAAUUUUCCAACAACCAUACUAUACUACCAAACCAAAAAAAAGGCUUGAAGUUUUGAAUAGGGGUGAAUCUAAAAAAGAAAAUUAGAAGAAUUAGAAUUAAAUUAUAAAAUUUUGAGAAGUUAAAAUAUAAUUUUAUCAUAUAUUAAUUUAUUAUUUUUUAAAGGGUCCUAAUAUAAUUUUUUCCCAUUUUGGUUGGGCCAAUACCCCUGCCUGCGUCUUUAAAUUUGCUCCAACCCUAAACCCAAUAUUCGAUUUGGAUUAACAACAAUAUAUAGGUUAGUAUUUGUGGGAGUUUGACGAAUAAAAAUUUCUUUUUUAGAGGUUUAAAUUAUAAAUUUUUGAAAGAUUAAAAUAAAUUUGUAUUUUUUUAUUUACAAAAUAUAAAAAGAAAAAACAUGUUUAGACAAGCCAAGAGACCUUUGGGAUCAUACGGGUGAUUUUGAGAUGUUAAUGGUUAUUUUGGUGGAGAGGGUAAAAAAGAAACAAAUGAUUCAUUAUAUAUAAUAUAAUUAUGAAAUUCAAGCCAUAUAUUGUAUGUUUCAUCCAUAAAAAUUUCAUGGAAGGUCCAAAGGUAAUUAAAUGACUUGUAGGCUUGCUGAAUUUCUUUGAAAGGCCCAAAGGCAAUUUAACAUUCACAAAAUAAUCUCUAAACACUGUAAAGACAAAUCAAAUCCACAGUAGCAUAAGAGUUGAUUAAGCUAAGCAUUGGCAAAUAUUACUUUGAUUUUGCAUGCAAUAUUGACAAAACCCCCUCCUACAUUAGAAAAACAACAUAAUCCAUGGAACAUUGAUAGACCAAUACAAAUUUAUUCGAGAAAAAAGUCUCUUUGUUUUGUAGAACAUGAUAGUAAAGAUGUGGAGUUUCGUUCUUCUUAUUGGCCUCCUUUAGUUUUCCUUGAUCAACAACCACUAGCCAAAAACACAAUUAGAUUAGAUUAUGAAUGAUACUUUCAACUAUGACAAUAUUAAAUACAAACCACUCUAAAUAACUUUAAAUAAAUGGAAAGCAGCAAAUUACCUGACCAGGCAAGCUAGUUUAAUUAAGACCAUUGUGUUAUACUUGUCUCUGAAUUGAAAAAUUUAGAAGGAAAUAAAGAGAAAGACUUAGAAAAUACUUGAAAACAGAUAAAACUUAUAUGUCAUUUAAAAUAAAAAAAAAUUCUAUUUAAGCCAUUUAAAAUUUUUAAGAUUUUUAAAAUUUUAAAAUGAGAAAAGUAAAAUUGUACUUUGGCACCCAAAAAUGAUAAAACUUUGAUUUAAUUCUUUAGAAAUUAUAAAAAAUAUAGGCUAUUAAAAUGGUGAAAUUACAUUUUUACUAUAGUAAAAAUUACAAUUUAAUUUCACCCCCUAAAAGGAUUUUCUGGCUUUGCNNNNNNNNNNNNNNNNNNNNNNNNNNNNNNNNNNNNNNNNNNNNNNNNNNNNNNNNNNNNNNNNNNNNNNNNNNNNNNNNNNNNNNNNNNNNNNNNNNNNAAGAUUAAAAUAAAAUUAUACCGUAAAUGGAAAAAGAAACUAAGAAAAUCCAAUCUAACAAGGAAAAUAACUUGAUGUCCAAAAGCUACCAUAAAUCGUAAUUCAUGGGAAGGCUUGUUGCUUAUUUUAUUGGUUUCCAUUUUGAUUUUGCAAAAGAAGUUUGAAUUUUGAAGAGAGCCUACUACGUGAGAGCAAAAGAAAAAAAAUAGUUUAUAUGAUUAAAUUCCAGAAUAGAUGAAAAAUGUUGAAUAAAAGAUAAAAUUAAGUGUGAAUUAAUAACCACAAUCUUUACUCACCAUCUCUGUUAACAAUGUUGGAUGUUGUUUACCAACCUUUGUUUGAUUUUCUUCAGCUCAACCACAACAUCUGCAAUUUCUAUCGCUCCUUUAGGCAAUGAACUUUCCAUCCAAUGCCUUAUAGUCUCUUCUUCAACAAAAACAUUAUCAGUUGGCUUUUUCUUUGUGAAAGUUUCUAUAAGGACGAUNNNNNNNNNNNNNNNNNNNNNNNNNNNNNNNNNNNNNNNNNNNNNNNNNNNNNNNNNNNNNNNNNNNNNNNNNNNNNNNNNNNNNNNNNNNNNNNNNNNNNNNNNNNNNNNNNNNNNNNNNNNNNNNNNNNNNNNNNNNNNNNNNNNNNNNNNNNNNNNNNNNNNNNNNNNNNNNNNNNNNNNNNNNNNNNNNNNNNNNNNNNNNNNNNNNNNNNNNNNNNNNNNNNNNNNNNNNNNNNNNNNNNNNNNNNNNNNNNNNNNNNNNNNNNNNNNNNNNNNNNNNNNNNNNNNNNNNNNNNNNNNNNNNNNNNNNNNNNNNNNNNNNNNNNNNNNNNNNNNNNNNNNNNNNNNNNNNNNNNNNNNNNNNNNNNNNNNNNNNNNNNNNNNNNNNNNNNNNNUUAUGUCGACCCUUUGUAUGAUAUCAAGGAAACAAUUUUCAGAAUGUAACCAUUUCUCAAGGUUUCCAUUAGACAUGUAAUCAAGCACCAAGGCUUUGAAGUCAACACUUGAGCUGCAAGUAAUGACCUUCACAAUAUUACGAUGAACUAUAUUACGCAUAGCAUCACAUUCAAUGUCAAAACUCCUAAAUGCUCCCUCUAUUUGCAAAUUGAAAACUUUUAUUGCAACUUCCAUUCCAUCUGAAAGCCUCCCUUUAUAUACAUAUCCAAAACUCCCUGAACCAAGCAUAUUGCUUUCCUCAAAUCCAUUAGUUGCUCGUGAAAGUUCAGCAUGUGAAAUUCUUCUCGGUGUCUUCAAAGACAACAAAUCAUCUUUAAUUGGUAGAGCUGUACGCCUUCUUUGGCAUCUUCUAUACAUAAUAGUUAAGACUAUUAGUACUACGACAAUGCCAAUUGUCGGUAAACCAAUAUAAUCAUUUGGGAGUUUUUGUGGAGGUCGUUUUUUACAAGGUGGGACUAGCAAUCUAGGUGGACCACAAAGUGCAUAAUUCUUCAUGAAUGAUGUGCUAGAAAAGUUUGAAAAACAUCCUUUGCUAGGAAUUUCCCCUUCAAGUCUAUUGAAAGACACNNNNNNNNNNNNNNNNNNNNNNNNNNNNNNNNNNNNNNNNNNNNNNNNNNNNNNNNNNNNNNNNNNNNNNNNNNNNNNNNNNNNNNNNNNNNNNNNNNNNNNNNNNNNNNNNNNNNNNNNNNNNNNNNNNNNNNNNNNNNNNNNNNNNNNNNNNNNNNNNNNNNNNNNNNNNNNNNNNNNNNNNNNNNNNNNNNNNNNNNNNNNNNNNNNNNNNNNNNNNNNNNNNNNNNNNNNNNNNNNNNNNNNNNNNNNNNNNNNNNNNNNNNNNNNNNNNNNNNNNNNNNNNNNNNNNNNNNNNNNNNNNNNNNNNNNNNNNNNNNNNNNNNNNNNNNNNNNNNNNNNNNNNNNNNNNNNNNNNNNNNNNNNNNNNNNNNNNNNNNNNNNNNNNNCCAAACAAGAGGGUAUGGAUCCAUGCAGCUUAUUCAACCCUAAAUACAUCUCGUAUAGUCUCUCCAAAUCACAUAGGCUUUCUAAGAUGGGCCCUUCUAAUUUAUUAGAGGAAAGAUCUAGAGCCUGGAGAUUUCGCAGUCCUCCUAUUGAUGCUGGAAUGAAUCCACUUAAUUUAUUAUGGCAAAGUUGUAAAAGCAAUAGGUUGGUUAAGUUACCUAUUUCCAUAGGAAUAAAGCCUGUAAGCUCACACUUUUUGGCAUGAAAGUAUUGAAGGGAUUUUGAAAGGUUCCCGAUAUAAGUAGGAAGAACGCCACUCAAUGGAUUUCCUGAAACUUAUAUGGUUUUCAAAUUCUUACAAUUCGUCAAAGAAGAAAGAAAGCUCCACUCAUGAUCAGCAGCAGAUCCUGUGAUCAAAUUAUUGUCAGGGAUAUGGAGCACUUCAAGGUGUUUUAAGCUGCCAAGCAUUUUAGGGAUUGGGCCAGAGAAUAAGUUUUGUGACAAGGAUAGAAUCUUAAGCAUGGAAGCAUUGGAGAUAGAGUUGAGAAUGUUUCCGCUGAGUUUAUUUCCCCACAAUAAAAGAAUCUCAAGCUUUGGAGCUUUGGAGAUGGGUGGUAAAUUACCUGUAAAAUAGCAUCUUUUAGUAUACAUAUUCAUUGAAUACCAAAUUCACAAAAUAUAUAAUACAUUAAAAUAAAAACUGUAAAACUUUAAAUCAAUUAAGAAUAAAAUUUUGGCAUAGAAUUAAAAAUACUUGAUGGAAUCUGACCUGCACACAUAGUCGAAAAUUGAAGUGAAAAUCAUACCUUCUAAACUGUUGAAGUAAAAAUACUUUAAGCAUUUUUUUUCCAUGAAAUUAACUAUUUUGCCUUGAAUGAAAUAAAAUGCUCUUACUUUUGUUAUCUAUUACAAACCAAACUCUUUUAUGAAAAAAAAUAUUUUAAAUUAAAGAAAUAAAGAAAAUUCAAUAUCUUCUAAAUCAAUUUUUAGAUUUUGUACAGAUGAUUUAAUGAUGAUAAAAAAAUUAUUAGCACUAUUUCUGAAUUAACAAAAAAUAGUGAUAUAUUUUAAUUAUAUUUAUUAUUUAUUAGUUUUAAUAAUGUUUUUUUUAAUUAUAUGAAGUAAAAUUAUAUUGUCUACUAAAUAUGAUACAUAUACUUUAAUUAUAACUUCAAAAUUUAUUAUAUAAAUUAAUAUAUUUUAAUUAUAUUCAACCAUUUUAAUAACAAAAUAAAAAAAACUAAUUAGAAUAAUUUAUUUUUUAAAGUUUAAUGGAAAUUAAAAAAUUAAAAAUAAAUCAAUUCAUAUAAAUCUUAUUGUUUAUUAUCAGAUUAAAAUGGUAAAAGUAUAUGACAUAAAUAGAAGAAACAAAUUCAACACAACGUUUUUGGAGUAUGGAAAUUAUUAAAGUGAAAAACAUACCUUCUAAACUGUUGUUAAAUAGUACUAUUUCUUCGAGCGUAGUUAAAUUAAAAAUACUUGAUGGAAUCUGACCUGCACACAUAGUCGAAAAUUGAAGUGAAAAACAUACCUUUUAAACUGUUCAACUAAAAAUACUUUAAGCAUUUUUUUUACAUCAAAUUAACUAUUUUGCCUUGAUUGAAAUAAAAUGCUGUUACUUUUGUUAUCUAUUAGAAAUCAAACUCUUUUGUGAAAAAAAUAUUACCAGAUAAUUCAUUCCAACCCAGGUAAAGCCUUUCAAGCUUGGGAAGAUAUUGACACAUAUCAUUAGGCAAAUUACCAGAGAGGCUAUUGUUGGAGAGAUCAAUGGUCUUCAGAGAAGAAAUGUUGAAGAUCGAAGUUGGAAUCUGACCUGUAAGGCCUUUAAUUGCUUUAAUACUAAGCAGCUCCAAACCAAGAAGGUUACCGAAUUCCUUCGGAAUUUGACCUACACACAUAGUCGAAAAAUCAAAGUGUCAAACUACCUAUUUUGUUAGCAUAAGUCAAAGAGGUUUUCUUUUCUGUUCUACAGUAAUUUGGAGAUGUUAGAUUUUAAUAUAUUUCAGCAUAUGUUUUUCAUCAAAUGAAAUAAAAAGUUUUUCCUUUUGUUAUCUAUUACAAAUCAAGCUCUUUUAUAAAAAAAAUACUUUAAAUUCAAGAAAUCAAGGAAAUUGAUUACCUUCUAAAUUAUUAAACCCCAAACGUAAUUCCUGGAGUCGUGUUAGAUUUCCAAUACUUCUUGGAAUGAUCCCCAUAAAUUGAUUAUGGGACAACCACAAAUUUUUAAGGUUGUUGCAUUUGCCCAUAUUUGACGGAAUGUUACCAGAUAAUUCAUUCCGACCCAGGUAAAGCCCUUCAAGCUUGGGAAGACGUUGACACAUAUCAUUAGGCAAACUACCUGAUAGGCUAUUCCUAGAGAGAGCAAUAGUCUUGAGAGAAGAAAUGUUGAAGAUCGAAGUCGGAAUCUGACCUGUAAGGCCUUUAAUUGCUUGAAUACUAAGCAUUUCCAAACUAAAAAGAUUACCGAUUUCUUCAGGAAUUUGACCUGCAGACAUAGUCGAAACAUCAAGGUGUUAAAUUACCUAUUUUGUUAGUGUAAAUCAAAUAGGCUUUUUAUUUUUUUCGUUAUGAAAUAAUAAGGAUAUGUUAGAUUCUAAUCAUAUUUAAGUAUAUAUUAGUUCUUGAAAGAAAGAGUUCUUAGUAUUUAUAUUGCAAAUAUUUUUUUUAAAAUUUUAAAUGGGGGGGGGGGCAAAUGUGUUUAAACUAAAGACAUCAAGAAAAAGGCAUACCUUCUAGGUUAUUUAACCCCAAGUCUAAUUGUUUAAGUUGUGUCAAAUUCCCAAUGCUUUUGGGAAUGAUCCCACUAAAUUGAUUAAUAGACAAUUCCAAAAUUUGAAGGUUGCAGCAUUUGUCUAUACUUGAUGGAAUAGAACUUGAUAAUUCAUUUCUACUCAAGUAAAGCUCUUUAAGGUUGGGAAGAUGGACACACAGAUCAUCGGGCAAGCCACCAGAAAGACUAUUAUCACGAAAAUGAAUCCUUUUCAAAGAAGAAAUGUUAAAGAUGGAAGAUGGAACCUGGCCAGAUAAUUGAUUGAAUCCCAAGGUCAAGAUCUCUAGAUUGGACAUAUUGACAAGUGUUUGAGGGAUUGUGCCUGUGAAGUUAUUAUUACUCAUUUCCAACCUUUGAACUCUGUGCAAGUUCUCAAGCCAUGAUGGAAUUUCCCCAUUAAGACGGUUGUAGCUUAAUCGAAUGAUCCUCAAACGAUGCAAUUGGCCCAGUUCUUUAGGCAGAUGGCCACAGAAAUUGUUGUUGCUCAAAUCGAGAGAAAAUAGAAAUGAAAGAUUUCCAAGGUGUGGAGGGAUAGUACCCCUAAGAUUCAUGUUUGUAAGAUUCAAAGCUACAACUCUUUCAUGGAUGAUGCCACAAGAAACACCAACCCACUUACAAACAGAGGUAGAGUUCGUCCAAUUGUUUGCCAACACAUUUUGAGGAUCGACAAUGCAAUCUUUAAACUCAAAGAGUGCAAACUGAUCGGAGUUGAGAUUCCGGACUGUCAUAGCCAAAGAAACAAUAGAACAUUGUAUGAAUAAAAGUGAAAGAAGAUGAAAGCAAGUGUUGUAGUUCAUGAUUGCAAGACGAAAUAAGCCAGGAAAAGAAAAAGUAGGAAAAGGGAAGUUGAAUUGAUGAAGAAAUAGCCAGCCAACAUGCUUAAAUAGGCUUCAACCCUUGCACACUUCUCAUACAUAAAGUUCACUGCCAUUACAACAAGAAAACUCAUAUCUCCAUUCAUACCUAUCCAUACUUUAUUUGACUAACUUUUCCCUAACAAGUGUUCAGUAAGGAGACAAAUCACUUCGGAGCUAUUCACCGACUUCUCCAACCUUGGUUUCAAACUCCUAUCCCAUCAAUUCACUGUAAUCGAAACGAUAUACACGAGUCUUUCGGCUUAUAUUUUUAAAAUGUAUUUAAAUGAUUUUUUAUUAAUUUUAUUUGUUUAUAUCUAAAUCAAAUAUUAAAAUUUUUAUUUGAUACGGAUUUAAAUCGUAUUAUUUUAUCCUUGUAUCGAAAAAAAUUAAAUAUAGUAAAUUCUUGAAUUUUGUAAUAUAAGGGCUAUGUAUGCUUUUUAUCAUAACAACGUCUGGACAAUCUAGACAUUUUAACUUGCUACUUCUCUUUUUAAUUUAAUUUUUGUUACUUUUCAUACUAUUUUUUGAGAAAUCCAAAAAUUUCAGUCUGAAUUUUUUUUUAUUGCCACGUCUAUCUCCCGGGUAAGUCCGUGGUUAGGCAGCACACUUUGGGGGCAGGAUUGUAAUUUUAAUUCUAUCCGACUCAUUUUACUAUUUAGAAAUAUAAAAGUAAUGUUAUAUUAAAUUUUAUAAUUUUAAUUUUAAUUUUAAUUUUAAUUUUUAAACAAUAAAACGAGUCAUUUGUAUUUCCCUAGCUAAAUUGAAUCAAGAGUGAAAUUUUUUUUAAUCAUAAUUUACUAUUAUUUUAAUUAAUAAAAUUUUAACCUACUGCAACUAGUAGUUGCAGAAAAAAUGUCAUUCCUUUAGAAAAAUGAGAACUUAUGACAAAAUUGGAAAAUCCCAAUAAUAUUAUUAGAGUAAAACCUAUGAUCUAUCUAAACAAGAUAUAGAAGAAUUUGAUAUACAAAUUAAGGUUAGAAUUCAUGCGAAAAAAAAGAAGAAGAAGCUAGUAUGGUCAUUAAUUAUAAAGAUUAAAUCAAAAUAUUAUUUUUUAUAGUUACUUGAAUUAAUCAGGCUAAACAAACAAAAUAUUUUAGUAAAUUUGACUAUAAAUCAAGAUUCAACAAAUCAUGCUAACAGAAAAGUUCAAACUUUUAACGGCUUUUAGUGCACCCAAUGGAUAUUACCAAUGAAAAGUGAUGUCAUUUCAAUUAUGUGAUGCACCACAAAUCUUCCAAAGACAAAUAGAUUUUAUCUUUAAUAAAUAUAAAAAAAUACUAUGUAGUUUACAUAGAUGAUAUUUUGAUAUUUUCAGAUACACUAGAAUUACAUAAGAAACAUUUAAAUAUUAUUUCUUAAGAAUUCAUAAAAUAUAGAAUCAUAUUAAACCCUAAAAAUAUAGAGUUAGAAAAAACAGAGAGAAUUUUUACAAUAGUGGAAAUAAAAAAUUGUCCUCAAAAGAUUGAGGAAAAAAAGAACUUCCGACAAUUUGUAAUAUAUUCCUCCCAAAUUUUCAGUUUCAAUUUUAUUACAGAAAUUUCUUUGCCGACAAUAAGAAAAGAGCAUAUUCACAUUUUCGUCGCAAUUUCAACUAACACCCAAUCUCUUUCCCACUUUCCUUUUUCGGCCAAUUUCAAACGUAGCUGUUUUUCGAUUUUUCCUCUUGAUUUCAUUAAUAAAAUGAUCAAUCUAUUUGUUUUUUAAAUAUAUGAUUUUAUUAAUAUUUUUUAAUUAUAAUAUAAGAGUUGUUGUUUAUUUAUAGUUUUAUUACAUUAUUUACUCUCUUUUUUCUAUCAAGUUUUUUAAAUUACAAUAUAAGACUUAUUUUAUCAAAUUGUAGCUUAUCGAGUAUUCAUCUAUCUUAAUAAUAACUUGAGUUCCAAUCAUUAUCAUACCAGAAAGAGUUCCAUUUAUUCUUUCUCGUAAAUUUUAUAAAAAAUAUAUAUUUUAUUAUAAUACUAUAUGUGUUAGGAAUAAUAUUUUAUUUUGGAUGCCCAUAAUUUUCAAAGUUGUAACCUCUAAUGUAGUAACCUCAAUGAAAUUAUGAGGCUUUUAUAUUGUCAUAAUGUAAUCAAGCCUGUAUUUAUUCUUUGUAACUUAAACAGAGGCAUAUUUUCUAUUAUAUUGAUAUUUUCUAUAGAGAUAUAUACACAAGGAAUCAAAUAAAAAGUUAUUCACCUUUCUAUUAUAUUGAUAUUUUCUAUUUGAUUUGUUCUUUUCUUUCACUAUUCCAUAAUAUAUUAUCAGUACGAUUUUAAUUAAGAGUAAGAUGUUAUUAGAUUGUGUCAAAAUUUUGUUGGACUCCUAAGUAUUGGAAUUUAAUUGUUUAGGUUAAGAAUCAUUAGAAUCAAUGGCUACUUGAGAUAUGCUUGAGGAUGAUCUCAUUCUCUUCAUCACAAAGGUGGAGGUUAGAAAAUCUUUAUGUUUAAACAUUUAUAGCUUCAAAGUUAUUUUAACCUCUUAUUGAGACCUUAUAAUAUUUUGUAAUUUUUUGUCUUAUGGUAUAUAAAAAAAUAUCUAACCAUAGUGAUUGAUUAGUAAUAAGAAUUUGUUAUUUGUUAUGUUUAAUAUAUAUUUUAUUUAUAUUUAUUCAUUUUAUUUUUAUAUGAGUAAAUGAAGUGUUUGAAGAUUCGAAAUUUUUAUCUUCCAUGUUAAAAAUAAGUGCAAAAGUGUAUAUUAUUUAAAAUAAAUUACGCAUUAAUGUUAUAUGAUAAAAUCAUUACAUGUUCGGAAGAACUAAUAUUGCAUCAAACUGUAAAAAGCUCUUGAAGAGUUAAUAUUUUACCUCCUUGUGAUGUAAAAUCUUAUAAAAUAUGAUAUUUUUUUUCAAAUCAAGAAUAUAUAUGUUGAAGGAAAUCUUUAUGUAUUUUACAUUAAAACCAUGGAUAAAAAUGACAUGAGAUACUCAUGUAUUUGUAUAUAAAUAUUCCUUGAAGGAAUACACUUCACUUGUGUGAUUGACAUAUGAGCUCAUGUAUCACAUGUAUACAACCCAAAGUUUACAGUAUUAUUUCUUGAAAUUAUUUGUGUCGAAACCAUUUUUGAUAAGACGGGAUCGACUUGGAUUUUGUAAAAUAAAAAUGGGAGUCGCCACCGAUCUUUUAUUGAGAUGUGAUCGGAUCACCUUAAAAAUGAUUUUGGUAUACGAGUUUUAGAAAAAUAGAUUCGGGAGUCAGUUACGUACGAGGAAGGAUUGGCACCCUCGUAAUGCCCAAAAUUGGUACCGAAUUGAUUAUUAAAUGUCUUAAGGUCAAAUGCCAAAAAAAAUGAUUCCCCUUUUAAAUUUUUAUUCAAAUUUAUUAUUUUGAAAACUAAAAAUUUUGGUCAUCUUGUUUCAAUGAAGAAAUUGAAACCCCGUAAGUUAGGGUACAAUUCUUUGAAGUUCCGAUGACAAUUUACGAACUUGCUUUUAUUAAAAACCUCGUCUCGAGAUAACAAAAUGCCAUAUCCAAUGAGUUAGGACACAACACUUUGAAUUCUCGAGAUAAGAUUUGAUUUGAAAUUUUACGUUUGGAUUGAAAAAAGGAUACCCGGGUACUUAAAUUCAACGAGGAAAAUUGAAGCCCACUAAGUUAGGGCACAAUUCUCUUUGAAAAUCUAAGAUACCGAGUAUUGCUUUAUUUUAUAAAUCCUUGAAUGAAAAAAUGAAAGGUGAUUAAAUGACAAUAUGCAACGCGAAAGGAUAAUUUGUAAAUAAAUCACACAUUAAUCAAAUGAGCGGUAGAUAUAUACAAGCAAGUAAUACACAUAGCAACAAUAAUUUCAUGUAAAUACCCACAUUGGCUAAUAAGAGGAAACUAAUUAAAAUCAAGCAAUUUUCCAUAAACACUAGCGAAAUAUACAAAUUUUAAUAUAAUUUAAGAAAUAAAUAUAAUAUUUAUAAAUUAAAAUAUUAAAAUAAAUUUAAAUAAAUUAACAAUAUUGAAAUAAGUUGAAACAAAUUAAAGAUGUUAAAAUAUUUGAAAGAGAUAAAAUAUCUAUAUAAUAAUACGAAACUAAUAAUAGAAUAUGUAUGUACUCGUGUAUAUUAAGAUUUAUGUAUAUGUAUUUACAAAAUAAAAAAAAAUGUAUAAGUAUGAUAUAUAAGUAAAUUAUGAAAAUGUGUAUAUGCAUGUAUUAAAAUAUGUAUAUAUUUAUAAGUAUAUAUGUAUAUAAAAAAUGAAAUAUGCAAAAAAUGUAUUUACAAUAAUUUUAAAAAAAAAUGUACGUAUAUGUACAUUAUAGAAAAUGUAUGUAUAUACAUAUGGAUUAUAAAGUGUGGAAAAUGUAUAUAUAUUAUAAAAUGUAUAUGUAUAUAUACAUAUGAAAAUUAAAGAAAUAUGUAUUUAGAUAUAUAUAUAAAUACAUAUAUAAAUUGUAUAAUAUAAAAAAAUGUAUGUAUAUAUUAAUUAUAUAAAAAAAUAUGUACGUAUAUUUCAAAAAUGUACGCAUAAAUAUAGUUAUAAUAAUAUUAAUAAAUAAUAAUACAAUAAUAAUGAUGCAAUAUAACAGUAUUAACAAUAUAUUAAAAUACUUAAAAAUCCAAAAAAAACCAGAUUAAGGAUUAAAAGUGGAAAACACAAAAAAGGACCAAAUCACAACGCGCGCAACAAGAAGAGGACCCAAAGGGAAAUAUCCCCACGCUAAUCCCACAGCGUCGUUCUAGUGAGACCUAUGCGCAUGGUCUUUGGGUCAAAUUGAAACAGGAGAGAAAUUUUGUGGCCAAAAUUGCAAAUAUGUGAAAAAACUUCAUUGAAAAUGACACAAAAGCUAGGGACCGAUUACGCAAAUAUCCCCGCCCGUUAAAACACGCGGGUCACCUAGGUGGGUUGGGUCACACUCGCGGGUAUAGGCUUAUACAACGCUAUUUUGGGGCCACUAAAAUAGGCCUAAAACGACGCCGUUUCAUGCCUGUUAUAAAAAUCAAAAUUUCCCUAAAGAAUUCAUCUUUCUGCCAAUUUUUUAAAAACGAACAACCCUAGCUUUCUCUGCUAGGGUUUCUAAUUUUCCUAUAGCCGCUGCCGCCGCUAGGCCGUUCCAAGGGCCCCGAACCCUGCCCGAUUUUCAACGGCGACGGAGCAGACAGAGAUUCAACACUUCAGGUAAUUUCUUUUUUUUAAUUGAUUUUUUCUUUACACACAACGAAUAAAAGAUAAAUAAUAAAAAGAAAUAGAGACAUCAGAAGGGAAAAGAAGAAGAAAAAAAAUCUUAAAAACUCACUGCUAUCUUUUUUUUUUGAUCUUUUGAAUCAAUUUUCGUAUUCCUUUACACUGAUCUUUUUUCUUACACUGUUUUUCUUUUUCUAUAAUUUUUACAAUCUUUUCAUUAUCCUAGCCUUCUCUUGCGGUUCGAUAUUUUGUGGUAGCAUACUGAAAGGAUCGUGUACAACGUGCAGGCGACAUGCUGCGAGAGAGGCGAUAACUACUAGAGGGAGAAUGUGCGGCGCUGGGGGAGAAGGGUUAGGGUUUCUGGAAAUAGUUUAGAAUUAGGUUAAUUAGGUUAGGCUAGAUUUGGGUUUGGAUUAAUGUAAUUGGGCCACAUACAUUAGGUCUUUACUUGUAAAUGGACUGGGCACUUUUAUAUUUGGGCCCGAGUUAAAAUUGGCUAUUACAGCUGCCCCUCUUUGCUUGUUAUUGUGUAAUGAAAACAUAGCAAAGACUUCAGAAAUAGCCAAUUUUUCCUGGUCGUGCUGGACCUUAGCACUCUUCCUCUUCAAGUAGCCUCAUUCCAACCUAUUGCAUCUUCAGAGGUAUAGGAAUUGGUGCUUCGAUCCACUCCACUACAACAUUGGGGAAAUAUAAUUAUUUUCUUCAAUCUGUUUCACUGCAACCUUCAGGGAAACCAUAUUGGGUUAUUUAGUCUGCUUCACUGCAACUUUAGGGAAAUAAGACUAAAUAUGAUCUACUCUCUGCAACUUUAGAGAGAUAAAGACUUGAUAUCUUCAAUCUGCUCCACUGCAACCUCAGGGAGAUAGGAUUUACUAUCUUCAGUCUUCUCCGCUGCAAUCAGGGAGAUAAGACCUGAUGCGAUCUACUCUACUGCCAUUUUAGAGUGAUAAGAUCCACCACUUUAAUUCACACCACUGUAACUUCAGGGAGGUAGGAUUAUUGGCUUUAAUCUACUCCACUGUAACUUUAGGGAGAUAAGAUUCGCCAUCCUAGAGCUGCCCCAUUGCAAUGUUAGGGAAGUAAGAUUCAUUGUUGUAGCUUCAAUCUAUUUAACUGUAAUGUCUAGGAAACAAGAUUCGUCGUCGUAGCUUCAAUAUGUUCCACUACACUGGCCGGGAAGUAAGAUUCACCGUUGUGGCUUCAAUCUAUUUAACUAUAAUACCACAGAGAUAGGAUUCGCUGCCCAUAGCUUUAAUCCGCUCCACUUCAGCUAAUCCAAGUCUUAACGCCAGGGAGAUAAGAUUUGCUACCCUCAGCUUUAAUCUGCUCCGCUGCAAUGCCAGGGAAGUAAGAUUCGCUGUUGUAGCUUCAAUCUAUUCCAUUCAACAUCAAGGCGAUAAGACUGGUGUCUUCGAUUUGCUUCGCUGCUAGUACAAGAAGACAAGAUCUGCUAUUUUCAACCUACUCCACUAUUACUCAGGGAGAUAAGGCUAGUGUCUUCGAUCUGCUUCGUUGUCAGUUUAGGAAGUCAAGAUCUGCUAUCUUCAUUCUGCUCCGCUGCAAACUCAGGGAGGCAAGGCUAGUGUCUUCAAUCUGCUUCGCUGCCAGUACAUGAAGGCAAGAUUUGCUAUCUUCAACCUACUCCACUGCUGCUCAGGGAGAUAAGGCUGAGGUCUUCGAUUUACUUCGCUGCCAAUACAGGAAGACAAGAUCUGCUAUUUUCAACCUACUCCACUAUUGCUCAAGGAGACAAGGCUGAGGUCUUCGAUCUAUUUCACUGUUAGUAUAGGAAGGCAAGAUCUGCUAUCUUCAAUCUACUCUAUUGCAAACCCAGGGAGGCAAGACUGGUGUCUUCGAUCUGCUUCGCGGUCAGCACAGGGAGGCAAGAUCUGCUAUCUUCAUUGAUCUAUUCUCUAGAAACAUGACUUGUAUAAUCCAUUUUAUGAACCUAAUUAUGCCUAGUGAUUAGGAUGACAUGAUUAGAAUGAACCAAAUGCUCCUAGCUAGACGUUUAUGAAUGACAUUUGAAUGAAUGCAGAAUGUCAUUUUUUUGAGAAUGAUCAUUCUUUAUCACUCAGGUUGUCAUUACUCAAAGUUUAUUAAGGAUUUAUCACUGACGUGCUACAAUGCCUUCUUGCUCAGCUGGCAUUUCUGAAUAAACACUUAAUCAAACUAGCCCCACCGUGAACUUCAAAGCUUAAUCUACUGGGACGCAAAAUUUGUAUCAUCUUUCUCCCGUUGUGACCCAAGGGUAGAAAAAUCUGACUUUUUAUCAAUCCUCUCUCAUCGGAAUUUCAAGGAUACAGAAUGUGAAACUCUUUGGUUCUUUACACCAUUCCCAGGGUGUCAUAUCAAAUGCUGAUGCACAAAUGAAGGAUUCUCUUCUCUAAGGAAACCCCUUUCUAUUGCUUGGUGAUUAUUGCUUGCUUGUUCAUUUAAGCCUCAUCACCAACCUUACAUCUUGUCAUUUUGUUCAAUCAAUGUUUUUGACAACAAAAUAUGAAGGGAUAACUUUAAUUUAGAUUUUUCCUUCUUAGAUUUCCAACCUUUAAACUUGGUGCAUUCUAAACAAUAGUCAUGUUUCAAGUUACCGUAUUAUUUAGAAACUUCUAGAGUAAUAUGCAAAACUUCCCUUAUGAAAGUUUUACCAGUCCAUUAAUCAUUAUUCUAAUGCAACACACUUGCAAAAAGAAUAAAACAAUGGAUAAAAUAGAAUUGAUUUGAGAGUAUAGCUUGAAAUGAAUAUAUUAUCAAGAAUAUUGAGAAUAAAAGAAGAAUUUACUUGUAUCUCAAAAAAGAAUGAAGUAUUCCAAGAAUAAGCAAUUCAAUAUAAAUAGUAUGAAGACUAGGUGCCCCAAAUAUCGCAACUUGAACUUCUCUGCACAAACUUGCUGAAGACCAUUUUGAGUUUAACAUGUGUUUAGGAGAUCUACAAUACUCUGUCGAUGCCCCAAGAUGUCGCAUACCCUUUCCUGCUGAUUCAGGUAUAUCAAGACCACCACAUGCCCCACUCUGGUCAAAAUCUGAGCUACUCUAAUCACUUCCUGCCCUAUUCUGAUCAAAAUUUGAGCCGCCUUUUUCGGGUUUUCAACUCAAAUCCCCAUUGGUCUAAGGCGCCUUUUACGAGUUUUCACCUUAGCCUCUCCAUUUUUACUUGUUCAUUUUUCAAUUUUCAUUUUCAUUCCCUUUUUUUUACAACUCAAAGUGCCCUUUGCGGGUUUUCACCUUGGUCCCUUCUCCUUCCUUAAGCAAAGUAUUUAUUAACUGAAUUUGAGUUUAUAGGACUUGGUAGGUUUUUACCAUCCAUCUCGCUCAAAAUCAAAACUCCUUUGGAAAAAGCCUUCUCUACAACAUAAGGUUCUUCCCAAUUUGGCAUCUGUUUCCCUCUAAAAUAUUUUUUGUAGAAGGAGGAUCUUCAACAUUAGGUCACCCUCGUGGAAUUCUCUAGGACGAACCUUUUGUUAUAGGCUCAUAUCAUUUAUUUCUAGUACAUCUGACUGUGAUGAAUAGCUUUUAGCUUUUUUCAUUCUAUCAGGUUCAACUGAUCACAUCGCGAUUGGAUCCGUUCUGCUUCAUCCAACUUGCUCAACCAAUACCCGGAGAGAAAGAAUUUUGACUUUAAUGGAAAAAACUGUGAUAAACUAAAGAGAGAGGCAUUGCCCCCGGUAGAAUUUUCAUUGCAUCAUUCAUGAUAUUAAUCUUGAACAUACUGUAAAUUUCUGAUAUCGUGCUGUUGUUCAGAUUGCAAUGACAAUGCUUAACCCGAGCAAAUCCUGGUAUGACCAUGCGAAGACAUCUUUGAAUUCUUGAAGUUACUCAAAAAUGUCUUGCUUUGUUUCGUCGGUCUUGCAUGUUCCCUCAAGGUCACAAUCUCCAUUGUCUCCGCAUGAGGUAAAUUUGUUUCUCUUCUUGCUUUACCAUCCUCAACAAGUCCGGAGAUAGGCUACAAUCUAUGUCAUUUUCAAAGUCAUGAAAUCCUUCUAAACACAUGUCUCGCUCAAAAAGAGAUUACAAGUCUGUAGUAACGUCAUUCAUGUCAUUGAUAUCCAAGGACCUAUUGUAAGUAUAAGAGAAUAUACAAAGAAUGCAUGAAUUUAUGAAUAAUUAUUUAUACAAUAUGAUUAUGAAUGAAAGAAUGAUGUGAAAGAAAAUCCAAAAGAAUGAAAGAAUAAUUAUUCGAAAAGAAUGAAAGAAUAUUGGCUCAAAAAAAUGAAUACAAAGAUGUAUUUUAUUAGAAUAAUGACGUUCAGACAUGAGCCUAUUUCAAAAAAGAAUUCUUAUUGCCUCUAGGCUAAAAGCAACAAGUGUCCUGAACAUUACUCUAAGUAUGCACUAAAUACUAUAGAGAUUUCUUCUACAAUUCAUUUAUUUAAAACACUCCCAUGUUUAUAAGGGUGGAUAUCUAACAAGGUCCCUUUUCAAUUGUGUCUUCAUAUCUGGCAUUGAUGUGAACGCCUCUCAACACUUCUUCAUAAAUCACAUUCACCACAUUAUCAACUGUGAUUGGGUAGUGAAUUUUCUGCACUAGAUGAAUCGUCAAAUUUGACAACGCCUAUACUGAUAAGCCUUUCAACCACUUUUUUAAAGGCAAUGCAAUUUUCUAUGGAAUGCCCUGUAAUUCCCGCAUGAUAAUCGUAUUGUGCACUUGCGUCGUACCAUUUGGGAUAUAAAGGCUGUGGGGCUUUUGAGUAGAAAGGGGAAACAACGUGCGCAUCGAAUAAGUUUUGAUAUAGCUCCUUAUACGGCAUUGGAAUUGGCGUGAACUAGAGCUUCUUAGUACCUUGCUUCACACCUGAUUCUUGUCUUAAUGACCCCUACUGAUUAGUAACCAUGUUUCUUGGCUGAUUCACCAUAAUCGAUUUACUGUAUGUAUUCACACUGUUCACCUCAUUUUCUUUUUCUUUUGAGGAUUGCCUUCUGUUAUUUCCUCCAGCAUCAAUUUUUCCACUCCUUAUGGCGCUUUCAAUUAUUUCACCAUUCAUGACUAUGUCAGAAAAACUUUUUGUGGCACUUCCUAACAUAUGUGUGAUGAACGGGGCUUUCAAUGUGUUUAUAAAAAGUAUUGACAUUUCUCUUUCCAAGAGCGGUGGCUGAACUUGGACGGCGACCUCCCUCUAUCUCUGUGCGUACUGCCUAAAACUUUCAUUCGACUUCUUUUCCAUGUUUUGCAAGGUGAUUCUAUUAGGACCCAUUUUUGCUACAUGACUAUAUUGCUUCAUAAAAGCCUGUGCCAAAUCUCUCUAGGAGCUAAUCUUGGUACGACUCAUUUGAUUGUACCAUUUAGACGCUGCCUCCGUGAGGCUAUCCUGGAAGCAAUGUAUUAAUAGUUUGUCAUUAUUAACAUACCCAGUCAUUCGCCUACAAAACAUGGUAACGUAGGCUUCAGGGCAACUGGUCCCAUUAUACUUCGCAAAUUCUGGUAUUUUAAACUUAUAAGGGAGCACCAAAUCUGGGACCAAACUCAAAUCCUUAGCAUCCAUCCCACGAUGACUCUUAGUGCUUUCCAUUGCCUUGAAUUUCUCUUCAAUCCAUUUCCACCUUUCUUUUAGCUGCUUUGGAAAUUCUUCUUUUAUUUUUUCUUUUUCAACUGCCUCAUCAAAAUCAGGGAUAACUGGAUUAACAGGAUUAUUCUCGGGACUACAGCCUGAUCUAGCUUGGAAAUUCAUUGAUCUUGAAGUAUCGGUCUGAAACUGCUGAUGCCUGAUUGUGACAGAAAAUUUACGCAGGUAAACUUCAGCUUGGGGCUGCGCAUGUGGAGGAGUAAAGCCUGGAGGAUACAGGGGUCCAUCAUCACCUUCCUCUUCAACAUUGGCCACAGGGCUCUUUCUCUUAUUCUUUUCGUCAGUCAAAAGUCGCGUUAACUGUGUCAUCAUGCUCCCUUGGGAUUCCAUCAUUUUGUCCAUCAUAUUCUGCUGAAUCUUCUCGAGCUGUUCUUUCAUUUGCUGCUGAAGUUGAUCCUGCAUUUCUUUUUGAAACUGUUCGAGCCUUUCCAAUCUUUGGUCUAUAUUUUUCAACUUUGCUCGUGUACCAUAAUUGAGGAAUGAUUUUAAUCAAGUAGAACUUUUUAAUAGUUUUUAAUGCAUAUGAUGCAAUGUAUGAAAUGAAUGCCUAAAGAUAUGUUGAUUCUAAUUCAACUACAUUUAGAAAACUUUACUAGAAAACAAACUUCUUUACAUAAAACGAAUGCAUGUACGGCCUUGCCCUCAUACUCCAAGAAACAACAUCGAUCUUUCUUUAUCCGAAUGUUAAGAUAAAUCUCAUGAAUUUCCAAUGGAUGCCACUACUAGCUCCUUUUUCUUGAUCCUGGUCACUAUCCAUCGUUUGCCCAUCCUUGUAAUGCUCAUCAGCUUCUUUAAGGAAGUUGGAAUGUUGGAAACUCUUAAAUAAUCAACUUGAAUCCUUGAACCACAAAGUAAAGUCAUGUAUUCCUCCAUCACCUUUCUUGUGUUUCUCAAAAUAUAUUCAUGACGCCAUGCACUCAAAACAAAAUGCGACAAGUCAAUAUCAGGUAUAAAAACAAAAAAAAAAAUACCUACUUAGGUAACUACUAGGGUUUGGUAUAGUUCUAUCUAGGGCAAGUUCCUAAGGUUCACUAUAUGAGAUUUGACUUCUAGGGAAAAGGUACCCAAACCAGCAGAUUCCUCGAUCCUCACCCGUUAUAGGCUCAUGCGAUCCGAGUUCGGUUCAGGGGAAUACAUUUCCCUAUGGCUACAUGGAGAUAAAAAUCUCACGAAGACAUAGGUACGGAUGUAUCCGGAAGCGAUCCACUAUCCUGCACGGAGGUAAAAAUCUCACGAAGGACUAGUUUCUCACUCCCACUUAGAGGGGUAAAAUUGACCAACCUAUGCAAUGCAAAAUGCAAAUUUACUAACAAACUCAGACCAAUCAAGCAAAUAUGCCAUGCUGAAAAAUAAUGAAUGAAAAGGGGAAAUCAUAAAUUUUAAAACAAAAUUUGAUUUUUCAACCAAAAGACAAAAAUUAAUCAAUUUACGGCUCGACUCUCUAACCAGUCCCCAGUGGAGUUCCCAAGCUGUCGAAACCAUUUUUGAUAAGACAGGAUCGACUUGGAUUUUGAAAAAUAAAAUGGGAGUCGCCGUCGAUCUUUUAUUGAGAUGUGAUCGAAUCACUUUAAAAAUGAUUUUGGUCUACGAGUUUCAGAAAAACAUAUUCGGGAGUCAGUUACGUACGAGAAAGGAUUGGCACCCUCGUAAUGCCCAAAAUUGGUACCAAAUUGAUUAUUAAAUGUCUUAAGGUCAAAUGUAGAAAAAAAUGAUUCCCCUUUUAAAUUUUUAUUCAAAUUUAUUAUUUUGAAAACUAAAAAUUUUGGUCAUCUUGUUUCAAUGAAGAAAUCGAAACCCCGUAAGUUAGGGUACAAUUCUGUGAAGUUCCAAUGACAAUUUACGAACUUGCUUUUGCUAAAAACCUCAUCUCGAGAUAACAAAAUGCCAUAUCCAAUGAGUUAGGACACAACAUUUUGAAUUCUCGAGAUAAGCUUUGAUUUGAAAUUUUACGUUUGGAUUGAAAAAAGGAUACCCGGGUACUUAAAUUCAACGAGGAAUAUUGAAGCCUAGUAAGUUAGGGCACAAUUCUCUUUGAAAAUCUAAUAUAUCGAGUAUUGCUUUAUUUUAUAAAUCCUUGAAUGAAAAAAUGAAAGGUGAUUAAAUGACAAUAUGCAACGCGAAAAGAUAAUUUGUAAAUAUAAUCAAAUGAGCGGUAGAUAUAUACAAGCAAGCAAUACACACAGCAACAAUAAUUUCAUGUAAAUACCCACAUUGGCUAAUAAGAGGAAACUAAUUAAAAUCAAGCAAUUUUCCAUAAACACUAACGAAAUAUACGAAUUUUAAUAUAAUUUAAGAAAUAAAUAUAAUAUUUAUAAAUUAAAAUAUUAAAAUAAAUUUAAAUAAAUUAACAAUAUUGAAAUAAGUUGAAACAAAUUAAAGAUGUUAAAAUAUUUGAAAGAGAUAAAAUAUCUAUAUAAUAAUACGAAACUAAUAAUAGAUUAUGUAUGUACUCAUGUGUAUAUUAAGAUUUAUGUAUAUGUAUUUACAAAAUAAAAAAAAUGUAUAAGUAUGAUAUAUAAGUAAAUUAUGAAAAUGUGUAUAUGCAUGUAUUAAAAUAUGUAUAUAUUUAUAAGUAUAUAUGUAUAUAAAAAUAAAAUAUGCAAAAAAUGUAUUUACAAUAAUUUUAAAAAAACGUACGUAUAUGUACAUUAUAGAAAAUGUAUUUAUAUACAUAUGGAUUAUAAAGUAUGGAAAAUGUAUAUAUAUUAUAAAAUGUAUAUGUAUAUAUACUUAUGAAAAUUAAAGAAAUAUGUAUUUAGAUAUAUAUAUAUAAAUACGUAUAUAAAUUGUAUAAUAUAAAAAAUGUAUGUAUAUAUAAAUUAUAUAAAAAAUAUGUACGUAUAUUUUAAAAAUGUAUGCAUAAAUAUGGUUAUAAUAAUAAUAUUAAUAAAUAAUAAUACAAUAAUAAUGAUGCAAUAUAACAGUAUUAAUAAUAUAUUAAAAUACUUAAAAAACCCAAAAAAAAACAUAUUAAGGAUUAAAUUGAAAAUAAAUGGAGUUUGGGGGCUGAAUUAAAAGUGGAAAACACAAAAAAGGACCAAAUCACAACGCGCACAACAAGAAGAGGGCCCAAAGGGAAAUAUCCCCACGCUAAUCCCACGGCGUCGUUCUAGUGAGACCUAUGCGUAUGGUCUUUGGGUCAAAUUGAAACAGGAGAGAAAUUUUGUGGCCAAAAUUGCAAAUAUGUGAAAAUAAAACUUCACUGAAAAUAACACAAAAGCGGGGGAACCAAUUGCGCAAAUAUCCCCACCAGCGAAAACACGCGGGUCACCUAGGCAGGUCAGGUCACACUUGCGAGUAUAGGCCUAUACGGCGCCGUUUUGGGGCCACUGAAACAGGCCUAAAACGACACCGUUUCAUGCCUAUUAUAAAAAUCAAAAUUUCCCUAAAGAAUUCAUUUUUUUGCCAAUUUUUAAAAAACUAACUAACCCUAGCUUUCUCUACUAGGGUUUCUAAUUUUCCUAUGGUCGCCGUCCCUGCUAGGCUAUUCCAGGGGCCUCGAACCCCGCCCGAUUUUCAACGGCGACGGAGCAGACAGAGAUUCAACACUUCAAGUAAUUUCUUUUUUUUAAUUGAUUUUUUCUUUACACACAACGAAUAAAAGAUAAAUAAUAAAAAGAAACAGAGAAAUCAGAAGAGAAAAGAAGAAGAAGAAAAUCUUAAAAACUCACUGCUAUCUUUUUUCUGAUCUUUUGAGUCAAUUUUCGUAUUCCUUUACACUGAUCCUUUUUCUUAGAUUUUUUUCUUUUUCUAUAAAUUUUGCAAUCUUUUCAUUAUCCUAGCCUUUUCUUGCGGUUUGGUAUUUUGUGGCAGGUACAUACUGAAAGGAUCGUGUACAACGUGCGGGCGACAUGCUGUGACAGAGGGGAUAACUGCUGGAGGGAGAAUGUGCGGUGCUGGGGGAGAAAGGUUAGGGUUUCUGGAAACAGUUUAGAAUUAGGUUAAUUGGGCUAGGCUAGAUUUGGGUUUGGUUUAAUGUAAUUGGGCCACAUACAUUAGGUCUUUACUUGUAAAUGGACUAGGUACUUUUUUUUUUGGGCCCGGGUUAAAAUUGGCUAUUACAAUUUGAUUCUACACAAUCUUUAUAGUAUGCAAUUUGUGCUAACAAUGUUGGUGCAUUAUAUCCUAAGCUUGAUUUUCGUAGUUUUAGCUAAGAUAAUAUUAAGUUGUCUAUGCCUAUAUAUGUUAUACAUAAUGGUUAGCAAAAUUAUGCCUUCAUUUAAUUGCUUAACCAUUAAUAUAAGAAUAACUUUAAAAUAAGCAUAUGAUUUUAUUUGCAUAGAGCCAACAUGUAAGAAACAUUUAUCCCAUGAGAAUUGGCUUUCAUUUAUAAGCUAAUAGGUUUCAUUUAUGACUGUUUGGAUGUAAAAAUAUCUAUUUUAUAUUCCACCAUAAUGCACUAAGAUGGACCAUCAAGUAUAAAGUUGAGAAAAUUUAGAAUUUUUAUUUGAUGGUGAAAGUUGAAAAGAGAUAUAUAUUUAAAAUUUUGAAAAAACUAGUCAUGUUGCAAAUUUUCUUAGUAUUAGAGGGAGACAAGUUGGAAAAAUAAGUAUAAUUAUGUCAUCACUUUUUGUGAUCCCUCACUAAUAUUAUGUGCACAAAGUUUGAAGGAAAAAAGUAUUUGCUAGACAUGUUUAGUGAUGCAAUUUAGAGAUUAUAUAUACUAGAUGAUACAUAUACCAGCUAAAAUGUUCCAAAUAAUUAUGAGUUCUAGAAGGACAAAGUGAUAAAAAUAAUUUUUGGGCACGCUAGAAGGAUGAAAACUAAUUGAUUCUAUAAAUAAAAAAUUCUUGAAAGAAAAGAGUAAGAAAUGAAGCUGGCCACACGUUAAAGGAGACGAGUACUCAUGAAGAGACCCAAGGCAUAACUUUUAAUAAAACCCCAAAAGAGGUUCAAUACAUGAAAUUAUGAAUAUAAUAAGAUAUCUCGAUUAGUUAUGUCAUAACUAAAGAUGAUGGAGUUGAUUAAAGGAAAUUGUUGUUAACAACGAUAAUCUAUGUAGAAUAUUUCAAUAUUAUGGGAGUAUUUUCAAUGAAAAUAUACUUGAAAGAAUUGAGAUAGGAAUAAUUCAUCAAAAUAAAUAGAUGUUUCUAUUAUAACUUAUGAAAUGUGUCUCUGUCAUGAAGUCCAAACAUCCGGCAGGUGUAAAGCCAAGUGGAGUAUAUGUUAGCAUAAUAGCUAAAAAAUACAAAUCAUAAUAUAUAGAAUUGACUUGUAAUACAAACAUUCACAAGACACUUGAUUUUGAUUAUAAAAAAUGAUUAAUUUGUGAUCUUAUCAAUUCAACAUACUUCGUAUAAUCAACGAAUUAUCAAUUAACCUCAUUUAACCAAUUUCCUUUAACAUAUUUCAAAUCAAAUUAAUAUGUUGAGCACGCCCUUAACCCUUUUUCUUGAUUCAUUGCAUAGUCUAUCUCCAAGUACCAUAAUCAUCAACAUUUCAAUAUAUAAAGUCAUAACACAAUGAAUCAUAGUUAGAAUUUUUUUUAUCCUAUUAACCAAGUAUGGAACAAAAAUAAAAACCUAAUUUGUCAAGCUCAUUCAAUCAGCUUAUAUUUUAUAAGAAGAGCCUGACUACAAAUCCUAUACAUGAUUUCAAAUUCGACUAUUUGUAUUUGAGAUUGAAUUUAAAAUUCAUGCUGAAAUUAUCAAAUUAACUCGCAAAGCUACUCAAGCUAAACAUUAAGGUACUUGAAUUCAAGUGGGUAGAUAUCACAAACUCUUUUAGCUUGUAAAACUAUUUCUAAGGGUCAGCCCAAAAUCAUGUUUGUGCCCAAAAUCUGGUAACAAAUAUUUAAUUGAGCCAUCGGCCUAAAACAAAAAAGGCUUAAAAGGUUGGCACUCGAACUAUCAAAGAUAAACACCACCAUACACUGCUCCUCGAAUCCGAUACAUAUAAUAACACCCUUUGCCAAUUUUGUUCUUCUCAUUUUCUUUAACCUCAAUUUGGAAGGUCCCCUUUCUCUCUUUAGUGCUUUCUAGGGUUUGGGUUUUAAGAAUCCUCAGAGAUGCAAUUCAUGGAUCCCACUAAGAAACAAAAGCUUGACGAAAAUGGUAUUAUUUCAGCAUUAUCGGAACCUGACCCAAUCACCAAACUAACCCCACAAGAUGGGCGCAAGCUAAUCAAACGAUUCACAUUCAAUCAACUCCUUGACAUCCUCCAAGAUGUCGUUUGUUGUCACCUUGAUGUUCUUUCCGCCGUACGCUCUAUUGCCGAUCAAGAUCCAUCUCAAAGGAAGCUCUUCAUCCGUGGGUUGGGUUGGAAUACUACAACCCAACCCAACCCACAUUAGUAUGCUACCAUGAGGUAAUUUCUAGUGAUUUCUGUCUGUAACAUUAGACAGAUUAACAGUUAAAUCGUUCAACUGACAGAUUUCAUUAAAGAAAGAAGUCAAUUGAUUUUUUUUUGGAAUCAUUGAGUACUCAAUUGGAGCACUUUUUUCAUAAAGAUUAAAUUAAUUUUUUAAUUUGUUAUCGCUGAGAGCUACAGUAAUAAAAAAUUUUGAGGUAAAAUUGGAAUAACGGCCCAAAAAUCUAAUACUUAAUUUGUAAAAUUUUAUCAUUAAUAAGUAUUUGUCUUAGUGGUUAAGUAUUUGAGUCGUGUUUAUAAAAUUAAUUUUUAAUUUUUGCGUGGGUCGGGUAGGUGGUUGAGUUUGAGUCCAUUUCGAACUCUGGAAAAAGGUGGUUGGUUAUCUGAGAUGGGGUUAGUGCUUAGUAGAUUUGGAUUUGGUUUAUUUUAAAAUUUAUUAAUCAAUUUGUUAAAAAAAUAAAUUAGUUUUUUCCUAUUUUUUGGCUCACCAUUCUUUCUUUUGUUUUUCUUUAUGCUUUCUUUUUCUUUUCUUUUUCUGUUACCUUUCAAAUCACGUCGAUUUGUUCCUAUUUUGCUUUUGAGUUUUUCUUUUCUUUCCUUUAUUACGCUCCCUCUACGAUCGGGUCUUAAUUCCUUAAUUAUUUUCUCUUUGUUGGCGUUUCUCAUUCGUAAGUGGGUUAGUUUCGUUUUGAUGUGUUUUUACGUGGUUAGUAAAAGAAAUGUGUUAAGUUUUGGAUUAUGGAGUUGAUCGUUUUUAAUCAAUUCUCCAGUAAGUUGACUCGUUUGCUGUUGUAAUGUGCUAGGGUAAGAGAUUAAUUCUGAUUUGGGCCUGUGUGGUGUGUAGAUUUCCCAUGUGAAUUCGUUUGAUAUUUUUAGGAUAAAUCAUUCUUUAAAUCGUAUUGCUGAUGUUUUAAUUUAUGCAUUUAGGAUCUGGUAGUCUUGUAGGUGUUUUCGCAUAAACAAUUCGAACCAUGUGUGUAACGAAAAACCCGACAACAACGAGCGACGAAAGCUAAAAAAUUGCACUGUCGAUGCCACACGGCCAUGUGACAAGCCGUGUGCUGGACCGUGUGCAACACACUAUCUGAGCUAGUUGAGCCAUGUGAAACAAGAAACUAAGAAAAUCCAAUCUAACAAAGAAAAUAACUUGAUGUCCAAAAGCUACCAUGAACCGUAAUUCAUGGGAAGGCUUGUUGCUCAUUUUAUUGGUUUCCAUUUUGACUUUUGCAAAAGAAGUUUGAAUUUUGAAGAGAGCCUAGUACGUGAGAGCAAAAGAAAGAAUUCUAUAAAGAUUUUGAAUUUUGAAUUUUGAAUUUUGAAGCAAAUUUUCAUUAAGAUUGAAGAUUUGUAAUUAAUUUCUUAGGAGAUUAUCACGAGUUCCUUAAUUUUUUCAGUUAUAUUGCCCUUUGGAUGUUUUUAUUUUUAAUCAUGAACUAAUUUUCUAAAUACGUAAGAGAGAUGAACCCUAUGAUAGAUUGUGACACCCCAAAGCCGACCGGGAUAGACCGACCCAAAUUCGAAGCAUUACAUUAGCAACCUAAGUGACUCACUAGCUAACGACCACCCAAAACACACCCCGACCUUAUAACACCUCAAUCUUAUUUAAUUAUUAGUUAUUUUAGAGAUUCUUAGCUUUGACAACUUCUCUCCACCACUUCUCUUACGCUCCUUCCAGGAUCUUGCUUUUUGUCUGUUGAAAACUCAAAUGAACAAAAUAAAGUGAAUUUAUGAGUUUUGUUUUCUUUUAAAAAUAUUUUUAAUAUUUUUGUGGAUAUCAAGAGAUACCAAAAAUUAUUUCAUUAAGAAAUUUUAAUUCACUCGAAAAGUUAGUGUUUUAUUUCAAGGGAUCAUAAUUAAUCAUUAGAUUUCUGAAUUUUAAAUUUUGAAUUUUUUGACAAUUGCGUAAUUAAUAAGUACCAAUUUUGAGUGUUGUAGGGCUAGUACAAUCUUCCUUACACAUAACCGACUCUUGAUCUAAUAAAUAUUUGUCCUUAUACUUUGAUCUAAAUAUUUUGAUCUAAUAAAUGUAAAAAAACCUUUUAAACAAAAUAAGGUUGAAAUAAUCUAUUUGUCUUUAUACUUUGAUAAAAUUUAAGAUUUAGUCUGUAUACCUAAAAGGUUAAAAAUUAAGUCUUCUUGUUUUUAUUUAAAAAUCUUAGUCCUAUCGUUAAUUUUUUUUUGUUAAAAUUUACCAACUUGACAUAUUAAUUAGGUUUCCCUUAUAUGUCGUGGUAUACGACNNNNNNNNNNNNNNNNNNNNNNNNNNNNNNNNNNNNNNNNNNNNNNNNNNNNNNNNNNNNNNNNNNNNNNNNNNNNNNNNNNNNNNNNNNNNNNNNNNNNNNNNNNNNNNNNNNNNNNNNNNNNNNNNNNUUGAAAUACAAGAACUAACAACAUAUGUUAAAAUAUUACUAGUAAAUUAUAUAUCUACAACAAGAAUUGUAAAAUUCUGCACCUUUCGUUAUAAUAUGAUUUAUUAAUUUUAAAUUUUUUACAGAAUAAUAUGCUUUAAACUAUUUUUUGUAUCACUUAUAAAAAUUAUAAUAAACUUACAAAAUGAUUUCAUCAUAUUUAAUUAUUAACGGGAAAAAAUGAUACCAUAUAUAUUUUGUAUAUAUUAAGAUUCCGAAUCAUUAAUUAUAUAUCUACACAUUAUAAUAAAUUCAUCUUUCAAAAUUUUCCUUAUAAUUAAAUCAUAAAUUACAUUUAUAAUAUUAAAAAUAUAUUAUAUCAUAAAUAUUCUUUCAAAUAUUUUUUAAUGUUUAAUAAUAAGUUAAUUUAUAAAAUAUUCUUUCAAGAAAUUAACGUGAUGAGAUCAUUAGGUGCUUGGAUUUGGUGAUGGGGGAUGAAGAGAAAAGGGAUGGAAGUGAAGAAAAAUGUUGAGAAAUGGAAAGGGUUAGCGAGGGAAGCCGCCAUGAAAGUUUAUUGGUUCUAUGGAUAUGAACCUUCAAGCUUUUGUGGAUGAUGUUACUCAAAGGUUGUUGCAAGUAAAUUUUAAAAAAAAUUAGGUAAAAAGAAAAAAAAUUAGGUAAAUUUUAAAAUUUUAAAAUUUUAUCAUUAAUAAGUAUUUGUCUUAGUGGUUAAGUAUUUGAGUCGUGUUUAUAAAAUUAAUUUUUAAUUUUUGCGUGGGUCGGGUAGGUGGUUGAGUUUGAGUCCAUUUCGAACUCUGGAAAAAGGUGGUUAGUUAUCUGAGAUGGGGUUAGUGCUUAGUAGAUUUGGAUUUGGUUUAUUUUAAAAUUUAUUAAUCAAUUUGUUAAAAAAUUAAAUUAGUUUUUUCCUAAUUUUUGGCUCACCAUUCUUUCUUUUGUUUUUCUUUAUGCUUUCUUUUUCUUUUCUUUUUCUGUUACCUUUCAAGUCACGUCGAUUUGUUCCUAUUUUACUUUUGAGUUUUUCUUUUCUUUCCUUUACGCUCCUCCCUCUACGAUCGGGUCUUAAUUCCUUAAUUAUUUUCUCUUUGUUGGCGUUGCUCAUUCGUAAGUGGGUUAGUAAAAGAAAUGUGUUAAUUUUUGGAUUAUGGAGUUGAUCGUUUUUAAUCAAUUCUCCAGUAAGUUGACUCGUUUGCUGUUGUUAUGUGCUAGGGUAAGAGAUUAAUUCUGAUUUGGGCCUGUGUGGUUGUGUAGAUUUUCCAUGUGAAUUCGUUUGAUAUUUUUAGGAUAAAUCAUUCUUUAAAUCGUAUUGCUACCAUCGCUAAUGUGAUGUUUUAAUUUAUGCAUUUAGGAUCUAGUAGUCUUGUAGGUGUUUUCGCAUAAAAAAUUCGAACCAUAUGUGUAACGAAAAACCUGAUAACAACGAGCGACGAAAGCUAAAAAAUUGCACUAUCGACGCCACAUGACCAUGUGACAAGCCGUGUGCUAGACCGUGUGCAACACAGGAUCUGGGCUAGUUGAGCCGUGUGGAACACACAGAUGUGUGUGAAGACGUGUGCCACGCCAUGUGGGCCACACGAGCUGGCCAUUUAGGCCGUAUGGGACCAAAAUUCUAAAUUUUUUCCUAGGGUUAUACAUAGUGUGUAUAUUUGUCUCUAAAUUGAAAAAUUCUAAACAACUCUAAAUAAAUGGAAAGCAGCAAAUUACCUGACGAGGCAAGCUAGGUCAAUUACGACCAUUGUGUUAUACUUGUCUCUGAAUUGAAAAUUUUAGAAGAAAAUAAAGAGAAAGAGUUAGAAAAUACUUGAAAAUAGUUAAAAUUUAUAUCUGAUUGAUUGGAUAAACUACAAUCACCCAUAAUAGACCUUGUACUUGACUUUUUGUUGAGGGAGAUUGACUCGUUUAGGAGAAGUCUUUUGAGUGUUGUUUGCUAGGCAAUCGGUGCUGCCCUCAACAACUAAUGGUAGUGUCCCCAUGUCGGGAUUUUAUCCCUAGCCUCUACGGAAUAAUCAUUGAGGAUAUGUGCGUAGGGAUUCAAACUACCAACCAAUGCAUUUGUAGCCUUUACCUUGCAACCAUCUCCAUGAACCCAUAGGGUUCUUAGCGGAAUCAAGAAACGAAACCCUAACGUGAGAACAUUACCAUUUGUUGAAGGCUUUGUUAAUAGGGUCAUACCUAGGGAAGUUGGCAGGGGUCCAACCCCCCUUAAAAUGAAAAAAAUUCCAUUUAGGCCCUUUAAAAUUUUUAAAAUUUUAAAUUAAUAAAAGUAAAAUUGUACUUUGGCCCCCAAAAAAUGAUAAAAUUUUGAUUUAAUCCUUUAAAAAUUAUAAAAUACAGACUAUUAAAAUGGUGAACUUGCAUUUUGACUAUCGUAAAAAUUACAAUUUAAUUUCACCCCCUAAAAAGAUUUUCUGGAUUUGCCUCUAAUAAAAUCUUUGGAAAAUGAUUAAAAUAAAAUUAUUCUGUAAAUGAAAAAAGAAACUAAGAAAAUCCAAUCUAACAAAGAAAAUAACUUGAUGUUCAAAAGCUACCAUGAACCGUAAUUCAUGGGAAGGCUUGUUGCUCAUUUUAUUAGUUUCCAUUUUGAUUUUGCAAAAGAAGUUUGAAUUUGGACGAGAGCCUAGUACGUGAGAGUAAAAGAAAGAAUUCUAUAAAGAUUUUGAAUUUUGACUUUUGAAGCAAAUUUUCAUUAAGAUUGAAGAUUCGUAAUUGAUUUCUUAGGAGAUUAUCACGAGUUCUUUAUUUUUUCCAGUUAUAUUGCCCUUUGGAUGUUUUUAUUUUUAAUCAUGAACUAAUUUUCUAAAUAUGUAAGAGAGAUGAACCUUAUGAUAGAUUGUAACACCCUAAAGCCGAAUGGGCCAGACCGACCCGAAUUCGAAGCAUUACAAUAGCCACCUAAGUGACUCACCAGCUAACGACCACCCAAGACACACCCCGACCUUAUAACACCUCAAUCUUAUCUAAUAAUUAGUUAUUUUAGAGAUUCUUAGCUUUGACAAGUUCUCUCCACCACUUCUCUUACGCUCCUUCCAGGAUCUUGCUUUUUGUCUGUUGAAAACUCAAAUGAACAAAAUAAAGUGAAUUUACGAGUUUUAUUUUUUUUUAAAAAUCCUUUUAAUAUUUUUGUGGAUAUCAAGAGAUACCAAAAAUUAUUUCACUAAGAAAUUUUAAUUCACUCGAAAAGUUAGUGUUUUAUUUCAAAGGAUGAUAAUUAAUCAUUAGAUUUCUCAAUUUUAAAUUUUGAAUUUUUUGACAAUUACGAAAUUAAUAAGUACCAAUUGAGUGUUGUAGGGAUAGUACAAUCUUCCUUACACAUAACCGACUCUUGAUCUAAUAAAUAUUUGUCCUUAUACUUUGAUCUAAAUAUUUUGAUCUAAUAAAUGUAAAAAACCUUUUAAACAAAAUAAGGUUGAAAUAAUCUAUUUGUCUUUAUACUUUGAUAAAAUUUGAGAUUUAGUCCUUAUACCUAAAAGGUUAAAAAUUAAGUCUUCUUGUUUUUAUUUAAAAAUCUUAGUCCUAUCGUUAAUUUUUUUGGUCAAAUUUAUCAACUUGACAUAUUAAUUAGGUUUUCCUUAUAUGUCGUGGUAUAUGACUAACACAAAAUAAACAAGUUGACAAGUUUUGACAAAAAAUAUCAAAGAUGAUAAUAAAUUAAUUAAAAUUUUUAAAUUGAAAAAGUAAGGAAUUAAAUUUAUAACUUUUAAAGUACAAAGAAUGAACUUAUUGAAAUACAAGAACUAACAACAUAUUUUAAAAUAUCACUAGUAAAUUAUAUAUCGACAACAAGAAUUGUAACCUCUUAUAUUAUAUUCUUGUAUCUAUUUUUCAUCUUUCAUUAUAAUAUGAUUUAUUAAUUUUAAUAUUUUUAUAGAAUAAUAUGCUUUAAAUUAUUUUUUGUAUCAUUUAUAAAAAUUAUAAUAAACUUACAAAAUGAUUUAAUGAUAUUUAAUUAUUAACGAAAAAAUUAUAUCAUAUAUAUUCGGUAUAUAUUAAGAUUCCGAAUCAUUAAUUAUAUAUCUACACAUUAUAAUAAAUUCAUCUUUCAAAAUUUUCCUUAUAAUUAAAGCAUAAAUUAUAUUUAUAAUAUUAUAAAUAUAUUAUAUCAUAAAUAUUCGUUCAAAUAUUUUUUUAAUUUUUAAUAAUAAGUUAAUUUAUAAUAUAUUCUUUCAAUAAUUUAAUGUGAUGAGAUCGUUAGGUGCUUGGAUUUGGUGAUGGGGGAUGAAGAGAAAAGGGAUGGAAGUGAAGAAAAAUGUUGAGAAAUGGAAAGGGUUAGCGAGGGAAGCGGACAUGAAAGUUGGUUCUAUGGAUAUGAACCUUCAAGCUUUUGUGGAUGAUGUUACUCAAGGUUGUUGUAAGUAAAUUUUAUAAAAAUUGAGGUAAAAUUAAAAAAUGUUAGAGCCUAAUUUGUCAUUAUGACUAAAAUGUAAAACCAAAAUUUUUUGAAAAUGAAAAAAAUGGAAAAUCACAAAUUCUGUCACUUAUGUUUGCUUAAAAUAUAGUUUUGGACACCAAUCUUUUGAAGUAAAUAUAUGGUCACCAAUAUUAUCCAUUUGUUACUUUGUAAUAACUCACCUUAAACUUCAGUAAUUGACGAGCGCUUCCACAAACUAUGGAUGAUUUGGGGAUAAGAACUUCAAUAAUUCUGGAGUUAAAAGUGUAAACUUACUACUAUCUUAUAAGCAAAUAUUGAAAUUUAUCAUUAUAUUUUAAUUGAUACUUGUCAUUACACUUUGAAAAUAUAAGUAAAUUUACCAUUUAACUCAUAUGUGAUUGAACUUUGCAAGUAGACUUAAAAUUUUAUUUAAUUUUAUCACUAAAUUUAAUUUAUUUAAUUAAAUUUACAACUCAAUAUAGAUUUUGGUGACUUAAAACAAAAUUUUUUUUAGAAAAACUAUUCUUUCAGAUAAUUUUUUAAUGUUUAAUAAUAAGUUGAUUUAUAAAAUAUAGUUUCAUUGGACACAAACAUCCAAGGCGGUCAACAAACCACUGGUCAAAUUAUUUUGGAGAUAUAAUUUUUUUUUCUAAAUCAAGUGAAUUUACGAGUUUUGCUUUUUUUUUUAAAAAUAUAUAUUUUUUUAAUAUUUUUGUGGAUAUCAAGAGAUACCAAAAAUUAUUUCACUAAAGAAUUAAUUAGUGUUUUAUUUUAAGGAUUCACAACUAAACAUUAGAUUUUUCAUUUUUAAAUUUAGAAUUUUUUGACAAUCACAUAAUUAACAAGUACUAAUUUUGGGUGUUGUAGGGUUAUUACAACCUUCCCUACAGCUAACAGACUCUUAAACCUACUUUAUUCUCUAGAACUCAAUGCAAACCUCAAGUUUAUCUUUUUAAAAGAAUUCUAAAAUAUCUAUAUAAAAAGUGAUUUUUUUACAAAUCAGAUUUAACAAAAUUUUAAUUUUUUUAAAAAAUUUAAAGUGAUCUAAAAACAUAUUUUUAAGUGCUUUAGACCAUCCGGUGGUGAUUUCUUUAUUGUAUUAAAUGCUUGUAAUCACUCCUGAUAUAUUAUACUUGAGUUGUGGUAGAGUCAAUUGUCAACGUGCCAUAAUGUUCUAUUGAUGGUGAAAUUGAAGUUUUUGUUAUAUUAAUAGAGCUUGUCCUUCAAUGCGUAUAACAGGUGUUUAUUAUUUUUUCCCUUCAAAUUGUAUGAUCUCAUUCAUUAAAUGAAUUAGUGAAUUUCUCUUUAAAAAGUAUAAUUUUAAAAAUUAAAUACUUUAUAAAAUAUUUAAAACUAUUUAAAAAAUUGUCAGCGUUAAAACAAUCAACAAGAUAUAUUUUUCUCUAAAAAAUCAAUAAAACUAUGUUUGAAAUUUAAAUUUUUUUAACAAUAAUAUAUUUUAAAAUUAUUUACACCUUUUUUAUAUAUUUUGUCCUAACAUAUCAUUAUUUUCAACACUAUCGUAAUCCUAUUUUGAUAAUUCCCUUUCCAUACAUCCUUUUUUCUACAUAGAAUUUCGAAAGAAAAUGUGAAUUAAUGCAGACGUGAGAAGUCACCCAAUGAAAGUGACCUAAACCGACUUAUGGAAGAAUCAAACAAUAAUUUUGUAUCUUAUAAUAAUUACAUUUAUUAGUUUAUCAAUCAUUAUUUCACACAUAAAAAACACAAAGCAUAAAAUUCACUUUUAAAGUAUUUGGGUUGUAUUUGUAUUAUAGGAAAUGGAUUUAUUCUUGAUGCACAUGUUUUAUUAUAUUUAAAAAUUAAAAUUUAUGAUUGAUUGGGUUUUAGUUGAGUUAGUAUUAGUAUUAUUAUCACUGUAGUAAAAAGUGAACUCGAUCAUGCUCAAAUGCGUUUUAUCCUCCAAUUCAAGAGUUAAGAAAAAAUUAUUGAUAAUUAAAUUAUACAAUAUCUAAAAAGCAUUUAUAAAUAAUAUAAGGGAAAAAAAAGAGAGAGAAACAUAUUCAUAUCGAUGGGCUCUUUCAUUAUUAGACCUUUUUUCUCUCUCAAGUAAAAGUACUUAUGAUGAGGAUUAUGUAAAAUAAUGACCUGAAUAAUUUUUAACGUUUCAUCAUUGCAAAAAUGAAAUAAUAGAAAAGAAAGACUACCCAUUUUAUGAAAUAUAAAUUUUAAAUGAAUUUUAAAAUCUUUUUGUAGAAAGCUAUUUUUUUUAGGUGAUUCACCAAAGAAUAAAAAGAUGGGAGGUGAUUCCUCCUUUUUAAUAAAACCUUGUGCUUUUACAAACACCAAAUUAUUCCUAAGCUUUACAUUAAUAUACAUGAUUUAUUUGUUCGUUAUUAUUAUUUCUAUGAUUAUAAUAUUAUACUUAUUGGACUAUAAUCAUAACCAUGUUUAUUAUCAUUCAAUAAAAAUAAAUAAGUGUUAGGUGUAAUGGCAAUGUACAUUACACUGUUAAUAGGAGAUUAGGGUUUUGGACAAAGGAAGACUAUGAUUCGAAUUUUGGAGGCGACAUUCUUAAAAUGAGCAACCACGGAGCCCAAUUAUGAACCAUAAAAUGAACAUGAAAAGUACAAAAAAAAACACGUCUGUUAUCAAAUUAGUAAUCCAUCCCAAGGCUUAAAUUAACAAAUUUCACCAUGCAACCGUGUAGACUAUUUUAUGUAUAUACUAUAUUUAUUCUUUAUGCAAAUGUUUAUUAUAUUUAAAAAUUAAAAUAUAUGGUUGAUUGAGUUUUAGUUGAGUUAAUAUCGAUAUUGUUGUUAGUGCAAAAGAAUGUGAGUUCAAUCAUGUUUAAACGUUUUUAUCUUCCAAUUUAGGAGUUGGAGAGGAUUCUCAAUAGUUAAAUUAUAUAACUUUUUGUCUAUUUAAAAUUGGUUUAUAAAUAAUAUAAAUAAAAAGAUUUAAAAUAUAUAUAUUAAUAUUGAUCGGCUUUUUCAUUAUUAGACUUUUUCCCUAUAGGUAAAGUAUUUAUGGACAGGAUGAUGUAAAGUUAUGACCUAAAUAAUUUUAAACCAUUCAUCAUUGCAAAAAUGAAAAUAAUAGAAAUGAAAGACUAGCCAUUGUAUGAAAUUUGGCAGGCCGUGUCAAUUUCGUGGAUUUGCAUUCUGAACUGUGAAAAAAAAUGUAAAUUUUAGGUUUUUUCAAACAUUUUAAUACGUAUAUAUAAAAAAAAAAGAAGAUAGGAGAGAACCUUCCUAGAAUAUUUAAGAAAACAGCUCCAAAGACACUAUUGAAGCCGACUCUGAAGCAGAUUUUCAUCAAGAUUGAAGAUUCCCAGUUGAUUUCUUAAGAGAUUAUCAUGAGUUUCUUUAUUUCUUUCGGUUAUACUGCCCUUUGGAUGUUCUUAUUUUUAAGCAUGAACUAAUUUUCUAAAUACCUAAGAGAGAUGAACCCUAUGAUAGAUUGUGGCACCCCAAACCCGAUCAGGAUAAAACAGCCCGCAUUCGAAGCAUUACAUUAGCCACCUAAGUGACUCUCCAGCUAGCGACCACCCAAGACACACCCCAACCUUAUAACACCUCAAUCUUGUUUAAUUAUUAGUUAUUUAUUAUUGCAGAAGUAAAUAAUGAGCCAAUUUCAAACUUUUCCUAGGUAAUUUAACCUAAGGGCAAUUUUGUCAUUUUACCACCUAUUGUAAAACUAACUCGAUUUUAGAUCUAAGUGUUUACCAACCUUCUUUUAGUCAAAUUAUGCAAGCCUAAAUUUUUUAGCUUAAUUUGAGUUUGCUUACGAUACCUAAUUCAAGUUUUAUUAUUAAUGACUAAAUUGUAACUUAAACAAAUUAGAAUAUCAAUUUAAAGAGAAAAAAAUUCCAAACCCCAAAACCAACACGGGCGUGUGGGUAAGUGACACGGGCGUGUGGAGACUGGAGCUAUCACACAUGGGCGAGUGGGAUUGAAAAAUAUGAAAUAAAUUAAUCCACUUAAUUUUCCAACUACCAUGCUAUACUACCAAACCAAAUAUCGCUUGAAGCUUUGAAUAGGGGCGAAUCUAAAAAAUAUUAGAAGAAUUAUAAUUAAAUUAUAAAAUUUUGAGAAGUUAUCAUGUAUUAAUUUUUUAUUUUUUAAGGGUCUUCAUAGAAUUUUUUUUCACAUUUUGGUUGGGCCAAUACCCCUGUCUGCCUCUUUAAAUUUGCUUGAACCCUAAACUCAAUAUUCGAUUUGUUGUGGAAGUUUGAUACAUAAAAAUUUCUUUUUUAGAGGUUUAAAUUAUAAAUUUUUGAAAGUUUAAAAUAAAUUUGUCUUUUUUUAUUAACAAAAUAUAAAAGAAAAAAAAACAUGUUUAGACAAGCCAAGAAACCUUUGGGAUCAUACGGGUGAUUUUGAUGAUGUUUCAUCCAUAAAAAUUUCAUGGGAGGUCCAAAGGUAAUUAAAUGACUUGUAGGCUUGCUGAAUUUCUUUGAAAGGCCCAAAGGCAAUUUAACAUUCACAAAAUAAUCUCUAAAUACUGUAAAGACAAAUCAAAUCCACAGUAGCAUUAGAGUUGAUUAAGCUAAGCAUUGGCAGAUAUUACUUUGAUUUUGCAUGCAAUAUUGGCAAAACCCCUCUUACAUUAGAAAAUCAACAUAAUCCAUGAAACAUUGAUAGCCCAAUACAAAUUUCAUCGACAAAAAAGUCUCUUUGUUUUGUAGAACAUGAUUGUAAAGAUGUGGAGUUUCGUUCUUCUCAUUGGCCUCCUUUAGUGUUCCUUGAUCAACACAAUUAGAUUAGAUUAUGAAUGAUACUUUCAACUAUGAUAAUAUUAAAUACAAAACACUCUAAAUAACUCUAAAUAAAUGGAAAGCAGCAAAUUACCUGAUGAGGCAAGCUAGCUCAAUUAAGAUCAUUGUGUUAUACUUAUCUCUGAAUUGAAAAAUUUAGAAGGAAAUAAAGAGAAAGACUUAGAAAAUACUUGAAAACAGAUAAAACUUAUAUGUCAUUUAAAAUAAAAAAAAAAUUCUAUUUAAGCGGUUUACAAUUUUUAAGAUUUUUAAAAUUUUAAAAUGAUAAAGGUAAAAUUGUACUUUGGCACCCCCAAAAAUGAUAAAACUUUGAUUUAAUCAUUUAGAAAUUAUAAAAAUAUAGGCUAUUAAAAUUGUGAAAUUAUAUUUUUACUAUACUAAAAAUUACAAUUUAAUUUUACUCCCUAAAAGGAAUUUCUAGCUUCGCCCCUAAUAAAAUCUUUGGCAAAAGAUUAAAAUAAAAUUAUACCGUAAAUAGAAAAAGAAACUAAGAAAAUCCAAUCUAACAAAGAAAAUAACUUGAUGUCCAAAAGCUACCAUAAACCGUAAUUCAUGGGAAGGCUUGUUGCUUAUUUUAUUGGUUUCCAUUUUGAUUUUGCAAAAGAAGUUUGAAUUUUGAAGAGAGCCUACUACGUGAGAGCAAAAGAAAAAAAUAGUUUAUAUGAUUAAAAUUCCAGAAUGGAUUAAAAAUGUUGAAUUAAAGAUAAAAUUACUCACCAUCUCUGUUAAAAAUGUUGGAUGUUGUUUAGCAACCUUUGUUUGAUUUUCUUCAGCUCAACCACAACAUCUUUCAUAUCUUUUCUUUCUUCUGGUAACUCAGCUGAACAAUUCAAAGCCAACUCCAUGAUAGAUGAAAUACAAUUUGCUUUAACAACAAUGUACUCAUCCUCUCUUCUUAGUAAAUCAAUAUCUGCAAUUUCUAUCGCUCCUUUAGGCAAUGAACUUUCCAUCCAAUGCCUUAUACUCUCUUCUUCAACAAAAACAUUAUCAGUUGGCUUUUUCUUUGUGAAAGUUUCUAUAAGGACGAUCCCAUAACUAUAGACGUCAGAUUUUAUAGAAACAAUUCCUGCUGAUCCAAAUUCUGCAUUUCAAGUAUAAUUAGAACAUCAUUCAUCCUCAAUUAUUUCUAAAAUGCUUAUUCAAAUAUAUAUCCACAUACACAUGAAACCAAAAUAAAAUGUAAAUUAGGAAAAUAAUCAUACAAAAAUAAAAAAGAAUUCACCUGGUGCCAUAUACCCGGUAGUUGCAAGAGUCAUGGUUUGCUUCAUUACUUCACCUUCUCCCAACAAUUUGGCAACGCCAAAAUCUCCGACAUGUGCAACCAUGUCUUCAUCUAGUAAAAUAUUGCUUGGUUUUAUGUCACAAUGAAUUAUAGGUGUUGGAUGUCCAUUGUGGAGGUGUUCUAUACCUACCGCAACAUCUAUCAUUAUGUCGACCCUUUGUAUGAUAUCAAGGAAACAAUUUUCAGAAUGUAACCAUUUCUCAAGGUUUCCAUUAGACAUGUAAUCAAGCACCAAGGCUUUGAAGUCAACACUUGAGCAGCACGUAAUGACCUUCACAAUAUUACGAUGAACUAUAUUACGCAUAGCAUCACAUUCAAUGUCAAAACUCCUAAAUGCUCCCUCUGUUUGCAAAUUGAAAACUUUUAUUGCAACUUCCAUUCCGUCUGAAAGCCUCCCUUUAUAUACAUAUCCAAAACUCCCUGAACCAAGCAUAUUGCUUUCCUCAAAUCCAUUAGUUGCUCGUGAAAGUUCAUCAUGUGAAAUUCUUCUCGGUGUCUUCAAAGACAACAAAUCAUCUUUAAUUGGUAGAGCUGUACUUCUUUGGCAUCUUCUAUACAUAAUAGUUAAGACUAUUAAUACUACGACAAUACCAAUUGUUGGUAAACCAUACCUAAAAGCAUGCAAUAUAAUCAUUUGGGAGUUUUUGUGGAUGUCGUUUUUACAAGGUGGGACUAGCAAUCUAGGUGGACCACAAAGUGCAUAAUUCUUCAUGAAUGAUGUGCUAGAAAAGUUUGAAAAACAUCCUUUGCUGGGAAUUUCCCCUUCAAGUCUAUUGAAAGACACAUUAAAAUACUUUAGAUAUAAAAGCUUUUCCAAAGAUGUGGGAAUGACUCCAGAGAGAUUGUUAUUGCAUAAAUCCAAGAAUUCCAGACUAAUUAACCCAUCAAAUGAUUCAGGGAUAUGACCAUGUAGUAUAUUAUUUGAUAAAUCUAAUGAAACCAAAGUUUGAAGACCCCCAAAUGUGGAUAAGAUAUCGCCCGUGAGAAGAUUCCUUGAUAAAUUUAGUUUCAGUAGACUCCUCAAAUUUCCAACAUCAAUAGCAUGUGAAUUGUGAAGAUGGUUUGAUGAUAAAUCUAUUUCUAAGAUAUCUUUAAGAUUCCACAAAGUUGAGGGUAUUGUAGAACUCAAUUUGUUGGAAUCUAAGUAAAGAUAUCCCAAAGAAGUAAUAUUACCCAAACAAGAGGGUAUGGAUCCAUGCAGCUUAUUCAACCCUAAAUACAUCUCGUACAGUCUCUCCAAAUCACAAAGGCUUUCUAAGAUGG